AUAUUAUAUCAUAUUUGCGCAAGCUAACUGGAAAAACAAAAUCUCUGGGAAUGCAUUCAACCUUCGGUAUCCACAAUGAUAAUACGGCUAACUGAGACAACGAAUUUAGUUCUGUUAGGCUUGCAUUCAUUCCUCCUGUGCUGUCACAUCCAACAGCAUCCCAUCCCUGAAAGCUGCGAUCCCCGAUCAACAGCUCUUCUAACUUCUUCAACCUUCCAAUCAAAUUCACAGGGAUCCUUCUUAGCCUUUCACAACCUGUCACAUCCAACAACCUUAACUCCUUGAGCUCUCCUAUUUCAUCAGGUAAUUCUUCAAUGGAUAAGCACCGUCUAAGACCAAGAAUCUUAAGUCUCUGCAGCUUUCUCAACCCAAUGAGGUCCUUGCAUCCACACCUGAUCAACACCAACGAUUGAAGUUUCGUUGAGAGUUCAAGUGAUUGCAAUGACAAGCACCCUCCCUUCAGAGACAAAACUUCAAUUUCUGUCAUCCCUUCAAAAAACCUCUGAGGAACAUUCAAACCAGAAUCCACUUCCAAUAAUAGAACUUUGAGCUGUGGGCAUACCAAUCCUUCAGGAAGUUCUGCUAGUUUAUUGCCCAUUAACGAAAUUGUUGUACAACCUUCAAAGCUUUUACCCGUCCAUUGCCAAUUCUCUAACCCUAAGCCAGCCUUGACCAUGAAUCCAUAUUCUUUUGAUGCUAUCUGAAUAGCAACAUCACGAACAAGGUCAUGCAUUUUCACAUGUUCUUCAGUUUCAGAGCCCAACAGCAUGCAACAAUCUUUGAGGUUUUCGAUUGCCACAGAAACUCGUUUCCUUGCAUCUUCAAUGGGCUCCGCAUCUUGAUGUAACCCAUAGCCAACUGCAUAUCUCGUCAAGUCCUCGAUUGGAAUGUCAUAAUCUUCUGGAAAUAAACAGCAUAGCACGAAACAUGACUUGGUUUCCUCGUACUUCAAAUAAUCAUAGCUCAACUUAAGACAUGUGUAAGCAUUAUUUUGUUCAUCAAUUUGUUCCAUGCGCACAAAUUGAGAUUCUUUGAGCUGUUUAGACGCUACUUCCCACUGAACUCGUGAUUUACCUCUUAGAGCCCUUCCCACUGUCACAAGUGCUAUAGGCAAGCCUUGGCAUUCUCUCGCAACCUCCCUUGCCACUGUGUUCAAGGUAGAGUCCCCAUCACGUAAACCUGCAUUGAUACUGAAUAAAUCCCACGCUUCAUCUUCAGGUAAGACUCUUAAAUGCACUUUUUGCUGGCACUCCAUAGAAAAACAUAUGCCUUGAACACGUGUUGUUAGAAGAAUUUUACAACCCCUGUGAUCAUCACCAAAUGGGAUCCCUAUCUCUUUCAAGUCAAUAUGUUUCCAAACAUCAUCCAGGGUUAUAAGCAUCUUCUCCACUUUCUUCAGUCUCUGCCGUAAUCGAUCUGCUCUCCCUUCUUUACUGUUUUCUUCAAUUUUCAAACCUAACAUAUCUGCCAUUCGGUUCUGAAUGUCUAUGACAUUUGGAUUCUGCGACACCGUAGCCAUCAAAACUUCAUCAAAAAGCUGCGACUCUCUGGCUAUCGUGCCUACUCUUUUCACCAGGGUGGUUUUACCCACCCCUCCCAUGCCGUACAGUCCGAUCAUAUUGGCGUUGUCAUCUUUGCGAGCUUUCAUAAUCUGUUCCAAAGCUUCUUUUGAAGAUUCUGAGGGCGUGAAUUCCUUUGAUGGAAGAAAUUCUAUGGGCUGAGGAGGAAAUUUGUGGGCCACUUUUGUAAACUUUGUUUCUGAAAGUCUCCGACUCCUUGGCCAGUGCCUUGCUUAACUUGAAUUGUCGAAUGCAGUUUGGACACCAAGUGAAGCAUUUGCCAUUUUUUCCUAUUUCUUUUUCCAAGGGCUUCGCACCUUCAAUUUUGCUGUUUGCAUCUUCCAUCCACUUUUUGACACCUUUCUUAAUUUCUUCAGCAUUCCUUUCAGCAGCUUCGACUUCUUUUUGCAGACCAUCUAGUGCUAAAGCAAGGUUCUCCUUUUGUUCUUUGAAUUCUUCAACAAAAUUGUUGAAACAGAACAUGUAACGGAACUGCCUUCCUACUGGUUCCACCAUGAGUUCUGCUAUCUUAGAUAUAAUGGAUCCACCCACACUUUCGAGAGCCAUUUUCCACCAGUCUGAAAAUCAGAGAAAUGAGGAUACAGGACGUGAGAGUGAGUCACUACAAGUAAAACAGGCGCAGAGAGAAUGGGAAUAGGAAUUCCAUUACCGUAAUUUGGGAAAAUAUGCGCGGAAAGCACUGGUACUGAGAGCUCAAUGAAAUAGCGGGAGGAAGAAAAGGAGAAGGCCUUUAGCUCUGUAUGGAAUCCAGCUUCAAAAGCAACAAGGCAAGGUAUAAGGAUUCUAACUGACACUUGUGAGUUAAAGCAGUAAUUCCCAUUAAAAAUGCAUUUUGAUGACAUAAUUAAGAUCAUAUUGAGACAGUGGCAAACAAAAAAUAAAUGUAUAAAAGUACUCACCUAGCAAAGAAAGAAACGAAUGAAAGGUUCAGGAUAAUCACUUAGCUCGCUUCCAACAACAAAUAUAAUUAAUUAAUCUAAGCUAUGAUCGGUCAAAGUUUUUUUUAGUUUUAUUCUUUUUUUAAAAAAAAAAAAACAGGAAAAAACUUGCAAAGAAAUAGAAUUACUGGAAUGAACACAAUAAAAGAUGAAACUCAAGCAAUUAAAAAUAAAUUAUCUAUGAUGAUCAUGUCUGUGUCACACUCAAUGAGGUAAUCACUAUUACAAUAUUAAAUAAAUAAAUAAAAGCUAAAAGAACUAGGUUUUUGGUGGCAUCCAGAGUGCGGUUACUUUCUUCAUCCUUCUUUUGUGGUUUUAUUUUAUUUCAGUCCUUCAAAUCUUUUUCUUUUGCUAUUUCAUCGAGUUGCUUUGCUCUUGAGUUGAUGUGCUUGCCCUAGAAUAUGCAUUAUGCUAGGGAUUACAAUUACAUUACAUAAGAAAUUAUACUUACAGAUUAUAAUUAAAAUUUUCAGUUUUUUUUAAACAAAUUUAUGAGAAAGUACCAAUAUUACAACGUGAGUAAAUGAUAGGAGAAUUUUAAAUCUUUUUGUGACAUGGUGACCAGCUGAUCCAAGUAACCAAUAGAUUAUCGCCACUUGUUCAACCUGAUCUGCACUUUAAGAUAGGGGUAGUCAUAACUAUUCCUCGUUUUGUUUGAGGAAAAAUAAUUUUUUUAAAAAUAAAUUUUAAAUUUUUCUAUAUUUAUUUGCUAUUAAAAAAAUUAAUCAAUAAAAAAUAUUUUUUAGUAAAAAAAAUUAGUUUUAUUUUUUAAAAAGUAUUUUUCUUUUAUUUUAGGCGGAAAAUACUUUCCAGAAAUUGUGAAAAAUUUAGAAAUAUCAUAUUAUUUGUUGAUUAUAACAAAUUGGAUCCUCAAACUUUUAAUUGCUAUAUAUUUUGUUUUGAAUAUUUUUGUUUUCAAUUUCAUCUGUUAUAAUUUGAUUUUAUAUUAAAUUUGAUCCUUAUUUUUAUGAUUGUUAUUUGUUUUUCUCUUUUUAUUUUUUUAAUUGAAAUUUUUUAUUUAUCAAAUUUGAUCAUCAUUCUUUUGAUUGUUAUUUAUUCUAUUUGAAAUAAUUUAUGAAUAGAGGGAGAGGUUGUUGGAGGCAGAAAAGGAAAGACUACGAUACUAUUUUUCUCUAUAUUUUGAGUUUUAGUUGUUAACAGCCAUGCUCGUUUGAUUUUAUUUUAUUUUUAUUUAUUUUUUUCAUGCUCUUGCAGAUAAGGCAGGAAAGGAGGACCUGAAAUCACGACAGCGAAUAAGGAGAGAAAUAGCGUGUUUGUUUUUUAUUUUUGAAAUUAUUUUUUUAUAAAAUUAUUUUUUUAUUCUAAAUUAAUUUUUUGUAUUUUUAAAUUGAUAUUAAAAAUAAUUUAAAAAAUAAAAAAAUAUAUUAUUUUAAUAUAUUUUUAAAAUAAAAAAUAUUUUUAAAAACAACUACUUAUUCAAUCACUUAAAAUAAAAACCUUAAAAUCACGGCAUGAUAAAAGGAGGAAGAAAGGAAUGGGACAAAGGAGGAAGAAAAUAAGGUCACGUAUAAAAUAGAAGAUGAAAAUUAGUAUGAAAAAGAGGCUAUUUGUUUUUUUAAUGUGUCAGAGUGGUUUUUAUAAUUAUAUUUAAUUUAUAAAAAUAUUAAAUUAAUAUAUUUUUAAAUAUUUCUUGUUAUUAUUAUAUAUAUAUAUAUAAUAUUCUAAUAUUUUUUUAAAUAAAAAAUUAUUUUAAAAAAAUAUGUGUCACAAUACUAAAUUAUAGUACAAAUUAAAAUAUAAAAGAGUUUUCUAUUACUAUUUACCAAGACUUAUUUUGUUGUGGAUGUGGAUAUUAAUAGUGAAUUUUUUUAAAAUUUUCAAUUUGAUAUUUGAAUUUUUUUUUUUCAUAAUCGAAUCUCUUUAUGCCCAAAUUAAAACUCAAUUGCAUUUUGUUUUUUAAGUAUAAGAGUUGAAUUCAAAGAUAGAUGACUGAAAUGAAAAACUUGGUAAAAAUAUGCGGCGACAUUGUAAUUGUUUGCAAAGUUCAUUUUAGUCCCUUAUCUUUUUGAGCUACUAAGUAACAUGUCCCUAUAAUUUCUCAACAUUACAUUUUAUCCAGAAUCUCAGAUUAUGCUCUACGGACUAAACUAAAUUUUUCAUAAAUUGAGAGACCAAACUGAAAUUUAUCAUUUUCAAUCUUAAACCUAGAAUUUUCACAUAUCACCUACUGAUAUAACAAGAUUUCUAACUCAAAUUCACCAUUUAAACAAACCAUAACUCAAAAUCAUCAUUUUUACUUAAAGUCUUUCAAAAUCAACUAAAUAACUCAUUAUUCAUAACAAUCAACACAUAAUAUUCAAAUCAAUUCAUCAAUCAAACCCAAAACACAAUCUUCAAAACUCUAAUAUUCAACAAAACAGAAAAUUAAAGCUAAGAAAAACACAUUUAUACACAUCAAAGCGUAAAUAUUCUUACAUUUUAAUUUAUUUUCUCUAACUCUCUUAUCCUUUUGUUUAUCUUUUUCUCUUUUCUCUUUUUCUUCUUUCACUCUCACGGUUUUUUCUCUAAGAAUUCAAAUCUUUCUCUUUUUUAUUCUAUUUAUAUUUAUGAACUCUUUGUUCAAUUACUACAAUAUCGUUCAUUCAUUUAUACCUACUUUUAAGCCUCCAAGAGUUUUGUUGUUUUUUUCUAUUCUCUUUUAUUUCCAAAUCAUCACAAUAAAAUUGUUUUCUUUUUAUUAAGCUGCUAAUUUAUGCAGCUUUAGCUCUUGUUCUCUCUUCUUGUCUUGCUAUUCUGAUUUUAUCUUUUUCUUUACAUGAUAUAAGAGCAGGUUCUUACCUCUUGAAGUCUGCUGGAUAAACCUAUCAGCAGAAGAUCCUGAAGCGAUCCCAAAUCACAGCUUCAAUCCCCACCACAACCAAUCUCCUCUUUCCCGUAGUCUGUCGUCCUCAAUUGGGAAAUGAUCUCAAAAAAUCACUUGAUGCAACAAGUAGGGUAGAGAAAUAUAAGACUUCAACAAAGAAUCAAACUCAAAAAAAUAAAAGUAAUUGUCUAUGAGAAGCAUUUCUGUGUCACACACUCAAGUAAUAUGAUUGACCUAUUACAUUAUACAAAUUAACAAUAAUAAUAAUAAUAAUAAUAAUAAUAAUAAUAAAAGAACUAGGUUUUUGAUGGCAUCCAGAGUGCUGUUACUUUCAAACAAAGAGGCUUGUGCAUGCGGUGUUAUGCUGUUCGUGUAGGCUAAGAUCUCCUAUGAAUACAUUUGUAAAAUCAUACAAUUGUAUUCUUUUUAUUAAGCUGCUAAUUUAUGCAGCUUUAGCUCAUAUUCUCUCUUCUUGUUUAGCAAUUCUGAUCUGAUCCUUUUCUUUGCAUGAUAUAAGAGCAGGUUCUUACCUCAUGAAGUCUGCUGGAUGAACCUAUCAGCAGAAAAUCCUGAAUCAAUCCCAAAUCACAGCUUCAAUCCCCACCACAAUUACCAAUCUCCUCUUUCCUGUAGUCUUUCGUCCUCAAUUGGAAAAUGAUCCAAAAUCAACAACCAGUUCGGAGAUAGUCUGUGUGAAAAUAAACGGCUGAGAGAUGAAAUGUGAAGGUUAUGGUGAGAAAUUAGAUGACAAACUUACUUUGUCCUACUAAUGCUUUUGCUUUCAUUGUUUCAACAAGUAAAAGAGACAUAAGCAUAAUCAUAAGAAUCCUGUUUUUUCUAUUUUUUUCACCUAUUUAUACAUCAAAAAAUGGCAGUUUUUCUUGUCCUUUCUUUUUAAAAUCUUAUGCCUUGGGUGAGGAAAUUAGUGGAGCAUAAGACGUUUUAAAAGACAACAAAAAGAAGCAAUGUCUCAUCUUUUGAUAUGGUGGUCUUCCAUGAUCAGUUUGUUGAUGAAGAUAUCGAAAGAUUCGAGUCUCCGUUCUAGCUCAGGUUGGAAGCUAGGCCGAAGGCUAAGCUUCUUUUAAUUAUGAAUUGUUUAUGCAAAGGAAACCCAGAAGCUUGAACAAACAGAAAUGCCUUGUUGAUUUCUCUGCUACUACUCAUUAUUUCCAAUAUUAUUCCAUUAUCUUACCCGAAAGCAAUUAUACAAGAAAUUUCAUUAUCCUGCCCCAAAGGCAAUUUAUUACAAGGACUUCCUUUAACCUCCUUGAAGGCAAUUUAUUUGAUGAAAAUUCCUUUAAUCCACCUCAAAGACAAUUUAUCUUAGGGAAUUCCAACGACCCAGGCAAUUUAUUUGCUGAAAUUCCUUUAACCUCCUUGAAGGCAAUCAAGAUUUUAAAUUAAAAACCAUCUAGGUGGUGGCCCAGUGGUAAGAACCUGGGACCAAGAGGUUUGCUCAUCUGCAUAAUUAAAUAGUACUGUUACUGUAAACUACUAGGAAAUUCAUGCGUAGAGCCAAAAUGUUAACAAUAGCACAACGACCCAGGCAAUUUAUUUGCUGAAAUUCCUUUAACCUCCUUGAAGGCAAUCAAGAUUUUAAAUUAAAAAGCCAAAAAUGAACGCAUCUACUCUUGCAAGAAUGGACUCAAAAGGUCAGCUAAUCCGCAUAAUUAAAUAGUACUGUUACUGUAAACUACUAGGAAAUUCAUGCGUAGAGCCAAAAUGUUAACAAUAGCAUUGAUUCGGUCAGGGGCUCUGGUGUAUAGAGAGGACCUUGCCGUUAGAAACUAUGAACCCACUAUUUAUUAAUCCAUUUCUAUUUAGUACUAUUUACUAUUUAUUUAUUUUUAUUUACUAUAUUUCUGUAUGUGAUACCUAAGUACCAAUAAAAUUUGAGAUUCCUUCAAUUUUUUAGGUGCAUGUACAAAAUCAAUUCAAGAGUGUGUAUCCUUAACUAUAUAUCAGGCUAACCUUUACAGGCUGAGCUAGCAAUCGAUAAUUAAUUUUUAAUGAAUUCAUUUUUUAUUUAAAAUAAGGAAAAGGACAUUGUUACACCUUAACUAUUAUAAUUGUUACACCUUACCAAAGGGUUAAUUUAGAAAAAAAUUAUCAACUUACAGGUCACUGGCCGAGGUCAACUUAUGAUUAAGUAGAUCAAUUUAAAUUAAUUAUUUUUAUUAAAAUGAUAAUGUUUUGUUUUUUUUUUUCUUGAUAUUAAUUUGGCUAAUUUUUAUCAAAUCAAAUCACUAAAAACUUAAUCAAAUUAAAUUUCAUCAAAUCAAUAAUAUUUGAUGUAGUUGAAUUUUAUAUAUAUAUAUAAAUAUUUGAAAAUAAUUUAAAAAUGAUGUUUUCAUUAAUACCCAUUCUCAAUGUUUUUUUUGCCUUAUUUAGCUUUUUUUUCAAUUAGUUUUAAUUUUAUUAGCUUGGUUUAGUUUUUUAAGAGGUUAAUAUGAUUUAUUUGUAAUUUGUUUUAUAUAUUUCAGAUAUAUUAAGUAUUUUUUUUAUGUGUGUGUCAAUUUCUUUUAUAUAUUUAUUUUAGUAAAUAAAUUUAUUAAAUAUAACCAGAGAAAUGACUUUUUUAAUCUAUAUUUGUUUCUUAAUUUCUUAAUUUUUCCACCUGCUUUUUUAACUAUUGAUAAUGACUUUUUAUUAUUAUUAUUAUUCACACAAUAUAGUGCUGACACCCGCAGGUUGAGACUUGAGUAAACGAAAAUGAAAUAUUUUGGGUGUCUAUCUCCUAGUUAUGGUAUUAUUAAUAUUUGAGGGUUUUGAUUUGGAAUAAUUAGUGAAGAUUUAAUUAGAACUUAGCCAUGUACUUUAUUAAAAUUAAUUAUUUAGUCCUUAAAGUGUCAUGGAUAAUUAAAAAGUCUAUUAACUAGUGUUGACCACCCUCCAUUUACUAUGUUUUUCUCUAAAAAAUGCCUUCCUUCCUAAUGAAAUUUCCGCAACUGCAUCAGAUGUUUAUUCCCGUUCAAAUGCUCGCAACAGGGAAAGCAUAUGAUAAAGAGAAUGGAACAAGAUUCUUGUCUAUGGAGGGAAUCAAUGCUUCAACUUGCCUUGUGAUUUGCUUUAAUAAGAUUUUUUUUUAUAUAAAAAACAACUUUUAAAUUAUAAUUAAAAGUAAAAUAUCAUAAAUUUAUUUUAUAUUAAAAACCGAAUUCAUUAAACAUAACCAGGGUUGUUUAUUUUUUGUAAUGACUUUGUUUUUUAUUUAUUUAUAUAAUAAUUCAUGAUUUAUUUAAUUCGAUGCGUGCAUAAGUUUUUUAAUUUAUAUUUAGAAUUUUUCUUAAUGUAAAAAAAACAUGUUCAUAAAUUUUUAUUUUUAUGAUUUCAGUUUGAUUCUUAUUUUUAUGAUUUUUUAUGUUUUUUCCUUAUCCUUUUAUAAAAGUUUUUUUGUUUAUAAUUUCACCCUUCAAUUCAAUAUGAUGGAGUAAUUUUUUUUUUCAUUUUUUGCUUUAUAUUGUUGCCUCUCUCCUUUUGGGAAUAUUGUUGCCUCUCUCCUUUUUUUUUUUUUUUUUUCAUUUUAUCAGCUUUUGCAUGUGGAAUAUUGAGUCUUCUAUUUUUUAUCCACAGAAUUGAAUCCUUUAUAUAUUCUUAAAACUAGAUUUGAAUUCUAAUGAAGGAAUAAUAAAGAUUGUUGCAUGUACAAAUUCUCCUUCAAAAAAAUAUAAUAAAGUAUCAUGGAUUUAAGUAUAACUUAGCCCUGUAAUUUAUUAAAAUUAAUUAUUUAGUACGUCCUUAAAGUAUCAUGGAUAAUUAAAAAGUCUAUUAACUAGUGUUGACCACCCUCCAUUAAUUAUAUUUUUCUCUAAAAAAUGCCUUCCUUCCUAAUGAAAUUUCUCCAACUGCGUACUUUUCUUUUCCUUAUUCUAAUUUUUAAGAAAGAAGAAAAAACAUAUUAAUUGGAAAAGAACUAAACAAUAUGUAACUUUAAAAAUAUAAGAAUUAAACAUAUAGUUAUUGAAACUAUGGGAUUAAUUAAUUAUUGUUAUCAAAUUAUAGAGAAUAAAUUAUAAUUGAAUAAGUGUUUGUGUGGAGGAGUGUUUGCAAAUACCAUGGGAGAUGCGAUUUGUAUUAUUAAUUUAGUUGUUGGUAUAAUAGUCCAAAUAUUGUGACGACCAUUUUAUAGAAAUGAGCACAAUGUUUUUAGAAUAUUUAUAAAAAUUGACUUAAACCAAUCAAAAAAAUGAUUUUUGAGUUUGUUAAACAAUUUUAAUAAAAAUAAUAAAAAUAUAAAAUAGAAUUGAAUUGGUUGGAUAUGACCCAAACUAAAUUAAAUAAAAAAACUUAACCAAGCUAUAUUUCAAUGAUCUUGGUAUGGAUUUGUUUUUAUAAAAAAAACAUGUUCAUCCUUUUUUAAACUUCUUGUGGCCUGUUCAUUCAUACUUUAUUAAUAUUUAAAUUAUUUUUUUAUAUUUUUUAAAUUUGUUUUAAUGUUAUGAUAUUUUUUAAUUUUGUUUUGAUUGAUACAUAAAAAUAUUGUUUUUAUUGAUUAAAUUUUAUUUGGAAUUAUUGUUGAUAUUACAAAGACUUAUUUAUUCCUAUUCAGUUGAUAAUGACUACUUAGAUUUUGUAAAAAGAGUUACUUUCUUUAAUAGCCAAUUGAAUGAUUUUUUAUGAGAAAAAUAAAACAUCUUUUGAUGUGAAAAAAAGACACCAUGCACCGUCGUGUGAUACGAUGCUUUUUUUCUUGUGGCAUGUUUUUGAUGCUUUUGAUACGAUGUUCUUCCAGGAAUUUUUUAUCUUUUUAUUAGGCGGUCUAAGAUGCACAGUCGUGUGUGUGUCUAUAUAUAUAUAUAUAUAUAUAUAUAUAUAUGUAUGUAUAUAUAUAUAUAAGUCAUCGAUGCAUGUUUUUAUUUGGUAUUCAAUUCAAUUUCAUAAACAUUACUUUACUCUCUAAUUAAAUUGCUGCAACUAUAUAUAUUAUACCCUUAACCAGACUAUUAGUUUACCAUUCCUGACUAGCUAUCGUAUCCUUUUGGCAAGAAUCAUUGCCAAUUACUUUAUUCGUAGUAUGUAAGAGUCAUUAUCCAACCAUUUUCAAUUCCAUUUCAAAUCACUUUCUUUGAUAAAUUAGUUUAUAAAAUAUUUUUACAAAAACUCCAUACCAUACAUCUAAACAUCACAUAUGUUCAAAUUAAUUUGAACAUAGCAAGUGUUAUAUCUUCUUUUAAAGAUUGUAAAGGACAAAUAUACAAUUACAUUUUCCUUUUUGGGUCUCAAUUACAUUUGCAUUUACAUAUUGUUCACCUAGUAAUUUCUUUUAUAAAAUUUAUAAUAAACUCAAAAAAAUAAAUAGUACGAGAAACAAAGUUGAUAGACCCAACCGAGAACAUGCUCACGAGUUUAAAUAUCUUAAUUUUAGUUUGUAGAACAUAAAGAGAAAUAGAAUUGAUCCAUUAUUUUGUUUGCAGAACAUAAAUGAGAAAGCAACGUCAAUAUAUAAACUUAAUUAAUAAAUAUAUAGUUGGUUUUGUUUUACAAUAAAGAAUUAUUUUGUUCUAUAAAAGAGUAAUUGAAUUUUAUAAAUAAAAACACGAAAUUAUUUAUUUCCAUGCAAGAUGAAGUCAAGAUUCACCACUUAUUUGUGUGAGGCAAAAUAAUAAUAAUAAUAAUAUUAUUAUUAUUAUUAUUGUUAUUGUUAUUGAAUAAGAUGAAGUCAAGAUUCACCACUUAUUUCCAUGCAAGAUGAAGUCAAAUUUCAAAGUUCCCUUUACAAAUCGGUUGGAUAUGGCCCAAACUAUAUUAUACCCUUAACCAGACUAUUAGUUUACCAUUCCUGACUAGCUAUUGUAUCCUUUUGGCAAGAAUCAUUGCCAAUUACUUUAUUCGUAGUAUGUAAGAGUCAUUAUCCAACCAUUUGGUAUUCAAUUUCACGUUCUUUGAUAAAUUAGUUUAUAAAAUAUUUUUACAAAAACUCCAUACCAUACAUCUAAACAUCACAUAUGUUCAAAUUAAUUUGAACAUAGAUAGCAAGUGUUAUAUCUUCUUUUAAAGAUUGUAAAUGACAAAUAUACAAUUACAUUUUCCUUUUUGGGUCUCAAUUACAUUUGCAUUUUCAUAUUGUUCACCUAGUAAUUUAUUUUAUAAAAUUUAUAAUAAACUCAAAAAAAUAAAUAGUACGAGAAACAAAAACAAGAAACAAAAUUGAUAGACACAACCGAGAACAUGCUCACAAGUUUAAAUAUCUUAAUUUUAGUUUGCAGAACAUAAAGAGAAAUAGAAUUGAAUAUGAUGAUGAUGAUUUCUUUUUUCAUUUUCAGGAGACCUAUAAUAGCCGGUUGAGGGAGAGAUAUGGGGACGAUCCUUUGACCCUCCGGAUUUCGAUCCGGAUUUGUGGAUGGAGGUCGGAUCGUUCGGUGGACUCGAUAAAAAUCGGCUGUACGGGCUCUCCAACACUACGACCGAGAACUUGCGGUCGGCCCGUAGUGUCUCAACUGUUGGGAGCUCCAAAUCAGUAUCGAGCACCCAAUCUGAGGAUAUCAUGACCUUGAAACAACACACAGCUAAUCUCACCGAGAAAUACGAGCAACUCUUGGCAAAUUAUGAUCAACUCCGCCAAAUUGUCAUGAACAUGACUUCACAGAGUGGUGCUACAUGUCCGCCCCCUUUUUGGCCGUAUAACAACCAGCCUCCUCCUCCUCCUCCUCCAACUCCGCCAUUGUGCUAAUUUAAUAUUUUUUUGAAACACAUUCAAUUUGUAAUGAAUAUUAUUUAACACUAUUUUUUUGUUCUUAAUGUUUAAUAAAAUUUUAUUUGCAUAAUUGGUUUUUUUACUAUUAAUUUAUAUAAUUUUAUGUUAUUUAUUCUAAAUCAUUUUUAAUUUUUUUAAAAUACCCACCGAGGGAUUUACCGACGGAAUGUAUCACCGACGAAUUUACAGACGGAUAACGUUCGUCGGCCUUUCACCGAUAGCUAAAAAAUAUUUACUAUAUAUGCCACUAUCACCGACGGAAUAAAUUCGUUGGUAAGGUUCCAGCGGGAAGUUUUUUUUUUGGCGUGCAAUUUCCGUUUGUAAAACCAUCGAUAAUAUUUUUUUUACCGACAACCUUAGCGACGGAAUGCGGUAUUACCGACAAACAUUAUGCCGACGGACGUUUUUCGUUGGCGAUUUAGUCGGUAAAAAAAUUACUGACAAACUCUGAAUCUCAUACCGACGGAAUAUGUCCGUCGGUAAAACUGUGAAAUCUUGUAGUGAUUUAGAUUUGGGUUGGUUUUUUAUUUUUAAAUCAAUUAAAUGUUUAUUUAAGAUCAUGAAUGGACUUAUUGAGGUACCUUUUACCUAUAGCUCACUUUGAUACCCCCUCCGAUAUAUCUAACUCUUCAAUAAAGGAGCAAUUUUUCAUUACAUUCAGCACAAUAUUUAUUUCUCUAACAUGUAUGAAGAUGGCACGAGUUAAAAUGAUUGUGUAAAUUAAUUUACAAUAACGAGGCCUUCGUAUAUAGUAAUUUAUCCCAGACAAGAUGACUAAAGUACUCAAAAGAUUCAAGUAGACGUUGUUUUAACACCUUGAAGGAUUCUGAAAUUCUGCCUUGCUCGAACGCGCACAAAAUUUGCCUUUUCUUUUAUUCCUAAUCGGAUUCGUAUGCAUGCAAAAUUAAAUCACCUUGAAAACUCUUAAUCUCUAUCUCGGCUUUUAAAUAUAUAAUUUAUAGCCAUUGUAAAUUCACAAAAAAAUAUUGAUUUUUUUUUUAAUCUCUUGGGUUAUAAUAACCAUAUCUAUCCGGUGUUGUUUAUUGAAAUAUUUUUCAGUUAUUUUGGAUGAGUAUAAAAUGAAUUCAUAGUUUUUGAACUACAAAACCUAAGUUUUAUCUUGCAAACACCCCCAAAAACUUUUAGUAUUCUCAAAAACUCAAUUUUCAAUCAUAAAAUACCUUCUAAUUAGCCUAAAUGUGAAAAUCAAACCUAAUAAAAAAAAUUAUGGGUCUAAUAUACUUUUUCUAGCACGGUUAAAUGACAAGAUCAUUUUAAUCGAACUUCUUUUUUCAAGAUGAAUCUAUUAAUAUUAAAAUCGGAUUUUUUAGAUCAAAAUAUAAUCAGUCAAAUCCUUUUUUUUCUCCAUUUUCUGACCACAUUCUCUCCCUCCUCUCAAUAUUCAAUAACUUAAAAUAUAAUAAAAAUGAAUUUUUAAGAUUGAAUCAUAAAAAUUUAAAGCUAUAGAAUUAAAUAAAUCUGAAAAACAAAAACUUCAAGAACCAUAUUAAAUUUUUCUGCAACUUCUAAAAGGAUUGCAUUAUAGGAGAAUAGUUUAAUGCAUGAUAACUUGAGUCUUGCUACACAAUAAAAUUUGUUACAGUAAGAAUAACAAAUGUUUUAAUUUAGAAUAUAACUAGUUAGGUGCUCACACUACAUCGCGGGUUCACAUUUUAUUUUCAUAAAAAAUAUCAUAAAAAUUUAUAAUACAAAUAAUAAUAUUUUUUCAAUAUUAAUAAUCAUAUUUUUUCAAAUUUAUUAAUAAUAUUUAUAACACAAAUAAUAAUUUUUUUAUUAUAAUUGUAUUAAUUAUAAUAAAAAUAAAAUAUUUAUAACAUAAAUGAUAAUAUUUUUAAUAGUAAUACUAUUAAUUAUAAUAAAAAUAAUAAUAUUUAUAGCACAAAUGACACUAUUUUUAAUAUUAAUACUUUAAAUUAUAAAAAAUAUAUAUAUUUAAAAUACAAAUAAUUAUAUUUAGAAACCUAAAACCUAAGAACCUUGGGUUUUGAUAAAGGAUCCAAUAGAAUUAGGUUCUGACGCAAGACCCUUUAAGCUUGGGUCUUGAUACGGGACUCAAGACAAUCGGGUCCUGACACAGGACCCGAUUCGAAAGGUAAAAAUAUAAAUUAUUGUUCUUAUUAUCAUUAUUAUCAAUAAUAAAUUUGACAUAAAAUAUUAUUACCACCAAAGAAAAACUAUAUAGUUGAUUUGAAGGAUAAAAUUAAUAUUAAUAAUAAUAAUAAUAAUAAUAAUUAUUAUUAUUAUUAUUAUUAUUAUUAUUAUUAUUAUUAUAUGUGCUAUAGAUAUUAUUAUUUUUAUUAUAAUUGAAGGUAUUAAUAUUAAAAAUAAUAUUAUUUGUGUUAUAAGUAUUAAUAUUUCUAUUAUAGUUCAAAGUAUUAUUAUUUAUGGUAAAAAUAUUAUUAUUUUUAUUAUCAUUGAAGGUAUUAAUAUUAAAAACAGUAUUAUUUAUGGUAUAAAUAUUAUUAUUUAACUUGUCUGCCUAAAUGUUUAUAUUUUUGAGUCUUUAAAAAACAAUUGUGGUUUUUCUUCGAUAGUAAUAAUAGUUUUUUUUAAUUUAUUGAUGAUGAUGAUGAUGAUAAUUUUUAAUUUUACCUUUCAAAAUAAAAUUUAUGGUUGUUUUUCAAUAUUACUAAUAUUUGUUUUUCAAAUUUAUUUAUUAUUUUAUUAAUAAUAUUAAUUAUAAUUAAAAUAAUAAUAUUUAUAAGACAAAUAAUAAUAUUUUUAUUAUAAUAAAAAUAAUAAUAUUUAUAACACAAAUGAUAAUAUUUGUAAAUUCACAAAACAAUAUUGAUUUUUUUUUAAUCUCUAGGGUUAUAAUAACAAUAUCUAUCCGGUGUUGUUUAUUGAAAUAUUUUUCAGUUAUUUUGGAUGAGUAUAAAAUCAAGUCAUAGUUUUUGAACUACAAAACCUAAGUUUUAUCUUGCCCCAAAAACUUUUAGUAUUCUCAAAAACUCAAUUUUCAAUCAUAAAACACAUUCUAAUUAGUCUGAAAGGUGAAAAUCAAACUUAAUAAAAAAAAUUAUAAGUCUAAUAUACUUUUUUUAGCAUGGUUAAAUGACAAGAUUAUUUUCAUCGAACUUCUAUUUUCAAGACGAAUAUUAAUAUUAAAAUCAGUUUUUUUAGAAGGGAAUAUGAUUAGUCAAAUCCUUUUUUUUUCUUCAUUUUCUGACCACAUUCUCUCUCUCCUCUCAAUAUUCAAUAACUAAAAAUAUAAUAAAAAUAAAGUUUUAAGAUUGAAUCAUAAAAAUUUAUAGGAUUAAAUAAAUCUGAAAAACAAAAACUUCAAGGACCAUAUUAAAUUUUUCUGCAUCUUCUUAAAGGAUUGCAUUAUAGGAGAAAAGUUUAAUGCAUGAUAACUUGAGUCUUGCUACACAAUAAAAUUUGUUACAGUAAGAAUAACAAAUGUUUUAAUUUAGAAUAUAAAUAGUGGGUUCACUUUUUUAUAUAUAUAUAAAACAUAUCAUACAAAUAAUAAUAUUUUUUCAAUAUUAAUAAUAAUAUUUUUUCAAUAUUAAUAAUAAUAUUUUUUCAAAUUUAGUAAUUAUUUUAUUAAUAAUAUUUAUAACACAAUUGAUAAUAUUUUUAAUAUUACUACUAUUAAUUAUAAUAAAAAUAAUUAUAUUUAUAGCACAAAUGACACUAUUUUUAAUAUUAAUACUUUAAAUUAUAAUAAAAAUAAUUAUAUUUAAAAUACAAAUAAUUAUAUUUAGAAACCUAAAACCCAAGAACCUUGGGUCUUGAUGAAGGACCCAAUAGAAUUGGGUUCUGACGCAAGACCCUUUAAGCUUGGGUCCUGAUACUAGACUUAAGACAAUCGGGUCCUGACGCAGGAACCAAUUCAAAAACGGAUAAUUCCAACUCUGGCGUUGGUAACUAUUACGUAGCUAUAAAAUAAAUUUAGAUCAAUAUUUUUUUAUUCCUAACUUUAAAGCUAUUGAAUAAAAAAAUAAACUAAAUUCAUCUUAUUACGCAUUCACAUAUUUUUUAUUUCUUAUGUAGUUAAAUAAAAAAACAAAAAAAACAAUUAAAUCAGUGUUUUUAUUCAUGACUCUAGCGUCAGUGAAUAAACAAAAAAAAUAUUAUUUUUUCAUACAUGCACAUAUUUUUUUUUGCUAAAUAAAAUAAAAUAUAACGAAUAAAAAUAAUAUAAAUUUAAACCAGUAUUUUAUUCCCGACUCUGGCGUUGGUAAAUAAAUCAGUAAAUUUAUAUUAUUUUUAUUCAUGAAUACACAUAUUUUUUUAUUUUUUUAUUUUUUAUUUUUUUGGGGCUGGGCCCAGCUCAGCCCACAUGGGCUGGGCUAGCCCAGCCGGCCCAGCCCGGUCACUGGCCCAAGCCAGUGACCCGGCUGGGUCACAGCACGCAUGAACUAGUUUCAUGCGUGCAUGGCGCUGCGCGAAGGUAAUUAAUUACCUUCGCACACUGCUAAAUGCACUGAACUUUCGAAAGUUAAAAAACGAAGAAAACAGAGGAAGCUUACCUUGUUGCAGGUUGCUUCGCCGGAGUGUCAGCGUGUCGGGCGACGAUCAGUGGUGGCGUCCGUCAACAGUAAGCUAUAAUUCCUCCUUCGACCUCUGCCUUACUGCCCUCUGUUUCCUCUGCCCUCGUCUGAAAAAUUAUUCAUGUGCUCUGUUUUUCAAAUUCUCUCUACUCUCUCUCGGUUUGUUUCUGUUUUCGUUGUUUUAAGGCCGGUAUUGGUGAGGGAAAGGUUCACUUCUGGUAUGGGGUUCUAAAAAAAACUUAAAAAUUCGGCUGGUAUCUUUGUGUUUCUCUCUUGGGGUUUCGUUCGUCCCUCUCUCUCUCUAGCCAACCCCUGUUCUUCGGUGCUCCUCGGUUUAUAUAGAGCUCGGGCGGUAGGCUGAGGGUCGACCACCAUUAAGGCGCCCCUAACUGAAGCCAACGGACGACGAUUACUGCUGCAACGUUCUCCCUCCUUUACUGUAGAAAACGGUCACUGGCUUAAAGGAGAAGAAGAUGAACAGCGUCUUCAAAACGACGCCGUUUGGGAUAUGAGAUGGCCAUUUGCGUUUUGACCCGUGAAGUUUCGCAACUUUUAUAAUUAAGCCCCUGGUUUAAACUGUAAUUUCUCCUGCAUUUCGGCGCCUUUUACAAGUUAGUCCUUGGACUUUAAUCUGUUGCAAUCGUGCCCUAAUUAACCCCAAACUUUGCUAUUUCUUCAAUUAAGUCCCUAAGUUCAUUAAUUUAAUUCAAUCCAAGUCCAAUUAAGUCUCAAAACUUAUCAAUUAUCCAAUUAAGCCCCUGAUUGGAUUAAUUAAAUUAAUUCCAAGAUUAAAUAAGUCUCAAAACGUAUCAAUUUUCCAAUUAAACCCUUGAUUGGAUGAAUUAAAUUAAUUUCAAGCUUACUUAAGUCUCAAAACUUAUCAAUUCUUCAAUUAAAUCCUUGAUUGGAUUUAAUUAAAUUAAUUCCAAGUUUAAUUAAGUCUUAAAACUUAUCAAUUCUCUAAUUAAACCCUUGAUUUGAUUAAUUAAACAAGUAAAAAAUUUAAUUUAAAUCUUUAAACUUCCAAUCAUGUUACCCUUAACCCAAAUUUUAAUUCAUUCUUCAUUUAUUUCAUUUUUAUUAUUUAUUUUUCAUCAUCAUUAUUAUAUUUUUUUUCAUUAUUUUUCUUUUUAUCAUUUUCCAGUAAAUAAAAUAAUAAUAAUAAUUAAAAUAAAAUGGUCAAAAAUUGGGUUAUGACAACAUCUAUGGAAAUUCAAUCAUUUAAAAAAAUUCGGCAGCACCUCCCCUGUACUGAAGACUACCCACAAUUUAUAAACCUGCAAUCUUUACAAUAACCACAAUCCAAUUGACUCCAGCAACAUAAUAUAUACAACCUAACAUCUAUGAAAAUUCAAUCAUUUAAAAAAAUUCGACAGCACCUCCUAUAUAUUAGAGACUAUCUACAGUUUUCAUACCUACAAAUAUUAAUAAUUACACAAAUAUUGCAAAAUCAACUCUAUACAACCUAACAUAUAUAUACAACCUAACAUCUAUAGAAAUUCAACAUCUAUAUUUUUUCAACUAACAUCAAUAGAAAUUCAUAAAUAACAAUUAAAAUUAAUCAAAAUAAUAAACAACAUAACAAACAAUAAUAUCCUAAAAUUAAGAUAAACUAAUUAAACUUAAUUCUAUAUUUCAAUUAACAUUUUAAAUAUAAAUUCAACAACAAUAAUUAUUGCAAAACAAACAAUAAUAUCCUAAAAUUAAGAUAAACUAAUUAAAUUUAAUUCUAUAUUUCAAUUAAUAUUUUAAACAUAAAUUCAAUAACAACAAUUAUUGCAAAACAAACAAUAAUAUCCUAAAAUUAAGAUAAACUAAUUAAAUUUAAUUCUAUAUUUCAAUUAACAUUUUAAACAUAAAUUCUUAAAAUCUAUUGUUUUUUUUCAAUAUUAAUAAUAUUUUUUUUUCAAAUUUAUUUAUUAUUUUAUUAAUAAUAUUAAUUAUAAUUAAAAUAAUAAUAUUUAUAAGACAAAUAAUAAUAUUUUUAUUAUAAUAAAAAUAAUAAUAUUUAUAACACAAAUUAUAAUAUUUUUAAUAUUAAUACCUACAAUAAUAAUAAAAUAAUAAUAUUUAUAAGACAAAUUAUAUUAUUUUUCAUAUUAAUACUUUUAAUUAUAAUAAAAAUAAUAAUAUUUAAAAUACAAAUAAUUAUAUUUAGAAAGCUAAGACCCAAGAAGGAUCCAAUAGAAUUGGGUCCUGACGCAAGACCUAUUAAGUUUGGGUCCUGACGCCGGACCUAAGACAAUCGGGUUCUGAUGCUGGAUUCAAGAGAAUUUGGUCCUGACGCAUGACCCAUUACCCUUAGGUCCUAACACAGGACCCAAGCGAAUUGGGUCCUGACGCAGGACCCAUUAGAGUUGGGGUCCUAGGGCAGGAUUUAAGAGCAUUGAGUUCUAACGCAAACCAAUUACCAUUGGAUCCUAGUGCACGACCCAAGUGAAUUGUGUCCUGAGACAGGACCUAUUAGACUUGGACCCUUAGGCAGGAGCCAAGAGCAUUGGGUCCUGGCGCAUUUGAAAUAAAAUAUUAUUACCACCAAAGAAAAACCAUAUAGUUGAUUUGAAGGAUAAAAUUAAAAAUUAAAAUAGUAUUAUUUGUGUUAUAAAUAUUAAUAUUUUUAUUAUAGUUCAAAGUAUUAAUAUAAAAAAUAUUAUUAUUUGUGUUACGAAGAUUAUUAUUUUUAUUAUCAUUGAAAGUAUUAAUAUUAAAAAUAAUAUUAUUUGUGGUAUGAAUAUUAUUAUUUGCGGUACAAAUAUUUUUAUUUUUAUUAUAAUUGAAAGUAUUAAUAUUCAAAAUAGUAUUAUUUGUGUUCUAAAUAUUAUUAUUUUUAUUAUAAUUCAAAGUAUUAAUAUAAAAAAUGCUCUUAUUUGGGGUAUAAAUAUUAUUAUUUUUAUUAUAAUUGAACUAAUAAUAUUUAGAAUAUAAAUUAUAAUAUGUUUGAUAUUAAUACUUUCAACUAUAAUAAAAAUAAUAAUAUUUAUACCCCAAAUAAUUAUAUUUAGAAACUUAAGACCCAAUAACCUAGGGUCUUGAUGCAGAACCCAUCAGCCUUGGAUCCCGACGCCGGACCACAGAGCAUUGGUCCUGUUGCAGGAUCUAAGAGUACUGGGUCUGGACGCAGGACCCAAGAGAACUGGUCCUGAUGCAGGACCCAUGAGCCUUAGGUCCCGACGCCGGACCACAGAGCACUGGUCCUGUUGCAGGAUCCAAGAGUACUGGGUCCGGACGCAGGACCCAAGAGAACUGGUCCUGAUGCAGGACCCAUGAGCCUUGGGUCUUGACGGGGACCCAAGAGAAUUGGAUCCUGACGCUGGACCCAUGAGCUUUGGGUCUCACUAGGGUUCGCGCUGACCCAGCACACAAGCAGGGAAGCCCGAGCGUAAGGUGUCCCCAUGUGGCGCGCGGGUCUGGCUCAGCGCCUAGGGCUUGCCAGCCCUAGCGCCAGGUGUUCGCAUCCCAAGGCUUGUAGCCCCACCAAAACUGGAACUGACCAUUUUCUCCCCAACCAUCCCUUCAAUGCCAAAUAUAUCCCAGUGAGAAGACAACCCCACCCCUCCCCUGCUGUCCUUGCAAAUCUAUGUGGCAAGGGCAACUUUGUCAUUACACUACUUUAAUCCACAAUAUUUUGUAUCUAGAUAAAUAGUAACAAGGGCACUGAACCUUUUUAGUAUAACAAGGAGAUUUCAAGAAGUAGUUAAAUUUAGGUUAUAUUAGAUACGACUUUUGUAAAUUGAUUUAAUUUAUUUUUUACUUUUGAUUUUAAUUUAUUUUGAAGUAUGUUAGUUAGAAUAGCUACCAGAUUAGGCAUGUAACUUAUGAAAGGGUUUGCAAGCAGAAAACAAUUAGAAAUCAGAGGAAGAUUUAGAGGAUAUAAUAUUUAGGAUCUCUAGCAAAAGCCAGCAAGGUAUCUGCUCGAAAAAACCAUUCAACAUGAGAUUGCUCUGCUAGGAAAACAUGAUAUCAGUAUCAAACUUUUGAACAAUUAGUACAGCAUCAAGUCUCAGUCAUCUUGAAAUAUAUCGACAUCAGCAUACAAAAACAUUUAUUCUGCAUUGCCAGGCCCAUUUCCAAAACCACAUAAGCAUAUGCAAUAGAAACAGAGCAUCAAACUGACAGAGAAAACAUAGUGAUGCAGCAAAUACCCAAGUCGUAGAGCCAUUAAUUUGAGCAGAAAGGAGAAUGAAAGUCCACACAUUCUUCUUCUUUCCACCCAUUAUCUCGGGUCCACUCUCUAUUAGUGCUUGAAUCCUCAGCUACUUCAGAUACCUGUAAACCAAUUCAAGCAUGGCAUACAUAUUUUAACUUCUAAAUCUUAUUAUUGAGCGAAACAAGAAACAAACACACAAAAAGAGAAGCAACAAAUCAAGACAACUCAGCAGCACCUCUGAUUGAGCUCUUAUUGAACCAUUUGGUGUAGUAGCAAAUUUUGUGAUCAGCUUUGGGCAUUCAAACACCUUCAACUUCUCUAAAUGAGGGAAUAAGAAAUCAUAACAUCCGAGACUGAAGCAUACAAUACUUGAUAAUUGUUCUAGCAACAGCACCUGCAGAUUCGGGAGCUCCAUCACCUUCUCAACAUUGACAGGUAAAGCAUUCUCUUCCUGUCCAAAUACUCCCAAUAAUUGAGAAGCUUCUCUUACUUUCAGUAUUUGGAGAUUUGGGAGACCUGAAGCCAUGCCUACUGGGAAGAGACAUUUCAACUUGUUGCAUUUUCUGACAUCAAUUUCACAUAAAUUGGGGAAGCAUAAAGAUUGAAGAUGAUCUCCUGGCACUAUCUGAUCCUUUCCAUCAUCAUUAUCCCUAGCAAUGAUUUGCUCUAAUUCCUCACAACUUUCUAUGUUUAGAAAAUUCAGUUGAACUAGACUAGCAAUCAUGCUGUCUGAGAAUACAUGUGUUAGUCUCUUACACUCAUACACCACCAAAGUAGUCAAAUUGCUCAGCACGAGACCCUUCCACAAACACCUCAUGUCAGGCACAAGCAGGGAGCCCAAGCGCAAUGUUUUCAAACUUGUUAACUCCUACAUCAAAAGACAACAAUGGCACUAAUUUGUUAGAUAUAAUUCCUAGUAUGUUUUGGUAAAUAGAUGAAUCAGUUAUCAACAAAAGGAUACAAGUAGACAUGGCAAAAGGGCAUUGGAAUAUGAAAUCAUAAGUUGCAAGACUGAAAUAGACAACUCAAUAUUAGCAAAUGGAGGUUUAUCGUCCUAUCCAAAUACUUUCAUUAAUUGGGGGAAGAGCCUCAAUUUCACUCAAACUGGGAAAGCAUAAAUCAAGGUAGGAUUUCAUUACAAUAAUUAAUUUCUUACUUCUUAAGCCCUGCGUCAAGAGACAGGGAAUGAUACAGUUAGACAACUCCUUUUAAAUUUAGUGGAUGGCUAAAGGAUUUAUCUCCACUUAUAAAUUACUUCAGUUUUAGAAAUUUGGAGGAAGAAACACAGUGUAUUGAAGUUGACAAUUUAAAAUAAAAAGCAAAAAAAUUAUUGGAGAAAUAUAAAGGACGCACUUGAAGCUUUGCCAACAAAUUACCCAAUUCUUCAUGGCCAUCAAUGAUUAGACAUUGCAAAGAAGGCAAUUGGGCAGCAAAAUUCUUAGGGCCAAAAAAGCUGAAAUUUGAUCUGGAAGAAAGAGACAAUUUUCUUAGUCGAGGGAACUUGAUGAUGCCAUCUGUGGUGAGUGCAUCUCCUUCUCCACUGUAAAAUAUUUGCUUUAAAUUAUGAGCAUAAAAAAUCCCCAUCUCUUCCAGGUUCAGAAGACUCGGAGACACAGAGACAGGGAAGACAUAUUCCAGUUUACCACACUCUUCUAUGAAGAUAGUUUUUAAUCUUGGGAAGCGAAGAGACUCUGAAAUUAUUUCCCUUUCAUCAUCCUUUUCUCUGAUAAUAUGCUUCAAUUCACCGCAAUAUCAUAUGUCAAGGGUUGCUAGCUUUGGCAGACUUUGAGCCAGGGAUGGUGUGAAGAUAAAUGUCAGUUUGUCGAGAGAAUUCAAAUUCAGAUGAACAAGAUUUUGGAGGCUGACAUGCCUAGUAGCCCCUUCCAUAUACAUCUGAGCUCAGGUAAGUCGAUCAGCAGUAACGUUGUUAAAGAUGACAGUAGCGACAGCUCCUUCUCCUCAUUGCUUUCUUCAUCCACCUCACCCAAUUCAAAUACCUCUUCCAAUGAUUUACAGCUCUCAAUAUCCACACUACUUAGAUUUUUCAAAGCUUGCAGCAAUUUUGCUGGAAAAGGAGUGCGAACAUCCCCACAAUCGUUCACUUCUACAAAUCUUAAUCUUUGUAAGAAGCCCUUUUGCUGUAUAAAUAUUAUAUUUUUUAAACCCUUCACUCUCAUAAAAACAAUUUAUAUGAUGCAUAAAUAGGAAAAAAAUUUUAUAAAGUACGUACUUGUAGCUGUGCCAACCAAUUACCCAAUUCUUUGCGGCCAUGAAUGGUUAGUUUUUGCAAAGAAGGCAAUUGGACAGCAAAAUUCCGUGGACCUAAAAAGCUGUAAUUUGAUCCGAGCCGAAGAGACAAUUCUUUUAGUUGAGGGAACUUGAUGAUGUCAUCUCUGGUAAGUGCAUCUCCUUCUCCACCGUAAAAUAUUUGCUUUAAAUUGUCAGCAUAAUAAAUCGUCAUCUGUUCCAGGUUCGGAAGACUUGGAGACACAGAGACUGGGAAGACAUAUUCCAGUUUACCACAUCCUGAUACAAGGAGAGUUUUUAAUUUUGGGAAGCCUGGAGACUCUGGAAUUAUCUCCCUUUCACCAUCCUGUUCUCUGAUAAUAUGCUUCAAUUCACCGCAUUUUUCUAUCUCAAGUGUUUCUAGCUGUGGUAGACUUUGAGCGAGGGACGGUGUGAAGAUAAAUGUCAGUUUGUCGAGAGACCAAACCUUCAGAUGAGCAAGACUUUGGAGGCUGACAUGUCUGGUGGCCCCCUUCCAUAUGCAUUUGAGCUCAGGUAACCCUUGCAGCUCUAACAUUGUUAAAGAUGAUAGCAGCGGCAUCUCUUUCUCCUCAUUGCUUUCUUCAUCAACCUCACCCAAUUCAAAUACCUCUUCCAAUGAUUUGCAGCUGUCAAUAAUCACCUUCUUUAGAUGUUUCAAAGCUUGCCGCAAUUUUGCUGGAAACAGAGUGCAAAUAUCCCCACAACGCUGCACUUGUACGAAUUCUAAUCUCUGUAAGAAGCCCUUUUGGAGCUCAUGGCCAUGGUUGGUCAUGUGAUCAGAGUGCAAUUCUAUAUUUUUUAAACCCUCUAAACUCGUAAAAAUAAUUUGGGACACCGUAGGAAACAACAGCUCAAAUGUCAUCACAUUUAAGGAUGUGGCGCUUGUACCAGCCAAAUUUAAUCUUGUCGAGGUUGGGUAUCCUCCUGCAUCAAACCGAUUCCCUAAUACUAUAUCAUAUUUGUGCAAGCUAGGAAAAACAAAAUCUCUGGGAAUGCAUUCCACCUUCGGUAUCCUUAAUGAUAAUACAGCUAACUGAGACAACGAAUUUAGUUCUUUUAGGCUUGCAUUCAUUCCUCCUGUGCUGUCACAUCCAACAACAUCCCAUUCCUCAAAGCUGCCAUCCCCGAUCAACAAUUCUUCUAACUUCUUCAACCUUCCAAUCAAAUUCACAGGAAUCCUACUGAGCCUUUCACAACCUGUCACAUCCAACAACCUUAACUCCUUGAGCUCUCCUAUUUCAUCAGGUAAUUCUUCAAUGGAUAAGCACCACAUAAGACCAAGAAUCUUAAGUCUCUGCAGCUUUCUCAACCAAAUGAGGUCCUUGCAUCCACACAUGAUCAACACCAAAGAUUGAAGUUUCGUUGAUAGUUCAAGUGAUUGCAAUGACAAACGCCCUCCGUUCAGAGACAAAACUUCAAUUUCUCUUAUCCCUUCAAAAAACCUCUGAGGAACAUUCAAACCAUAAUCCACUUCUAAUAAUAGAACUUUGAGCUUUGGACAUACCAAUCCUUCAGGAAGUUCUGCUAGUUUAUUGCCCAUUAACGAAAUUGUUGUACAACCUUCAAAGCUUGUAUUGCUCAUUGGCCACUUCUGCAACCCAAUGCCAGCCUUUACCAUGAAUCCAUAUUCUUCUGAUGAUGCUAUCUGAAUAGCAAAGUCAUGCAUUUUCACAUGUUCUCCAGUUUCAGUGCCCAACAGCAUGCAACAAUCUUUGAGGUUUUCGAUUGCCACAAAAACUCGUUUCCUUGCAUCUUCGAUGGGCUCCGCAUCUUGAUGUAACCCAUAGCCAACUGCAUAUCUCAUCAAGUCCUCGAUUGGAAUAUCAUAGUCUUCUGGAAAUAAACAGCAUAGCACGAAACAUGACUUGGUUUCCUCGAACUUCAAAUAAUCAUAGCUCAACUUAAGACAUGUAUAAGCAUUUUUUUGUUUGUCAAUUUGUUCCAUGCGCGGAAAUUGAGAGUCUUUGAGCUGUUUAGACGCUACUUCCCACUGAACUAGAGAUUUAUCUCUUAGAGCCCUUCCCACUGUCACAAGUGCUAUAGGCAAGCCAUGGCAUUCUCUCGCAACCUCCCUUGCCACUGUGUUCAAGGUAGAGUCCCCAUCACGUAAACCUGCAUUGAUUCUGAAUAAAGCCAAUGCUUCAUCUUCAGAUAAGACUCUUAAAAACACUUUUUGCUGGCACUCCAUAGAAGAACAUAUGUGUUCAAAACGUGUUGUUAGAAGAAUUUUACAACCCCUGUGAUCAUCACCAAAUGGGAUCCCUAUCUCUUUCAAGUCAAUAUCUUCCCAAACAUCAUCUAGGAUUAUAAGCAUCUUCUCCACUUCCUUCAGUCUAUGCCUUAAUCGAUCUGCUCUCCCUUCUCUACUCUUUUCUUUAAUAUCCAGACGUAACUUAUCUGCCAUUCGAUCCUGGAUGUCUGUGACAUUUGGAUUCUGGGACACCGUAGCCAUCAAAACUUCAGGAAAAAGCUGCAACUCUUUGGCUCUCCUGCCUACUUCUUUCACCAGGGUGGUUUUACCCACUCCUCCCAUGCCGUACAGUCCGAUCAUAUUGACACUGUCAUCUUUGAGAGCUUUCAUAAUCUGUUCCAAAGCUUCUUUUGAUGAUUCUGAGGGCGUGAAUUCCUUUGAUGGAAGAAAUUCUAUGGGCUGAAGAUGAGCUUUGUGGGACACCGUUUUAAACUUUUCGCUAAUUUCUUCAAGUUUUCUGAGAGUCUCCGACUUAUUGGCCAGUGCCUUGCUUAACUUGAAUUGUCGCAUGCAGUUUGGACACCAAGUAAAGCAUUUGCCAUUUUUUCCUAUUUCAUUUUCCAAAGGCUUCACACCUUCAAUCUCGUUGUUUGCAUCUUCCAGCCACUUUUUGACAACUUUUUCAAUUUCUUCAGCAUUCGUUUUAGCAUCUUCGACAAUAUUUUGCAGACGUUCUUUUGCCGAAUACAGAUUCUCCUUUCGUUCUUUGAAUUCUUCAACAAAAUUGUUGAAACAGAACAUGUAACGGAACUGCCUUCCUACUGGUUCCACCAUGAGUUCUGCUAUCUUAGAUAUAAUGGAUCCACCCACACUUUCGAUAGCCAUUUUCCACCACUCUGAAAAUCAGAGAAAUAAGGAUACAGAACGCGAGAGUGAGUCACUACAAGUAAAAGAGGCACAGAGAAUGAGAAAAGGAAUUUUAUUACCUUAUUUUGGGAAAAUAUGUGCGAAAAGCACUGGUACUGAUUGCUCAAUGAAAUAGCGGGAGGAAGAAAAGGAGAAGGCCUUUAGCUCUGUAUGGAAUCCAGCUUCAAAAGCAACAAGGCAAGGUAUGAUCUAAGACGAAUGAAAGGUUCAGGAUAAUCACUUAGACGCCUCCAUGGGUGAUACCAGCUCGCUUCCAACAACAAAUGUAAUUAAUCUAAGCUAUGAGCGGUCAAUGUUUUUUUUAGUUUAGUUUUGUUUUUUUUCUUAAAAAACAGAUCAACAAGGGAAAAAACUUGCAAAGAAGUACAAUUACUGGAACGAACUCAACAAAGGAUCAAACUCAAGCAAUUAAAAGUAAUUGUCUCAUCUCUGUGUCACACACUCAAAGAAUUUCAUUACCUUAUUUUGGGAAAAUAUGUGCGAAAAGCACUGGUACUGAUUGCUCAAAGAAAUAGAGAAGGCCUUUAGCUCUGUAUGGAAUCCAGCUUCAAAAGCGACAAGGCAAGGUAUAAGCAUUUUGAUGACAUAAUUAAGAUAACAUGCGUAGUAAUAUAAAGAAAAUGACAAACAAAUAAAAAAAAAUAAUGUGUACAAGCAAGAAACGAAUGAAAGGUUCAGGAUAAUCACUUAGACGCCAUGGAUGAUACCAGCUCGCUUCCAGUAACACAUAUAUUUAACCUAAGCUAUGAUCGGUCAAAAAAAUAUUUAGGUUUCUUUUUUUUAUAUAUAAAAAAAUACAGAUCAACAAGGGGAAAAAAAAAAGAAAAGACUUGCAAAGAAGUAGAAUUACUGGAAUGAACUCAACGAAGGAUCAAACUCAAGCAAUUAAAAGUAAUUGUCUCAUCUCUGUGUCACACACUAAAGGAAGGAGAGAAAAGAAGGGGAUGGGAUCACGGCAAGAAAGAAGGAGAAAGAAAGGAAUGAGACAAAGAAGGAAGAAAGUAAGGUCACGUAGGGGCCAGUCUUGUAGAAAGUUUGAGAAUUAGAAUGAAAAAGAGGAUAAUAAAGUAGUUCACUUGUCAGAAUCAAAACACAUAAACAUAGGACAAAAACAGGGAGAGAGGCUAUUUGUGUUUUUUAACUGUGUUAGAGUGUAUUUUAUAAUUAUAUUUAAUUUAUAGAAAUAUUAAAUUAAAAGUUUUUAAUAUUUUUUGAUAUUUUUUAAAAAUAUAAAAUAUUAUUUUAAUAUAUUUUGAAAUAAAAAACAUUUCACAAUACCAAAUUAUAGUAUAAAUUUAAAGAGAAAUUGAUUUUCUUGUUCAUUAAUGUUUACUCAGACUCAUUUUACUAUGAAUAUUAAUUAUGGGUUUAUUGAAAAUUUUCAAUUUGAUACUUAAGUUUUUUUUCUAUAAUUGAGCCCUUUUGAGCUCAUUUGCAUAUUUUUUUAAGGAUAAGGGUUAAAAUGAAAGAUAGAGAACUAAAAUGAAAAACUAGGCUAAAAUAGGUGGCGGCUCUAUAAUUUGUUUGCAAAGUUCAUUUUAGUCCUCUAUCUUUUUAAACUAUUAAGUAACCAGUUCUUAUAAUUUUUAAACAUUGCAUUUUGGUAUAAAAUUUUAUUUUCCUCCUUUUUUUAGUUUUUUUUUUUUAGAGGAAAGAGAGAGGGUCGCCAGAUUUCAUCUUAGAGAGAAAACGUUGUAGUUGGGGAAGAUUUUGGCCCCUAAAACAUAUGUUGCUUGAUUUUUAAUUGAGUCUAAGUGGUUUUUAUAAUUAUAUUUAAUUUAUAAAAAUGUUAAAUUAAUAUAUUUUUAGUGUUUUUUUGUGAUUUAAAAAAAUAUAAAAUUAUUUUAUUAUGUUUUUAAUAAAAAAUAUUUUUAAAAAGCAUGUGUCCCAAUACCGAAUUAUUAUAAUUAUAAUAUAAACUAAAAGACACAGUCUUUUAGUUUGGCCUUUGACUUAUAGCACCGUGAAUUAGAACAACGUUAUCAUGUCCUAACCAUAGUUAUUAAACCCGAUCCAGAGGUUGACCUGGCCAAGGUGCCGGGUCCUGAGUUUCAUGGGUCAACCCGGAAAAAAAAAUAAAAAUUAAAGUUUUAAUAUUUUAUAUGAAAAAUUAAGAAAAAAUACAUGUAAAUAUAUGCUAUACAUAUUGUAAAUAAUGAAAUUUAAAAGAAUAUUUUAAAAAGUUUUUUUAUCUCACAUUAAAAAGAUAUUAUGUUAGGCUUUUAAGUUGAAAUAUUUAAACCAAAAAAGUUUUUUAUCUCACAUUGAAAAAAAUAUAACUUUUUUCUUGGAAACAUAGAGUAUAUAUAUUAUAAUACUAAUGGGUUUUAAAUCCCACAUUGAAAAAACAUAGUUUUUUUCUUGUGAACAUAACAUAGUUUUUUUCUUGUGAACAUAGAAUAUAUAUACUAAUGGGUUUCAAAUCCCACAUUGAAAAAAGAUAACUUUUUUCUUGGGAAUAUAGAGUAUAUUUACUAUAAUACUAAUGGGUUUUAAAUCCCACAUUAAAAAGAUACUAUGUUAUCCUUUUAAGUUGAAGUAUUUAAACUAAAAGGUUUUUUUAUCCCACAUUGAAAAAACAUAACUUUUUUUUUUGAAACAUAAUAUAUACUAAUGGGUUUAAAAUCUCACAUUUGAAAAAAAAACACCGGGUCUCGCCCCGGUUGACCCGCCAGGUCGAUCAAGUUUGGUCAGGUCAUUGCAUCGGCCGGUCUUUUGACAAACAUGGACCGGUUCAGCCCCCAGGUCAACCCGCCAGUCCGUUCAGGUUUAAUAACUAUAGUCCUAACUGACACGAUCAAAGAGUUGAUGUCUUAUCCCAAGUGCAAGAGUGUCAAAGUAAUAAAUAACCCGUCAAGACCGGGGUCGAACCACAAGGAGGUGAAUUAUAUAAAUUAUAAUAAUAAUAAUAAUAAUAAUAAUAAGAACAACAACAACAAUGAUGAUGAUGAUGAACAACAACAGGACUUUGAGAUGUAAGAUAAAUGUGAAGAUUAAAUAAUGAUAAAAACAAAUGUCAAGGUUAGAGGAUCCACUAAUAGUAUUAGAGAUAAGUAAAGUAUAAACUCUUUAUAAAUUAUCAACACGAUCAUAUCAAUCAUCUUAUUUACGUAACACCAUAUUUGUCGCACGUCAGAAAAUUCGUGCGGCAUCGGCUUGCAAUUUUAUCGUUGUUAUGCGUUGAUUUAGGGUCUUAGGAGUCGCCACCUAGUAAUUUAUAGAAGGCUACUAGGAAACCGGAUGAACUGGUCUUGUCAGAGAUUCACGAGUAAGAGACUGGUUGUGGUUAGAGAAGGUAUUAGCACCCCUAACACACCCUACCUGAGGUAAGCUGCUUCGUGGACUUGAUGUGUUAAAGAAGUUUUAAAAAUUCUGUUCUUUCAUUGAAUUUUAGAAAUACGACUUCCAUGUAAGUUCAUAAUUCUUUAUCCGUGAGCAAAUCAAAAUAUUAAAUUCUUCUUUAAUCUUUGCAAUUUUAUCAUAAAUAAAAAAAAAAACAUCCAUAACAAAAAAUAUAAACACACACAUACACCUUCACUGUAUUUUUUCUCUUUUCUUUUCUUUUCUUUUUGUUUUUACAUCCACAAUACAAAAUACAAUUUCAAAAGAACAAACUAAACCAAAAUUACAAUAAUAACCCCAAAACAAUCUGGAAUUUACAGGGAACACCUUCUGCAUCACCAGAACAGUGUCAGGCAGACUUCUGGAGCUGCAAGAACAGUGGUCGCACGUCUCCUCCACUCGCCACCGUGGCUGGUGGCGCGUGGGUUCACGCGCCGCCGCUGACAAUGCCCGAAAAUGGGCGGAUCUGCCCUGCUUUCUUCUUCCCUUCCCUUCUCUGCUGGCUGUGAGAACCACCGUUACCUGCAAAGGGGGAAAAAUAAACACAAUGCAAAGCUUCCGAUCCUCUCCUUUUUUAGAUCUACUAUCUUCUGUCUUCUCUUUCGGGUUUUCUGUUCUUCCCUUCUUCAGGUGGCAGGUCUGCCGGCUUCUUCUCCCCUUCCCCUCUGCAUCAGCGGUGGCUAGUGAGGAUGGAGACUGGCUGCUGUGGUCGGGUCUGUUCGUUGACCCGGAGAGGGAGGCCGAUGGGUCGGCUGAGAGAGGAGAGGAGGUGUUCCCGGGCGUGGAUGCUGCUGGAUGCUCUUCACUCCUGUUGGUGGCAGCAAUGGUUGGCCUUGCUGCUGUUGUCCGGCUGUCACUGGAGGCUGGUUGAUGGAGACCUGUGAGAUGGCCGGGGAGGGAGGCCGAUGGAAGGGAACAGUUGGGAUGGAGAGGGACGGCACUGCUGCUGUUCAGCCGCUGCUGGGGCCGAAUGGAGGAGAGACCUGGCGAUGGAAAUGAGAGAGUGAGGGGAUCCUGUUCUGUCAAAGAGAGGGGCGAGUGAAAGGGAGAUGAGGGAAAUGCAGAGGAGGCUGCUCUGGCUUGGGAAAAGAAGUUGGAAAUGAGGGCUAUCUGUUGAUGACCGGGCUGUGGGAGAAGGAAGAAAAAUGAGUGCUAGUCUUGGGAGAUGUGGAAACGGUGGGUGUUGUCUGUGAAGGGGAGGCUGGUCUGGGUGUGUGGGGGCUGUGGCUGAGGGGAAGGAACGGUGAUCAAGGGGGAGGGGGCUGGACUAUGGCCGGCUGUCACUGGUUGAAGGAAGGCCUGUGGGAAAGCUGGAGAGGCAGAGAGGGAAGAAGAAACCGAAGGGAAAACUUGGGGAAAGGGGAGCAGCGGCUUGUGUGAAGGAAAAUGGAGUGGGCAGCUGUUGUAAAAAUGAAUGGGGUUUUGUGUUGUUGGCUGGCCAAGGAGAAGAAAAUGGGAGGAACGGCGUGGAGAGGAAAACCAAAAACAUGGGGGGCCUGUGUUGUUGGCUAGAAAAUGGGGGAGGGCUGGCGGCUUGGAGAAGAUGAGAUAGGUUUAGGGUUUCUCUUCCCCUCUUCUGAUGUUGUCAAAAUUCUCCCCUGUUUGAGUUGUGGACCAGUAUUUAUAGAUAAAAUGUUGCAUGGAUCUAAAAAUUGAUCCCUCAACUUUUUUUAUUUUUUUUGUAAAUUUGAUUUUUCUUAAUUUUUUUGUAUUUUUUGAAAACGAGCAAUAUCAACGUCGACUCAAUGAAGAAAAUCAAUGAUUUUAAAAAUAACGCGUUGAAAGUUGAACGCGUUCCAAAUGUCUUUGAAAAUUUAAAUUCUUUUGAGACGAUGCUAAAAAAGAUGCAAAUGUAUUAAAAAUGUAUUUUUUGGAUUUUCAAUGUUUUUCGCUAUUUUUGGAUUUUUUCUGAAAAUUUAUCAAAACAUGGGUCAAAAAUUGGGUAGCAACAGAUGCCCCCUCUUUACAAUGCUUACGAAGCAAAACUCCUCAAUGUUUUGCAUAGUAAGCUUUGUAAAGAAAAACUUGUCUUUCUGUCACUCAAUAUCCACUCAUCUAAAGGCCUUGCUCUUUUUUUUUGUUCUCUCUUCCUUCUCUUUUCUUCCUCUUCUUUCUUCCUUUCUUUCUUUCUCUUUUUUUUUUUAUCUUGAGAUCCCAUCUGGCGAUCUCCUUUUCCAAAACCAAAGAAUAUGUGUAGCUCGGUCAACCUGAAAUCCCAUCUGGCGAUUUCCUUUAACCAAAGCUACAUGAGAUCCCAUCUGGCAACCUCAUUAAACCAAAACUAAAAAAAUGUGUGUGUAGUCUUAUUAUGACGGGUGACCUACCCAAAAUGAAAGAUGGUCUCAUUAUGACGGGUGACCUACCCAAAUACAAGAUGGUCUCAUUGUGAUGGGUGACCUACCCAAGUGGAAAAGGGAAAGAGUGGUCUCAUUUUUAUGGGUGACCUACCCAGGGGGAAGAAUGGCCUCAUUAUAAUGGGUGACCUACCCAAGUAAAAAAAUAAUGGAGAAUGAUCUCAUUCUAAUGGGUGACCUACCCAGAAAAAAUGGUAUCAUUGUGAUGGGUGACCUACCCAAGUGGAAAAGGGGAAGAGUGGUCUCAUUCUUAUGGGUGACCUACCCAGGGGGAAGAAUGACCUCAUUAUAAUGGGUGACCUACCUAAGUAAAAAAAUGGAGAAUGGUCUCAUUAUGACGGGUGACCUACCCAAAUACAAGAUGGUCUCAUUGUGAUGGGUGACCUACCCAAGUAGAAAAGGGGAAGAGUGGUCUCAUUCUUAUGGGUGACCUACCCAGGGGAAGAAUGGCCUCAUUAUAAUGGGUGACCUACCCAGAAAAAAAAAUGGAGAAUGGUCUCAUUCUAAUGGGUGACCUACCCAGAUGGAAGAUAGAAAAAAUAUGAAGUGGUCUCAUUGUAAUGGGUGACCUACCCAUAUGGAAGAUGAGAAAAAUGUGAAGUGGUCUCAUUAUUAUGGGUGACCUACCCAGGUGGAAGAUAGAAAAAAUGUGAAGUGGUCGCGUUAUAAUGGGUGACCUACCCAGGUGGAAGAUAGAAAAAAUGUGAAGUGGUCGCGUUAUAAUGGGUGACCUACCCAGGUGGAAGAUAGAAAAAAUGUGAAGUGGUCGCGUUAUAAUGGGUGACCUACCCAGGUGGAAUAUAGAAAAAAUGUGAAGUGGUCGCGUUAUAAUGGGUGACCUACCCAAGUGGAAAGAAUGUGAAGUGUGGUCUCAUUAUAAUGGAUGACCUACCCAGAUGGAAGAUAGAAAAAAUAUGAAGUGGUCGCGUUAUAAUGGGUGACCUACCCAAGUGGAAAGAAUGUGAAGUGUGGUCUCAUUAUAAUGGGUGACCUACCCAGAUGGAAGAUAGAAAAAAUAUGAAGUGGUCGCGUUAUAAUGGGUGACCUAUCCAAAGAAAAAGGAAAGAAUGUGAAAAACGGUCUCAUUAUGAUGGGUGACCUACCUAAAUGGAAAAAUGUGACUUACCUAGCAAAAAGACUUGGCAGGCGAAGUCCUGAUAGGAUAAGGCUGACAAACGGCGCUUCCUAAUUGCAAGGUUUACUUGAAGACUCCUCUUGAUGACGGGGUUAAUCUCCUCGUUUCUUUGAGAUUCUCCUACUGGCAGGGUUCAUCUCAUUCUCUUCUCGUUCCAGGAUCUAAACCGAUUCUUUGUCAUCAUCAACUCAAUGAUUCUUUCUUUGUCCACAACCUUGUUGAACUUCAUUGAGGAUCUUUCUGUAACAAAUCACAAGUAUGUGCAAUGCUUUGAGGUUAGAUGACAUGCAUGCAUCCUUACCUGAUGUGAAAUAUAGGUCCCCCCCUUUGAUGAUCCAUCGUCAUAGGGUGCCUUUGUUUGCUAACCAAAGCCUUCUUUGCUCUUCCCAUGUACUGACUCAUUCGUGUGCUAGCCAUCCACUCAAAUGUAAGUGCAGUGCCCAUCUCGGGCUGUCUACGACGAUUACUACUCUCAGUUGUUCUCAAUGUUGACCAUGCUUCCAAGCGUGGUGUUGCUCGAUUCAUCAUGAAGGAGUUGAACAAAUCAUCCAUCUCCUAGAUUCUCUCAAGAAUUGUCCUUUGAUUGGUUGUGCGUGUUUUGCCACUGCCGGUCAAGAGGUUUUCUAGUGUUUAACCUCAUUUUAGAUGGACUUGCCCCCAGUUGAAAUAACACUCUUCAAGUAUAUAUUAUCACCCGCCUUCUUGGAACUGCUAAGUCAUCCAGACAUGCCUCUCAUACUUUGCAGUAAAAGGCUAAUCAUUGUAAGCUCAAAGUUCUUCUCCAUAGAUUCCUCUCAGCUUGUCAAAUCAGAUCAGGAAAGGAAAUGCGUUGGCAUCAUCAAUGAUGUUCAUCACCCAUAUUCAUGCGGUGAAGUGUACAUUUGAGCUUCAAAGCAGAUGGUCCCACAGUCAGUCUUGGUGGGUGCAUCUUUCCAACAUUCAUUCAAAUGCAACUAUGCGAUAACAUCAUUCAAAAGUCAUAGCCAUGUUGGAGAUGAUAAACCAUGAUGAAGAUAUGAAAAUAUCCUUCAAAUGCAGCGUUGUUCAUCAAUUGCUGUUGAAGUUCACUAGAUCACAAACUGUCUUUGAACAAUAUUGCCCCCAGCAAUGAUUUGAAUGCUUGUUCAUCUGUCUAUAAUCAAGAAGUUUUUUUUUCUUUGUCAUUGCCAGAUGCUAAACAUAACUUCGAUGGACUUUGACGACUCAUCAUCUGAUUUUUUUUUUGCUUUGCCCUCAGCUGAUCUGAAUACUGCUUGUUUUCCUACCUAGGAUCCACUGUAUUGCCCCUAGGUGGUCAACUUUUCAAGGAGUGUCGAGAAAUGUUGAUGUCAUUCUUGUCAAGGAUUUUGCAAAUUCAAUCGAUGUUCUUCUUGUUUGACAAUCUUCCUUGUUCUGGAAUCAAAUCUCAUAUUUCAACGCUCAUGUCUAUUCAAAUCUAAUUGUUGAAAUGAAAUCAGAGAGAUGUCAAUUUUGAAAAGUAUUUUCUGGAAAUCAAGCUUGUUUGGUCAAAGAUCCAACACACGCUAUUCAAUGAAGUCCUUUAAUUGUCUUGUAUUUUGAAGACAGAAAUAACUCGUUGUAAGAUUAAAAUGACUUUUUUCGUGGUUCUUUGUGUCAAUUUUAAUCUUUGAUCUUAGGUAUAUCUUUUGAUGGCCUGCGAUGAGGUGACCUUCUGUGGAUUUCAAGAAACAAAAGGCUCAAGUCAAAACUUGAGGAUUCAUCAAGAAAGAUUGUUUUCUUUUUUAGCACCAAUUUUAUUAGCAUGCAUAAUAACAAGUAGCUUAAUCCAUGAAGUCACGACCCUUAUGGAAAAGCUCUUCAAGUUUUGAGAUCGUCAUUUAUCGGUUCAGAUUGCUUACUUGAUUAAAAAAAGGCUUUUUACAGCACGUAAUGCAUGCUAUGGUUCAUGGCUUAUGAAAGAAAGGAAAUUCACAGGCUCAAAAGGUGUUUGAGGGUUUUAAAGACCUAGGAUCAACAUCAAUUAUUCAUCAACUCCUUUUCUAUUGUUGUCUUUGUAGAGACGACAUAGAACCUUGUUAACCUCAAAGAUCAGACUUCUCUUAACAUAAGUCAUAAUGCAAAUCCACCUUUCCUUGAUGAAUAACCAACCUCAAUCAUCUGAUAACAUCAGAGGUUUUAUAAUGGAUAUCAAAAGUCACGUUUAUAGCUUAGUCUUUCUUCUGCUAUUGACUUUUGUUGUCUUUCCUUGAUGUCUUUCUUCUGCUAUUGACUUUUGUUGUCUUUCCUUGAUUGAAAUUUCUUUUGCCAAGACUUGAUAGACAUUCUCUUUCCUUUAUCUUUGACUUGCCUUUAAGUGAAGGCAAUUUCAACUUCUUUUUUUUUUUUUCAUAGCCUUCCUCAAAAUUUUCUUAUAUGCCCCCAGCCUAUGUGUUUUCUUUUAGCCCUCUCUCAAUCAUUGGACUUUUGUUCUAAGCCUUCCUUUUAUCCAUUAAUGUCUUCAAAAUAUCUCUCAUUGCCCCCAGUGUGGGGUGUGGUCCUAGUCAGGGUUUCUUUUUGAAAGAAAAUAUUUUACAAGGCUAAAAAAUGGGACUGCAAGGGAUAUAAUCUUUAGAAAGUGAAGGGAUAUCAAAGAUGACAUUUUCUCAUUUCAAGCAAGGUCGGUUAGAACCGAUAAAUUUUGACCUCAUCCAGUGUAAUGAUUGGGACUUGUAAGAAUAAUGAUUCACGAGUCCAUAACUAUCGAAUCCACUACAUGUCAUUAUGCAUACUGCUAAAACUUAGCUAUAUGAUGUUUUUUUCAGUUUCAGGAGGUAUGAGUUCAAAAUUGUUUGGUCACCUCAUGUCAUUUUCAAGAAUCAAGUCGUUUCUGCAAUCAAAAUAUUUUUAAUCUUCAGGAUUAAUUAAUCUUAAUCGUAUGUUCGAGCUUGAUCAAAAAUAUUUGUGUCAAAAUAGCCUUUGAAAGAAGCAUCGCUUGAUUUCAAAACAACAAGAAGACAAAGAGAAGACAUGUUUCGUUGAAGGGUGAGAUGUGAUCCCAAAACAAAAUGCAGAAUGCUAAAAUCCCAUAACAAAAAUGAUUGACAAUUUGACCCCUUCUUGGAUCACCUACUCUGGCGAUAUCUGUGUUUCACCGAGUCAAUUUCGAUCACUUGUCAUUCUGAGGAUGUUCUGGUGACAACAUGAUUGAUGACAUCAUCUUUCACAAACUCAGCUCGAUUCUUGAAACUCUUGUGUCUGUUCAACUGAAAUGGUUCACGAACCCUCCAUGAUAUUCACAUCUGGUUUGAAUUAUACCACGGUGGUUGCAUGCAAUUUGUCGAAGUCCGGGGCACUAAGUCUGGAAUCUGGCAGAUGCUAGUCGACAAACUUAAGUGGCAGAGGGAUGUCAAUCUUGGCAAAGACAUUUGAGCCAUUGAUGCUACAAUGAGACCUGGCUAAACCACAUAACUAUGGUUUUCCAUCUUCAGAGUCAUCUCCUUAUUCAACUCCCUUCACAGUUCUGAAAUCCACGGUAGAGCCUUCAAUCUUUCCCAUCUUGAUAGUUAGCUCUAUUCUUUUGGCAAUCCUCACAACAUCAUGUCAAUCUUCCAAUGUUGUUGCGGUUGUAUGAGAAUUGUUGGAACCCUCCACUAGCUAGGUAAUCUUGGCAGCAUACAGAAACAUGCAGUACCACCACUGCCGACGUGUGGAAUCACGCGUUGUCUCAACUGGAAGAGAACUUGAUGAAUCUAAAACUCCUUUGUCUCCUCUUUGAUUCCUCACUGACGGCGCAUCAAACAGACACCUGUAGAGGGAGUUCUGCUCCAUUGAAGUUUCAGUCUUAUUCCCGUUUUUCAGCCCACGUUUGUCUCUUCUCCCUACUUUUGUGUUUUAAUUCCAACACUGGUAGGAGAAAAUUGUAGACGAUCUGAAACUACUGCAUCCCUUCUUGGAUUCCUCACUUACAGAUCCACAAACAAAUCUCUAUAGAGAGAGCUCUGCCACAUAGAAGUUUGAUGUCUGCUUAUGUUUUUCAGACCAGGUAUGGCUUUUCAACCCACUACAGUGUCUUCGUACUGAAACUGGUGGCGUAAAUUUUCAUAUCUUCUGAAACUACUACAUCCCCUGUUCUGCUAGGAAAACAUGAUAUCAGUAUCUAACUUUUGAACAAAGAGUUCAGCAUCAAGUCUCAGUCAUCUUGAGAUUUGAAUGCCCAUAUAUAUUCACAUGCUCAUACAAUAACAUUUUUAAAAAUGCAUUAUGCAUUAGAAACAGAACAUCAAACAAAGAGUUCAGCAUCAAGUAGAACGCAUGAAAGUCCACACAUUAAACCAAAAGAAACACAAAUGGGCAAGCAAACAUACGCCCUUACUUCUGGAGGCUUGUACGAUAAUGACUACACACACAACAUUACAUUACUUCUAACUUCUUCAGCAAACACGUAGAUAGAUAAGUCGCAAUCUUCUAUGGUAAAUAAGACUGUUACAAUGUGAAGCCAAUUUGUAUCCCAUUGCCAAUGAAACAGUUGGAAUUAAUUACUUCCCACCCAUCUAAAACAUACUCGCAGCACCAUCCUUGAAAUCAUGUAACAGCUAACCAACCUUGCCUGAUGCAAACAUGAAGAACAAAGACAAUCCAUGAUUUAAUUCAACCAUUAAAAUUUGAAGGUAAAGGAGAGGAUAAAUAAUCUUCAGCUAUGUCACCUGGUUUGGGCAAGAAAGAAUUAUUAGACUAGCAAUCAUCAUCAUCAUCAUCUUCUUCUUCUUCUUCUUCUAUUUCUUUCCACCCAUUAUUUCUGGUCCACUGUCUAUUAAUGCUUGAAUAUUCAGCUACUUCAGAUACCUGUAAACCAAUUCAAGCAAGGCAUGCUCAUUUUAACUUGUAAAUCUUAUUAUUGAGCCAAACAAGAAACAAACACACUAAAAGAGAGGCAAGAAAUCGAGUCAAAUCAGCAGCACCUCUGAUUGAGCACUCAUUGAACCAUCUGGUGUACUAGCAAAUUUUGUGGUCAGCUUUGGACAUUGAUGGACCGUCAACUCCUCCAAACGAGGGAAUAAGAAAUAAUCACACCAUCCGAAACUAAAACGGACAAUACUUGAUAAUUGUUCUAGCGACAACUCCUUUAGAUUAGGAAGCACUAUCUCCUUCUCAACGUUGAUAGGUGAAGCUUGACCAUCCUGCCCAGGAGACUCUGGAAUUAUUUCCCUUUCACCAUCCUCUUCUCUGAUAAUAUGCUUCAAUUGACCGCAUUUACGUAUGUAAAGUAUUUCUAGCUGUGGUAGACUUCGAGCGAGGGACGGUGUGAAGAUAAAUGUCAGUUUGUCGAGAGAAUACAAAUCCAGAAUAUUUAGACUUUGGAGGCUGACAUGUCCGGUGGGCCAUAUGCAUUUGAGGUCAGGUAAAAUUUGCAGCUCUAACUCUGUUAAAGAUGACAGCAGCGGCAUCUCCUUCUCCUCAGUGCUUCCUUCAUCAGGCUCACCUAAUUCAAAUACCUCUUCCAGUGAUUUGCAGCACUCAAUUUUCACAGUGCUUAGAUUUUUCAGGGCUCGCAGCAAUUUUGCUGGAAACGGAGCACGAACAUCCCCACAAUCCCUCACUCGUACAAAUUCUAAUCUUUGUACGGAGCCGUUUUGCUGUUCAUGGGCGGCCAUCUGAUCAGAGAACAAUAUUAUAUUUUUUCACUCUCAUAAAAACAAUUUAUACGAUGUAUAAAUAGGAGAAAAAAAUAGAAAAAAGAGGAUUAAAUACUUUUUAGAGAUUACAUAUUAUUGUUUUAGUUUUGUUCUUAAUUAGAGAUAAGUUGAAUAAUAAUUAGAUGUUUGUGAAAAAAAGGUUAAUACAACUCCUAAUAAUUAGUUUCAUGUAAAAAAUAAAAAUAAAAAUAGUAACUAAGAUUUUUAUUUUAGUUAUAAAGUUAAUAAAUUUUUAAAGAUAUUUUAAUUGACUUCAAAAUUUUCAACACAAAAUUUAUGCUCUUAUAUAUUAAUGAUUUUUUUUGUGAAGUUAUUUGAUGUAAUUUGGUCUAAUUUUUAUCCAGAUAGAUUACCUCCAAAGUACCCUUCCAUAUACACCUCGUGUCAGGCACGGAGUCCAAGCUUAAUGUUUUCAAAUUUGUGAACCCCUGCAUCAAAAGAAAUUUUGUGCACUUUGGAAUUGUCCAUAUAAAACUUCAGCCAAAAACUUAUCAACAAAAGGAUAGAAGUAGACAUGGCAAUACGGCAUGGGAAUAUGAAAUCAUAAGUUUUUGAAGAUAUUUUAAUUGAAUUAAAUAUUUGAACACAAAAUAAGCUAAUAUGAUUUCUAUGAUUAAUUGUUGGCAUUAAGUUUCUUAUAUUUAUAUAUGCUUAGAUAAAACAAAAAAAUAAGCAGUGACGAAGAAAGAAUAAAUCUAACAGAUAAUAUAAAAGCUGCAGGACUGAAACGAACAACUCAAUAUUAGCAGAUGGAGGUUUAUCUUCCUCUUCAAAUACUUCCAUUAAUUGGGGGAAGAGCCUCAAUUUCACUCAAACUUGGAAAGCGUAAAGAUUGAAAAAUCUGGAUAUCAUUUCAUUACAAUAAUUAAUUUCUUACUUCUUAAGCCCUCCAUCAAGAGACAGGGAAUGAUACAGUUAGACAACUCCUUUUCAAUUUAAUGGAUGGCUAAAGGAUUCAUCUCCACUUAUCAAUUACUUCAGUUUCAGAAAUUUAAAGGAAGAAAUCAACAUGUAUUGAAGUUGACAAUUUAAAUUAAAAAGGAAAAAAAAAAAUUGGAGGAAUAUAAAGGACGUACCUGGAGCUGUGCAAAGAAAUUUUCCAAUUCUUUGUGGCCAUAGAUGGUUAGACUUUUCAAAGAAGGCAAUUGUGCAGCAAAAUUCUUUGGACCAAAAAAGCUGUAAUUUGAUCUGGAAGAAAGAUCCAAUUCACUUAGUUGAGGGAACUUGAUGAUGCCAUCUGUGGUGAGUGUAUCUCCUUCUCCACUAUAAAACAUUUGCUUUAAAUUGUCAGCAUCAGAAAUCGUCAUCUUUUCCAGGUUUAGAAGGCUUGGAUACACAGAGACAGGGAGGACAUAUUCCAGUUUACCACACUCUUUUAUGAUAAUUGUUUUUAAUAUUGGAAAGUAAGGAGACUCUUGAAUUAUCUCCCUUUCAUCAUCCUUUUCUCUGAUAAUAUGCUUCAAUUCACCGCAUUUACUUAUGCGAAGGCUUUCUAGCUUUGACAGACUGUAAGCAAGGGACGGUGUGAAGAUAAAUGUCAGUUUGUCGAGAUAAUUCAAAUCCAGAUGAGCAAGACUUUGGAAGCUGACAUUUCUGGUGGGCCCCUUCCAUAUGCAUUUGAGCUCAGGUAACCGGUACAGAUUUAACUCUGUUAAAGAUGGCAGAAGCGGCAGCUCCUUCUCCUCACUGCUUCCUUCAUCAGGCAGCUCACCUAAUUCAAAUACCUCUUCCAAUGAUUUGCAGUCCUUAAUUUCCACCUUCCUUAGAUUUUUCAGAUCUGGCAGCAAUUUUGCUGGAAACGGAGCCCCACAAUCGACCACGUGUACAGAUUCUAAUCUUUGUAAGAAGCCGUUUUGCUGUCCAUGGGCGGCCAUCUUAUCAGAGAACAAUAUUAUAUUUUUUCACUCUUGUAAAAACAAUUUAUAUGAUGUAUAAAUAGGAGAAAAACAUAGAAAAAACAGGAUUAAAUACUUCUUAGAGAUUACAUAUUAUUGUUUCAGUUUUUUUUUCUUAAUUAGAGAUAAGUUGAAUAAUAAUUAGAUUUUGGAGAAAAAAAGGUUAAUAACUCCUAAUAAUUAGUUUCAUGUAAAAAAUAAAAAUAAAAAUUGUAACCAAUAUUUUUAUUUUAGUUAUAAAGUUAAUAAAAUUUUAAAGAUAUUUUAAUUGAAUUAAAUAUUUGAACACAAAAUAAGCUAAUAUGAUUUCUAUGAUUAAUUGUUGGUAUUAAGUUUCUUAUAUUUAUAUAUGUUUAGAUAAAACAAAAAAAUAAGCAGUGACGAAGAAAGAAUAAAUCUAACAGAUAAUAUAAAUUACGUAAACCAUGAGGCAGUUAAAUCUAACAGAUAAUAUAUUUCAAAUGAGGCAGUUAAAUCUAACAGAUAAUAUGUUCUUCCAUAUGAUUAAUUUUUAAUAAGGCAGACAACAAUGAGGCAGUUAAGUUUCUUAUAUUUAUAUAUGUUUACAUAAAAAAAUAAAAAUAAGCAUUUAUCAAUUACUUUACUUUUAGAAAUUGGGAGGAAGAAAGAACAAAUUAUCGCAAUUGACAAUUUAAAUUAAGUGGAGAAAUAUAAAUUACGUACUUGUAGCUGUGCCAACCAAUUACCCACUUCUUCGUGGCCUUCAAUGGUUAAUUCUUGCAAAGGCAAUUGAGCAUCAAAAUUCCUUGGACCUAAAAAGCUGUAAUUUGAUCUGAGCACAAGAGACAAUUUUCUUAGUUGAGGGAACUUGAUGAUGCCAUCUCUGUUAUGAGACAAAGAGACUGGGAAGACAUAUUCCAGUUUACCACAGUAAGCUACAUGGAGAGUUUCUAAUUCUGGGAAGCAAGGAGACUGUGGAAUUAUUUCCCUUUCACCAUCCUCUUCUCUGAUAAUAUGCUUCAAUUCACGGCAAGCAAUUAUGGAAAGUCUAUCUAGCUUUGGCAGACUGUAAGCAAGGGACGGUGUGAAGAUAAAUGUCAGUUUGUCGAGAGCAUACAACUCCAGAUUAAUAAGACUUUGGAGGUUGACAUGUCUGGUGGGCCCCUUCCAUAUGCAUUUUAGCUCAGGUAAUAUUUUCAGCUUUAACUCUGUUAAAGAUGACAGCAGCGGCAUCUCCUUCUCCUCACUGCUUCCUUCAUCAGCCUCACCCAAUUCAAAUACCUCUUUCAAUGAUUUACAGCUGUCAACAAUCACCUCCUUUAGAUUUUUAAAACCUUGCCGCAAUCUUGCUGGAAACAGAGCGAAAACACCCCCACAAUCCCUCACUUUUACAGAUUCUAAUUUAUGUAAAAACAAUUGCUCAAAUGUCUUCGCAUUUAAGGAUGUACCAACCAAAACUAAGGAGGUUGGGUAUCGAUCCCAAAACCUUAUUUCAUAUUCAUUAGCAUACCCUAAUAUUAUAUGAUAUUUGCGCAAGCUGACUGGAAAAACAAAAUCUCUGGGAAUGCAUUCAACCUUCGGUAUCCUCAAUGAUAAUACGGCUAACUGAGACAACGAAUUUAGUUCUUUUAGGCUUGCAUUCAUUCCUCCUGUGCUGUCACAUCCAACAACAUCCCAUCCAUCAAAUCUGCAACCCCCGAUCAACAGCUCUUCUAACUUCUUCAACCUUCCAAUCAAAUUCACAGGGAUCCUUCUUAGCCUGUAACAACCUGUCACAUCCAACAACCUUAACUCCUUGAGCUCUCCUAUUUCAUCAGGUAAUUCUUCAAUGGAUGAGCACCACAUAAGACCAAGUAUCUUAAGUCUCUGCAGCUUUCUCAACCAAAUGAGGUCCUUGCAAUUACACGAGAUCAACACCAACGAUUGAAGUUUCGUUGAGAGUUCAAGUGAUUGCAAUGACAAACACCCUCCCUUCAGAGACAAAACUUUAAUUUCUUUCAUCCCUUCAAAGAACCUCUGAGGAACAUUCAAACGAUUAUCCAGUUCUAAUAAUAGAACUUUGAGCUGUGGACAUACCAAUCCUUCAGGAAGUUCUGCUAGUUGAUUGCCCAUUAACGAAAUUGUUGUACAACCUUCAAAGCUUGUAUCGCUCAUUGGCCACUUCUCUAACCGUAAGCCAGCCUUUACCAUGAAUCCAUAUUCUUCUGAUGCUAUGUGAAUAGCAACAUCACGAACAAGGUCAUGCAUUUUCACAUGUUCUUCAGUUUCAGAGCCCAACACCAUGCAACAAUCUUUGAGGUUUUCGAUUGCCACAGAAACACGUUUCCUUGCAUCUUCAAUGGGCUCCGUGUCGUGAUGUAACCCAUAGUCAACUGCAUAUCUCGUCAAGUCCUGGAUUGGAAUGUCAUAGUCUUCUGGAAAUAAACAGCAUAGCACGAAACAUGACUUGGUUUCCUUGAGCUGCAAAUAAUCAUAGCUCAACUUAAGACAUGUAUAAGCAUUAUUUUUUUCGUCAAUUUGUUCCAUGCAAGCAAAUUUAGAUUCUUUGAGCUGUCUACACGCGAAUUCCCACUGAAGUGCAGAUUGAUCUCUUAGAGCCCUUCCCACUGUCACAAGUGCUAUGGGCAAGCCUUGACAUUCUCUCGCAACCUCCCUUGCCACUGUGUUCAAGGUAGGGUGCCCAUCAAGUAAAUCUGCAUUGAUUCUGAAUAAAUCCCAUGCUUCUUUUUCAGGUAAUUCUCUUAAGAACACCUUUUGCUGGCAUUUCAUAGAAGAACAUACAUUUGUACGACGUGUUGUUAGAAGUAUUUUACAACCCCUGUGAUCAUCACCAAAUGGGAUCCCUAUCUCUUUCAAGUCAAUAUCUUUCCAAACAUCAUCUAGGAUAAUAAGCAUCUUCUCCACUUGCUUCAGUCUCUUCCGUAAUAGAUCUGCUCUCCCUGGAUUAGUAUUCUUUUCUUUAAUAUUCAUCAGUUCUAACUUAUCUGCCAUUAGGUGCUGAAUGUCUUUGACAAUUGGAUUCUGCGACACCGUAGCAAUCAAAACUUCAUCAAAAAGCUGCGACUCUCUGGCUAUCGUGCCUACUUCUUUCACCAGGGUGGUUUUGCCCACCCCUCCCAUGCCGUACAGUCCGAUCAUAUUGACAUUGUCAUCUUUGAGAGCUUCCAUAAUCUGUUUGAAAGCUUCUUCUGACGAUUUUGAGGGCGUGAAUUCCUUUGAUGGAAGAAAUUCUAUGGGCUCAGGAUGAGCUCUGUGGGACACUUUUGUAGACUUUUUUUCUAAAAGUUCUCUGAAAGUCUCCGACUUCUUGGCCAGUGCCUUGCUUAACUUGAAUUGUCGCAUGCAGUUUGGACACCAAGUGAAGCAUUUGCCAUUUUUUCCUAUUUCAUUUUCCAAGGGUUUCGCAUCUUCAAUUUCGUUGUUUGCAUCUCCCAGCCACUUUUUGACAUCUUCGUAAAUUUCUUCAGCAUUCCUGUCAGCAGCUUUGACAUCGUCUUGCAGACGUUCUUUUUCCGAAACCAGCUGCUCCUUCUUUUGUUUGAAUUCCUUAACAAAAUCGUUGAAACAGAACAUGUAACGCAACUGCCUUCCUACUGGUUCCACCAUGAGUUCUGCAAUCUUAGAUAUAAUGGAUCCACCCACACUUUCGAUAGCCAUUUUCCACCGACCUGAAAAUCAGAGAAAUAAGGAUACACAGAACGUGAGAGUGAGUCACUACAAGUAAAACAGGCGCAGAGAGAAUGGGAAUAGGAAUUUCAUUACCUUAACUUGAGAAAAUAUGUGCGAAAAGCACUGGUACUGAUUGCUCAAUGAAAUGGAGAAGGCCUUUAGCUCUGUAUGGAAUCCAGCUUCAAAAGCAACAAGGCAAGGUAUAAGGAUUCUACUGACACUUGUGAGUUAAAGCAGUAAUUCCCAUUAAAAAUGCAUUUUGAUGACAUAAUUAAGAUCAUAUAGAGACAGUGACAAACAAAAAAGAAAGAAACGAGUGAAAGGUCCAGGAUAAUCACUCAGCCCGCUUCCAACCACAAAUAUAAUUAACUAAUCUAAGCUAUGAUCGGUCAAAGUCAAAGUUUUUUUUAGUUUUAUUCUUUUUUUAAAUAAAAAAAACAGGAAAAGACUUGCAAAGAAAUAGAAUUACUGGAAUGAACACAAUAAAGGAUGAAGCUCAAGCAAUUAAAAAUAAAUUAUCUAUGAUGAUCAUCUGUUUGUCACACUCAAUGAAGUAACAUGAUUGACCUUUUACAAUAUUAAAUAAAUAAAUAAAUAAAAGCUAAAAGAACUAGGUUUUUGGUGGCAUCCAGAUUGCGGUUACUUUCUUCAUCCUUCUUUUGUGGUUUUAUUUUAUUUCAGUCCUUCAAAUCUUUUUCUUUUGCUAUUUCAUCGAGUUGCUUUGCUCGAGUUGAUGUGCUUGCCCUAGAAUAUGCAUCAUGCUAGGGAUUACAAUUACAUUACAUAAGAAAUUAUACUUACAGAUUAUAAUUAAAAAUUUCAGUUUUUUUUUAAAAACAAAUUUAUGAGAGAGUACCAAUUUACAACGUGAGUAAAUGAAAGGAGAAUUUUAAAUCUUUUUGUGACAUGGUGACCAGCUGAUCCAAGUAACCAAUAGAUUAUCACCACUUGUUCAACCUAUCUGCACAUUAAGAUAGGGGUAGUCAUAACUAUGACUAGGAGUGAGCAAAAAAACCGAAAAACCGAUUUAACCAAGAAAACCAGAAAAAAAUUAACCGAAAAAACCGAACCGGUAAAAAAAACCGAUUGAACUGGUUAAAAUAUUUAGGAAAAUGUCCGGUUCGGCUUCCGGUUUUGGUGUGCCUAAACCAGCCAACCCGAACCGAACCGAACCGGUUCGGUUUAGGAAUGAAAAAAAAAUAUAAACCAAGCGGGUCGCCUCCUCCCAUUACUUUCCCUUUCAACAACCCUAGCAGACCAUUUAUUUGUUUUCCCUUUCACACAGCCGCCCCCUCCCCUCCAACCCUUUCAAUCUUCAUUCACACUUCACAGACAUAGCCGCCCCCUUCAAUCACCCCUACUCCCAUUAACAGCCGCUCCCUCCCAUUAACAGCCGCCUCCUCUUCACCAGUCAACGAGCUUAGGCUAUUCUCGGACAACCAUUCUUCGAAUCUCGAAAGAAACCGCCGUGCGUGUGAGGUGGCGAAACUGUUACCGCUUCUAGAUCUUCUUCAAUCUAUUGCUUCUAUCAAAGCCGAUUACAUCGCUCAGGUAAUCUUGUCAUGUAAUUACAUAUUUAAUUAAUUAUUGCUUGUUGAUUUUAUAUUGUUUCUAUUUUUCAAUUUUGAUGUGUUAAUUAUUUUGAACAAUGUAAAAAUAAAGGUGGACGAAAGAACACAAUUUGGAAAGGAAAUUGGAAUCGUUGUCCCUGUCUCAGAUUCUCAAAAGACAAUCAAUCGCAAACAGUAUGUCCUCCAUUUUUUUUUCUUCUUUUCUUUCUCACUGGUAGAUUGGAAUUUGAAACUGCCAACAAAAGUUUGUAUUCGAAGUUAGCUUUUUGAAAAUUGACCCUAUUAUAUAUUUACUGUGGCUUAAGCUUUGAGAUAUUGCAUGAUUAUGAAUUAGUUUAUAUGAGUUGAAACUUGAAACAUAGUCUGACAAGGAUGGAUUAACCAAUUGCUGGGAAAAUAGUUUUCAAAUCUCUUUGAAAAAUGUCUGAUGCUGCGACAUAAGUCACAUAACAGACUCGAUUUGAAGGGAAUCUUUGAGAUAUUGCAUGAUUAUGAAUUGGUUUAUAGAAAUUUGCUGGAUUGAUUUUUUUUCUUUUUCUUUUUUAAAAGGGAAUUUAAUUAAAAUACAUUUUUUUCAUCUACUUUUUAAGUUUAAAUCUUAGAAUUAAUAUCCAAAAAAUUUCACCUUUGCUCGCUAAAAUAUAAUUUUAAUCUUAACAAAAAACUAUAUCUUAAAAUUGACUGUGUUGCUAUCCAACUAAGAAAUUGACUCAAGUGGCUUAGUGAUAUAUAGUGGGGACAUUCUAUUUUAGACAUGCAGCUUGUUGCCUUGUUCUACUUUAUUCUAUAAUCUAUUUGAGAAAAAUGUUGUUUAUUUCUUCUAGACACUUUAGUCUUCCAAAUUUCAGUUGUAACCAGCAAGCAUAGAGGUUAUGAUAGAGGUUAUGUAUUGGGAAGAUGAACUAUCUUUUUAUUUGCAGUGGCUGUGAAACUCUCUUUCUGUGUGUCUCUGUCUCGUGUGCGUGUGUAUAUAUGCACCUGUAAUUCUUGCUUCUCUCCAGUUCCUUUCGUUUGCAAGUUACUGUUGCUAGAGUAGGUGCAACUAGUUCUUUCCUCUACAAGUCGGGUUUGGUAAGAUUGAUUAUAAAGAAAAAGGUAUUGGUAAUGCACAAUUUGAUUUUAGUGUUGAUGUUAAGUGUGGCUUGUUUUAUGAUGGAUAAUUAUGUUGACAAUAUUGGGCUUCAUGAAUGAUGAUGCCAGUUUAUUUAUGGUCUUAAUAAGCUAUAUUACUGCUGGAUUUGUGCUCUUUAUUUAUAUGGCAAAUUCUUAUUCAAAUCUUUGAUAUUUAUCGCUAAUGAAACUUCAAUCUUGCCUCAAGUUGUCGACCAAGUCAAAAUUCCUCCUACAAGUAUACAAUAUUGUUUUAUUAUAAUGUUAUAAUGUUAUCGCUAAUGAAACUUCAAUCUUGCCUCAGGUGCUCUUUAUUAUUAUAUUGAUAUUAAAAAUAAUUUUAAAAAAUAAAAAAAAUAUUAUUUUAAAAUAUUUUUAAAAUAAAAAAUAUUUUAAAAAACAACUAUUUAUUCAAGGACUUAAAAUAAAAACCUUAAAAUCACGGCAUGAUAAAAGGAGGAAGAAAGGAAUGGGACAAAGAAGGAAGAAAAUAAGGUCAUGUAGGGGGCCAGUCUUGUAUAAAAUAGAAGAUGAAAAUUAGUAUGAAAAAGAGGCUAUUUGUUUUUUUACUGUGUCAGAGUGGUUUUUAUAAUUAUAUUCAAUUUAUUAAAAUAUUAAAUUAAUAUAUUUUUAAAUGUUUCUUGUUAUUAUAUAUAUAUAUAUAUAUAUAUAUAUAUAUAUAUAUAUAUAUAUAUAUUCUAAUAUGUUUUUAAAUAAAAAAUUAUUUUAAAAAAAUAUGUGUCACAAUACUAAAUUAUAGUAUAAAUUAAAAUAUAAAAGAGUUCUCUGUUUAUUACUAUUUACCGAGACUUAUUUUAUUGUAGAUAUUAAUAGUGAAUUUUUUUAAAAUUUUUAAUUUGGUAUUUGAAUUAUUUUUUUUUCAUAAUUAAAUAUCUUUAUACCCAAAUUAAAACUCAAUUGCAUUUUGUUUUUUAAGAAUAAGAGUUGAAUUCAAAGAUAAAUGCCUGUAAUGAAAAACUCUGUAAAAAUAUGCGGCAACAUUGUAAUUGUUUGCAAAGUUCAUUUUAGUCCCUUAUCUUUUUGAGCUACUAAGUAACAUGUCCCUAUAAUUUCUCAACAUUACAUUUUAUCCAGAAUCUCGGAUUAUGCUUUAGGGACUAAACUGAAUUUUUUAUAAAUUGAGAGACCAAACUGAAAUUUUAUCAUCUUCAAUCUCAAAUCUAAAAUUUUCACAUAUCACCUACUGAUAUAACAAGAUUUCUAACUCAAAUUCACCAUUUAAACAAACCAUAACUCAAAAUCAUCAUUUUUACUUAAAAUCUUUCAAAAUCAACUAAAUAACUCAUUAUUCAUAACAAUCAAUACAUAAUAUUCAAAUCAAUUCAUCAAUCAAACCCAAAACACAAUAUUCAAAACCCUCAUAUUCAACAAAACAAAAAAUUAAAGCUAAGAAAAACACAUUUAUACACAUCAAAGCGUAAAUAUUCUUAUCUUUUAAUUUAUUUUCUCUAACUAUCUUAUCCUUUCUUUAUCUUUUCCUCUUUUCUCUUUUUCUUCUUUCACUCUCACGGUUUUUUCUCUAAGAAUUCAAAUCUCUCUUUUUUUUUUCUAUUUAUAUUUAUGAACUAUUUGUUCAAUUACUACAAUACCGUUCAUUUAUUUAUACCUACUUCUAAGCCUCCAUGAGUUUUGUUGUCUUUUUCUAUUCUCUUUUAUUUCCAAAUCAUCACAAUAAAAUUGUUUUCUUUUUAUUUAGCUGCUAAUUUAUGCAGCUUUAGCUCUUGUUCUCUUUUCAUGUUUAGCAACUCUGAUCUGUUCCUUUCUUUACAUGAUAUAAGAGCAGGUUCUUACCUCUUGAAGUCUGCUGGAUAAACCUAUCAGCAGAAGAUCCUGAAGCGAUCCCAAAUCACAGCUUCAAUCCCCACCACAACCAAUCUCCUCUUUCCCGUAGUCUGUCGUCCUCAAUUGGGAAAUGAUCUCAAAAAAUCACUUGAUGCAACAAGUAGGGUAGAGAAAUAUAAGACUUCAACAAAGAAUCAAACUCAAAAAAAUAAAAGUAAUUGUCUAUGAGAAGCAUUUCUGUGUCACACACUCAAGUAAUAUGAUUGACCUAUUACAUUAUACAAAAUAAUAAUAAUAAUAAUAAUAAUAAUAAUAAUAAUAAUAAUAAUAAUAAUAAAAGAACUAGGUUUUUGAUGGCAUCCAGAGUGCUGUUACUUUCAAACAAAGAGGCUUGUGCAUGCGGUGUUACGCUGUUCAUGUAGGCUAAGAUAUCCUAUGAAUACAAUUGUAAAAUCAUACAAUUGUAUUCUUUUUAUUAAGCUGCUAAUUUAUGCAGCUUUAGCUCAUGUUCUCUCUUCUUGUCUUGCUAUUCUGAUUUUAUCUUUUUCUUUGCAUGAUAUAAGAGCAGGUUCUUACCUCUUGAAGUCUGCUUCAAUCCCCGUAGUCUUCCGUCCUCAAUUGGGAAAUGAUCCAAAAUCAACAACCGGUUCGGAGAUAGUUUGAGUGAAAAGAAACGGCUGAAAGAUGAAAUGUGAAGGUUAUGGUGAGAAAUUAGAUGACAAACUUACUUUGUCCUCCUAAUGCUUUUGCUUUCAUUGUUUCGAAAGUAAAAGAGACAUAAACAUAAUCAGUGUGUUUUCUGUUUAGCAAUAGCUAGAAAGGUAUCUGCUUAAAAAGACCAUUGAACAAGGGAUGACCCAUUCAGCAAGGGAUUCUGCUAGGAAAACAUGAAAUUGUUCUUCUAUUUGAUAUUUGUUUCAAUCUUCUAAACAAAUAGUACAGCAUCAAGUCUCAGUCACCUAUUCACGAAAUUGUUGUAUUUCUAAUGACUAUGCUAAUAAAAAAGUUGAGCCAGCAUGACACAUGAAAUUCAAAAAUAACAAAAUAACAUGAGAAAAUAAAUAUUUAUAUUAUAAUUAUGCAUCUUAAAAAAUCACUUGAUGCAACAAAUAGGAUAGACUUCUAGGAAAUUCUUUCACUGUAAAAUGGCUGAAGGUUCUUUUAUGAACAUUUAUAUUAAAAAAUUGGGUCAAUUGAUCUUUGUUAUUUAACAUGAAUAAAGUGUUGAUUUAGUCUUGUAGUUAUUAUAUCAAAGUUUUUAUUAGUUUAUGCACGAUCCCUUAUUUUACUUGCUUUAUUUUUUUUAAACCCAGCUUAGUUUCAAUCUCGAAUCUAUCGGGUCCCACUACCAGAUAUUCGCUAAAUACCAACGGAUUUACCGACGAAAUAUUUUCUGUCGGUAUUUUGAGGUCGAAAUUACCGACGGCCACUUUCCGUCCGUAAUUCAGUCGGUAAAAACCGACAAAAACUUUUCCGUCCGUAAUUCAGUCGGUAAAUACCGAUGGAAAUUUUCCGUCGGCAUUUACCGACUGAAUUACGGACGGAAAAGUUUCUGAAUUUUAAAAAAGGCGGGUCGCUGACGUGGAGGUUUUGGCGGGUUUUUUUUUUCCGACGGAAUCACCAACGGAUUCAAAAACGACUGCCCGUACAGUGCCCGUAAAGUGAUGUGACCGGUUCACCGUUUAAAUUUCCGACGGACUCACCGAGGGAUUUGAAAUGGCAGAUCCGUACGGUGACAUGUCUAUGUUUCCGUCAGAAUCACCGGCAUAAUAACCGACGGAGUGUCCGUCGGUAAAACCGUCGGAAAAAGUUAAUAUAUGACAGCUCUGCCGACCCUCUCAUCCCCUAUUUCUCCUUCUUCUUCCUCAUCCCAACUCUCCCCAUCUGCAAACAACCAGCCCCCCCUCCCCCCUAAAAAAAAAAAAUCUUCCUCAUAUCAGCACAAGAAGUUAUAUUUCUUGAAGUUUUGUGGUCACGGCAUCCGCGCGUGUUCUGAUUUAUCGACGGAUUUUAUCAAUUUUUGUAAGUAAUUAUAUCUUUUUAAAUUUUAACAUUUAAUUAAAUGUCAAUUUUAUUGUUUUUUUAGUAUAUGUAUUUUGUUAGUAGAUGUACAUGUUUUAUUGUUAUUUCUCAAACAAACUUGUAGUAUAUGAAUGUAUAAUUUUGUACCUGUUAUGGUUUGUUUUAGAUUUUGUAAGAUUGUAUUUGUUUGUAAAUUAUUAUUUCUUUAUGGAAUUACCGAAUUACAUGUGCUAUUUUGAAAUAAUUAAUAGCUUGGUUAAUGGGCCCGUUUAAAGUUUUAUCAAUGGUAUUGUGGAGUGGUAAUUUCUGUAAAUUUAUAUUUUUUAAUUCGUAUGGACGUUGAUAAAUGAUAAUGAAUAUUUAAUAUUUAUGAGAAGUUGUGAUUGGUUUGUUGGAUAAUCUCGAGUUAAAGUAAUAUUUGUACAAGUUUAUUUACCUAACUUAGUUAAUUAAUACAUGAUGUCAUCAUAAUUUUAUAGAGGUUCGAUAUAAGUCAUGGAUGAUCGUUCAUGGAUGUAUCGAGAUUCACCCCAAGGAUUGCGGAGGAUGGAUUAUUGUAAUGGGGUUCAGGGUUUUAUUAAUUUCGUAACAUUUAUUCCCAGAAAUUUUACUGGAGGCGGUAUUAGGUGUCCAUGCAGGAAGUGUGAAAAUAAAAAGUAUUUGCAUCCAGAUGUUGUAAUGAUACAUCUUCUACACAAAGGGUUUAUGGAGAAUUACCAGUGUUGGUAUGCACAUGGAGAAGUAUUUGUUAGCGAGAGUGAGAGGAGAAUGGAAGAAACGGUGGUUGGGUCUACUUCUAGUGCUAGUAACGUGCAUGAAACGGCAAAUGACAACACUAAUCCUUACAGAAAUAUGGUUAUGGAUGCAAUGAGAAUGAAUCAAGGUAAUGGCAGUCAAUGUCCAAUCGUAGAAGAAGAACCUAAUGUAGAUGCAGCUAGGUUUUUUGAUUUGUUGAAAGAUUCUGACGAACCAUUAUGGGAUGGCUGCACGAACCACAGUAAAUUAUCGGCUGUAGCACAGGUGUUCACCAUCAAGUCAGAUCACGGGUUGAGUGAGGCCGGGUAUGACAAGAUUAUUGAAUGGGCAAGAAGCAUUUUACCUGAAGGGAACAGGCUGAAAGAGAACUUAUAUGCUGCGAAGUUCAUGAUGAAACCCCUCGGUUUAGGAUACCAGAAAAUUGACAUGUGCCCUAACUUCUGCAUGUUAUACUACCUUGAAAAUGCUGAGAUGACUGAGUGCAUGACAUGCGGGCAUUCCCGUUACAAACCUAGAACUGGCAGGGGAAAGACUCUAGUGGCAUAUAAAAAACUUAGAUACUUCCCGAUCACACCUAGACUGCAGAGGUUAUUCAUGUCACCAAGGACUGCUGAGCACAUGACAUGGCACCAAGCACACCAUGCGGUUGAUGGAGUGAUGGUUCAUCCUUCUGACGGCGAAGCGUGGAAACGCUUUAACAGUGUUCAUCCUCACUUUUCAGCUGAAUCAAGGAAUGUGCGUCUUGGGUUGUGUACAGACGGAUUCAACCCAUUUGGGUCAUUUGCUGCUCCUUAUUCUUGUUGGCCGGUCAUACUCACAGUUUAUAACUUGCCACCGGGAAUGUGUAUGAGGCCGGAGUUCAUGUUUUUAUCUAUUGUCAUACCCGGUCCAAGAAGCCCGGGGCGGAAUAUAGAUGUUUGUCUUCGACCGUUGAUUGAUGAGUUGACGCAGUUGUGGUCCUCCGGAGCUCUGACUUAUGAUAUAUCGAGGAAACAAAAUUUCCUUAUGAGGGCGGCAUUGAUGUGGACUAUCAAUGAUUUUCCAGCUUAUGGAAUGCUUUCUGGUUGGAGCACGCAUGGGAAACUCGCAUGUCCAUAUUGCAUGGAAAACAACAAGGCAUUCACGCUAGCAAAUGGAGGUAAAGCUUCUUUUUUUGACUGUCACCGUCGCUUCUUGCCACUUCAUCACAGGUACAGAAAGAACAGAAAAGAUUUCUUUGCUGGCAGAGUUGAAAAAGAUGUUGCAUCCCCGCGUCUUUCUGGUGAAGAAUUGCAUGAUGUUGUCUUAGAGUACGGUGACAUUGUGUUUGGCCUUCAAUCAGGAAAGCAAAAGUUUCCUGGUUUUGGUUUGACCCAUAAUUGGGUAAAGCGAAGUAUCUUUUUUGAGCUUCCUUAUUGGAAGACCAAUCUGCUUCGCCAUAACCUUGACGUCAUGCACAUCGAAAAGAACAUGUUUGAGAAUAUUUUCAACACCGUCAUGGAUGUGAAGGGGAAGACAAAGGACAACAUCAAGGCUAGAUUGGAUAUAGCUUUAUACUGUAACCGAAAAAAUAUGGAGUUGGUUUAUGAUGAGUCACGGGUCGCAAAACCAAAAGCAAGCUUCGUGUUAGAGAAAAACGCACAACUGCUAGUCUACAAAUGGCUUAAGAGUCUGCGUUUUCCGGAUGGACAUGCAUCGAACAUAUCAAGGUUGGUUAAUAUAGAGGACUGCAGAUUGUAUGGAAUGAAGAGUCAUGACUGCCACGUGUUUAUGCAAACACUCAUCACAUUAGCUUUUCGUGAUUUGUUGCCAAAGGGAAUAUGGGAUGCACUCACGGAGAUCAGUCAUUUCUUCAGAGAUAUAUGCUCCAGCAAGUUGAAUGUUGAUCACAUUGAGAGGCUUCAAACGAAUAUCGUCGAGACACUGUGCAAACUUGAGAUGAUAUUCCCUCCAUCAUUUUUUGACUCAAUGGAGCAUCUCCAUAUACAUCUAUCGUUCGAGGCAAAAGCUGGAGGACCGGUCCAAUAUAGAUGGAUGUACCCAUUCGAACGGUUAGAUAUUACAGUUGCAAUGUAAUUCAUAUAUAAAAGUAUUUUAUAUGUUUUUCUUAAUUGAAAAUACUUGAUUAAUAUUUCAGGUGCGGUCGCAGCUAGUUCGUCUAGCAGCGAGGAUGAUAUUUCCUUAGGUGCCUCUCAAGAAGAGGCACCUACACCACCUGCGCCGUCAACCGAUGCUGCCUCUUCCAGCGGUACUUCACAGCGCAGAGGCGGCGUGCCUUCGCAGCGGAAUCAAUUUACCCGCAAGUACGAGGCACAGUGGAAGGACGACCUUUCAAUGUAAGUUUGUUAAGGUUUUAGUUUUUUUUAAAAAAAAUUACAACAUAAUUUAUCAAGUAAUCACUAUUGAAUUUAUUUCAUUUAUUUUCAGGUUCACAAACAUUGAAGUCGCCCGAGUAAUAUCAUCGGCGUUUAAAUCGUCGAUGGAGAUUCCAUUGUUUCAAUGGAGUCAGAUAUCCAAGCAUCCUGAAUGGAUGCCUCAAAUCAAUGCAUGGUUUAACAGGUUUGAGGUUGGUAUUAAUUUAUAAUUUUCAGCUUAUUAAUAUAAUUGUAUUAUUUUUAUUUAAACUUGUUUAUUUAUACAAAGCACAAAUUCUGCUAGGACAUUGAGCAUAACGCUGUUGUGAGGAGGGUGUGGGAAAAUCACGCGGCAACUAGGUAAGAUCGAAAACAAUACAUGAUUUUUUUUAGACAAAAAUUUAUGUUUCGAAAUGUAAUUUUUGGUUGCGUGAAGCAGGUUGCGUGAUUUUUGGUAUGAAGCACAGAAAAAGGCAAAAAAAACCGCGAGGGAUAGGGGUUUCCAAGGCUGGAACGAUGUUGCGGUUUGGAGGGAUUUCAAACUGAUAUACAUCCCGGAAGAUAUAUGGCCGCACUAUCUUGAGCACGUGACGUCUGAGCAGUUCACACGACGCUCACAGUCCGGUGCUGGCAACCGGAAUCGACCAAUUCAUGGCGGGGUGAGAACUCACACUGGCAGCUCCGUUCCGUUUGCUGCACAUGCGAAACGGAUGGUAAGAUUAAUUUAAAUGAAAUAUAUCGUUAAAUUCAGUUGUUGUUAAUAUAUCUUUUUUCAUUAUAGGCUGCGUCUCUUGGACGUGAGCCGAGCCCGAUGGAGCUGUUUGUGGAGACGCACGUGCGGAGUCAAGACCGCCAGAAGGGGGCGCAACAGUUCGUUGAUAACCGUGCUCAGCAUUUCGUGGUAUGUUUGUUCAACCAUUUUAUUUUCUAAGUUAUUAUGUUUAUUGUAUUGAAUAUGAUGAUUACUUUUUUUAUUUUAUUUUCAGGAGACCUAUAAUAAUCGGUUGAGGGAGAGAUACGGGGACGAUACUUUGACCCAUCCGGAAUUCGAUCCGGAUUUGUGGAUGGAGGUUGGCUCGUCAGGUGGACCAGAUAAAAAUCGGGUUUACAGCCUCUCCAACACUACGGCCGACAACUUGCGGUCGACCCAUAGUGUUUCAACCGUUGGGAACUCCCAAUCAAUAGCGAGCUCCCAAUCUAAGGAGUUUGUGGCUUUGCAGCAACUCAACGAGAAAUACGACAACCUACAAGCGGAGUACGCACAACUCAAAGCAUCUCAUGCACAACAAAGAGCGGAGUCUGAGCAAUUCAAAGCGUCUCAAGCACAACAAAAAGCGGAGUAUGAAGCGGCUCAUGAACAGCAAAAAGCGGCUUAUGACCAGCUUUACGAAAUGAUUAUGAAAUUGUCAAAUAGCGGAACAUGUGCGCCUAAUCCUUUUUGGCCGUAUAACCACCAGCCUCCGCCCGGAUCUCCUCCUCCUCCUCAAGCUCCAUCAUCUUUAUAUUAAUUUGUAAUCAACAUUAUUUACCUUUAAAACUUCAUUUAUUAUUUUUCUUGAAACAUAUUCAGUUUGUAAUGAAUAUUAUUUAACUUUUUUUUUUUAUGUUUAAUAAAAAUUUUAUUUGCAUAAUUGGUUUGUAUAACAAUUAAUUUAUAUAGUUUUAUAUUAUAUAUCCUAAAUAAUUUUUUAAAAACAAAUUAAGAAAAAAACUAUUACCAAGGAUUUUACCGACGGAUGAAUUCGGUCGGUAUUUUAAACUUUCACCGACAAACUUACCGACGGAAUUAAUCCGUCGCCAUUUAACAGUAGCUUCCACCAGUACCGACGAAUUUACAGACGAAAAUAUUCCGUCGGUAUUUCAUACAUUCACCGACCGAUAUCACGACGGAUAUUUUCCGUCGGUAAUUUCAAUUUCACCGACGGAAUGAAAAUCCGUCGGUAUAUUUCAAGCGGGAAUCUUUUUUUUUUGGCGCGCACGUUCCGUCUGUAAAACCGUCGGUAAAUGAUUUUUUUGUUUUUCCGACUGAUAUACCGACGGAAUGAGGAAUCACCGACGAAGGUAAAGCCGACAGACGUAUUCCGUCGGUAAAAAAAUCACCGACGAACUUCUAAUCACACACCGACGGAAUUUUGCCGCCGGUAAAACUGUGAAAUCUUGUAGUGUCCUGGAUCGACCCAUAAAGCCAAACCAAGUUUUAAAACUAUGUUAUCUUAGCAAAUUUAAUUAUCCCAAUUCUUAAUUUUCAAUUGAAAAUGCUAAAGAAUUCCCCACUGGGAGCAAAUAAUAAUAUGUUAAGCAUGACAAAUUUUAUUUAAAUUAAAAAGCCAAAAAUGAACGCAUCUACUCUUGCAAGAAUGGACUCAAAAGUUCAGCUAGUCCGCAUAAUUAAAUAGUACUGUUACUGUAAACUACUAGGAAAUUCAUGGGUAGAGCCAAAAUGUUAACAAUAGCAUUGAUUCGGUCAGGGGCUCUGGUGUAUAGAGAGGACCUUGCCGUUAGAAACUAUGGAGCCCACUAUUUAUUAAUCCAUUUUUAUUUACUACUUAUUACUAUUUAAUUAUUUUUAUUUACUAUAUUUUUGUUUGUGAUACCCAGUACCAAUAAAAUUUGAGAUUCCUUCAAUUUUUUAGGUGCAUGCAAGUCUAAUGGCUUCAUGUACAAAAGCAAUUCAAGGGUGUGUAUCCUUAACUAUCAGGCUAACCUUUACAGGCUUCGCUAGCAAUCAAUAAUUAUUUUUUAAUGAAUUCAUUUUUUAUUUAAAAUAAGGAAAAGGACAUUGGUGAAUAAAUUGUUUCCUUCCUAUUAUAAUUGUUAGACCUUACCAAAGGGCUAAUUUAGAAAAAGAUUAUAACUUAUAGGUCACCAGGGCCGAGGUCAACUUGUAAUUAAGUAGAUCAAUUUAAAUUAAUUGUUUUUAUUUAAAUGAUAAUGUUUUGUUUUUUUUUCUUGAUAUUAAUUUGGCUAAUUUUUAUCAAAUCAAAUCACUAAAAACUUAACCAAAACAAAUUUCAUCAAAUCAAUAAUAUUUUAUGUAGUUGAAUUAAAAAUUCAAUUCAAUUCUAGCUCUGAACCCUGAUUAAGCAUACAGGUUUAAAAAAUAUGCAUCUCACUUGCAGCUGUGGUUUGCUGCGGGCAUUUGGUAAUUGGGAGAGGCUUUAGUUUCGUACCUGUUGAUCUGCUUCAUAUACACUUGGACCUCUUAUUUUAUUUUAUAUUGGUUGGAUCCAAACUUAAUCCAAUACAAAAUUAACAUAUUUAUUAUUUAUUUAAGAUAAAUGAUAUGGCUUUAACAUAUUAGCGUACACUUAAUAUGAUUAAAUUUAAUUUAAUUAAUUAACAUCUCACCGCAAUAAAUUUUACCAUUUGCAACCAUAAACAGUUGACACCUUAUUAAUAUAAUCAAUAUAGUAGAAAAAUUAUAGUGAUUUAAAACAAUUCAUUAAAAUGUUCGUAAAUGUUUUUAUUUUGUGAUGAUGGUUUUCGUGUUAUCUUUUAUGUAUUGUCGCUACCGUACAUGAACGCCUGACAUGAGGGUUAUUUGAAAUCAUUAUCUAGUUAUUUAGUUUAAGGUCACUAAGAAACCUAUAAAUACUAGUCUUGUUAGAGAUUUGAGAGUAAAUGACUAGUUGUGGCUAAAGAAUGUAUUAACACUCUUAAUGCACCCUACCCAAGUAAAUUAUUUUGUGAUUAAACGUGGUUUAGAGAUUUUGAUGAUUUUCUGAUAUAUCUAUAGUUUAGGAUUGGGAUUUGCUUGUAUGAAUAAAUUUGGUGUUUAAUAAUUUAUCAUGGAUUCUUGUACCCAGAUAAAUUCUUAGAAAAAAAAGUUCUUCAUAAUUUGUGUACGUAUUACGGUAAAAAUUACUCUCAAUAAAAAUUCAUGAAUAUUUAGAAUAACUUUGAGGAUUUUCUAAUCAACUUCAAUAUUUCAAAUAUCAGCCUCACUUAUAGGUAUAGCGUUUUAUAUCAAUAUUUUUAACCAUUAAUUCUCAUUAAUUAAAAAAUAGUGGUUUAUUAAAAUAUUGACCAAAUUCACAUGAAUUUAAUAAACUAGUUAUUAAAUUUUAAAAUGCAUAUACAUAUAUAAUAUUUUAAUUUGUUUUUAAAUAAAGAAUAUUUUUAAAAAGCAUGUGCCAUAAUACCAAAUUAUAGAAUAAAUUAAAAGAGAAAGGAGUUUUCUCUUCAUCACUAUUCACUUAUAUUCAUUUUACUAUGGAUAUUAAUAGUGAAUUUUUUGAAAAUUUCCAAUUUGGUACUCAAUUAUUUUUUUUUCACAAUUGAGCUCUUUUAAAUCCAAAUUAAAGCUUAAUUGCAUAUUUUUUCAAGGAUGAGGGUUGAAUUGAAAAACAUAGGACUGAAGUGAAAAACUCGAAUAAAAUAAGUUGUGGUUUUGCAAUUUGUUUGCAAGUUCAUUUUAGUCCCUAUAAUUUUUUAUCAUUGUAUUUUGAUACCAAACUUUAUUUUCUUCUGUUUUUAGUUUUUUUGUGUAAGAGAGAGAGAGAGAGGAUCACCAUAUUUUGUUUUAGAGAGAAAAAGUUAUUUUUAAGGAUUGUGACCACCAAAACAAUUGAUUUUUGUGUUAAAUUGUUAUGUCUUAAUUCAACAAGGUUCCUUGAAUGUUUUCUAGGUGUUUUGGGUUAAAAUGGGUUGAAGACAGGUUUUAGGUUAUAAUUAGGUUUUUUACCAAAUUGAUCAAAUUUUUUUAAAAAAAAAAACAAAUCAAGAAGAGAAAAAGACUUGUAAAAAAGUAGAAUUACUGAAGGAAGCUCAACAAAGAAUCAAACUCAUGCAAUUAAAAAUAAUUGUCUAUGAUGACCAUCUCUGUAUCACACAUUCAGGAAAUAUGAUUGACCUAUAACAAUAUUAAAAAAAACAAAAAAAAAAUAAGCUAAUAGAUGGUCGCCACGUGUUCAACUUUAUCUAACCUUAGCAAAGGAUAGAAAGUGGGAGAGAGAGAGAGAGGUUAAAAGGAUUAAGAAAAAGAAAAAAGGAAAGGCAGAAACGGAAGAAGACAUUGAAAGAAAGAAAAAAACGAUAAGUUAUUUAACGUCUUUUUAGGGGGGGAAAAAAAAGCUUGUAACACCGUGCAGACCAAACAGAAGAGACAUCUGUUUAUUUAAAGAAAAAAAAAAUAUAUAUAUAUAUAUAUAAAUACUCUCUCUUCCAAUUUCCUCUCCCAGCUGAAUUUCGGCGACCGCCCACACAACGAUAGCCUACACAACCACCAGCCAUGCCACCUUUCAAGACCCCAUCUCUCAACCUCAAAACCAAAAACAACUCUUUCUCCAUUUAUCCGAACCUCAUAACUCCAGGAAGGUGAAGGACUAAACCAUAGUGGCAAAAAUCUUAAAGGGUUCUAAAUUGUCUGUUACUUUCCCUUAAUUUUCUAGACAAGCAAAAGGAGCUAAACUUAUUCCCGACCAAAACGUCAAGAAUUUCAGUAGAACAAAAGAAGAGAUCAUUACUUGACCAAAAACAACUAGUCAGCACCCAAAGAAACCGAGUGAAUGAGAGAAAAUUAAAGAUUAAUAGCUAGAAAACAAUAAACAGAUCCAAGAAUUUUCUGUAUGGUUUCCAAGAAAAUGAAACGAAAUGAGCAGCACAACCCUCUUUCUCCUCCAAGAAAAGAAAGAAAAAGAAAGGAAAGAAACAAAGAAAGUCAAACUUGGCUCCUCUUUUAGUGUUAAAAAAAAAAAGAAGUUAGAGGAAGUGGGCUGCCUUUUUUCUGCUGUUCAUGUGGUGUUCUGCUGUUCACGCAGACUAAGAACUCCUACCAUCGUAAAAUCAUACAAUUAAAACACAACAAUAAUAAAGUAAUAAGCAGCUAAUUAUGUGCGAAAACAAGAGAAAUAAGGAUACAGAACGUGAGAGUGAGUCACUACAAGUAAAAGAGGCGCUGAGAGAAUGGGAAUAGGAAUUUCAUUACCUAAACUUGAGAAAAUUGUGCGAAAAGCACUGGUACUGAUUGCUCAAUGAAAUGGAGAAGGCCUUUAGCUCUGUAUGGAAUCCAGCUUCAAAAGCAACGAGGCAAGGUAUAAGCAUUUUGAUGACAUAAUUAAGAUACUAUGCGUCGUAAUAUAGAGACGGUGACAAAGAAUUAAAGAAAAAUAACGUGUACAAGUACUCACCAAGCAAAGAAAGAAACGAAUGAAAGGUUCGGGAUAAUCACUUAGACGCCUCCAUGGAUGAUACCAGCUCGCUUCCAACAACAAAUAUAAUUAACCUAAGCUAUGAUCGGUCAAUGUUUUUUUUAGUUUUCUUCUUUUUUAUAUAUAAAAAAAACAGAUCAUCAAGGGAAAAGACUUGCAAAGAAGUAGAAUUAAUGGAACGAACACAACAAAGGAUCAAACUCAAGCAAUUAAAAGUAAUUGUCUAUGAGUACCAUCUGUGUCACGCACUCAAGUGAGGAGAGAAAAGAAGGAGAAAGAAAGGAAAGGGACAAGGAAGGAAGAAAGUAAGGUCACGUAGGGGCCAGUCUUGUAGAAAUUUUGAAAAGUAGCAUGAAAAAGAGGAUAAUAGAGUAGUUGUCAGAAUCAAAACACAUCUAAACAGAGGACAAAAACAGGGAGGGAGGCUGUUUGUUUUUUUAACUGUGCCUGAGUGAUUUUUAUAAUUACAUUUAAUUUAAAAAAUAUUAAAUUAAUAUAUAUUUUUAAUAUUUCUCGUUAUUACAUAUAUAUAUAUAUAAUAUUUAAUAUAUUUUUAAUUAAAUUUUUUUUAAAAAAAGUAUGUGUCACAAUACAAAAUUAUAGUAUAAAUUAAAAGAAAAAGGAGUUUUAUGCUCAUUACUAUCCACUAGACUUGUAGAUAUUAAUAAUAAAGUUUUUGAAAGUUUUCGAUCUAGUAUUUGAAAUUUUUUUUUUUUUGCAUAAUUGAAUUUAUUUAAGCUUAAUUGCAUAUUUUUUAAAAGGAAAUAGGUUGAAUUGAGAAACAGAGAAACUCGGCAAAAAUAUGUGGUUAAAAUCAAUCCUUUUUAAAAAAAAAAAAAAAAAACUCCUUAGUUGUUAAGGAAAGAUUGGUAGUGUGAACAAAUCACCAAAGUCAGCAGCAAGGAAGUUCCAGGAAGUGGGCAGCCUGUUUCAGGGCUACCUGUUUUUGAGAAUUAUGGAAAGUUAUCCCUAACUCAAAAACGGCACCAAUUAUAAGUUCAUUAAAAAAAAUCUGGAACACAACAGAUGGAAAAAACUCGAAACAACUUGUAUAGAAUUUAGGCAAGAAGAAUGAGCCAAGAUUUCAAGUGCAAUGAAAUUUGUCUCACUUUGUUUUUUUAUUUAAUGAUACAAGAUAUACCGUCCUAUUUCAAGGGUAAAAUAGAAUGGAAUAGACAACCUUUAAAGGGAGCAUAUACCACAUAUGUGUAGCUGGAAUUCGAUAGCCUUUCUCCAAUGCUGACAUGUGCUUUACAUGCAUGCACCAACAUUUCACAUCGGCAAGUGAGGAUUUGGUAGCUCAUCUUAUUAAUAGUGUUGGUUAAUGACUUGUCAGACGCGUUUUGAGGUCAUGCGUGGUCAUCAAAAACAAAUUUGUGAGGGCGAUAAGGUCCAAAAUGGACAAUAUUUGACAAGUUGGAUCGGACUAUGACAUUUGGUAUCAAAGCUGGCCUCACUAACUAUCCAGUUGUGCUGAUGGGGUCAUUGAGCUCCUUAAGGGGGUGAAUUGUAAUAUCUCACAUCGAUGAAUGAGGAUUUAGAAGCUGACCUUAUUAGUAGUGCUGGUUGCUAACUUGUCAGAUGCGUUUUGGGGUCAUGCGUGAUCACAAAAAACAAAUUCGUGAGGAUGAUAAGGCCCAAAACGGACAAUAUUUGGCAGGUUGGGUCAGGCUGUGACAUAUUCGAUAAUAACUCUUCAAUUAAGUCCUAAAUCUCAUUUCAUCUUUUCAAUUUAAUCCCUAAUUUGACACCAACUCUUCAAUUAGACCCCAAAGCUCAUACCACUUGAGGAAAGCCCUCUUCUUUCAAUUUAGCCCCUCAUUUAUCUUUAAUUUAAUAUCGAAUUUUAUUCGAUCCAAGCCCAAAAUAGGCUCAAGCGAAGACAAAAUAAAGGAAGGAAAGAAAAUGAAUAAUUGCCCAACCAAGUUAACGUAUUCUGGUCUUUUCUCCAUGAUUCGGGUUGAACAUUUGACAUUUAUCCUUUUUUUAGAGGCUUUUCUCUAUGUUCGUUAUGACGCUGUACACGUGCGACAACCAUUAAAUCUAUAGUUAAUUUCAUUUUUUGAUAAAAGAUAAUGCCAUCAGUAUAGAAUGGUUACCAACUGUUAGUUUAAUAAGCCUUGUAUCCAAUCGGUUAGUUACACGAUAUAUUAUUAUAUUCAUGUAAAUACAUAUUUAUUAUUAAUAAAGGCUUAAUUUAACUUUAAUAUUCAUAUAAUAUUAGAUUAAUGAAUCUAGAGUGUCAUAACCCUUUUUGGGUUUUUCCCCAAAUUCAUUUUUUCUCUUCUAAAAAUUAAAAAAAUAUAUAUAUUUAGACUAAAAAAAAUAAUAACAGUGAGAAGGGGAUGCCAAAACGCCUGGAAAAUAACUAAAAAUUGGUUGAGGAGGUUUAAAAAUACAAGGAUUGAAAUUUGGCAGUAUAUCAUUGACUGAUGAGAGCCCGAUUGACAAAGAAAAUUCAAUUUGAGGAAGAAAUGUCUAAAAUCAGAUGUUUAUUGGACUCAAUUAAAUUUAUUAAAGGUUAAAUUGAGUUUAUAGAGGGUUUGAUUGCAAGAACAAUUGAUUUUGGAGUCAAUUUGGGCUUUAUUUGGAAGAAAUUAAAGUUCUGAGGUCAAAAUAUAAUUUUAAGGAGUUAAUUUGGUCAAAUCAGGGGCUUAAUUGCAUAAAUAUUGAAGUUUGAUGGCCAAUUAGGGACUGAAUUGAAGAAAUCUCAAACCAAGAACCAAACUGGAAAAGACACGUAAAUAGAGAGGCUGUAAUUAACCGAAUAAGGGGCUAAAUUAAAGAAAUUGGAAGUUUAUUUAUUAAUUAAGGGUCAAAUUGCAUACAUCAGAGACCAAGGACUAAAGUGAAAAAGGCGGCCAACUUCAGGGCCGACGAUUGAAUUUGACAGGGAUGCAAUUGAAUUGAUUUUUAAAAUCAAAAUAGCAAUUUAGGACUUGAUUGAAUAAAUCACAAAUUGAAGACUGAUUUGGACUUUGACACGAUUUUGCCGCCAUUUUCAUUUUGCUUAAUAUUGGUUUGUAUUUUAAUACUGUAAAAAUACAAAUCCGAUAUUAAAAUACUUGGUUUUUGUCAAAACAUAAAAUAUAUAUAUAUAUAUAUAUAUAUAUAUAUAUAUAUAUAUAUAUAUAUAUAUAUAUAUUUGUUUCAUGCAUACGUCCAAGUCUCUCAAAGAUAAAAAAAAAAAAAAAACCAUAUUGUAUUUUCAUACUACAAAGAAAACUUCAAAAAAAAAUAUGUUUUAACAUGCAUUUUGGCUUUAAUAACCAGUUUAUUAAAGUCACGAGAAUUUGGCAAAUAUUUAAAAAAUUUCAAAAAAAAUAUUUGUUUUUUUUAGUAUUAGGGAUUAUGAAUUUAUAUGUAAAAUGUAUUUUCAAUAUUAAAAGUGUUUUUCUUUUGAUGACAUAAAACAUUUAGGUGUUUACCUGAUAAGAUAAGAAUCUCUUUAUAGAGGAGGAUUUUUCUUAAACCAUAGAUAGACUGACAAUUAAAAACCACAACAAGACCUUAAAUUUUAUCAAACAACAAAACAAUGCAGCUUACAUUAGGUAGGGUGUAGUUGGGGUGCUAAUACCUCCCCUUUAUGCAACCAGUCUUCGUACCCGAUCUCUAAGACCAAUUAGGGUUCCUAGUGACCAAAAUACUAGGUGGAAACUCCCAUUCUAUUUUCCACUGAUAAAAGACAAGAAUUCCUUGUCUCCCCACAUUUACCAGAUAGAUAUACAUUUACUUGAGAGGGUGGACGUUUAUCGUGACACCGCACACAUGCGACAGAAUGGCGACUCCACAAGGUACCUUGUGGAUUAAUCUUUGUUUUUGUCUGAUUAUCGUGUUUUAUUGUUUGGUUUGUGUGUUAUUGUUAAUAUGCAUUUUCUCAUUUGCUCAUACGCUUUAAUUUUGUACAUAUUUGUUCAUGGAUUGUAUAAAAUUGUUUCAUGCAUCAUUCACAUUUUAUGAGAGUUUAUACUGAGAAAAACUUUAGGUUAAGUGGGGGACUAGUAGCUUACCUUACAAUUUUUAGUCGAGGUUUAAGUUUGUGUAAACCUCAACUCUUUGCUGAGUACUUAGAUUGAUAAUGAUUGGUACACAUGUCAUCUCAUUACCUAUUAAGCCCUUAUAUUGCCUUUACGAGGGUGAUCACUGGGACAACAAGAGACCCUUUUAAGACUAGGUAGAAAUGCACCCAUCAUGUAAUGGCCCAAAACCUAUCCUUAGAGUAUAAGCUCCCUAAUAUACAUGUACAUAUAUUUGCAUCCAUACAUACAUCAAUUCAUUGUAAAUAACAUACGUGCAUCAGAUUGAAAUAUAGGUCCCUAAAAAGUGUACAACACCCGACUUUGAGCAAGAAACAUAGAAGAUGGAGAGCGUGCUCACCGUGAUGCCUAUUUUCAAGAAGAGUUGGAGUCUCUGAAGACAAGCAUGGCUCGCCUUACUAGCUUACUCGAGCAAACACUGAGAAAUACCUCUGGUGAAGGCCCUUCUAACCGGCUAGUCACCGUCAAUUAGGCUUCAACUACAGUUUAGCCUGAAGAAAGAAUGAGUGAACAUGGUCAAGAGCCUUAAUAAAAUCCAACAUUUGUACAGUCAGCGACACUUGCAUUAGCCCCGACAGUCAUGAAGGUAUUUGCUAAUGAGUCCCAUAUGGCCAAUUCAUCUGAUAGCAUUGAUCAAGAUAAAAUACAGGCAUUGGAAGCCAGAAUCAAAGUCAUUGAAGGGGUAGACUUAUAUGACCCAGUUCGGGCAGCAAAGAUGUGUCUGGUCCCAAAUAUGGUUGUCUCGAAAAAGUUUCAUGUUUCGGAGUUCAUCAAAUAUAGUGGAAUACAAUGCCCCAUGACUCACCUCAAGUCUUACUGCAAUAAAAUGGCAGAGAUAGUACAUGAUGAAAAACUACUGAUGCAUUUUUUUAGAGAUAGUUUAAGUGGGGCAAUAUUGAGCUGGUACAUGAGAUUGGACAACACAAAAAUCUAGAGAUGGAAGGAUAUGGUGGUUGCUUUUGUCAAGCAGUACAAGUACAACAUGGACAUCACUCCCGACAGAAUCAACUUGUCCAAUAUAGAGAAAAAGGAUAAAGAAAGCAUAAGGGAAUACGUUUAAAGAUGGUGGGAAUCAGCUGCUCAAGUACAUCCCCAACUUCUGGACAAAAAGAUUGGCACUUUAUUUGCCGACACACUCAAGGCACCAUAAUGGGUAGUUUGGCCCAGCAAUUCACUAAUGCUGUGGUAGUGUGUGAACACAUAGAGCAAGGCGUCAAGAGUGGUAGAAUUUCUGCACCCAUUGAGAAUAGAGGUUUCGAAUGAAAAGAGGUUAACCAUAUUGAAGAUGGCUACAAGGGUAGGAAAAACUUAUCCCAAAACUACCAUACUUCAUCCCAAAUUGCCGACAUAAAAAAACCUGAGCCCCAAAACUUUCAAGCCAAAAGCCAAAUUAGAAAUUACCAAAGGGUCCAAGAACAACUACCUCCAUUACCGCUACCAUUAAAUGAGAUGUACCAGAAGUUAUUAAGCAUCAGACAUAUAGCUCCCGAACCUCUAGCACCUUUGCAACCCCCUUACCCCGGCUGGUAUAAGCCAGAGCUCACUUGCGAAUACCAUGCUAGUGUUGCUGGACAUGACAUUUAUAUUUGCAACACCUUUAAGAGAAAGCUUCUGCAAUUAAUUAAGGCAGGGUGGAUAGCAUUUGAAGACACUCUGAAUGUGAACACAAACCCUCUACCUAAUCAUGCUUAAAGCAGUGGAUUAGAAAUGCACUAGCAAUCGAAUGUUCGGGGAAUUUGAAAUCAUCAAUGGGCCAGGUAGGGUGCGAAAGGGUAGCAUAAAUUUUAAAGGACUCAAAUUCCAACCACAGUUGUUAUCCCCAUCAUCCCAAGAAUUAUUACAGGGAGGCUAGCCUAAAAGGAGAUUUACCAAAAUGAAAGGAUGAGGCCUGCCAUAUUAUUGCCUUUUGUUUAAUCAUGUUGGUUUCAACUAUUUCAGUCUUGUCGGUAAUUUAGCUCAUAAUGCCACAAGACUUUCUUUGUCAAAUAAGCCUUCUUGUUAAUAAGAUCAUGUAUUUUCCUGUGCUUAUAACAUGUUUUCCUUUUUCCAAAAUAUGCAUGAUCUCACAUGUUCAUAAGAAUUUUAGGAAUUCAAAGUUUGGUAUAAAAAUAAAAAUCAUAUUGGUGUUUGUCCAAAACAAAUAAAUUCUGGAAAUUCAAGUGAUUCCUUAGAAAGAUAAGUAUACACGUAGAAAACUUGAAAAAACAAAUAAACAAAUAAACACAUAAAAAAAAUCAUAAGGUGACUCCAAAGUUAAGUUUUAUUUGAAUAAAUAAUGAGAAAUCACUUUGCAUACUCGCAUGAAAGCAAGACGUAUCGAUCUUAAGUGCAUGUGUUUGAGAUGAGGAAAUGCCUUCUUUGAUAAUCGCUUCACGAGGCUAAAAUAUAUCCUUUGCAAUCCCUUUUUGAGUCUAGUAACAUUUUUUGAAAAUAACCUUGGCUAGGAUCACACUCAAACUAGGGUUAAGUGCGAGAGACACAGAAAAGACCUUGAUGAUUGAAGUGCCCAAGCAACACUGGGGGCAUAAAAGAAAAUUCUCAAUCAUCAAAGGUGCCCAAACAAAGCUAGGGGUAUGAAGAAAAAUCCAAAGGAUCCAAAAAUUUUAAGCAUACAAAAAAAAAACAAUUAAAUAAUGCUCAAAACCAAAUGAAGAAAAAAAAAAUAAAGAGAAAGAGCCCAACAUUGGGGGGCACGAUAAACCAUUUUGAAAAGACAUUCCAAAGACAAAAGGUCAGGAAACAAGCACUAGUGAUCCUUAGUCUUGAAAUCCCGUGAAAUACCUUUUGAGCCUACAAAUAUCCUUUUCUUCAUAACCAAGAACCCAAGCCUAUAUUACAUGCCUAAUCAAGCCCUUUCUGAUCAAAGACAAGCAAUCUGGAUCGGCAGACAAUGCUUUCUCAUACAACCCAAAUUAUUAUUCAUGUAAAUAAAAUAAAUGCUUUGAAGACUGGUUCUUUGUAACCCUCAAAUUAAAUCUUAAACCAUUUUUUACCAAACCCAAUGUCACUUCAUGUUUUUCACCAAAAGCAAAACGAAAGGUUUUCAUCACUUCUGAAAACCUCUUCAUAGGAAUCACUUGAAUUUCUUCAGAACAAGUUUGCUUUGAAUCGAUGUCAAAAUGAUUUCUGUGUUUGGAAUAGCUUUUAAAUUCCAACAUUUUUGCAUCAGAACAACUCCUUGUCAAAACUUCCUUUACAUAGCCUCAUUCCCAAACCCGAAUUAAAUACUUGGGGGCAUGAUCAAGUUGGGAGGCAAUAAAAAAUACAUGGUAGGGCAGACUUUAUAAUUCUUUUUCUAAGAAAAAUGUUGGGUAGAAUUGGCAACCCUUGAGAUAUAGGUUAGAGGGCAAAGAAGUAGGAUGAUAUGAAGCCUUUCUUAGAGGUCAAGAUCACAAGAUAUGACUCAAGUAAGCAAGAGCGAAAAAGUCAUCGAAAUUUACUACUUACACUCCAACUUUUGAGAAAAGAAAGACAUCAUGAAGAAAUGAGGACCUAUAUUUCUCAGGUAAGUAUACAUGCAUAUCAAUCAUAGUGCAUUACUUUCAACAUUGUCAGAUCGGUGUUUCACCAUCACCUUUUGGGUAGGACAUUUUAUAACCCUACCUCAUUUUGAGUGUGCCUUUGAGCCCUUAUUUUCUUUUCGAGUAAGUCUUUGAGCCCUCAUCUCAUUUUAAGUGCGCCUUUGAGCCCUUACUUCGUUGUCAAGAUGCGACUUUGAGCCUUUGCUUCCUUUGGAGUGCGCCUUUGAGCCCUCAUUUCCUUUUGAGUACGUCUUUGAGUCCUCAUCUCUUAGGUAGUGCAUUUUAUAACCCUACCUCAUUUUGAGUGCAUCUUUGAGCCCUUACUUCCUUUUGAGUGCGCCUUUGAGCCCUCACUUCAUUUCGAGGGUGGUAGUGUAUUUUCUAACCCUACCUCCUUUUGAGUGCGCCUUUGAGCCCUCACCAUCUUCCUGGAUAGGUCAUCCAUUACAAUGAUGCUAUUUUUACACUUGGGUAGGUCACCUAUUAUAAUGAGACCAAUCUUUCCUUUCCCACUUGGGUAGCUCACUCAAUACAAUGAGACUAAUUCUUCGUAUUUUUUUGCCUAGGUAAGUCCCUCAUUAUAAUGAGACCAUUCUUCCACCUGGGUAGGUCACCUAUUAUAAUGAGACCACUAUUUCCUUUUUUUUUCCCUUUGGGUAGGUCACCCAUUGCAAUGAGACCAUCCUUUUUUCUAGGUAGGUCACCUAUUAUAAUGAGACAACUCUUUUAUUUUUUUUUUCCCUUUGGAUAAGUCACUCAUUACAAUGAGAUCAUUUUUUUUCUAGGUAGGUCACCCAUUACAAUGAGAUCAUUUUCCAUGUUUUUUUUACCUGAGUAGGUCAUCCAUUACAAUGAGACCAUUCUUUUUUUUUCCACUUGGGUAGGUCAACCAUUACAAUGAGACUAUCAUUUUUCUGGGUAGGUCACCCAUUAUAAUGAGGCCAUUCUUCCACCUGGGUAGGUCACCCAUUACAAUGAGACCACUCUUUCUUUUUCCCCUUUGGUGACCACUAUCAUUUUUUUGGGUAGGUCACUCAUUACAAUGAAAUCAUUCUCCAUGUUUUUCCACUUGGACAGGUCACCCAUUACAAUUCGACCAUUUCAAAAAUCUUUGAAUUUCACCAGGAAAAAAAACCUUUCGACCAUUUAAGUUUGCUUUCUAGCCCUCAAAUGCUUUCCAAACAAUUCAUCAUAUGGUGAGUCCGUUAUCUUUUUUUUUCUUCUUUACAAAGCUUAUUAUCUAAAAUCUCUUACGAGACUUUCUAUCGUAAGUAUUGUAAAUAGAGGACAACUGUCAUAACCUAUUUUUGGAUUAUUCCCCAAAUUUAGUUUUUCUCUUCCAAAAAUAAUAUAUAUAUAUAUAUAUAUAUAUAUUCGGACUAAAAAAUAAACAACAAAAAAAAUAAACAAAAUAAUAACAGUGAGAAGGGGAUGCUAAAGUGCUCGGAAAAUAACUAAAAAUUAGUUGAGGAGGUUUAAAAAUACAAGAAUUGAAAUUUAACAGUAUAUCAUUGACUGAUGAGAGCCCGACUGACAAAGAAAAUUCAAUUUGAGGAAGAAAUGUAUAAAAUCAGAUGUUUAUUGGACUCAAUUAAAUUUAUUAAAGGUUAAAUUGAGUUUAUGAAGGAUUGGAUUGGAAGAAAAAUUGAUUUUGGAGUCAAUUUGGGCUUUAAUUAGAAGAAAUUAAAGUUCUGGGGUCAAAAUAUAAUUUUUGAGAGUUAACUUGAUCAAAUCAGGGGCAAAAUUGCAUAAAUAUUGAAGUUUGAUGGCCAAUUAGGAACUUAAUUGAAGAAAUAUGAAACUAAGGACCAAACUGGAAAAGGCGCGUAAAUAGAGGGCUGUAAUUAACUGAAUGAAGGGCUAAAUUAAAAAAAUUAAAAGUUUAUUGAUCAAUUAAGAGUCAAAUUGCAUUCGACCAAGAACUAAAAUGAAAAAUCAGCUAACUUCAGAACUGAUGAUUGAAUUUGACAGGAAAGCAAUUAAAUUAAUUUUUAAAAUUAAAAUUAUAAUUUAGAACUUGAUUGAAACACUUAAAAUAAAAAACUUAAAAUCACAGCAUGAUAAAAGAAGAAAGAAAGGAAUGGGAAAAGGAAGAAAGAAUAAAAAAAUCCCCUAAAAUCACGGCAUGAUAAAAGGAGAAAGAAAAGGAUGGGACAAAGAAGGAAGAAAGUAAGGUCGCGUAGGGGCCAGUAUUGAAGAAAAGCUAAAAGAACCAGGUAAUCCAAGGAACCAAUAGAUUAUCGCCACAUGUUCAACCUUAUAUUUAUUGUGACAUGGAGAUAAAGAUAAUCUCAAAAGCUAAUAGAUGGUCGCCACGUGUUCGACUUUAUCUACCCACUAGGAAAGGAAUCAAAGGAUAGAAAAGUGGGGGAGAGAAAGGUUAAAAAGGCUUUAAAAAAAAAAGAAAAGGAAAGACCCGGUUGAGAUAAGAGGGGGGACGUGGAAAUAGAAGGAGAAACGGAAGGAGACAUAGAAAGAUCGGAGGAGAGUAAGAAAAAAAUAUAUGAAUAUGUGAUGUCCAAUUUCUCAUAAAAAUUCUCUGUUUUUUUCUCUCUUUUAUUUGGAAUUUCUUUGGACACUUUAAUAAAAUAAUAACAAAAAAAUUAAAAUAUUGAUGAAAUUAAUAUUCAUUCAAACACAGAUUUACUGUGUACUAUGAUAUUAUUAUUUUUUUAAUUUUAAAAAACACGGCUUGGAUAAUAUUUCAAGUAGUGUCGUAAAAAAUAGCGUGUUUGUUUUUUAUUUUUUAAAUAAUUUUAAAUAAUAUUUUUUUAAUUUUUAUAUUGAUAUUAAAAAUAAUUUUUAAAAAAUAAAAAAUAUUAUUUUAAUAUAUUUUUAAAUAAAAAAUAUUUUAAAAAAACUACUUUAAAAACCUUAAAACCACGGCAUGAUAAAAGGAGAAAGAAAGGAAUAGGACAAAGGAAGAAAGUGAAAGGGAGAAAGGAAGAAAGUAAGGUCACGUAGGGGGGCCAGUAUUGUAGAAAAUAGGAGAUGAAAAAUUGGUAUGAAAAAGAGGAUGAUGGAGUGGUUGUCCAAAUCAUAGUGGUUUUUAUAAUUAUAUUUAUUUAUAGAAAUAUUAAAUUAAUAUAUUCUUAGUAUUUUAUAUGAUUAAAUUUUUUUGUUGAUUUAAAAAAUAUAUGCGUAUAAAAAAUUAUUUUAAUAUAUUUUUAAAUAAAAAAUAUUUUUAAAAGUAUGUAUCACAGUACCAAAUUAUAGUAUCAAUUAAAAGAAAAUAGGGUUUUAUGUUCAUUACCACUCACUUAUACUCAUUUAAUUCUUAUACUCAUUUAAUUGUGGACAAUAACAGUAUCUCAUUUGAAAACUUUCAAUUUUAUACUUAAAUUUUUUUCAUAAUUAAUCAUUUUUAAUUAAAAUUAGAGUUCAAAUGUAUAUUUUUUUUUAAGGAGGAGAGUUGAAUUAAAAAACAGGGACUGAAGUAAAAAAUUCAGCUAAAAUAGGUAGCGACUCUAUAAUUUAUUUACAAAAUUUAUUUUAGUUUCUCAUCUUUUCAAGUUAUUAAAUAAUAAGUCCGCAUAAUUUUCCAACAUUGCAUUUCAAAUUUUUUUUAUUAUUAAUACUUUUAAUAUAUUUUUUUGAAAAUAAUUUUAAAAACGGUGUUUUCAUUAAUAUUCCUUUUCUAUGAUUUGUUUUUUUGGCAUUAUGUAGUCUUUCUUCAAUUAUUUUUAAUUUUGUUGCUUUGUUUAAUUUUUUAAGAGGUUAAUAAUAUUUAUCUGUAAAUAUUUGUUAUAUAUUUCAGAUAGAUUAAGUAUUUAAUUUUCAUAAUAAUUUGAAUAUGUGUAGCGUUGCAUAGUUUUUCUUCCUUUUAUGAUAUUAAAAAAAAUUAUGUGUGUGUUGAUUUCUAUUAUCGAUUGAUUUUAGUAAAUAAAUUCAUUAAAUAUAACCAAAUAAAUGAUCCAUAUUGCAAUAUUAAAUACUUUAUCUAUAUUUGUUUCUUAAUUUUUCCACUUGCACUUUUAAUUAUCGGUAAUGACUUCAUUUUUUCAUUUAUUUACACAAUUGUUUGUGAUUUAUUUAAUUUGAUGCGUGUAUAAGUUUUUCGAUUUACAUUUAGAAUUUUUUUAAUGUAAAAAAACACGUUGAGAAAUUCUUAUUUUUAUGAUUUUAGUUUGAUCCUUAUUCUUAUAAUUUCUUAUUUUCUUUCUAACCCUUUUAUAAAACAAAAAAUUGUUUAUAAUUUCAUCCUUCAAUUGAACAUAAUGAUGUAUUUUUUUUAUUAUUUAUAUUCUUGUUUGUUAUUAUUGCUUUUUUUCUUUAUAUAAUUCAUAUAAAACCAGCUUAUUUAAUCGGCCAAGACUAAAUAAAUAAAUAAAAAGAUAUACUGUGUCUUCCCAUUUCCUCUCCCUGGUGAAUUUUGGCGACCACCCACACAAUGAUAGCCUAAACAACCACCAGCCAUGCCACUUUUCAAGACCCCAUCUCUCAAUCUCAAAACCAGAAACAACCCUUUCUCAUAAUUCCGGGAAAGUGAAGAACUAAACCAUAGUGGCAAAAAUCUUAAAGGGUCUAAAUUAUCUCUGUUACUUUCCCUCAAUUUUCUAGACAAGCAAAAGGAGCUAAACUUAUUCCCGACCAAAACGCCAAGAAUUUCAGUAGAACAAAAGAAGAGAUUGUUACUUGACCAUAAACAAUUAGUCCGCACCCAAACAAACUGAGUGAAUGAGAGAAAAAGACUAAUGGCUAGAAAACAAUCAACAGAUCCAAGAAUUUUCUGUAUGGUUUCCAAGAAAAUGAAACGAAACGAGCAGCACAACCCUCUUUCCCCUCUAAGAAAAGAAAGAAGAAGAAAAAGAAAAAGAAAAAGAAAGGAAAGAAACAAAGAAGUUCGAGGAAAGAAAAAGUAAGGAAGAUGAAACCAUAAACCUGCAAGUCCUACAAAUCAUAAACAUUGACUUUGAUUUUUCCUUUAUAAAACCAUAAACCUGCAAGUCCUACAACAUGAAGACUUAUCAGAUCCUAAUGAAAAGCUGUCAAAAUCCUAUCAGAAAUUAAGGAAGAUGACGUUACGUUAACUUCAAAUCUGAGGAUUAAUUGUAGCAGAUCUUAUAGGGUUCAGCUGAUUGCUUUACUUGUUUAAAUAAUUCUCUUGUAAGCCUAAUGGUUCACGUCUUCCAUCAUUGCAACCUUUUUUUCUGUGAUUGAAAAAUCUAUAAUAGGAACCUGCACUGCAUCCCUUCUAUGCUGUUGUUCUUUCUUCUUGUUUUGCUAUUUUGAUUUUAUCAUAUUUUCUAUGAUGAAAGUUGAAGAAAUUCUACUUCGAAACUCAAGACAAAGUCUCUCGAUCGGACUGCAUAUUAGUGGGUUGCUCAUUGGGAUUUCUAUAAACAACUGAUUCUAAUAUUGCAAAGCAACAUUACGAAAAACUGAAUAUUUCACACAUAGUCUAAUAAAAGUAGAUUCCAUUGUCAAUUCCUUAACAUUUUCCAAACAAAUCCAUGCUCCUCAUUUUAUACUUUCUUGAGGGUUUCUAUUCUCUUAUUACCAAUUUCAGUGAGUUUCAUAAUAAGCUGCUUAGAAAGAAGCUAUCUAGCAGGAGGGUGGGGCUACUCUUAGCCAAUGAAAACAGCUUCACAUGCUAUACAGCAACGUGAAAAAAAGAUUCUCAGCCUGUUCUCUCUUUAAUGAACACCCUCUUGGAUUCUCUAGCAUUAGCCAACAAGGUAUUUGCUUGGAAUUACUUCCACCUGAAAACAACAGUUAACCUAUUUAAUAUACUUAACUAAGUAUCUAUUUCAUAACCUUAUAUAUUUUUUUAAUUAAAUUAGUUAUUUUUUUCAAAAAUAAAAAAAGUAAACGGUUUUCCAAAAAUCUAAUUCACAAUAAAACAAAUAAUGAAACUUGAUAAUAAUUCAUUAAAUAACCAUCAAUUAUUCAUCAAACCAAUCUGAAAAAGCUCAUAUUAAAGCUAGGGACCAAUCUGGAAUUUUAUCAUAUUUUUAGGGGUCAAAUUAUAAUUUUAUCAAAUUAGAAGACCAAACUAAAAAUAUCAUAAAUUCAUGACUAUACUAGAAUUCUGCCCAUAAUUCAUCAUAAAUUCUGCCCAGAAUUUCAAAUUAUGCUCCAAGGACCACUAUAGAAUUUUAUCAAAUAUCUAGGGUUAAGUUGUAAUUUCAUCAAAUUGGAGGACCAAAGUGAAAAUAUCAUAAAUUCAUAACUAUACUGGAAUUCUGCCCAUAAUUUAACUUUAAUUCUGUCCAGAAUCUCGGAUUAUGCUCCAGGGACCAAUCUCUAAUUUUUCUAAAGUUCAAGGACUAAACUGUAAUUUUCACAAAUUGAGGGACCAAACUGAAACUUCAACCUCAAACCCAGAAUUUACACAGAUAACCUACUGAUAUAUCAAGAUUUCUAACUCAAAUUCACCAUUUAAAUAAAAUCAUAACUCAAAAUCAUUAUUUUUACCUAAAAUCUUUCAAAAUCAACUAAAUAAUUCAUUAUCCAUAACAAUCAACCCAUAAUUUUUCUGUAAUGUAAUUGUAAUUCCUAGCAUAAUGCAUAUCCGAGGGCAAGCACAACAACUCAAGAACAAAGAAACUCGAUGAAAUAGCAAAAGAAAAGGACUUGAAGGACUGAAAUAAAAUAAAACCAAAAAAUAGGGAUUAAAAAAGUAACCGCACUCUGGUUGCCAUAAAAAACAUAGUUCUUUUAAUAUUUUUUUUUUAACUAUUGUAAUAGGUCAAUCAUAUUACCCGAGUGUGUGACUCAGAGAUGAUCAUCAUAGAAAAUUACUUUUAAUUGCUUGAGUUUUAUCCUUAGAUGAAAAACUUACCUCGUCCUCCUAAUGCUUUUGCUUUCAUUGUUUCGAAAGUAAAAGAGACAUAAACAUAAUCAUUUCCUUCCUUUUACUUUCCACUUCUUUGUAAUGGAUUGCAAACGGGAUGGUGCUUAGUGAGGCCAGUUUUUCUUUUCCUUUCUAUUUAAAAUCUUAUGCCUAAUUGGGUGAGGAAAUUAGUGGAGCAUUAGACUUUUUAAAAGACAACAAAAGGAAGCAAUGUCUCAUCUUUUGAUAUGGUGGUCUUCCAUGAUCAGUUUGUUGAUGAAGAUAUCGAAAGAUUCGAGUCUCCGUUCUAGUUCAGGUUGGAUGCAAGGCCGAAAGCUAAGCUUCUUUUAAUUAUGAAUUGUUUAUGCAAAGGAAACCCAGAAGCUUGAACAAACAGAAAUGCCUUGUUGAUUUCUCUGCUACUACUCAUUAUUUCCAAUAUUAUUCCAUUAUCUUACCCGAAAGCAAUUAUACAAGAAAUUUCAUUAUCCUGCCCCAAAGGCAGUUUAUUGCAUGGACUUCCUUUAACCUAGCUCCUUGAAGGCAAUUUAUUUGAUGAAAAUUCCUUUAAUCCACCUCAAAGACAAUUUAUCUUAGGGAAUUCCAACAACCCUUAAGGCAUUUUAUCAAAGGGAAUUCCAAAAACAAUUUAUUUCUUGGACUCAGUAUUCUUUGAUACUAGUUAUUUAUAUAUAAUUUAACAACACUUAACCAUCUUACAUUUAAGAAGAAAUUCAAAAGUAAGGAUAACCCUUAUCUAGAGCUCCUGUGGUUCUUGCUCCCGAGAGAAUUGGCUCCACUCCGGACAAAUCUACUAUCAGAAACCCAAGUUUCAACCAAUCAAUAACAUCAACACCCAUUUUAUAUUAAUGCAAUAAGUUUUUCUUAACCAAUUUACUUGAUGCAAGUUCUUAUAAUAAAAGUGACAGUAUUCAAGGUGAAGACAAGCAGAAGGGCGUGAUAGAGUUUGACAAAGAUGAAGCUAGUUCCAAUAAAGGGAAACACUCUAUGCAGGCCAAACAACAGUGGAAAUUCUUAUAAUCCCACCAAUCAAGGAUUACAGGACCCUAGUCCUUCCCAAACCAAUUUGAACUCCCCGUAGAGAAAACAUCUCCAAACCCAUUUUGAAUCACCCACAACAAGCAUCUCCACAACCUGUUCUGAACCCCCCCACAACAAGCAUCUCUGCAACAUGAUUUUAUUUCCUUGUGUGACAGGGAGGUCAAAAUUGAAAGAUAUUACUAUUUUCAUUAAUUUUAUUAAAGCUUAAUUAUUAUUUUUUUUCCCUUUUCUUUUAAAAAUGUUAUCUCCUUGGUAAGGAAUCCUUGGUUCCCAACAGCAACUGUAGCAUAGUUAAAAAAAUAUCUAAACUCCACCGAAAGUAGUGGAGCCUUAGAAUUUUUAAAAGACAAAACGGGGACAAGUGAGAGACGAAGAAAAAGACAAAAGUAAUCCCAUCUAUUGAUGUGGUGAUCCAAGAUACACCAUAACAUGGUGUUCUUCCAUGAAGUCUAAGAUACACCGUCGUGUUGUUUCAUAUAUAUUUUUAUAUAUGAAAAUAAUAAAGCUACCGUUUAAAACAACUCUGAAAACAAAAUUUUUAAUAAUCCAUAAUUUUUAAGCAAACAUCACUUAUAAGCAAAUAAUUAAUGAUGGUUAGUUAAACUAAUUCAUUGUUAGGCGGAUAUAUAUUAAGGUUAAGAACCCUCUAUCUAACACUAAUAACUAAUCACUGAUAAUAUUUAUGCAAAACUUGUAGCUUAGGAUGAACUCUCAGAGAUGUGGGCGAGGCAACUCAAAGUAGAAGGGAAGGGGUAACCUCUGAUAACAGAGAAAAUUGUAGAGUAAAGCAGGACCGAAUUUUCUUAAAUUAACAACAGAAAUCUACAAUGAACAGUUCUCGAGAAGAAACUCAAGAAACGUAUAUAAAGCUACAUGAUGACAUAAUAGGAACCUGCAUUGCCUCCAUUCUAUGAUGAAAGUUCAAGAAAUUUUACGUCGAAACUCAAGACAAACUCUCUCAGACUACAUAUUAGUGGGAUUUCCAUGAACAACUGAUUCUAUUGCAAAGCAACAUUAGGAAAAAUUGAAUAUUUCACACAUAGUCUAAUAAAAGUAGAUUCCAUUGUCAAUUCCUCAACAUUUUCCAAACAAAUCCAUGCUCCUCAUUUUAUACUCUCUCUCUUAUUACCAACUUCAUUGAGUUUCAUAUAAGCAUAGUCAAUCACACAACUAAUAUGUGAAUUCACAAUUUCUUACCGAAAACAUUUUAUCAGUGCAAGUUAAUACAUAAUUUUACCUCUCCUCUUGGUGAAAACAUAAAGACACAACCACCGAGCAGAUCUCUGGUAAUGGUCUCUACAAAUUCCCUACAGUUCCUAUUGCCAACAAACUCCUCUUGCCAUUCCCUAACUGCAUUGAGCCAGCUAAUCUGGAUGAAAGAAAAGACUUCAGCCAUUCCCUAACCUUAAAGCAGACCCAACUUUGUAGCUCAUUACCAGUUAAGUAAAAGUUAUCAAUAGCUGUGUAAAUCAUUGAAACUGCCACAAAAGCCCCAAAUUAGUUAUGAAUUGGAUUCGAUAAGGGAAAGAGGGGAAGAGGGGAAAUGGGUAACGGAAAAUUAAAGAGAGAUGAAGAUCUGCGCAGGGCUACCUGUUUUGAGAAUUAUGGAUUUUUAUCCCUAACUCCAAAUUGCACCAAUUAUAAGUUCAUUAAAACAAAUCUGGAACAGAACAGAUGGAAAAAACUCGAAACAACUUGGCUAGAAUUUGGGCAAGAAAUUCAGAACGGCCAAGAUUUUAAGUGAGAUAAAAGUUAUCCCAUUUUGUUCUGUUUUUUUUUAAAAAAUUAAUAUGAGAUGUACUAUCCAUUUCAAGCGGAACAUAAUGGAAUGAACAACCUUGCAUCGAAGACCUAAUUUUAGUGAAACUCAAGUUUCUUGUGUCAAAGAAAAUGUUCUAAAAAAAUGUUUUAAGCAUUAACAAAAUCUAGUUGGCCUAGGCAAUCCACUAUUGUUGCUGUUACCGUUGGUGCAUACUCCAUUACACCAUUGACAUAGUGCAACUGUUUUUCUUUCUUUCUUUCUUUCUUUCUUUUAAAAAAAUCCAUGUUAUGUUUUUUAUUUGAAGCUUUUUUGUUAAUAUCUUUCGCAAUUGGCCUUGGUAUUUUGUUUCCAUUUUCUCUGUUUCCUUCUUCUGUAGUUAGAAAACAUCAUGUCUUUGGGUUUGCGCUUGAUACAGCAAAAUUAAGGACACAAUAAUCAAAGAACACAAAAUUUUAUAAGGGAAAGGGGUUGCAGUUGUGAACCUAAAAUUUACAAAUUUAUUUUCUCAAUAAUAAUAAUAAUAAUAAAGAAGUUUGCCUUCUUAAAAGGUUUACAAAACCUUAAAUAGGUUAGGAACCUUACCUCAACAAGGGAACAGAAAAAAAAUCCAAAAUUAUAAAUGAAACAAGCAUAAAAUCUGAAAUAAGCAAGAAAUGAAAAUAACAAAAAACUACCAAAAUCAGGGGCAUCAUUGAGAUUUUUAAUAUCUAAAGAUCUAAUGAUUUGUAUAAAAAUUUGAGCACAUUAAUCCAAUAAUCGAAAAAACAAUUAUGGCUCUUUUGAGCUGUUAUUCUAGUCUAGCACGAUCAAACAUUCUCUUGGGUUUAGACUUGUUCUAUUGGUUCAUAAAUGCAUUUACUAGGCCAUCAACAUUAAUUGUCUAAGGCAAAUUCUCAUCUAGUUGUGGUAGACUCACACCUGACUGCUUAUAAAAUUGGUUGGUUUUUUGUUUUCGAAGAGAUUUAAAAUUUGAUGCAAAUGAAAGCUAAAAACACAAUAAUUAAAGGGCACAAAAAAAAUUAUAAGCGAAAAAGACUGCAGAUGUGAACCCUCAAAUUCACAAGUUUAUUUUCUCUAAAAUAAUAAUAAUGAAAUUUGUCUUCUUAGGAGGUUUCCAAAGCCAUAAAAAUAUCAAGAAUCCUACCUUAACUUGGAAACAAAAACACAAACUCAAAAUUACAAAGGAAAAAAGCAUAAAAUCCAAAAUAAGCAAGAAAUUAAAAAAUAACAAAGAAAAUCACAAAAAACUACCAAAACUAGAGGGCUCAACAAGAUUUUUGAUAUCUAAAGAUUCAGCAGUCCACGCAAAAAAAUUUGCAUGGUCCAACGGUCGGAUAAGAAAUUGUGAUCAUUUUGAGCUAUUAUACACGACCAAAUCUUCUUUUGAUCCUAUACUUGUCCUAUUAGUCCAUAAAUGCAUUUUCAUAACCUAUCUUUUUUUUUUUUCUACUAUAGAUGGUGUUUGACCAUCAUCGUCAUAUGGUUUGACUUAGUUGUACCGGUUUUUAAUAAGAUGAACUUUAUAUAUUAUGGGUUUACAUUUACUAUUUUUUAAAAAUGUUCAUUAUCGUUUCGAUCUCUAUAAGUCCAUUGUUCACAACUGAAGUCCGUACCUGCAGCGGAUCACAGGCAAUGAAACUAUACAAACACACUAGAGACUCAAGAGUAAACAUGCUACUAUAGUUAGCAGGUAAGGGUCAGGUCAUUUGUUGUCUGGUUUCAAAUAGAGUUUCAACUCAUUUAAUAAAUAUAUAUACAUGGCUCAUAGUUGGAUUAUUUGUGUUUUUGUUAUUUGUUCUUCCCAGUAAUUGUACCAGAAGCUGCUCUCAUAUUUGAAGGAAUGCAAACAAUAUAUUGUUAAUAUGAAACUUAUGAUGCCUAGGAAAUUGCCAUUUUUCUCAUUUUUAAUUGGAAGAAAAAUCACAAGUAUGUUUCUGUUAGAAAUAACUUCUUAUUUCAAUCAGAAGUGUGUCACUAAAUUGAUUUAUAAGUAAGUUUUUAAAUUGUGGAUUAUAUCUUAAUUACAUUAUAUUUUUUUAUUAACAAAAGUUUAUUUGAGUUAUUUUUAUUAAAAAUACUUAUAAUUUAAAAUUAUUUUAAUUCUUUUUUAUCAUAAAUUAUUUAUUAAAAACAACUUAGAUUAUCGCUUGAAAUAAAAAAUUCUUAAUUCAAAAGUCAUUAAAAAAUUCUUAAUUUAAAGAAGCUAAUAAUCUAAAAGGAGGGUGGGGCUGCUUAGCCAAUGAAAACAGCUUCACAUAUGAAAACAGCUUCACAUACAACGCAACAACGUGACACAAAGUAGAAAAAAAAAGAAAAAGAAAAAUUUCUCAGUCUGUUUUCUCUUUACUGAACAACCUCUUUGAUUCUCUAGCAUCUGCUUGGAAAAACCAUUCAACAAGGGAUUCUGCUAGGAAAACAUGCAAUUGUUCUUCUAUCUGAUAUCAGUUUCAAAAUUCUAAACAAAUAAUGCAACAAGUCACAUUUAUUCCAGACCUCAAGCUGCAUUGCCUAUUUCAAAACCACAAAGAGAACAUCAAACAGAACAACAAAUACCCAGUCGUAGAGCCAUUAAUUUGAGCAUAAAGGAGAAAGAAAGUCCACGCAUUAAACAGUAGGCACACACAUGAGUAUACAUUAUGCCCUUGUUUUUGAAGAUUCAGACACUUCAAAAGAAAACUCACGCUCUUAUUUUUGGGAAGUUCUUGUAUGGUAAAUAAGACUGUUACAAUGUGAAGCCAAUUUGUAUCCCAUUGCCAGUGAAACAAUAGGAAUUACUUCCACCAAUCUAAAACAUAUUCGCAGCACCACAGCUCAAAGACAUGAAUCUCUGUGAAAUCACCUAAGGUCGAGUUGCUCAUGUAAUAGGCAACCAACCUGCCUAAUGCUAACAGAAGAACAAAGACCAUUCAUGCAUAUCCAUUACCUGUUUAGCAUGUUUUUCAAAUUCCAAUGCCAAACUAAUCAUCCUACCCAUCAUCAUCAUCACCACCAUCUCCCUUCACCACCUUCCUUCAUCUCCUUCACCACAUACCCACCCAUUAUUUCGGGUCCACGUUUUACAAGUGCUGAUUGGCGCAGAGCAACCAGUGCUUGAAUCCUCAGCUACUUCAGAUACCUGUAAUCCAAUCCAAGCAUGGCAUACACAUUUUGGCUUCUAAAUCUUAUUAUUGAGUGAAACAAGAAACAAACACACAAAAAGAGAAGCAAGAAAUUAAGACAAUUCAGCAGCACCUCUGAUGGAGCUCUUAUUGAACCAUUUGGUGUAGUAGCAAAUUUUGUGAUCAGCUUUGGGCAUUCAAACACCUCCAACUGCUCUAAAUGAGGGAAUAAGAAAUCAUAACAUCCGAGACUGAAGCAUACAAUACUUGAUAAUUGUUCUAGCAACAGCACCUGCAGAUUCGGGAGCUCCAUCACCUUCUCAACAUUGACAGGUAAAGCAUUCUCAUCCUGAAGCCAUGGCUACUGGGAAGAGACUCUUCAACAUGUUGCAUUUUCUGACAUCAAUUUCACAUAAAUUAGGGAAACAUACAGAUUGAAGAUGAUCUCCUGGGAAUAUCUGAUCCUUUCCAUCAUCAUUAUCCCUAGCAAUGAUUUGCUAUAAUUCCUCACAACUUUCUAUGUUUAGAAAAUUCAGUUGAACUAGACUAGCAAUCAUGCUGUCUGAGAAUACAUGUGUUAGUCUUUUACACUUAUUCACCACCGAAGUAGUUAAAUUGCUCAGCACGAGAACCUUCCACAAACACCACAUGCUUGUGUCAGGCAGGGACUUCAAUUUUAAUGUUUUCAAACUUGUUAAACUCCUAUGCAUGCUCCACUUAUCAAUUUUAAUGUUUUAGCUCUUCAUUCGUCUCUCCAUUUAAAGCUAUAAAAUAAAAUAAAAUAAAAAUAGCUAACAAUAUUACCCUUUUUUUUAUUGACAAAUGCUACUGUUUUUUUCUUUUUUUUUUUCUUUUUGUCAUUCUAAAUAGAGCAUUUGCCAAUAAAAAAAAAUUAAGGCCUGGAAAUGAUGUUUUGUGAUUGGCCCAUCAUUAAUUUUGUUAUCCAUGCACAGUAUAGACCGGCCCGGGAAUGAUGUUUAAACUGGGAAUAAUGAGUUUUCUAUGGGCUUUGGAGCAUUGUGUGACACUUAACAGUGUGCACUUCAGGCCCAUUUAAGAAGAGAAAAAAGGGACAGGGAUAAAGUCUGAAGUAACGGUCAGAAAAGAAACCGAUAAAUUAAUUAAAUUGAAAAAAUUAAAUUAUAAAAAAAAUUAAUUAAAUAAAUUAGAAUAUUUUUAAAAAAUUAGUUGAGUUUGAUUUUGAUUUCAUAAAUUUAAAAUUAAAAAACCGAACCAAAUAAAAAAACCCAUUAAAAAAUCCCAAAAUUACCAAAAAAACAACAUAAUUUUUAAUUUUAAAUAUAAAAUAAUCAAACCAAAUCGAAAUCGGUCAAUUGAUUGAGUUUCAGUUUUUAAUAUAAAAUAAUUAAACCAAACCAAAACAGGUCAAUUGGGUUUUAUUUUCUAAUAUAAAAUAAUCAAAUAAAAUUAAAAUUGAUCGGUUGGAAUCGGUUUUAAUUUUUUUAUAUAUUUUAUAAAAUUUGAAUUUAUUAUUUUUAUAAAUAAAAAAAAUAAUCACUCUCGGUCUAAAGUCAAGACAUUGUGGUAUAUGACAUCAUUGGCAGGGUACUAUUCUACCACUAGAUCACUGGCACUUGUUGGUAUCAACGUGUGGAAUAGCUAAUUAAAUAUAUAUAGUCAAAUAGGUAAUUGAAUAUAUAUAAUGACACGUAUAUUUCCUAGUCAAACGCAGGAGCAAAAAUUUCAAAAUAGCAGACAACGUUUUUGACAGAAGUCUUGUACCAUUACUUCUAUCUCGCUUUAUUCUCUUCUAUAUAUAUAUAUAUAUAUAUAUAUGGUGAAUUGACUAGAGCAUGCAUAUAAGACUUCUUCUAGUCAUGAUGGUCAGUGAGGUUUUUGGUUUUAAAAUCAACAACUCCACUUAAAUUUCUUAAACUUGAAGAAUAUGCGAAGACAAUGCAUUUUUAAUAUGCUAAUUAUUCCUUGUACAGAAACAAGAAGGGAUUCUCCUCUACAUUAUUGUCCCAAUAUAUCAAACAUUGAUAAAGAAAAAAUGCAAAUCAAAACCAAGGCUCCCUCCCCACUGUUUCGUUUUAUAUGCUCUUGGAUCUUGAUUAACUAAUGAAGGAAACAAUUUGAAAACAUUAAAAUUGUAUCAAGAGACAGGGAAUGACACAGUUAGACAACUCCUUUUCAAUUUAGUGGAUGGCUAAAGGAUUUAUCUCCACUUAUCAAUUACUUCAGUUUCAGAAAUUUGGAGGAAGAAAUCACAAUGUAUUGAAGUUGACAACCAGAAGCCCAAAAGAAAACAAUUUUGACGAAUACCCACCAAACAGUUGAAGUGCUGCUGUAACUGAGAUUUUUUAUUAUAUGUAUUUUUUGUGGUCCAAUGGAUAAAUAAUUUUUUUUUCUUUUAUUUUAUCAGCUUAAUUUUGCAUGUGGAAUAUUGAGUUUUCUGUUAUUUUUUCAGACACAGAAUUGAAUCCUUUAUAUAUUCUUAAAACCAAAUUUGAAUUCUAAGUUCCUAAAUGAAGGAAUAAUAAAGAUUGUUGCAACUUGCAUGUACAAAUUCUCCUUCAAAAAAUUAACAAAUAAUAAAGUCUCCUAUGUUAAUGAAGAUUUAAUUAUAACUUAGCCCUGUAAUUUCUUAAAAUUAAUUAUUUAGUCUUUUAAGUAUAAUGGAUGUCGCACCCGACAUCGCGGCGGCCCUAAAAAUAAUCCUCGAAUAUGAAAAAAGAACAGAUUUCUGGCAUCUUGCUCUUUUAGAAGAAAAAAAAUGUCUUAUUUGAGGAGUCGCCACCUAUUAUUAUGGUCACUAGGAACCCUAACUAGUCAACAGAGAUUCUAUGGCUCGGGAUUGGUUAUGUAAAAGGGAAGAUAUUAUCACCCUUUAAACGUUCUGCCUAAUGCAGAUUGCAUUGCUGGUUUUGUCUUAAAUUGCUAAAUGUUUAUUAGUUUAUGCUAUGAUAAUUUGUUUAUAAUAUUCCUGACUCUGGCGCCAAUGAAUAUUCGAGCUCGAAUAAUUCCAACUCUGGCGUUGGUAAAAAUUCGUUGCUACGAAAAAAAAUUAGAUCAAUAUUUUUUAUUCUCUACUCUAGCGCCAAUGAAUAAAUAAAUAAAAAUAAAUUUAUUUUUACGCAUGCACAUAUUUUUUUAUUUCUUAUGUAGUUAAAUAAAAAUUAAAUCAGUAUUUUUUAUUUCUGACUCUGGCGUAAGUGAAUAAAUCAAUAAAUUUUUCUAUUUUUUCUAUUUUUAUUUUUUUUUGUUUUGGGGGUUGGGCCCAGCUCAGCCCACAAGGGCUGGGCUGGACCCAGCUGACUCGAUUGGGUCACUGGUCUAGACCAGUGACCCGGCCGGGUGGCAAACGCACGCCUGCCCAAUGAAUUAUAAUUCACUUGCUACAGUAGCAAGUGAAUUAUAAUUCACUGCUACUGUAGCAGUGAAUUAAAAUGCAAAAGGGUAGAGAUGAGGGACGACUGACCUGGUGCAGCAAGGCGUAGCCGGAGACGAUGGCGCACUGUGCUGGACAAACGACGCUGCCUCCUCUUGUUCUUCCUCUCUUCUUCCUUCUCUUCCUCCUUUUCUUCCCUGGUUCGUCCCUGUAUUUCUUUCCUGGAGUGCCCUGUUUCUGGUGCAGUGGCUGCUGAAGAUGGAGCUCUGGAGUUGCUGCUUCUGGAGGCGACGAAAACGGUUGUGACGCUGGUGGUGACUCUUGUCUACUGCUUUCCUUGGUCUUCCUUAUGUGCUUCCUCUGCUCAGGACAUCAACGAUGGUGAUGAAGAUGUUAGGUGCUGCCGGUUGAAUGGAAGCUUGCUCCCCUGUUUCUGUUUUUCUGCAUUCGUCUUCCCUAGUUUUCCUUUCCUAAGCUGUGAUAAGAUAGGAUUUAGAGGAAGAAGAGAUAAUAAGAUAAAAGGUGAUUGUUUAUUGAUUGCAUGCCUUUCCUCUCGAAACAGUGAGCCUAAAUAGGCCAUUCAAUACAACUGUAAACUAAAUAAUAGGAACUCCAGUAGUGGAGAGCUGAAGACUAGGGAUUCUCUGACCCAUUCAAUUACUUAAUUAAACAAUGAAAUAAAUUAAACAAUGAAACAAACAAAACAUAAAGUAAUUCCACGUAGACUCUCUCCAUGCAGUAGUAGCAAGAGAUCCACGUGCCCAAUGCUCUUAUCAUUCCCUCUCCCUCCCUUGAAUUCUCCUUGUCCGCAAGGUUGAAUUGAGGAUAAGUUUUUGCAAAUCGCCACAAAUUUUCCCACGAAGAAUCUUCUGGCAAUGCCCCCUUCCAUUGCACCAAGAUUUCCGUUCGUGGCCUGUAUUUCCCCUUCUGGAUAACCCUUCUAUCAAGGAUUGCUUCUGGUUCUGGUAACACCACAACAUCUGACAUAAUUGGAGGAAGGGUGAUCACCGCGUCCUUGGCUAUAUCUCCCCACUGUUUCUUGAGUAAACUGACAUGGAAAACAUCAUGUAUGCGUGACCCUGUGGGAAGGUCUAAUUUGUAUGCCACUGGUCCAAUGCGAGCGAGAACCUUGAAGGGGCCAAAAAACCUGGGUGAUAACUUUAAGGAACUCCUGAAAGCUACCGUUUUUUGGCGGUAUGGUUGCAAUUUUAAGAACACAUAAUCUCCAACCUGAAAUGUGACUUCCCGACGAUGCAAAUCUGCCCGAGAUUUCAUGCGUCCCUGUGCAUCAAUUAAAUUCCGUCUGAGGUCCCGCAGGAUGACCUCUCUUGUGCGCAGCAUUUGAUCUACUGCUUGAAGCUUUGUAGUUCCUGGUAUAUAGGAGAUCAUAGAUGGAGGAGGGACCCCGUACACAGCUUCAAAUGGAGAAACCUUCGUUGUUGAUUGAAUGGCCGUGUUGUAACCAUAUUCAGCCCAAGCCAGCCAUUCCAUCCAUGCCUUUGGGUGGUCGCAAGUGAAACAGCGCAGGUACUGUUCCAAGGUCCGAUUAACCACUUCGGUUUGGCCGUCCGUUUGCGGAUGGUAACUGGAGCUGUAGUUAAGUGUCGUGCCAUGUAGCGUGAAUAAGGACUUCCAGAAGGAGCUGAUGAAGAUUUUAUCCCGAUCACUCACUAUAGAACGCGGCAUGCCAUGUAAUUUGACCACAAUAUUUAAGAAACACUUCGCAACCGUCACUGCAGUGUAGGGAUGUUUAAGUGGCAUAAAAUGGUUGUAUUUGGAGAGCCGAUCCACCACAACCAUGAUAACACUGUAACCUUGCGAAGAUGGUAAGCCCUCGAUAAAAUCCAUAGAUAUGUCCGUCCAAAUGAGCUGUGGGAUUGGGAGAGACUGAAGUAACCCCGCUGGCCUUAAAGUUUCAUGUUUACAACGCUGGCACACCUCACAUUCUCUAAUGAAGUUCUUGACAGAUGUUCGUAUGCCAGGCCAUAGAAAGCUGGAGGAGAUGCGGGUCAAGGUCUUUAAAUAGCCAAAAUGUCCACCUGCAGGGAAUGAAUGCCCAUCGGCCAAAACAGCAGGUAACAAAGAGGAUGUAGGACUCAAGUGUAUCCUCCCUUUCUGCAUCCAAACCCCAUCUCUUUGAACCAGUUUUAAAGUGGGAUUGGUGGCCACAGUGCUGUAAUAGGGCUGCUGCUGGACUUCUUGUUGUAGAGUUUCCCACCAGUCUGUAAUAGGAGCUGAUAUAGCGUGUAAUUGUGCUGCUGCCACGCGAGAGAGAGCAUCAGCUCCCUGAUUUUCCUUGCCCUUGCGAUACUGAAUGCUGUAAUCGAACCCCAUAAUCUUCGGCAGCCAACGGGCUUGAGAAGGGGUGGUAAGUCGUUGCUCGAGAAGGUACUUCAAGCUUUGAUGAUCGGUCUUGAUCACAAAGGUUCUGCCCAAUAAAUACGGCCGCCAUUUCCGCACUGCCUUCACUACUGCGAGCAUCUCCUUGUCAUACGUUGACAGUAAUCUAGACUUGCCCUUCAAGGCCUCACUGUAAUAAGCAAUUGGCUGAUUGUCUUGAGAUAAAAUUGCUCUCAACCAUCACCACACGCAUCACACUCCACUGCAAAUUGUUGUGCAAAGUUUGGAAGUCGCAGCACAGGUGGGGACGUGAGGGCUUGCUUCAGUUUAUUGAAAGCCAUGAGCGCCUCCUCAGACCAGCGAAACCCCUCCUUGGAUAGGAGCUGAUUUAAUGGUGCAGCUAUGACGCCAAAUCCUCUCACAAAUUUUCAGUAAUAUCCAGCCAAACCGAGAAACCCACGGACAUCCUUGGGAGUUGCUGGAAUUGGCCAAUUUUGGACGGCUUGGAUUUUGGCAGGGUCCACUGCUACUCCUUCGGCAGAAAUGAGGUGCCCCAAAUAACCCACGGUAAGCACUCCAAACUGGCAUUUUGAGAGCUUUACAUACAGCUGGUUGUCCGAGAGAAUACGCAGCACUUGACAGAGAUGUUGUAAGUGAUCCAUCCAAGACCUGCUAUACACCAAAAUAUCGUCAAAAAAUAACAAUAUAAAUCGCCGUAAAUGAGGGCGAAAGAGGUCAUUCAUGAGACUCUGAAAAGUUGCUGGGGCGUUUGUCAAUCCGAAUGGCAUGACCACAAACUCGUAGUGACCGUCAUGAGUGCGGAAUGCGGUUUUUGGAAUGUCUUCCGGCUGGACUCUAAUCUGGUGAUACCCGGAGCGCAAGUCCAGCUUUGAAAAGAACUUCGCGCCAUGUAAUUCAUCAAGCAACUCAUCAAUGACCGGAAUGGGAAACUUGUCUUUAAUUGUGAUUUCAUUGAGCGCCCGAUAAUCAACACAAAAUCGCCAAGACCUAUCAGCCUUUUUAAUCAACAAAACCAGAGAAGAAAAGGGGCUGCGACUGAGGCGAAUAACUCCAGAUUGUAGGAAUUCCUUGACCAGUUUUUCAAUCUUAUUUUUUUGAUAGUACGGGUACCUGUAAGGCCGGUUGUUGACUGGAGAUUUAUUGGACAUCAAGGGAAUUUGGUGGUCAUGGCUGCGCGUAGGUGGCAGCGUUGUAGGCUCCUGGAAAACAUGUGCAAAAUCUGAAAGGAUGAGAUUGAGGUCAGGUGACCACGCUGAGGCUGUCUUUGGCAUUGUCUCCGUUUCUAUAUGCACAAAAUACCCCACACCUGAUAAGUGGAUCAACUCCUUAUCACUUAGGGGAGCGAGUUCAGUGUUUGAUAGUCCUCUCAAUGUGUACGUCUGGCCUUCUUGUUUAAAUGACAUGAUGAGCUUUUUGUAAUCGGUCUUGAUGGGGCCUAAAGUCUCCAGCCAUUGCACUCCUAAUACGGCUUGGCAGGCUAUCACUGGAAGCACAAAGAAGUCUGCGCGAACAAUGAUUCCUUGAAUCGAUAAAGAAAGGCCUAAGCACCGCCCAGUACACUCAAUAAUCUCCUUGUUCCCAACUGUGACUUGGAUGGUUUUGCCGCGAAUAACAUGUAGUCCCAAUUUGGUUGCCGUGGACUGAUCAAUAAAAUUAUGGGUGCUUCCCCCAUCAAUGAGCACUGUCAUAGCCGUGUUUCCUGCUCUACCAAUGACACGGAAAGUCUGUGGGUGGUUUGUUCCCACCAGAGCAUGAAAUGAUAUCUCUGGAAUGUCUUCCUCAGGCGUCACAAUCUCCAUGUCCACAUCGUCUCCUUCCUCCUUCUGCUGCACAUCCACCAUCAUGAACAACUGAGGCCGUGAACAACGAUGCCCGGGAACAUAUCGCUCAUCACAAUAGAAACACAACCCUUUUUCACGUUUCUCCCUUGCCUCCUGACCUGUUAUCCGUCGAAUUGGUGCAGUUGGGUGAGUUGUUCAUUGAGCCGGGGCAGGACCCAAGAGUCCCAUGGUGUUUGUGUGUGGUUGUUUCGGCUGGAAUGAAGGUGUUGUCGAUGGUCUGACUGGAUUGUUGAAUUUCCUUUGGAAAUGAUUUCGUUCUUCAAUUAAAUGAGCCACACUAAUGGAUUCAGAGAGAGUUUUUGGUUGCUUAACUCGAACAUCCAAACGAAUUUCAUCUUUUAAUCCCGCAAUAAAACACCCUACCAGGAAAUUUUCUGGGAGGUCAUCAACCUUGUGAGACAGUUUCUCAAAGGCUUCUUGAUAUACAUUCACAGUCGUGGUUUGCUUAAGUCUGGACAAUGCUUCUGACGGAUCAUCAUACUCAGUUGGUCCAAAACGGUGGAGAAGGGCUGAGACAAACUCAUUCCAGAGUAAUUGUCCCUUGCUUUUCGUAUACCAACGAUACCACUGCAAGGCGACACUCGACAGAUGAAAUGACGCCAAUUGUACUUGUCGUGGAGCGUCAAUGUUCUGGAACUCAAAGUAUUGUUCUGCCUUAAAUAUCCAGCCAGUGGGAUCCUCCCCUUCUCCAGAAUAGGUUGGAAAAUUCAACUUGAGGGUAGUGUGGUUUCUGUCGGCAUUGAAGGUUGCAGACGACCUGUCGUGAGAAGUACUUCCCCCAGCAUAAGGAUUUACUUCCCUCUCACUGGAACGAUGGGAAUGGGCGAUCCUCAUCGCUUGUAGCUCUGUCAUGACUCCCUGAAGGGCGUCGUUGACUCGAUUGAAAUUGUGAUUCAAUUCGUCAAAAUUGGCGUCGUGUCAUCCGAGAGUUUCUGUGAUCUCAGCACGAAACUACGCAUUAGUUUUACCACGCGUGUCCAUGGAUUGAACAGCUCUAAUACCACUGAUAAGAUAGGAUUUAGAGGAAGAAGAGAUAAUAAGAUAAAAGGUGAUUGUUUAUUGAUUGCAUGCCUUUCCUCUCGAAACAGUGAGCCUAAAUAGGCCAUUCAAUACAACUGUAAACUAAAUAAUAGGAACUCCAGUAGUGGAGAGCUGAAGACUAGGGAUGCUCUUGCUAAUCCCGUUACUUAUUCUCUAACCCAUUCAAUUACUUAAUUAAACAAUGAAAUAAAUUAAACAAUGAAACAAACAAAACAUAAAGUAAUUCUACGUAGACUCUCUCCAUGCAGUAGUAGCAAGAGAUCCACGUGCCCAAUGCUCUUAUCAAGCUGUUGCUUGUGAUAUUAUUGGAAAACGAAGACGCAGACGAAGACGAUGGUCGAUGGUGAUGGAGGUCUGCACCCAGGAGAUGGGGGUUCUUCCCCUGCGUUUUUCUUGUUGUUGUUCGUCUCUGUGUUUUUUUUUCUGUUCUCUGUUCUGGGUCUCCAGUGGCUUUUCGGUUAUGCCCUCCCCUCUCUUCUGUCUUCUCUCCCCUUUUCCCCCGGUUUUGCUCUUUUUUCCUUUCAUCCUCUUCUGCUCAGUCGUUCUUUGGCUUUUAUAGCCAGAGAAAAUAAUGUCGUUUCUUCCAACCAUAAAGUGUGAUAAUUGCAGAAGUAAUGGCUGUGCGGCGGUGGGCGUCCGUUUCGGUCGGGUGAGGAAGAUGAACAGUAACGGGCAACGGUGCUGUUUUGGUAUUCACAGUUGUAUGCCUUUUGGCCCUUGAAGUUUUGAACGUUUUGUAAUUAAGCCCCUAGUUAAAUUGUAAAUGGACCCCUGAAUUUCGACGCCUUUUACAAGUUAGGCUUUGGACUUUAAUCUGUUGCCAUUGUGCCCCCAAUUAACCCCAAAAUUUGGUAUUUUUUCAAUUAAGUCCCUGAUUUCAUUAAUUAAAUUAAAUCUAAGUCCAAUUAAGUCCCAAACUUAUCAAUUCAUUAAAUAAGCUCUUGAUUUUGUCAAUAAAACUAAUCCAAAGUUUAAUUAAAUCUCAAAACUUCCAAUUUUGUUGCCAUUAACCCAAAAUUUUAAUUCAUUCUUUAUUUUUAUCAUUUCACUCAUUUCAUCAUCAAAUUUUUUAAAUAAAAUAGAGAAGUCAAAAAUUGGGUUAUGAUAAUGAAUAAUUAAAAAAUCUAUUAACUUGUGUUGACCACCCUCCAUUUACUAUAUUUUUCUCUAAAAAAUGCCUUCCUUCCUAAUGAAAUUUCCUCAAAUACAUACUUUUUUUUUUAGGAAAUGUUCCAUUUUCCUCACUUCUAGAAAAAAAAAAUUAAAUGCUUGUGCGCAUGGGCUUGACCUUGCAGAUCCGCACACAAGCCUUUGAUGGGUGGGCCAAGCACUAGGCCUGACUUUCUAGAUCUAACAACGUAUGACCUCAUUUAUUUUUUUUAAUUAUUAUUAAUACCUAUAUAUAUAUAUUUAUUUAUAUAUUUGAAAAUAUUUUUAAAAAUGAUGUUUUUAUUAAUACUCGUUUUCGUUGAUUUUUUUUUUUGCCUUAUUUAGCGUUCAAUUAUUUUUAAUUAUGUUGGGUAUGUUUAGUUUUUUAAGAAGUUACUAUUAUUUAUCUGUAAAAUUUUUUUAUAUAUUUCAGAUAGAUUAAGUAUUUAUUUUUUUAUAAUAUUUUGAAUAAUUAUAGCCUUGCAUGGUAUUUUUUUUCCUUUUAUGCUAUUCAAUAAAUUUUAUAUGUGUAUUGAUUUCUAUUAUAAAUUAAUUUUAGUAAAUAAAUUAAUUAAACAUAACCAGGGUUAUUUAUUUAUUGGUAAUGACUUUUUUUUUCAUUUAUUUAUAUAAUGAUUCAUGAUUUAUUUAAUUCGAUGCGUGCAUAAGUUUUUUAAUUUAUAUUUAUGAUUGUUUUUAAUGUAAGAAAACACGUUCAUAAAUUCUUAUUAUUAUGAUUUCAGUUUAAUCCUAAUUUUUAUGAUUUUUUAUUUUUUUUCCUUAGCCUUUUAUAAAAGUUUUUUUGUUUGUAAUUUCACCCUUUAAUUUAAUAUGAUGGUGUAUUUGUUUUUUUAUUUUUUGCUUCUAUAUAUAUAUAUAUAUAUAUAUAUAUAUAUAUAUAUAUAUUCCCGUCUUUUGUUUUUUCGUUUUAUCAGCUUUUGCAUGUGGAAUAUUGAGUCUUCUACUUUUUCAGCCACAGAAUUGAAUCCUUUAUAUAUUCUUAAAACUAGAUUUGAAUUCUAAUGAACGAAUAAUAAAGAUGGUUGCAUGUACAAAUUCACCUUCAGAAAACAUAUAAUAAAGUCCCAUAUGUUAAUGAAGAUUUAAUUAUUAAGAAUAUAAAUUAAAUUAAAUUAAAUAUUGAAAAAACUAAAUGAAUUCCUUAAUAAAUAAAUAAAUUCUUUCUUUAGAAAGCAUGGAAAUGCCAUGACACUGGCUUUUUAGAGAGAUGAAGAUCUGGAGCACAACAGCCAAGAAAGUUAUCGAUAAAAGGAAGAUGGGAAGAGGGGAAAUGGGUAACGGGAGAGAGAUGAAGAUCUGCGCAUGGCUACCUGUUUUUGAGAGAAUUAUGGAAAGUUAUCCCUCACUCAAAACGGCACCAAUUAUAAGUUCAUUAAAAAAAAUCUGGAGCACAAUAGAUGGAAAAAACUCGAAACAACUUGUCUAGAAUUUAGGCAAGAAGAAUGAGCCAAGAUUUUAAUUGCAAUGAAAUUUAUCUCACUUUGUUAAGUUUUUUAAAAUGAUACAAGAUAUACUACCUAAUGAAACAAAAUGGAAUCAACAACCUUUAAAAGGAGUAGAGAUCACUUAUGUGUCUCUCAUAUUCAAUAGCCUUUUUCCCAUACUGACAUGUGCUUUACACUCACCAACAUUUUUUUUCUUUUUAUUUUAUAAUAUUCAACAUCGGCGAGUGAGAAUUUGAUAGCUAACUUUAUUAGUAGUGUUGGUUGCUGACUUGUCAGACACGUUUUGAGGCCAUAUGUAGUCACCAAGAACAAAUCCAUGAGGGCGAUAAGGCCCCAUAAAGACAAUAUCUGGUAGAUUCAGUCAGGCUAUGACAUAUUCGAUAAUAACUCUUCAAUUAAGUUCUAAAUCUCAUUUCAUCUUUUCAAUUUAAUCCCUAAUUUGACAUCAACUCUUCAAUUAGACCCCAAAGCUUAUCUCACCUGAGGAAAGCCCUCUUCUCUCAAUUUAGCCCCUUAUUAUCUUCAAUUUAAUAUCAAAUUUUAUUUGAUCCAAGCCCAAAAAAGGCUAAGCGAAGAUAGAAUAAAGGAAGGGAAAGAAAAUGAAUAAUUGCCCAACGGAGUUAACGUGUUUUGGUCUUUUCUCCAUGAUUUGGGUUGAACAUUUGACAUAUAUCCUUUUUUCUAUAGUUUUUUAUCCAUGUUCGUUGUGACGCCAUUGGUAUAGAAUGGUUACCAACUGUUAGUUUAAUAUGCCUUGUAGCCAAUCGGUUAGUUACACGAGACAUUAUUAUAUUCAUGUAAAUACAUAUUUAUUAUUAAUAAAGGCUUAAUUUAACUUUAAUAUUCAUAUAAUAUUAGAGUAAUGAAUCUAAAGUAUAAAUAAAGUUUAUGAGACAAAAAUGUUUUGCAAAGGAAAUUAUAAAGUUGUUAUAAUUAUGAGAUUUUUAAUGCAUCAAAGUAUAAUUCAUAAAAUAUUCUUGGUCGAUGCUCUCUUAAAUACUGGAUAUUAAUUAGAGCUAUAAAGACUGAUACAUAUUAUGUUUUUUCCUUUAUGAAAUGAAGCAACUGUUCUCAUAAGUUGAGCUAUAAGGGAUACCUAAAACUAAUAUGUAUAUGCUUGUCAUUAGACAUGUACACUGAAUUGACCGGCAUGAGAAUUCCAUAUGAAGAGAUUAUUUAUGUCUAUGGAAAGACUCACAUGACGGUUGUAUAUGUAAUCCUUAGACUUGAGAUCACUAAGUUAUCUUAUAUAGAGAAUGUUAUGCUUUGAUCCUGUUACAUGUUAUCUUAAUUGAGGUAACAAAAUGAUAGACAUUGGGUAUAUCAUGAACUAUAUGAAGGUACUUGAGUAAUCAAGAGAGGAUUUCAUCACCCUAUGUGAAUUAGAAAAAAUGUUCAAUCUGUUCUCAAAUAAUAUUGACUGAGAAAUCCGUGGCCAAUGUGGAAUGAUAUUUAAAAAGGAUUUCAAAUCUUAUUCAAAUAAUCAAUUGCUAUCAUAUAGAGAAUGACAUGAUUUAACAUGGCAAACAUGCUUCAUGCUUUAAUGUUAAAUAAGAACAUUAGUGAUAAAAUGGUAUUAAUUACAAUGAGAAACUGGUAAUUGAAACCACUAAUAACUUUUCUAAUAUUUAUGGGAUCAUGACACGUUACUAGACAAUGCAUAUGAUCUUCAAAUCUUCAAUUGUAAUUUAUUUAAUUAUAAUUAUAAUUUAUAUUUGGGUUAAUAUAUUAGGAACCUAAUAUGUCAUACACAUUAAGAAUUAAAUUGUGAUGAUUUAAUUAAGUAUAACUUGAUUAAAAAAAAAUUUAGAAAUUAAGGACUACAAUAUAAUUAAUACAAGGAUUAUAUUUUUAGAUCUAGAAAAAUCAAGGACUUGAUUGAGUUAAUUUAUAAAAUUAUCUUAAAUUAAUAUAUGGAUAUUAUUCAAGGGGAAAAUUGAUAUUUUGUCAAUUUAUAGGGUUUUUCAUAUUUCCUUAUAAAUAGUAAGUGUCGCACGUGUGCGGCGUCGUGACAAAAACAUUCACCCUCAAAAUCUUAUCUUAUAAUGUGGCAAAUGUGGGGAGACAAGGAAUUCUUGUUUUUUAUUAGUGGUAAAUUGGAAUGGGAGUCGCCACCUAGUAUUUUGGUCACUAGGAACUCUAGCUGGUCUCAAAGAUCGGGUACGGGGACUGGUUGCGUAAAGGGAAGGUAUUAGCACCCCAAAUACGCCCUACCUAAGGUAAGCUGCAUUGUUUUAUUGUUUGAUAAAAUCUAAGAUCUUGUCGUGUUUUCUCGUUGUUGGUUCGUCUAUGGUUUAAGAAAAGUCCUUCUCGGUAAGGAGAUCCUUAUCUUAUCGGGUAAUUCUGACGUCAACCAAAGAAUUUAAUAUCCGAAAUACGUCUUACGUAUAAGGUCAUAACCCCAGAUAUUAAAAGAAAACAAAAUAAUUUUUUUGGAAUUUUUGAAAUAUUGGCCUAGUUCUCGUGACUUUAAUAAACUGGUUAUUAAAGCCAAAAUGCAUGUUAAUAUAUAUUUUUGAAAUUUUCUUUGUUAUAUGAAAAUACAAUAUGAUUUUUUUUUCUUUUAUUUUUGAGAGACUUGGUCGUAUGCAUGAAAACAAAAUAUUUUUUAUUUUUUAAAUUUUUUUAAUGUCUUGACGAAAACCGGGUAUUUUAAUACCAGAUUUAUAUCUUUACAGUAUAAAAAUACAAACCAAUAUUGAUCAAAAUGAAGUAAAAAAUUUGCAGAAAAUCACAUAUUUUUUUAAAAUUCUUUUUCCGGGCUGGGCCCAGCCCGGCCCAUGUGGCUGGGCUGGACCCAGCAGGUUUCUACCCGCAUGCGUGCGUGAACAAUUCACGCACGCCUGCUACAGUCGCGAUGUAAUUAAUUUUCAUGUGCACAGUGUUUGUGCAUUUUCUGCAAAGUUGGAGAAGUUUACCUGGAAGCAAGACGAAGGCAACAACAGCUUUGGACCUCUAUCUUCACCUUUUCGUUUGUUUUUCUUCUGGUUCCUCUGGUUCUUCCUGUUUUUUUCUGUUUCUGUUUUCCGUUCUUCUUGUGGUUCCUUUCCUUUCGUCUCUGUCUUCUCCUUCCUCCCGGUAUUCUUUGUUUUUUUUGGUUCCCCUCCCCUUUUCUGUUUCUCUCCUCCCUAUCCUCUGCUUCCUUACGCUCUCCCUCUGUCUAUCUCUCUUUUUGUUCUUUUCAAAAGAUUUCCCACCCUCUGUUUCUUUCUCCCUAUGCUGCCCAGUUCUCCUUCCUUCUCGUUCUUUUUCUAUGUUUUCUCCCUGCUCCCUUCUUCUCCCCCUCUUCGGCUCAGUCUUCUUCUGCUGCUUUUAUAGGUCAGAGAAGGCUUUGUGCUGGUAACGGCUGGCUUGGUAACGGUUUGAAGAGGGAUGACAGCCGUGACACAUGCCCUAUAAUUGAAGAGAAUUGGCACUGUUGCUGCAAGAAAACGUCUCUCGGCCUUUAGUGCUGAAACGGCUGGAAGAAGACACUGAAUAGUGUUUCAAGGCAACGGCCCCGUUUUUUGCAAUUUUAAAUGAUAUUUAUGAUUUGGUCCUUGGAUGUUUUUACAAUUUGUAAUCAAGCCCUCGGAUAAAUUAUAAUUGGAUCCCUUGAUUGUAGCACCUUUUCUGUUUUGGUCCUUGGUUUUGAAUUGUUUCAAUUAAGUCCCUAAUUGGCCAUCAAACUUUAAUAACUAUGCAAUUAAGCCCCUGAUUUGACCAAAUCAACUCUUUAAAAUUAUAAUUGGACCCCAGAACUUUAAUUUCUUCCAAUAAAGACCUAAAUUGACUUAAAAAACAAUUUUUCUUGCAAUCAAACCCUCCAUAAAUUCAAUUAAACCUUAGAUAAAAUUUAAUUGAGUCCAUAAACAUCUUAUUUUGAAUAUAUUUUUUCAAAAAUUGAAUUUUCUUUGUCAACAGAACUCUCAUCAGUUAACGAUAAACUGUCAAAUUUCAACCUUUUGCAUUUUUGAACCUCUUCAACCAAUUUUUGGCCAUUUUUCGGCAUUCUAGCAUCCUUUUCUUACUCCUAUUAUUUUUUGGAUUUCUUUCGAAUAUUUUUUGAUAUAUAUUUCUUUUUGUAUUUUCUCAUUUUUUUGUGGGAACCCAAAAAUGGGUAACAACAGUAAGCUAUGCCUUUUAUUUUUUAGGAGUUGUCUGUUAGACAAAAAGACUACGUAUGUCACAUAAUAAAGAGAUAACACUCUAGGCAUAACAAUCCCUCUCUCUUAAAUAGGGACUUGAGAGAUUUUUCACUAGUGGUUCAUGUGAAUUACUAUUGAAGGACAAACAAUUGGACGACUUCUAGUUUACAACAACCCAGUCUUUAAAAAAUUAUUCAAAACCGAAGAUGAUCAAAUCUUUAGGUAAUAAAUCCCUAAACAACUCUAGAUCUGUUUAACAAAAUUCCAGAAAUUCCCGAAUAAUUUUAGGCUGUGUUUGUUUUCCGGAAAGUGGUUUCCGGAAAACCACUUUCCAAACUUUCCUGUGUUUGUUUGUUAUUAGGAAAGUUGGUCAACGGAAAACACUUUUCAGUCAAAGGCAAAAUUUAGCUUGGUUUUUAGAAAAGUGUUUUCCUUUUAUUUUAGGCGGAAAACACUUUCCGGAAGUUGUGCAAAAUUUAGAAAUGUCAUAUUAUUUGCUGAUUAUAUCAAAAUUGGUCCUGAAACUUUUGAUUGCUAUAUAUAUAUAUAUAUAUAUUUUUUGUUUUGAAUAUUUGUUUUUCAAUUUCAUCCCUUGGAAUUUAAUUUUUAUAUUAACUUUACUCCUCAUUUUUAUAAUUGCUAUUUGAUUUUCCCUUAUCAUUUUUUAAUUAAAUUUUUUUAUCUAUCAAAUUUGGUCAUCAUUCUUUUGAUUGUUACUUAUUUUAUUUGAAAUAAUUUAUAAAAUGUUAAUUAUUAUUAUUUUAAUUUCUUCAUCUUUCAAUUUUUUUAUUUUUUAGAUUUGAUCUCUAUUAUUUUGAUUAUUAUUUAUUUUAUUUGAGAUAAUUUAUGAAAUUAUAUUUUUUUUCAAUUUUAUUCUCAUUCAACUUUUUAAUUUGUAAGAUUUAUUCCUCGUUAUUUUAAUAAAUUUGAGAAAAAUAAAAUAUUAAUACGUUAUUUUCCAGCUUAUUUUCCAUGACAUAACAAAACACAGGAAAAUGUUUUCCAACUUAUUUUCCAUGACACUGCAAUUGGAUGACUCAUAUUUGAUUUAUGGAGCUAGCUAUGCUAAGGGAAUCAUGCUUGUAUCACCUAUACUAAUAAUAAUAAUUACAUAUUAACAAGCAUCAUUUGAUUAGUAAGUUUCCAAAUUCUAUCCACAAAUAUUAUAACCUCUUAAUUUAUGCAAGAACUUAGCUACAUUUCAUGCAAGCAAUCCCUAACUCUAGUAUUUUGUCUGUGUUAAAAAUGGAGACUUCUUGGUGUUCGCCGGAGCUUGGGUAUAUACCAUAUUUGAACAAAUAACAAUGUAAAAACAUCUUUUAACGAUAUUAAAAUCAUUUAUUCAUUUAAAGUAUCAAUAUUGUCAUUUAUAGUGAAACAUUUAAUUUUACUACAUUGAAAAUACGUUGACCAAUAGAAUCCCCGCCUUCAGCUAACCCCCAAUAUGUCUUGAAUAGCAAUGGCCAUCCUUUGGCCAUCAUGCCAUAAAAGCCUCAUUUGGAGCCAAUUCCUCUCUUUCUUGCCACUAUUUAGCUUCCGACCAUUCUUCGCGUUUCACUUUUCUUCAAAUGUUUUCACCAAAACAAAGCUUCAACCUUUAAAUUGUUGCUUAUAAAGUCGAGAUCCAAGGGAUUAUUUAAGAUUUUAUGGAAAUUACGUAUUUCAAAUAUUUUAUGUUUAUUUUUCUGAAAUAUCGUUUGAAGCAAAAGGCAAAAAAGAAUUAAAAAUUUUUUUAAAGUGUUUUUAAAACACAAAAACAAACAGAGUUUGUUUUUUAUUUUUUAAAGAAUUGUUUUUAAAAAAUAAUUUUUUGUAUUCUAAAUUAAUUUUUUUAUUAUUUUAAUAUAUUUUAAAUAAAAAAUAUUUUAAAAAACAUCUACUUAAAAAAUAUUAUUUUUCUGAAAUAAUACUUUUCUCUAUAUUUGAGUUUAGUUUAAAAUANNNNNNNNNNNNNNNNNNNNNNNNNNNNNNNNNNNNNNNNNNNNNNNNNNNNNNNNNNNNNNNNNNNNNNNNNNNNNNNNNNNNNNNNNNNNNNNNNNNNAUUUUAAUGUUUUUUCAUGCUCUAGCAAAUGAGGCACGAAAAGAGAACCUGAAAUCACGGCAGCAAAUAAGGAGAGAAAUAGGUGUUUGUUUUUUAUUUUUUAAAGUAUUAUUUUUUAAAAUUAAUUUUUUGUAUUCUAAAUUAAUUUUUUUAUAUUUUUAUAUUAAUAUUAAAAAUAAUUUUUAAAAAAUAAAAAAUAUUAUUUUAAUAUAUUUUUAAAUAAAAAAAUAUUUUAAAAAAGAGCUGCUUAUUCAAACACUUAAAAUAAAAAUCUUAAAAUCACAGCAUGAUAAAAGAAGAAAGAAAGGAAUGGGAUAAAGAAGAAAGAAUAAAAAAAACUCCAAAAAUCACGGCAUGAUCAAAGGAGAAAGAAAAGGAUGGGACAAAGAAGGAAGAAAGUAAGGUCACGUAGGGGCUUGUCUUGUAGAAAAUGUGAGAAUUAGCAUGAAAAGAGGAUAAUAGAGUAGUUGUUAGAAUCAAAAGACAUAAACACGGGAGAGAGGCUGCCCCUUACCUCCUCCUGGGAAGGAAUAUAUGUCAGACUAUACAGCCUUUUUCAAUUCAUUAAUGUCGUUCUCUGUUUGUCUUCUAAAACCUACUCCCAUCAUGUACAUGUAUUAUUUUCUUAAAAUUGCUCUAUGGAAUUGCAGGCCAUGCUCGUUUGAUUUUUUUAAUAACAAAAUUCUUUUCAUGCUCUUGCAAAUAAGGCAGGGAUGGAGGCCUUGAAAUCACGGCAGCGAAUAAGAAGUGAAAAAGAGCCUUUGUUUUUGCUUUUUUAUUUUUUAGUAUUUUUGAAACAAAUUAGAUUUUUUUAUUUUUUUUAUUUUCUAUUAUUUUGAUAUAUUUCUAAACAAAAAAAUAUUUUAAAAAACAACCACUAACACAUUCUUUUUAAGCUAUUAAGUAACCAGUCCCUAUAAUUUUUCAACAUUGCACUUGGGUACCAAACUUCAUUUUUCUCUUUUUCAAGUUUUUUUUUUGGUGGAGAAGACAGAGAGGGUCGCUGAAUUUUAUUUUAGAGAGAGAAAGUUGUUGUUAAGAAAGAUUUUGGCUACCGAAAUCGUUGAUUUUUGUAUCAAAUGGUAACCGCCUAUUUUUUUCAUGUGUUCAUACUUAAAACCUUCUUAAAGAGUUCUUAUCAAUGGUUUUAAAACCUCUCUCUCAAGAUCGAAAGGUUAGAAAUAACUCUCUACCCUCUAAGUCUAAUAAAACCAUCAAGUACUCUUAAAACCAAAACCACAAUUGCAAAAACCAGUUUAGUACAAGAACUUCUAACUAUUAGCUUUUAUCCAUAACCCUCUCACUUUGAUCAAAUGGUUAAACUUUCAUCAAUCUUUGAGGGAAUCCACAAAAAAACCUAGAAAAACAUAUAAUUACUCUUGAAAAUUAGAGCCGGAGAGGAGGAGAAAAAAAGAGGAAAAACAUGGGGAAAUAAUUUGUUAAUAGACUCUAUUAUAAAGGUUCAAGAGCCUAGAAGGUUUAACCAGCUUUAGAAAGAAAAAAAGUGAAAGGAAAAGAAGGAAGGAAAUGAAAAUAAAAAAAUAACAACGUAAUUUUGAACUUAAAGGCCUAAUUUCAGUGAAAGUUAAGAGCAUUAGAGACUAGACCGUGCUUAUACCAAAGACUCUCAUCGUUGAAGGAAUGCAAACAGUUGUUAACGAGACACUUAUGCUGUUCCAACAUUCAAAGAUUGUUGAAUCUAGUACCGGUGCUCAUUCUGGAUCUAGUACCAAAAGGAGAAUAUAGAAAGAGAUAGUAGUGAAUUAAUUAUGUUUCAUUCAGUAGUAAGAAACAAACGGGGGCAAUGCAUUUAUAAUAGCCAGAGAGGGGUUUUUAUAUACAUUCNNNNNNNNNNNNNNNNNNNNNNNNNNNNNNNNNNNNNNNNNNNNNNNNNNNNNNNNNNNNNNNNNNNNNNNNNNNNNNNNNNNNNNNNNNNNNNNNNNNNACUAGAUAUAAAGAAAAAGUACAAAUUCCAACAAAAAAUACAUGUUUGAAGGUUCAACAAAAAUGAUUUGCUAAUUAGCUAUAAGCUUGAGAAAGAUAAAUAAUGAGAGUGUGAGUUCAAAAACUCAGUGAGUAGAUAACGUUCAAUAUACAUACACGAGGUAAUACAACAAUGAGGAAUAUAUAUACAAUUAUGGCUUUAGAUUCUUAUAGGAAGGUUUCUCAAAUAGGCCAUAACAAGGUUAUCAUAAGGUAAAAUUCGUUAGAAAAUCAAAAUGCAAUAACAUGAGGCUCUGUACUAUGGGAUGAUCAGUCCACACAGGUUGAUGACUCUCCCAACCAACUAGGGUUUCAAAUACAAUGUGCACUAAGACUAACACUACCCUGUUAGUAUGAGCAUUCUAACUGGCAUACCAUAAGUUCAUAUCAUAAUCAAACAAACAAAUUCAUAUCUCAAGGCCCAACUCAUGACAUUAAUAAAACAAGAAGCUAUCAAUUCAGAAGUCAAUUUAGAAGUAUAUAUUGGCUUAUAUCAAAAAUUCAAAUUCAACAAUUAAUCAUGUUUUAUCAUAACAAAGAUAAUAAUCAACAUAUAUAUUAUCAAGAAGCACGAUCCAAUUCAUAUUAACAGCUCAAAUAUUUAUACUAUUUCUCAUGCAUAUGGAAAAUUAUACACUCACUUGACUUAAAAGUGAACAGAACUCGAAAGCAAAUACCGAAGAAAAUCCUACUGAUAUUCCGCAUAUAGAAUAUCAAGAUUAUCUAAAUACAAAGAAGACAUAUUAUAAAAUGACUCGAAAAGAACAUACAACCUAUUUAAUACACUUAACUAAGGGUCUAUUUCAUAACCCUAUACAUUUUGUUAAUUCUAAACUAGUUAUUUUUCCCAAAAACCAAAAAAGUAAACGGUUUUUCAGAAAUCUAAUUCAUAAUAAAACAAAUAAUGAGACUUGAUAAUAAUUCACUAAAUAACCAUCAAUUAUUCAUCAAAACAAUCUGAAAAAGCUAAUAUUAAAGCUAGGGACCAAUCUGAAAUUUUAUCAUAUUUUUAGGGGUCAAAUUAUAAUUUUAUCAAAUUGGAAGACCAAACUAAAAAUGUCAUAAAUUCAUGACUAUACUGGAAUUCUGCCCAUAAUUCAUUUUCAAUUCUGCCCAGAAUCUCAAAUUAUGCUCCAGGGACCACUAUAGAAUUUUAUCAAAUUUCUAGGGUUAAAUUGUAAUUUCAUCAAAUUGGAGGACCAAAGUGAAAAUAUCAUAAAUUCAUAACUAUACUGGAAUUCUGCCCAUAGUUUAUCUUUAAUUCUGUCCAGAAUCUCGGAUUAUGCUCCAGGGACCAAUCUCUAAUUUUUCCAAAGUUCAGGGACUAAANNNNNNNNNNNNNNNNNNNNNNNNNNNNNNNNNNNNNNNNNNNNNNNNNNNNNNNNNNNNNNNNNNNNNNNNNNNNNNNNNNNNNNNNNNNNNNNNNNNNCAGACCCACAUGCCUAGGGUCUGCAGACCCGCUUGCGGUUUGCAGACCCUUAUCCCUGGAGUUGCAGAACCCCGCGCCUGGGGUGUGCAGAACCGGGAGCAGGGUCUAGACCCGCUCAUCUGGGUUUGAAGAACCCCACUUCUUCUAUCGUGCCUGGGGUCUGCAGCAUCCUCCCAGGGGUUGUAGACCCACACAACUAGAUCUGCAGACCCCGUAGAGAAAAAUAACAAACUUGAAAAAAAAAAUGAAAACAAAUAUAAUAACUAAUAACAAUUAUUUUUAUCAUUAUUAUUAUUAUCGCUAAUAAAUUUUAUAAAAACAUUAUUACUAUCAAAACUUGGACUAGACAAGUUUAAUAUUAUUAUUACUAUACUAAAUAUUAUUGUUUUCAUUAUAAUUAAAAGUAUUAAUAUUUGUGUUAUAAAUACUAUUAUUUUUAUUAUAAUUAAAAGUAUUAAUAUUAAAAUUAUUAUUAUUUUUCUUAUAAAUAAUAUUAUUUUUAUUAUAAUUAAUAUUGAAAAUACUAUUAUUUGUAUUAUCAAUAUUAUUAUUUUGAGUAUAAUUAAUACUACUAACAUAAUAAUUAAUAAAUUUGAAAAAAAUAUUAUUUAUAUUGAAAAGCAAUAAUAGAUUUAAUUUGAAGGGUAAAAUUAAGAAUUAUUAUUAUUAUUAUUAUUAUUAUUAUUAUUAUUGUUAUUAUUUAUUGUUAUCAUUAGUAAAUUGAAAGAAACAAAAUUAUUAGUUAUUUUUAUCAUUUCAGCUGGGGUUGAAUUUUCUUAUUAGAGCAUGUUUGGUUUUGGUUUUAAAAAUUGCUUUGAAAAGAAUUUUAUUUUUUUUAUUUUUUUCUUUACUUCAAAUUAAUGUUUUUUCCUUUAAUUCAUAUUAAAAUGUUUUUGUAAUAUUUUGACGUGAUUAUAUAUUAAAUAGAUUUAAAAAAAAUUAAACAUUGCAGGAUUCAAAAUAGUCUUGGGUCCAGGUUGGGGCAGGACCCUAGAUCUUACAGGUUGCAGGACCCAAAAUAGCCUUGGGUCCGGCCGUAUGCAUGACCCAAAAUAGCCUUGUACAGUUGAGAACAUCUCAUGCAUGCGACAUCCAAUGCAACAUAAUAUAUAAAUUGCAAUGCAUGUAAUUAAUGGGGGGGAAAUUCAUGAAUGAAUUGAAAGAUAUAUAUCUUAUGGGAUAGAUACAACACGAGAAGAAAAAACCAUUUAGAGAAACAGACAAUCUCGAUUGAUGAUCAUCCUAUUAUUAGCAUGAAAGGUUGAAAAAGAAAGAAUUCAUACAAGGAGGUUGGCCUUGAAUUGGCAUUGCCUUAUUCCAAGCGCUAGCUAGCUUAUAAUAUUAUUCACUAGCUAGCUAGCUCGCUAGCUCCUCUCCCUAGCCUUCCCUGCAUCGAUCUUCUGCUUUGCAACCUCUUCCUGGAGCGACUCGAUGGAGGCAUUGGGGAUUCUUUUCUGGGUCACAACGCGGAAGCCCUUCGUAACUUAAGUAUUUUGGUUUUCUUGUAAUGGUAUCUGCUACAUCUCCUGCAACAAACGUGGUCAUCAGGAGCAUUAAAACACCAAAAGCCAUCAAUCCUUUGGACAUUGACAUUGUUAAACUAUGAUGAGAGCAGACAAUACACAAAUGUUGUUCUUAAAAGAAUAUUGAUUCGGUGACAAUAAAAAGCAAGGUCUGGCAUAUAUAUAUAUAUAUAUAUAUAUAUAUAUAGCAUAUGCAUGGAGUGUUUGCCGUUUAUAGCACAAUUUCUUGUGGAUAUUAAAAUAGUUAAUUCUCUUUGCUUUUUCAGAUUAUAGCCGCACCACUUAUAGCACAAUUUCUUGAAGUUGAUACCCACAUAUAGCUGGGAGCUCAAAUGGCCACAUCUUGCAUUAGACAUUGAGAGCUUAAUUGGAGGUCUUGGUCAGCUAAAUUCUCAGCAUCCCUGAUGAGGAGCACACAUUGCGUGGUUGUGACUUCACUUGAGAAAAGUACAUCCAAGAAACAAGGAGAGAUAUGCUACCAAAGAAAAGAUGUCGUGAGUUCGAGCGUCCAGGUUUGGAUCAUGGGAACGCAUACACAACCACAUGCCCACCCAGCUGCAAGAGCUCCAAGUCUGCAAUAUUGAUCUUGUAUUGUAUGUAAACUUCCAACAAAAGUGAACUAUAUGUUAGAUCAUUAGAGAAGGUUUUCCAUGUAACAUGACAUAACAAUAUUAAACAGCAUCAGGACAAAUAUUGCGAACAUAAUAUGUUUGGUUUAGGUGCGCGCGCCGCCUCUUAAAAAGCAUGUCGAAAUCCAUGCUUUCUGCGAGGUGCACCGCCCGGCGCACCUUACAUACAAACACAUUGUAAUUAGUGUGACCAAAAAGAACUCUUGGUGCGAUUAUCCAAGACCACAAAUCACACUCUGCAACGAGAAGUGUCCCCCAAAGACUAAACAAAAAGAAAAAAUAAAAGCAGCUUCCAAUCGUUUCAUUACUUGACUCACCCAAUAACAAAAGCUCUUCGUCUUCUCAAUAAGGAAAUUAAUACAUGCAAGCUGCCACAAGAUUAAAGCACUUAAUGCAGAGAAAGGAGGAGUCACUGCAAUCUAUUCUACUUCCCAGAUGUUGCAGUCAAACUUAAAAUGUGAAAAUCAAAUAUGGUAAAGGCCACGGCUCUACAUAUAAAGAAAUAGACACCUGGGAUAUGAGAGUUCUUAUUGUUAAAUAAUAUUUAUGUAGUCUUAUUUAUUAAGGGUAGAAUAGUACUUUCAGUUUGACCUAUAUAUACUUUAUUUGUAUUGAGGUUAACACAAAGCAUUCAUAAUAAACAGUCUGAGGGAAGAGAUAUGAGCCUACGUUUAAGUAUUUGAUCUCGAUUACUUUAACAUGGUAUCAGAGCUGGUUUUAUGGCACGAGGUUAAUCCCGUACACAGCUUAUGUCAAGGUAACCGAGCUCGAUAUCUAUCCUCAAUUAUUUUGGUAUUUCGUCUUCCCUUCAGCUUUGCAAUUUUGGUAAUUCCGUUCAGUUUCUGCAAAUUGUUUUGUGUUUUGGAGUAAUCGUAUAGUUUGAGAAGAUAUUUGUUUAGUUUCUGCAAUCUCUGUUCAGUUUCUGCAAUUUGGUAUUUUGUUUUCCGCUGCUUUUGCAUUCUGGUUCUUUGUGAUUGUUGAUUAUGGCUACUGAAAGAGAUGAUUCGCUUCAGUCUGUGAGUGUGAGGUUGGAUGGGAAGAACUAUUCGUAUUGGAGCUAUGUAAUGAGAAAUUUUCUUAAGGGUAAGAAGAUGUGGGGAUAUGUUAGUGGAACUUAUGUGGUACCUAAGAAUACUGAAGAAGGAGAUACUGUCUCGAUAGAUACAUGGGAAGCAAACAAUGCAAAGAUCAUUACUUGGAUCAACAAUUCUGUUGAGCAUUCUAUAAGUACACAGUUGGCAAAGUAUGAGACAGCAAAGGAGGUUUGGGAUCAUCUGCAACGGUUAUUCACGCAAUCAAAUUUUGCAAAACAGUAUCAGUUAGAGAAUGACAUACGAGCUCUUCACCAGAAGAAUAUGAGUAUUCAGGAGUUCUAUUCUGCCAUGACAGAUCUUUGGGAUCAAUUGGCUCUUACAGAAUCGGCAGAAUUAAAAGCAUGUGGUGCUUAUAUUGAACGUAGAGAGCAGCAACGAUUGGUACAAUUUUUAACAGCACUUCGCAGUGAUUUCGAAGGACUUAGAGGUUCAAUUCUGCAUCGUUCUCCACUGCCCUCUGUUGACUCUGUUGUCAGUGAGUUAUUGGCUGAAGAAAUACGUCUUCAGUCUUAUUCUGAAAAGGGAAUUCUUUCUGCUUCGAAUCCUUCUGUACUAGCAGUACCUUCUAAGCCAUUCUCUAAUCAUCAGAACAAGCCUUACACAAGGGUUGGCUUCGAUGAGUGCAGUUUCUGUAAGCAGAAAGGUCAUUGGAAGGCUCAGUGUCCUAAGUUGAGACAGCAGAAUCAAGCUUGGAAGUCUGGCAGUCAGUCACAAUCUAAUGCUCAUCGAUCACCUCAGGGUUAUAAACCACCACACCACAAUACUGCAGCAGUAGCUUCCCCAGGCUCUAUUACCGAUCCUAAUACUUUAGCUGAGCAAUUUCAGAAGUUUCUCUCCUUGCAGCCACAAGCAAUGUCCGCUUCUUCCAUAGGUCAGUUGCCUCAUAGUUCCUCAGGUAUGUCACACUCUGAAUGGGUCUUGGAUUCUGGUGCUUCACAUCAUAUGUCUCCAGAUUCCUCAUCUUUUACCUCAGUGUCCCCUUUGUCCUCCAUUCCUGUUAUGACUGCUGAUGGCACUCCUAUGCCCUUAGCAGGUGUUGGUUCUGUUGUCACACCUCACUUGUCUCUCCCUAAUGUUUAUCUUAUUCCAAAACUCAAAUUGAAUCUUGCGUCUGUUGGUUAAAUAUGUGAUUCUGGUGAUUAUUUAGUCAUGUUUUCUGGUUCUUUUUGUUGUGUACAGGAUCUGCAGUCUCAGAAGCUGAUUGGGACAGGUCGUAGGGAGAAUGGGCUAUAUAUUUUGGAUGAGUUAAAAGUGCCAGUUGCUGCUGCUGCUGCUGCUGCUACUGCUGAUUUGUCUUCCUUUCGUUUGAGUCUUUCAUCUUCUAGUUUUUAUUUAUGGCAUUCCCGUCUAGGUCAUGUUUCGUCUUCUCGUUUGAGAUUUUUGGCAUCCACAGGAGAUUUAGGAAAUUUGAAAACUUGUGACAUUUCUGAUUGUAGUGGAUGUAAACUGGCAAAAUUUUCUGCUUUAUCUUUUAAUCGAAGUAUUUCUGUUUCAUCUUCACCAUUUGAUUUGAUUCAUUCUGAUGUAUGGGGACCUUCUCCUGUUUCCACAAAAGGAGGGUCUCGAUAUUAUGUCUCUUUUAUUGAUGAUCAUACUCGUUAUUGUUGGGUUUAUUUAAUGAAACAUCGUUCUGAAUUCUUUGAGAUAUAUGCAGCUUUUCGAGCUCUUAUCAAAACUCAACAUUCUGCUGUGAUCAAAUGCUUUAGGUGUGAUUUGGGUGGGGAAUACACCUCUAAUAAAUUUUGUCAAAUGCUUGCCUUAGAUGGAACCAUCCACCAAACUUCAUGUACAGAUACUCCUGAACAAAAUGGUGUAGCUGAAAGAAAACAUAGGCAUAUUGUCGAAACUGCUCGUUCUCUCUUGUUGUCUGCUUUUGUUCCUAGUGAAUUUUGGGGAGAAGCUGUUCUUACUGCUGUAAGUUUGAUUAAUACAAUUCCAUCUUCUCAUAGUUCGGGUCUAUCUCCUUUUGAAAAGCUAUAUGGGCAUGUCCCUUAUUAUUCCUCAUUUAGAGUCUUUGGUUGUACUUGUUUUGUUCUUCGUCCUCAUGUAGAACGCAAUAAGCUAUCCUCUCGAUCCGCUAUUUGUGUCUUUCUGGGUUAUGGUGAAGGUAAAAAGGGGUAUCGUUGUUUUGAUCCAAUAACUCAGAAACUUUAUGUGUCUCGUCAUGUUGUCUUCCUUGAGCAUAUACCUUUCUUUUCUAUUCCAUCCACUACUCAUAGCCUGACAAAAUCUGAUCUUAUUCAUAUAGAUCCUUUUUCUGAGGAUUCUGGUAAUGAUACCUCUCCCUAUGUUCGAUCAAUUUGUACUCAUAACUCUGCAGGUACUGGUACUUUACUCUCUGGCACAUCUGAAGCUUCAUUCUCAUCUACAGCCCCUCAAGCUUCAUCUGAGAUUGUGGAUCCACCUCCACGUCAGUCCAUCCGCAUUCGUAAGUCCACAAAACUACCAGAUUUUGCUUAUUCUUGUUAUUCUUCAUCAUUUACUUCCUUUUUAGCUUCUAUUCAUUGUCUCUUUGAGCCCUCUUCCUAUAAAGAGGCAAUUCUUGAUCCGCUUUGGCAGCAAGCUAUGGAUGAGGAACUUUCUGCUUUGCAUAAGACAGAUACUUGGGAUCUGGUUCCUCUACCUCCUGGUAAGAGUGUUGUUGGUUGUCGUUGGGUGUAUAAGAUCAAGACUAAUUCUGAUGGGUCUAUUGAGCGAUACAAAGCUAGGCUGGUUGCAAAAGGAUACUCUCAACAGUAUGGUAUGGACUAUGAGGAGACAUUUGCCCCGGUUGCCAAAAUGACUACUAUUCGUACUCUUAUUGCCGUAGCUUCGAUUCGUCAGUGGCAUAUUUCUCAGCUUGAUGUUAAAAAUGCAUUCUUGAAUGGAGAUCUUCAAGAAGAAGUUUAUAUGGCACCCCCUCCUGGUAUUUCACAUGACUCUGGAUAUGUUUGUAAGCUUAAGAAAGCACUAUAUGGUCUCAAACAAGCACCUCGUGCUUGGUUUGAGAAAUUCUCUAUUGUGAUCUCGUCUCUUGGCUUUGUUUCUAGCAGUCAUGAUUCUACUCUUUUUAUUAAGUGCACUGAUGCAGGUCGUAUCAUUCUGUCUUUAUAUGUUGAUGACAUGAUUAUUACUGGUGAUGAUAUUGAUGGUAUUUCAGUUUUGAAGACAGAGUUGGCUAGACGAUUUGAAAUGAAGGAUUUGGGUUAUCUUCGAUAUUUCCUAGGUAUUGAGGUAGCAUACUCGCCUAGAGGUUACCUUCUUUCUCAGUCAAAAUAUGUUACAGAUAUUCUUGAGCGAGCUAGACUUACUGAUAACAAGACUGUAGAUACUCCUAUUGAGGUCAACGCGAGGUACUCUUCUUCUGAUGGUUUACCUUUGAUAGAUCCUACUUUAUACCGUACUAUUGUUGAGAGUUUGGUAUAUCUCACAAUUACUCGUCCAGAUAUUGCAUAUGUUGUUCAUGUUGUUAGUCAGUUUGUUGCUUCUCCUACUACUGUUCACUGGGCAGCUGUUCUUCGUAUUUUGCGAUAUCUUCGGGGUACAGUUUUUCAAAGUCUGUUACUUUCAUCCACCUCUUCCUUGGAGUUGCGUGCAUACUCUGAUGCUGAUCAUGGUAGUGAUCCCACAGAUUGCAAGUCUGUUACCGGGUUCUGUAUCUUUUUAGGUGAUUCUCUUAUUUCUUGGAAGAGCAAGAAACAAUCUAUUGUUUCUCAAUCAUCCACCGAAGCAGAAUAUCGUGUCAUGGCAUCUACUACCAAAGAGAUUGUUUGGCUACGUUGGUUACUUGCUGAUAUGGGAAUUUCCUUUUCUCAUCCUACUCCUAUGUAUUGUGACAACCAGAGUUCUAUUCAGAUUGCUCAUAACUCGGUUUUUCAUGAGCGCACUAAGCACAUUGAGAUCGAUUGUCAUCUUACUCGUCAUCAUCUCAAACAUGGCACCAUUGCUUUGCCUUUUGUUCCUUCUUCCUUGCAAAUUGCAGAUUUCUUUACCAAGGCGCAUUCCAUCUCUCGUUUUCGUUUUCUGGUUGGCAAACUCUCGAUGCUUGUAGCUGCCGCAUCGUGAGUUUGAGGGGAGAUGUUAAAUAAUAUUUAUGUAGUCUUAUUUAUUAAGGGUAGAAUAGUACUUUCAGUUUGACCUAUAUAUACUUUAUUUGUAUUGAGGUUAACACAAAGCAUUCAUAAUAAACAGAUUAUUCAGAAUUGUAGCCUCCUUUUUGUAUUUGAUCUCAAUUACUUUAACACUUAUACCAUGCCUCAAGGACAAAUGAAGGAGAGCAAAGCAUCUCCCGGAAAAAAAACAUCAAAUCAAGAGUCUUGCAAUCCACAUGCAUUAAAGCUUCUUUCAUAAAGGACAGAAGCUUUGAUUUCCAAAUGAGACAGCAAAAAAGAUAUGUCACUGAUAUCCACUUGUAAUUAAUAACCACUUCAUUUAUUUAUUCUAGGACAAAAAACCAAAACAAUCUUGGAUCACAUAGGAACAGGAAAAGGCCUUAAACUCUGACGAACAAGGCGGAGCUAUUAUACAUAGGAUACUUCAGAUGAACUGUUGAUUUCCAUUAUGCUUCAUGCCAAACGUGAGAACCCAACCUCCUUUCCCACCCAUAUCCACAUCACACAACCCGAUCAUCGUCGCAUAUUAAUUUCAUUACAUAAUAUGACACUAGGAUGCAUGUCAUGAUGAAACAUGGAUGAGAUUAAAACUCAUUGACAUAAAUCUGGUCUUUUAAUACAUGUCUCAGAUAAUUAGACCUGAUGAUUAAGAUUAUAAGUUCAAAAACAUAAAUAUAUAGCCAUACGCAAGAGUCUUAGAUUCUGGAAGCCAACAUUUCCAGCAAUACAUGUCUAGGCAAGACAUUGCAUAUCUGAUUCUGAGAAUCACAGCAAAUAUGCCCACUCUAUCAAACAUACUUGAAUGCAGCCAGUCUUAUUUGACAGGCAACUAAAACUAAACAUGAAAAAAGUUUCAUAUUAAGAAGAAGCAGUGAUCAUCUAUGAUCUACCAUCCUCCUAAAUCCUAGAACCUUUUAAUUUUUAACACAAAAACUAGUGACAGCACCUCAACAUGAUAGAAUUGAGAAGGAGAAGCUUCAACGCAAUGCAUGCAACUCAAAGCCAAUAUAUAUUACCCUUUCACUUAGACUACCAUCACAUUUCUAAGCAUCGAGUUUCAAUCUACUAGUUCAUUCCAGAAACAUUCUUCAACUAAGACAAAAUGCCGAACCUACCUGGAAGGCAGGACCCCCUCAGCAGAAUUCAUGAUGCUCCAGCAACCCAUGAAUGCAAAGAGGAACAAUCUUCUAAAAAUGACUUCCAUUGGAGGAAGUUCGACAAAAUUGAGUAAAUUCUUGACCCAAGGAGGAGACUCCUCCACUUUCUUCUCUAUCCUGGUCUUGAAAUUAAUUUUUGUUUCUUUCCUCUGUCUAAAGCUAGUCAUCAACAAUUUCUCAAAGGCAGCUUCUAUUGAUUCUUCGCUUCUUUCAUGCCCAGCAUAUUGUUUCAGGAGAAAAUUGCGUGAACUCCAGACUUCCUCUUCAGAAGCGUAAGGACUGACACCAAGACGUUUAAAAGGGUCCCAAACAUUCAUGGAAGGGAAUUUCGGGAUGUUACCUGUUGAGUUUGAACACGAUUGUGAUAGGUCCCUGUCACAGCAAGUAAUUAAAGACAAGAAACAAACACAAAUGUAUUCUGCUUUGGGCGAGAAUAAGCCACAAUUGAUAUUAUUGAAUAUUGAAUGAAUGCGUUCUCUGUCUCAUAGCAGAGUUUAAAUACAGGAAUUGAAAUAACAACUUUCCUAAAAUACUGGCAUGACUACAUAAAAUCAGGAUGACUCCUGCUACAUAGCUGGCAUUUAUUUGCUGAAUAAAACUUGACUCCUUCCUCCCGUGCACUAAGGCACUGCAGUGAGAAGACCCCCUUGACUCGUUCCUCCCUUGACUAGCUCUUCACAGCUCAAUAAACCUGCGAUUCUUCUUACGAAUUCUGCAUGAUCUUCUCGGCUCCAGCUGUUGCUCAUCCCGUUGUUGUAGUUCAUCACUUGACUCCUUCAAUUGCUGCUGCUGCUUAUCAAUACCUCCCUCUUUUAAGGGAACCUUGUCCUCAAGGUUCAGAUUCUGAAAUCGCUCCCGUAACGCCACAGCAUCUUCCCACGUGGCAUCAUCAUUCUGCAGAUGUUUCCAUUUGACGAGAAUUGCUUCGACAAACCGAGACCCUUUCUUGAUCCAACGAGUGUCUAGGACAGCCUCAGGUUCAAUCAGCAUCUCUCCCGCAGCAGACAUAGGUGGCAAUUCGAUUGAUUCAACCACCUCAUCUCCAAUUUUCUUUUUGAGCAAGGACACAUGAAAGACUGGAUGAAUUCAAGCCUGUGUAGGCAAUUUUAGCUUAUACGCUACCGCGCCAAUUCUUUCUGCAAUCUGAUAAGGACCAUAAUAGCGGCUAGCCAACUUUUUGCAUACACUCCUGACCACGGAUUGUUGACGGUAAGGGUGAAGUUUAAGAAAAACCCAAUCUCCCACCUGAAAUUCAAUAUCACGUCGCUUAGAAUUAGCAAGUUGUUGCAUGCGAUUACUAGCCGCAUGCAGGUUUGCCUUGAGCAGACUCAACAAUUCGUCCCUAGAGGCGAGUUGCUGAUCCACUUCAUUCACCGGAGACAUGCCAAUGUGGUAAUGGGGAAUUGUAGGUGGUAAACGUCCAUAGAGGGCCUGAAAUGGUGUCAUUCCUGUAGAAGCAUGAUAAGUUGUAUUAUACCAGAAUUCGGCCCAAGGUAGGAGGGAAUUCCAUUUUGCUGGCUGGUGGUGAACAAAGCACCGAAGAUAUUGUUCGACGCAGCGAUUGACCACCUCUGAUUGCCCAUCCGUUUGUGGAUGAUAUGCGGAACUCAUCUUCAACUUGGUACCUGACAAUUUAAAGAACUCACGCCAAAAAUGACUGAUAAAGAUAGGAUCUCUAUCACUGAUAAUGGACCGCGGCAUACCAUGUAGCUUCACUACCCCGUCAACGAAUUUCUCGGCCACAAUUUUGGUCGUAUAAGGAUGAGCCAAUGCCAAGAAAUGUGCUGACUUACUUAGGUGAUUAACCACAACGAAAAUUGUGUUCUUGCCACCCGAUGUCGGGAGACCUUCAAUAAAAUCCAUCGUAAUAUCAUCCCAAACCUGACAGGGAACAGGUAAUGGUUGUAAUAAACCCGCCGGUGAUAGUGUGUCUGAUUUUACCCGUUGACAUACGUCACAGGAUGCGACAUAUUCCUUCACUAUGCGAGCCAUUGAUGGCCAAUAGAACUGGUGUGCCAACCGUUUGUAAGUGCGCAACACACCCGAAUGCCCUCCAAUAGGUGAAUCAUGGAAUUCACGUAAUAGUUGUUGAAUGAUGUCCGAGUUGGGGGCAACUACUACUCAAUUUUUAUAGUGGAGCAACCCAUUCCGCCGUGUAUAUGGGCUGCCCGAAUUUUCAGCAGCGAGCUUGCCAAUUUUCUUCAUGUAAGGAAGAGAAACAGCUUCGGCCUUAAGCUGAUCCCAUACGGUACUUUGUGGAACAGAUAAGUGCGAAAGGCAAGGGCUUCCCGUCAUUCGUGAUAAAGCAUCCGCAGCUGAAUUCUCCUUUCCUGGCUUAUACACAAUUUCAUAAUCAUAGCCGAGUAAUUUCGAUACCCAUUUCUGCUGUUCUGGGGUAGUAAUACGCUGCUCCAAGAGGUACUUCAAGCUGCGUUGAUCGGUUUGGAUCACAAACUUACGGCCUAACAAGUAUGGUCUCCACAGCUGGACAGCCACCACAAUAGCCAGCAUCUCCCUCGCAUAAGUUGACCAUGCACGCUUGGAUAGCCCCAAAACGCGACUCAUGAAAGCUAUUGGCCGCCUUGUUGGGUCAGAACAGCGCCGAUGCCAUCACCGGAAGCAUCAGACUCAAUCACGAAAACUUCAGCAAAAUUAGGCAUGGCAAGUGUUGGGGUGGACGUCAUUGCGGUCUUUAAUGCCUCAAAAGCUGCCUCGGCUUCAUCAUUCCAGCCAAAUUGACCUUUGGUAACAAGGAUGUCAACGGUCGAGCAAGAAUUCCAUAAUUGCGGACAAAUUUCUUGUAAUAACCUGUAAGACCUAAAAAUCCACGAAGCUCAGAUAUAUUAGUAGGUCUUGACCAGGAUAGCAUAGCCUGGAUUUUUGCUUGAUCAACCUUAACCCCCAUUGGAGUAAUAAUAUGCCCCAAGUACUCCAGUUCUUGUUGACCAAAAGCACAUUUCUUCAAUUUCGCAAAGAAUUGGUACUGCCUUAGAAUUUCGAAAGCCUUGCGAACAUGUUCAAGAUGCAUGGUCCAAUUGGGACUAUAGAUCAAUAUGUCAUCAAAAAAGACUAAUACAAAUUUGCGAAGGUAUGGUCGAAAUAUGGCAUUCAUAAGGGCUUGAAAAGUAGAGGGUGCGUUACACAAACCAAAUGGCAUGACUAAGUAUUCGUAAUGACCAUUAUGAGUGCGAAAAGCAGUUUUAUGAAUAUCAUUUGGUGCUACCCUAACCUGAUGGUAACCAGCUGUCAAAUCUAGUUUGGUAAAAUAAACAGCCCCAUGCAAUUCGUCUAACAUGUCAUCUACUGUAGGAAUAGGAAAUCGGUCUUUAAUAGUUACUGCGUUAAGUGCUCUAUAAUCGGUGCAAAAACGCCAUGUGCCAUCUUUCUUUUUGACUAACAAAACAGGUGAUGAAAAAGGGCUAGUGCUUGAUCUUAUAAAUCCCAAUUUUAACAUGUCUUGAACCUGUUUUUCAAUUUCAGCUUUUUGAAAAUAGGCAUACCUGUAGGGUCUGACAUUGACCGGUUCUGUCCCUUCUUUGACAGUGAUGGUGUGGUCGAUCUCCCGGACCGGUGGCAAUUGAGCUGGAGUUUGAAAAAUAUCUCCAAAUUCCUCCAACAUCUGCUGCAUUUCAGACUCAACUUUGCUAACAGGCAUCUCGACUUCGGUUUGUAGACAGAUAGCAAACAUCGUUUUGCUUUGGCGCAGCUCCUUCGAUAAAUCCUUGAGAGACGCGGGUUGAAUGUGUUGGCUGUCAAUUCCCUGUAAUUUUUGCAUCUGAUUCUUCCACAUAAAUUCCAUGGUCAUUUUCUUCCAAUCACAGGCUACUGUUCCCAAUUGUUCAAGCCACUGCACUCCCAAAACCAAAUCUAACCCACAUAAAGGUAUGGCAUAUAAAGUCAGCAUAAAUGGGAUACCUUGAAGUAGGACGUGUAUGUUUUCAAAUAUGCCUUGACACUUCAAUGGAUUCCCAUUUGCCACCUUUACGUUGAAGGGCUGUGUGGGUAUCACUGGUAGGUGUAGCCAAUUAGCAAUCCGCUCGCUAAUGAAAUUGUGGGUGGAGCCACUAUCAAUGAGGACAGUCAAUUCGUGAUUUCCAAUUCUUGCCAUGAUGCGCAUUGUUUUGGCAGUCGACCAGCCAGUAAGAGCAUGUAGUGAAAUUUGUGGUUCAUCAUCUUCGAAGUCUUCGUCAUCUUGCAGAUGUGUCUUUUCGUCUCCUUCCAGUAGCAACAAACGGGGUCUUUGACACUUAUGGCCAGGAGUGAAUUUUUCGUCACAAUUGAAGCAGAGACCUUGCGAUCGGCGCUUCUGCAUCUCGUCCCACGCCAGGCGUUUCAUGGGCAUAACUGCUGCUGGUGAUUUUGUGGGUGAAAAAGAAGCAAUUGGAUUCUGACUAAUGGAAAAUGGCUUACGUCGUUGGCGAAGUAAUUGCUCAUCUCUCAUUCUGGCAAGGCUAAUUGCCUCUUUCAAGGAUUUGGGUUUAAACAUCCUAAUCCCUUCUGCAAUGUCAGGUUUCAAGCCUCCCAUAAAAGUUCCCACCAAUGCCUUCUGCGUCCAGCCUUGCACACGGUUACCCAGCCUUUCGAAUUCUUUUUGGUACUCCCGUAGUGAGCCCCCUUGUCUCACCCUUGACAGUGCUUCAUCGAAAUCUUCACAUUCUGGUGGUCCAAACCUUGCCCAUAAUUCCUCCUCAAAAAUUGGCCAUGUCAUCUCCUUGUCUUCCUCUUUGUAAGCACGUCGCAGCCACUGCCACCACUGGUUCGCCUCCCCUUGAAGAUGAAAAGAUGCCAAUGACACCUUUUGUGUUUCCACAGUACCUUGGUAUUCGAAGAAUUGAUCAACUCUGUUGAACCAUUCAGUGGGGUCGUUGCCCGAGUAUAUGGGGAACUCAAGCUUCGCCAGUUUUGAAGAGAACAUCUGUCUGUUCCCCUCAGCUCGUUCUGCAAUGUCUUCACGUUGAUAGCGCGGGCGUCCAUUGCGCUCAAUGGAUUGGCUGCUGGAUCCUUCUUUGUUGGACAGUAACGCCUCUGUCAGCUUAUUGAUGUUGACUUCCAUCUGCUGCAUUCUGUCAACAAGAGUAAUUUCCAUUCGGCUCAUUCCAUCUUGCAGACCUCCCAAUCCGAUUUCCAAAUUUUCUAUCCGCUCCUUGUUUGUUGUCAUUGUUAACCUGGCUCUGAUACCAAUUGAUAGGUCCCUGUCACAGCAAGUAAUUAAAGACAAGAAACAAACACAAAUGUAUUCUGCUUUGGGCGAGAAUAAGCCACAAUUGAUAUUAUUGAAUAUUGAAUGAAUGCGUUCUCUGUCUCAUAGCAGAGUUUAAAUACAGGAAUUGAAUAACAACUUUUCUAAAAUACUGGCACGACUACAUAAAAUCAGGAUGACUCCUGCUACAUAGCUGGCAUUUAUUUGCUGAAUAAAACUUGACUCCUUCCUCCCGUGCACUAAGGCACUGCAGUGAGAAGACCCCCUUGACCCGUUCCUCCCUUGACUGGCUCUUCACAACUCAAUAAACCUGCGAUUCUUCUUAGGAAUUCUGCAUGAUCUUCUCGGCUCCAGCUGUUGCUCAUCCCGUUGUUGUAGUUCAUCACUUGACUCCUUCAAUUGCUGCUGCUGCUUAUCAACUGCAUUGGCAUCCAAUAAGUGAGGACAAUCUUGUAUCUUCCAAGUGGCAGUAGAAUUUAAUUAUAACUACCAUUAUUCUUAUCUUUAGUUAGUAAUAUAACUCUAUUUAUUGUUUCUAGUACGUAGGACAUGUUGUAAUGAAAACCUGUUAGUUAUUUGGUGUGAUUCCAAGGAGUGAUUCCUUUGAAUGAUAUCAGGCUCUACUUAUUUUCCUCUAUCAAUACUUUCUUGCUAUCUUUUAUACCAUGUUCAUUAGUUUACAUAAAUUGUUCCCUUAAUAUCCUUUGGUAUUAAUAUUAAUUGAUAUCAGAACAAGUUUUGAAUUUUUGAUCUGCUAUGCCUGGAACCGCAGUGGAAAUUCUUAUAAUCCCACCAAUCAAAGAUUACAAGACCCUAGUCCUUCCCUAACCAAUUUGAACUCCCCGUAGAAAACAUCUCCAAACCGAUUCUGAACCCCCCACAACAAGCAUCUCCACAACCUAUUCCGAACCCCCCACAACAAGCAUCUCUACAACAUGAUUUACUUCCUUGUUAAACCAGUUAGAAGAUGCUCUCAGAAUGGUAAGCUUCGAAGAGCUGCAGGAUGCAAGCGUGUGCUGAAGAAGCAAGAGGACAAUUGCCCACAUAAAUGGCAAAGGGGGUGAUUGUUGGAAUAUUGCCAAUUAUGUGGCUGCCAUUGUCAAAGAAGAUGGCUGCAAUGGUGGGUUGUUGGUGGCAGCCAACAACCAUUGUCUAAUGUCAAAGUUUGGUAAGUUUGGCAGCCACCAUUGUUGACAAAAGAGUUGGAGGAGCUGCCAUGAAUGCCUAUAAAUAGAGGCCUACAUUAGAGAAGCAAAGUGAGAGAAGAAAGGAGAGAAAACGUGAGUGUGAGUUGAGAGAAAGAGAGAGCUGCAAUGGCAGCAGCCUUGCUGCCAUUGCAGCAGCUGCAACAGCUGUGUGUGAGAGCUGGGAGUAGAGUAGAGUGAAUGUAAUCCUCCUCCUCCAUAUAUAUUGUAAUCCUUUCUCUAUAUAUCUCAAUAAUAUAGACUCUCCCGUGGAUGUAGGCGGUUUUGCCGAACCACGUAAAAUAUUGUGCCAGUGUGCUAUCCCUCCUUUGAGCAAUUAUCAGUACACCCCCGGUCGGAAAUCCCCAACACAGAGUUGAUCAAGGAGGAGAUGUGGCUAUAGAUGAAGAAGAAGUAGGAGAACAUUAGCUCAAUUCAGUCUACAGUGACAGGGAGGUCAAAAUUGAAAGAUAUCACUAUUUUCAUUAAUUUUAUUAAAGCUUAUAAUAAAAGGUUGUGUUUUUAAUUGGAUUUAUUUUUAUAUGGCGUGGCUUCUUUUUUUAAAAUGCAAUCUGCUUCCCUUUAUAAUACAGAAAUCCAGUUUUGAGUUUAUGUAACUAUAUUAACAAAACGAUUAAAUGCUUUCGUGUCCGUUUAAUUAUUUAUAUAAAUAAUAAACCCAGUUAAUAUAUUUUGCAAUCAGUUUAUGGUUUAUUUAUCUCAUAGUUGAGUUAGUUAAUGUAUGUUUUUUCAAAUUAGUAGCAAAGGCGUGUGGGCUUGUCUCAGGCUCACAUGCUAGUGCCUGAGUUGUACUGUAAUAGACCCUAUCAUAUUAGGCCACAUAAGCCCGAGUGGUUGGAAUUUUUUUUAUUGGUCAUUUUUUAUUUUUUUAAUAUAAUUUUUUAAUUUUAUAUUUUAUUGUUGAGUUUUUUUAUUAAGUUUUAUUUGUCAAUAUUGAAUUAAUUAUAAAUUAAUUUUUAUAUUUUUUAUUAUAUAUAAACCGAGUAAAGUAUUUGGUGGGUUAGCUAUAAACCUGAACUUUUUAUUUUUUUAUUUUUUGGACUAGUAAAAGACAAAUUAAAAAAACAAAGUAAUCUUAUUUGAUAUGUUGUAAAUUUUUUUUUUAUCUAAUAAUUUAAAUUGAAAUCUCAUUUAAUAAUUUAAAUUAUUAAAUUGAAAUAAAUUUUUAAUACAAUGAUUUAAGAUGUACCAAGAUAUGGUUGUAGUUUUUAUUUUUUUGCCUUUUUCUUUAAAAAUGUUAUCUCCUUGGUAAGGAAUCCUUGGUUCCCAACGGCAACUGUAGCAACGUAAAAACAAAUCUCUAAACUCCACCGAAAGUGGUAGAGCAUUAGAAUUUUUAAAAGACAAAACGGGGCGCGACAUUCAUAAUUUAUAAACAGAUGCGAUAAAAUAAGUCAUACUGCAUGUUUUCAUUUGGCAUUUAAUUCCAUGAACAUGGCUUUUUUAGAUUAAUAUAGUGUUUGGACUAGCUUGUAUAUCUCGAAUAAUCUCAAGAGAUCUUGAAGUUAACAACGUACCAUAUAAGGCUUUAAUAGCAAUGAGAUUUGUAGGAUUCGAACUAGUGAUAUUUAGAAAACAAACUUAGUGACUAACUAGUUGAGCUACACCCCUUAAAAUUCCAUGAACAUGAUCUUACUUUUCGAUCAAAUUAAUGUGACCAUAUUAUACUUGUAAUCAAACCAUUAAUUGACUGUUCUUGACUAGCUAUUGUUUCUCAUUGGCAAGAGUCAUUGCCAAUGAUCAUAACAUGUUAGUGAUCUAUUGCAACUAGUUCUAGUAUCGACAGAGUUGUUAUUUAACCAUUAAAUCAAUUUAUAAAACAUUAUUGACUAGCUAUCUAACACUAACAACUAAUCACAGAUAAUAUUUAUGCAAAACUUGUAGCUUAAUACGAACUCUCAGACAUGUGGGUGGGGCAACUCAAAGUAGGAGAGUGGUAACCUCUGAUACAUAACAGAGAAAAUUAUAGAGUAAAGCAGGACGGAAUUUUCUUAAAUUAACAACAGAAAUCUAGAUACUUCAAUAAAUUAACACACUGACUAAUAAAUCCCCCCCACCAUCAUCCAGUUAUCACAGGUGCAUCUACAAUGAACAGUUCUCGAGAAGAAACUCAAGAAACGCAUAUAAAGCUACAUGAUGACAUAAUAGGAACCUGCAUUGCCUCCAUUCCAUGAUGAAAGUUCAAGAAAUUCUACUUCGAAACUCAAGACAAAGUCUCUCAGACUACAUAUUAGUGGGAUUUCUAUAAACAACUGAUUGUAUUGCAAAGCAACAUUAUGAAAAACUGAAUAUUUCACACAUAGUCUAACAAAAGUAGGUUCCAUUGUCAAUUCCUUAACAUUUUCCGAACAAAUCACAGUUGCUCCUCGUUUGAUACUUUCUUGAAGGUUUCUUUUCUCUUAUUACCAAUUUCUGUGAGUUUGUGAUUUUUUAUCUGUACCGUAUCAUCCGAACAAUUACUAGAACCACACAACUAAUAUGUAAAUUCACAAAUUCCCUACAGUUCAUAUUGCCAACAAACUCCUCUUGCCAUUCCCUAAUUGCAUUGAGCCAGCUAAUCUGGAUGAAAGAAAGGACUUCGACCUUGAAAUUAGCAUCAUAGUCAUGGAACCUUAAAGCAGGCCCAACUUUGUAGCUCAUUACCAGCUACGUAAAAGUUAUCAAUAGCUGUGUGGAUCAUUGAAACUGCCACAAAAGCAACCCAAAUUAGUUAUGAAUUGGAUUCGAUAAAGGAAAGAGGGGAAGAGGGGAGAAGACAGAUGAAGAUCUGCGCAGGGCUACCUGUUUUGAGAAUUAUGGAUUUUUAUCCCUAACUCAAAACGGCACCAAUUAUAAGUUCAAUAAAAAAAAAUAUGUAACAGAACAGAUGGAAAAAACUCGAAACAACUCGGCUAGAAUUUAGGAAAGAAAUUCAGAAUGAGCCAAGAUUUUAAGUGAGAUGAAACUUUGUUCUUUGAAAAAAAUAAUUAAUAUGAGAUAUACUUUUCAUUUUAGUGAACCUUAAAGCAGACCCAACAGUUAAGUAAAAGUUAUCAAUAGCUGUGUAAACCAUUGAAACUGUUACUGUAGGUGCACACUCAAUUACACCAUGGAUUCACAUAGUGCAAUUGUUAAUUUUUUUUUUAAAUUCCAUGUUAUUUUUUUAUUUGAACCUUUUUUUGUCAACAUGUUUCGCAAUUGGCCUUGGUAUUUUGUUUUCAUUUUCUCUAUGUUUCCUUCUUCUGUAGAUAAAAAACAUCAGGUCUUUGGGCUCGUACUUGAUAGUGCAAAAUUAAUGACACAAUAAUCAAAUAACACAAAAAUUUUUAUAAGCGAAAGGAAUUGGAGAUGUAAACCUAAAAUUCGCAAGUUUAUUUUUUCUAAAAUAAUAAUAAUAAUAAUAAUAAUAAUAAAGUCUACAUUCUUAGAAGGUUUACAAACCUUUAAAUGGGUCAAGAACCCUACCCCCAACUAGGAAGCAAAAAUAAAAAUUCAAAAUUACAAAGAAAAGAAGCAUAAAAUCCAAAAUAAACAAGAAAUCUAAAAAUAAUAAGGAAAAUCACAAAAAUUACCAAAACUAGAGGCCUCAAUGAGAUUUUUGAUAUCUAAAGAUCCGACGGUCCGCAUUAAAAUUUGAGCACAAUCUAACAAUUGAAUAAAAAAUUAUGACUCUUUUGAGUUGUUAUUCUGGUUUAGCGUGACCAAACCUUCUCUUGGGCUUAGACCUGUUUCAUUGGUCCAUAAAUACAUUUGCUAAGCUAUCAACAUAAUUUAUCUAGGGAAAAUCUUCAUCUAGUUAUGGCAGAUUCACACCUGACUGCUUAGAAUCACUAAUUAUUAUAGGAUUGACUACAUCAAAAUUGGUCGGUUUUUUUUGUUUUCAAAGAGAUUUAAACUUGAUGCAGAUGAAAGCUAAAAACACAAUAAUCAAAGAACACCAAAAAAUAUAUGAGCGAAAGAGAAUAUAGAUGUGAACUCUCAAAUUCCCAAGUUUAUUUUCUCUAAAAUAAUAAUAAUAAAGUUUGUCUUCUUAAGACGUUUACAAAGCCUUAAAUAUGUUAGGAACCUUACCUUAACUAGGAAACAAAAACAUAAACCCAAAAUUACAAAGGAAAGAAACAUAAAAUCCAAAACAAGUAAGAAAUAAAAAAAUAACAAGGAAAAUCACAAAAACUACCAAAACUAGAGGCCUAAACAAGAUUUUUUAUAUAUAAAGAUUCGAUGGUUCACGUGAAAAUUUGAGCAUGAUCAAAUAAUCAGAUAAAAAAUUAUAACUUUUUGAGCUUUUAUUCUGGUCUGACACGACCAAACUUCUUCUUGCUAAACUUGUUUCAUUGGUCCCUAAAUACAUCUCCAUAACCUUUUUUUUUUGUUUCACUAUAGAUAGAGUUUGACCAUUAUUAUAUAUGGUUUGACUUAGCCGUAUCGGUUUUCAAUUAGAUCAACUUUAUAUAUUAUGGGUUUACAUUUACUAUUUUUUAAAAAGUGCUCACAAGUCCAUUUUUCACACCUCAAACUCGUAACUGCAACGAUUCGUAGGCAACGAAACUAGUUAAAGACUAGAGAGUAAACAUGCUACUAAAGUUUGCAGGUGAGGGUUUAGAUUAGAUUAUUUGUUGUCUUGUUUCAAAUAUUAGAUCAGUCUCAACUCAUUAAAUAAACAAGUGGUGCAUUGAUCCUUGGACUCAAAUCAUAUAUACACGGCGAGCUCAUUUGUGUUUUUAUUAUUUGUCCCUCCCUGUACUUGUAGCAGAAGAGAAGCUGCUCUCAUCUUUGAAGGAAUGCAAACAAUUGUUAAUAUGAAACAUAUUAUGUACAAAUUAUAAUAUUUGUAAGAAGCCGUUUUGCUGCCCACCGGCGGCCAUCUGAUCAGAGAACAGUAUUAUAUUUUUUAAACCCUUCACUCUCAUAAAAACAAUUUAUAUGAUUAUAAAUAGGAAAACAUAAAAAAAAAUAGGAUUACAUAUUUUUAGAGAUUACAUAUUAUUGUUUUAGUUCUUUUUCUUGAUUAGAGAUAAGUUGAAUAAAAGUAGUAAUAAUUUAUUUUUGUGAAAAAAGUUUACUACAACUCCUAAUAAUUAGUUUCAUGUAAAAAAUAAAAAUAAAAAUAGUAACUAAAAUUUAUUUUAGUUAUGUUAAUAAAAUUUUAAAGAUAUUUUAAUUGAAUUAAGUAAUUCAACACAAAAUUUAUGUUCGCAUACAGUUGUUGUAACCCAUUUUUGGGUCCCCACACAAAAUACAAAAAAAAUAUAUCAAAAUAAAAAAAAUAUUAUAGAAAAAUAAUAGCAGUGAAAAGAGGAUGUCGGAGCGCCCAGAAAAUGAUCAAAAAUUGGUUGAGGAGGUUUCAAAAUAUAAGGAUUGAAGUUUGACAGUAUAUCAUUGACUGGGGCUUAAUUGCAUACAUAUUGAAGUCUGGUGGCCAAUUAAGGACUUGAUUUAAGAAAUCCAAAACCAAGGACCAUAGUGAAAAAAGCGCGCAAAUUGAAGGGCUAAUCUGAAAUUGGACCCAUUUUGGCACCAGUUUUUGUUUAAAUGAAAUGGCACGUUUUGAUAAAAAACAACGCCGUUUCAUGCAUUGCACAAAAAAAAGAGAGCAAACGGUGCCGUUUUGAACGGCACCAUAAGCCUUCUUCUUCCCCUGUUGAGAACAGGGGAAGAAAAAGCAUUUUUGAUGUAACUAUAUUAUUUGAUAGUUUCACCCACAUUUAACUAGUGUUUAGCCUAUGUUAUAUAUAUAAAAUGCCUUGAUAUUCUUUGUUUUAUGUUUUGAAGGCACCUUUAGAUGAAAGAUGCAAAAAGGAGUAAAUUGAAGAUAAUUGGCAGAUUUGAUGUUCAGUCGAUGUUUUGUGCAGAGCAUGAGCUCUAAAAGUCAAAACGAAGUGAUUCUAGUGGCAUUAGAAAUCUAACAUCCAUACCUUUCUGUAAAUAUAAGUCAAGAAAAAUAAAAAUACAACGAGCAUGGAAAUCACAUCCUUCAAAGUCAAAACUCGCAUUCUGCCAGUGUUGACCUUUGUCCAUUCAAAAUUCAAUAUCUGGAGCUGUAGAUAUCCAAUUGAUGUAAACUCAAUUGUUUUGGAUUCCUGACUCAAAGGUGUCUAUAAACGCUCCAAAUUUCAGCCACAAAUGAUGUCAUAUGAGGGAGAUAUGAGUUUUCAAAGAUGACAACUGAAUUCUGCCAGCAAACAGGUUUCGUGAAGAAACGAAUCCAAAUUACAUCCCGAAGCAUCAAAACCGACAUCCAAGUUUUAAUUUCAUCAAUUUAGCUCCUCAAGUAAAUCAAUCCAGAAGGUCAAGGAAGGCAGCCACCAACCUCAAGCCACCAACCUCAAACCACCAACCACAAACCAGCUGCCAGCCACUAGCCGCCUUCACACUACCACCAUCUCUUGAUGUUCACACUUGAACUUUGAUUUUUCUUACUUACAAUUUAUGUAUAAAUAGGCAGCUAAGUUUAUGCUAUUGAGUGAGCCAAGAGGGAAGGAAAGAGAGCCAAGAGGGAAGGAAAGAGAGCCAAGAGAGAGGGAGAGGGAGUGCAGUAGAAUAAAGAAAGAGGGGUGGCAGCCAUAAGAGAAGAAACACAAACUCUCCCCUCAACAAAUCAGAAAUCAUGUAUUCUUUUAUCUUUAGGAGUAGUUUUUCAAUAGAUAUGCAAGGCUAAGCUCGUUUUCUUGGUUGCAAGGACGCAAAAACCUUCAGAUUUAAAGAACCGUGAGAUUUAUUCUUCCAUUUAUUUUCAGUUUGUAUUAUGAAUGAGUAUGUUUGUUUUCCUAUGCAUAUUUUCUAUGAUUGUUUAUCUUAAUUGCUAGAGCGGACUCUAAGUUAUUAUUGUGAAUAAUCUAUUGCUAAGUUUGAUAUCAAAACCGGAGUUGUGGUAUAUAAACGUGUGAAGCAAGUAAGCUUGAUAAUUGUAGCGGAACUACAUUAUUAAACUUAGGGAGAACAUUCGAUCAAAGCAACACAAGCUGACAACUUGGUUGUUAAGAUUAAUGAAUUUAUCUAGAUCUUAAGGCUGCCAUUGGAUUAAACCAUUAGUGCGGACACUGUGAUUGUUUGUUGGUUAGGGUUAGUUAUACGGCGGAUCCGUUAAUUAACCAACAUUAAGAAAAGAUAAAAAAUUCAGAAUAUAAACUGAAGUUUCGUUUCAAGGAUCGGUUCUGAUUUCUGUAGGUGGAUGUGUGCUUGCGACCAAGGUUUGUUUUCUUGAUAUAUUUCAGUUUCAAUUGAUUUUGUUUGUUAGUGUAAUUUCUACCAUAGUUUAGAUCAUUGCAAAUCAAACCCCCCCAAUUAUAUAAUGUAUAGCAUAAAAAUCUGAACUAAACCUUCCUCGUGGGAUCGACCCCUUGCUUGCUCUAUACUAUCUUGUGUGUUUUAAGCUAGGGUAAUUAAUUUAUGCGACCGCGACAUCGCAACAAUUUCCCCCCCAUUUUUUUCUCCUCUCUCUCCCAAAACCCAAAAAACCAACGACGACCCGACUUGUCCUUUCACUGACACCACCACGCCCUCAUGCCGAAAGACCCAUACCCUACAGAGGUAGGGGCGGCUGUGCAGUAGCUGCCCCCAUGCCACCAUGCCCUGCACCAUGGCACAGGACAGGGCAUGGUGGCCCUCUCUCCCUCUACCUAUAAAUAUAAAGGGAGUGCGGGAGAGAAGAGGGGGGAAAAAGAUUUUUUGAAAGAGAAAGGGAGGAGAAACCGAGAGAGAGACCGACUGUUUUUUAAGGAGGAAAAGAGAGACCGAAAGAGGGGAAACAACAGUUUUUUUAGAGAGAAAGGAGUGAAGAGAAGCAGACCGAAACACUAGAAAUUAAAGGGGAGAAAAGAAAAAGGAGGGAGACCGAGAGAGAAGACAGAGGAGAGAAAGGGAAGCCAUAAAAGAAGCGGGGAAGAACAGGAAGUGACAGGGGAAGAAAAAAAUACUGGAGAAGAAGAACAACCACAGCUGCCACCGUGCUUCCUCUCCACCGACAUAGCGCACCACCUGACCGUAGCUGACAGCCCCGAAGAGACAGAGGAGAAAAGGAGAAGAUAACGGGAAAAAAAACACAGAGAUGAGGGGGCUGAGAAGAGAAACAGAGGAGAGGAGAGAAGGAAGGAAAACGCCGCCGCUGUCACCGCCGCUUUCCACCACCGCUGACGACCACAACCGUUCUUUCCCGCUCCAGGUAACUUUCUCCCCUUCCCUUGUCGUUUUUAGUUGUUCAUCUUCAUUUUGCAUGCAGACGUGAGCAAUUCACGUUCUGCAGCAAAAUGUAGAUUAAUUAGCUAGUUACUAUGUUAGGCACAGUAACUAGCUAAUUAUAUUUUGCUGGUUACUGUGUGCAGCACAGUAACCAACCCUUUGAUUGCUUAUGGGCUAGAACAUCAGCCCAGCCCACGCGGCUGGGCUGAGUCCAGCCCACAGUAUAUGGGCCGGGUCAGGCCCAGCCCAGGAUGGUUGGGCCAGAUCCGGCCCAAGUUUUUUUUUGGUUAAAAGAAAAUUUCAAAAAUAUUUUUUCAGAAUUUUAUAAUUUCCCCGCAUAUUUUUAUGUCAUUUUGAUUAAAAGCAAUAUUUUUUAUGUUGCUAAAAAUACAAAAUCCGAUAUUAAAAUACCUGGUUUUCGUCAAAACUUUCAAAAUACAAAACAAAAACUUUGUUUUGAAAAAAAGGAAAAUGUUUUUGUGCAUACGGCCAAGUAUCUCAAGGCUAAAAAAUCAUAUGGUGUUUUUCAUACACAAAAAAAAAACAAUGUUUUUGCAUGCAUUUUGGCUUUGAUAACCAGUUUAUUAGAGUCAAGAGAACAUUGGCCAAAAUUUCAAAAACUACAAAUUUUUUUUUUUUUUUGUCUUUUAGUAUCCGGGGUACGAUAUUACAUGUAAUACAUAUUCCAUAUAUUAAAUGUUUUUCCAACGUUAGAACGGUUAGGUUCUACCCCAUUAAAGAUAAGAACCUCCUUAUUGAGUAGGGCUUUUCUUGAGUCUUAGAUAGACAGGACCAAUAAGUAGAAAACACGACCAAACCUUAGAUUUUGAUAAGACAAAUAAAACAAUGCAGCUUACCUUAGGUAUGGCGUAUUUGGGGUGCUAAUACCUUCCCUUUACGCAACCAGUCUCCGUACCUGAUCUCUGAGACCAGUUAGGGUUCCUAGUGAUCAUAAUACUAGGUGGCGACUCCCAUUCUAUUUUUUUCACCGCUAAGAGACAAAGAAUUCCUUGUCUCCCCACAUUUACCAGAUAUAUAUCCAUACAUUGAGGGUGGACGAUCGCCGCGACGCCGCACACGUGCGACAGAAUGGCGACUCCACUGGGGACCUUGUGGACUAAGCAUUGUUUUGUCUGAUUUUUUGUUGGUUUUGUCCCUGUUUUGUUAUUAAGAUGCUUAUUUUAUUUACACGCUUUAAUUUUUGUACAUAUUUGUUCAUACAUUGUAUAGAACUGUUUCACGCAUCAUUCUUUUUAUGUGAGAGUUUAUAUGAGAAAACUUUAAGUUAAGUAGGGGACUAGCAGCUUACCUUAUGACUUUUAGUCAAGGUUUAAGUUUGUGUAAACCCCAACUCUUCGCUGAGUGCUCAGACUGGUAAUGAUUGGUCCAUAUGCCAUCCCAUUACCUACUGAGCCCCCAUAUUGCCUUCACGAGGGCGAUCACUGGGACAACAAGAGACCCUUUUAGAGACAGAAUAGCCAACCUACCCUUGUCAAGCAUAAAAGAAUUAGAACCGGCCUUUAGGGUGUAUGCUCCACUGUACAUGUUUUGCAUAAUACAUUAAACCUAACCAUAAAGCAUAUUGGUUUUCAGGUCUUUUUAACGAUAAGAUGGCCAUCAUUACCAAAGUUACUACUGUGGAAUAUGGGCAAAAUUCUGAAUUGUCACAACUAUCAGAGGGAGACGGCUCUAGAUGUAAUGCAAGGAAGCUUCCAAUAGUCAAAGACCUGAAUUGUAUGGUAAAUGAGAUGAAGAGAAUAUUGGUUCAUAGUCAGAACAUUGAUGAGGCGGCAUUUUCCGUGAAGUAUGGGCGAUUGUUAGAAAUUACGAAGAUAGAAGUAUUGAACCCAGCAAUCAAAGCCUUGAUUAACUUUUGGGAUCCUGAUUAUAGAUGUUUUUCCUUUGGAAAUGUGGAUUUGUGUCCCACUGUAGAGGAGUAUGGAAUGUUGAUGGAGUUUCCCAAGCACCUGCACAAGGUUUAUUUCCCUUUGAGAAGUGACAAAGUAAUUCCCGAAUUGUCAAAAUUGCUGAAAAUUCCAUAUCUGAGCAGAUUUUUAGAGAAGAAUGCCAGCGGUUUAAAGUGGAAAUUCCUGGAGAUUGAACUAGAAAGGAAAAAAUCACAAUAUGGAUCGAUGCUAGAAAGAGACAGGUUAAUCGCUCUGGGGAUAUAUGGUCCUGUAUUAUUUCCAAGCUUAACAGGGGUUAUAAGCCUAGAAGCUGCUGCUGCAUUUGUGGAAUAUGAAAAUACUCAUGUCAACCCUAUAACUGCCAUAUUAGCUGAGACCUUCCUGACCCUCAACCAUUUCAGGAAGACUGGGAAAGGCGCAAUGAGAUGUUGUACUAAGUUAUUAUACAUCUGGAUGGUAAGCCAUAUUGAAACCAAAAAGCCGAUCUUUAAUAAUUUUUGGUGGUUUAACCAAAAACCUUUGAAGUUAGUAGAAGAAGAAGAAUGGGGAAGCUUGGGCGAUCAGGGUUGGAUGAAAAAACUGCAAGAGUUACCAAGUAGCAACUUUAGUUGGAAAGCCCCUUGGGUCAAAUCGGUUGAUAUCCUAGUAAGUUGCGGACAAAAAUGUUGGGUACCUUUAGUUGGGAUCAUAGGUUAUGUCAGCUAUGCUCCGGCCUUGGUGAUAAGACAAUUAGGCGGCAUACAACACAUCCCAAGAACUGUGGGACUCGCUGAAUUUUCCAGGUUUUUCAAGGAUCAAUCCGCGCUAGAAGAUUGGAGCCAUUUGACUUUAAUGUGAAAGGAAUCUGAAAGGUUAAGAGACCCCAGCUCAAGUGAAGGAUAUGAAAAGUGGAGGAAUUUGACCCCGACUGCCGCUCCUAGAAUGCCAUGUUCUGAAGACGGGCCUUCACGAAUUAUAGAAGGGUCAUUCAAAAGAAAAAAGGUCAGUAAUGAGGAGGACCUUAUGGGGCAAUUGGAAAGGCUCCAAAUAGAAUUGGGAAAGAGUAAGGUAGAUAAAACAGCAUUAGAAAUGAUGAUGAUAGAGGGAGACAAAAGCCGAGUAUUUCUAAACGUACAGCUCGAAUCUAGAGAUGUAAAAAUAAUGAUGUUGGAGCUGCAACUGAGCAAAGGAAAAGUUGUAAUGGAAGAGUCCGAGAAAGAGAGGGGAACGCUGAUUUUGGAUUGGAUGCAGAGCAGCUCUGAAUUGGAAGCAUUAAAAGCCAACUUCAAUGACUAUCAGAUGCUGAAUAAAAUCAGGAUAAAUUUUUGCACGUUCAAGCGGAGUUAAUGGACCGAAUCGAGAAGUAUGAUGAGUUAAACAAGAAAUGUGUGAUGGUAAAAAGUCGGCUAGCCGAAUUGCAAGAGUUCGAAAGAAAGGGGAAGGAAGAGGAGGUUGUUAAAGCAGAUUUGGCAACUAAGAAAAAUGAAAUUAGGAUGCUGAAAGCGAAACUUGAUAGAGAGCGGGAAAAGGUAAGACAGUUGACCGAAAAGUUGGAAGCUUCAAAAAAACAUAAAGAACAGAUCGACACCAACAACAAUACCUUGAAUCAGAACAACAUGUUGCUUAUGGAGAAGAUGGCCAAAGUAGAUGAGCAAAUGGAUGAAGCUGCCAUUCAUGCACGGAUUAUUAGAACCAAUGCCCGAAGGGUGGGGAGGGACAUCUUUUGUUAUCGACAAAGCUUGGCUGAGACUGAUGCCUUCUUAGAAAAGAUUGAGAAUUGAGGCCUUGCUUUCCUACCAGUGGCUAGAAAUAUGGAUGAAGAGGAAGAUUGAUGUAUUUUUUUUCUUUUUUUGUAUCCUCUUUUCUUUUUGUAUCCUCUUUUCAAGAGAUGUAUUAGCCAAUAUUAUUAAUGAAAAGGGGCCUUGACCCAUCUUUUGUGAAAUAUCUCUUAUAGAGUAAGGUUAAGUCUACCAAAGCAACAACUUGAGCAAAACUACCCCUGAUAAGGAACGUGACAAAGGAGUCCAUACCCAUUACGCAAGCGAAAUGUUGGCCAUCGAUCGUUUUUGAAAAACAAGCUCACAUUACAUAUGCAUCAUGCAUUGUUCAUUAUCAUACAUUCAUUUACAUUUUUCCAUCCGCUCCAGAUCGUGAAACAUAGGUCCCCCACCCAAGGUCCACCACACUAGGCUAAGAUCAAGAAUGGAGAACGAAGAGAGGGCCAUUCUAGAAUCCCGCUACCAAAGUGAAUUGGAAUCCGUGAGAAAUGAAGUUUCCCGGAUGACCAAUCUGCUUGAGCAACUUCUAAGAGCCAAGAAUGGGGAGGGAACGUCUACCCAACCACCCAUAGGAGCACCACCAACUCAUGUCCCUGGGGUAUCUCAGAACUUGAGGGCAGAUUCAGUAACGGAACAACACUUUACACUAGCCAUUCCCAUCCAGCCCACUCAAUCUCACAUCACUGUAGAUUUAACAGCGAAUGGGCCUUCCGAUAAUAGGUCCACUGGUUUUAUGAACGACGACAAGAUAUCCGCUUUGGAAGAAAGGUUAAGAGCAGUUGAGGGAAAUGAUUGGUUUGACCCCAUGCGAGCUUCUGAAGUAUGCUUGGUACCAAACAUCAUGGUACCAAAAGAUUUUAGGAUACCAGAGUUUAUAAAGUACACUGGGUUGGAAUGCCCACACACUCACCUUCAAGAGACUUGUCGACUUUGGUUUUUGUAUUUUUUUUACAACAUGCAAGAAAAUUUACAAGCAUUUAUAUAUAAAAAAAUAUCAAAAAUACCAGUUGAAACCCAAAAAAUUACCUGAGUGUCACUGUAUAGGUAAAAUACUGAAAUACCCUGGAAGUUCUCCAAAAAUUACGAAAAUGCCACUGGCGGCGCGUGUGGCACACGCGCGGCUACUGUUGGCUGCGGCGAAAUUUUCUGGCGAGAUUUCUGGCCAACAAAUGGUUGAUUCUGGCAGAUCUGAGGGCGAGGAUUCUGAUGGUGGUGGUUGUGAAGGUCUUUGAUGGCUGAUGAGUGAGAAUCGACGACUUGAAGCUUCUGUGGCAGCCGACGAUCGCGACCCUUUUCCGACCAAAUGGGGCGGAGACAACGCUGAAAUCGGCCAGGGUUUUGCUUUAUAUGAGGAUAGAGACCUUUCUGUGGUGGUUUGGAAGCUUGAUAUGGCCGGAGAUGGGAGAUCGGAAGAGAGAGAGGGAGUUGCCGGCGAGAGGAGAGAGAGAGUCCGAGAUUACGCUACGGUGUGAACGCGUGUAUGGUAAACAGGUACCUCUGAACACUGUGCGCCGUUGGAUCUCGGAUGAAACGAUCGGAUGGCUGUGAUUGGCCUGAUCUGCAGGUUGAUCGGACGGUCCGGAUGAACAGAGGUAGGAUCUGGUGUGGCGCGGUGUACCGAGAGAUUGGUACACCGGGUGACGUGGCGAAACUGGAUCUAAGCUUAGAUUAUUUCAAGGGCUGAGAUGUGUCUGGGUUUUAAUCUAGUGUGGUAAGCCCUAUUGUAUCCUAUUAAAUCAACGGUUCAGAUCUAAACACUAUUAGAUCUAACGGUUAGGAUAUAUUUGGUAUUUUUCAUAUUGUAUUUUUAAAAAAUCAAUAUCCACUCUCAUGAAGAAAUAGUGAAAAACUUAAAUAGUAACCUUGAUAUUCGUUUCUUUUCUUUCUUUUUCUUACCUCUCCCCCUUUGUUCGUUUUUCUCACCGGCUAUUUAUAGCCAAUCAACAGGGGACAUCAAAAUCUCAACAUUAUCUACUUGCAAGAAAAAAAUCGUCGAUACAACUGCCCCGCCUGCUGUGACAAAAAAAGUUUGCAUUAUUGAUUUUUUUAUUUUGUUUUAUUAUAUAUAAUAAUAAAUAUUUAUAUGGAUAAAACUAAAACUCAAAUUAGUAUUAGAAAAGCCCGUUUCAACCGCUAAAAAUCAAUUUUAAUGACCGAAAAUAAUAGUUUUGACCCAAAAUAACCUGAAACUCAUUUUUUACCCCGAUCGACAUGGUUGGACCCGUAUGGACUCGGUGGACUCGGUUUUGACCGAAUAUGACGGUUUUGACCCAAAACGGCCCGACACUUAUUUUUUACCCUGGUCGACAUGGUUUGACCCGUAUUGACUCGGUGGACUCGGUUUUGACCCGAAACGGCCUGAAACUCAUUUUUUACCCUGGUCGACAUGGUUUGACCCGUAUUGACUCGGUGGACUCGGUUUUGACCGAAAAUGACGAUUUUGACCCAAAACGGCCUGAAACUCAUUUUUUACCCUGGUCGACAUGGUUUGACCUAUAUUGACUCGAUGGACUCGGUUUUGAUCGAAAGAUGCGGUUGACUCGAGAAAAAUAUAUUUUUAAAUUUUCCUUUUUCUUAAUUGUUUUGGAUUUUUAUAAAUAAUAAUAGAAAUAAAAUAACAUUCAAGAAAAUCUUGGUGAAUCCAAAAUUGGGUUACAACAGUUGCACCCUCUUUACAAUGCUUACGGUGCAAAGGCAUUGGAAAAUUCAUUUUCUUUUGACUUUGCAUAGUAAGUUUUGUAAAGAAAAACGAUGGAAGUGUUGAAAAAUGCACAGAUUUUUCGGUUGGUCUAAUUGUUAUGGGCGACCUGCCCAAGUGAAAAACAUGAAAGUGUUUUCAAUAUUGGUUUUGUGAAAUACAUGAAAGUGAUUUCAGCAAUGGUUUUGUGAAAUACAUGAAAGUGAUUUCAACAAUGGUCCUAUUUUCCAGAUGACCACCCCGAUGAUAAAAUGCGAGGAAACUCGCAAGUGGUUUAAUUGUUCCAGGCGACCUGCCCGAUGAUAAAAUGCGAAGAAACUCGCAAGUGGUCUAAUUGUUCUAGGCGACCUGCCCAAUAGUGAAAUGCGAGGAAACUCGUAAGUGGUCUAAUUGUUCCAGGCGACCUGCCCGAUGAUAAAAUGCGAGGAAACUCGCAAGUGGUCUAAUUGUUCCAGGCGACCUGCCCGAUGAUAAAAAAUGCGAGGAAACUCGCAAGUGGUCUAAUUGUUCCAGGCGACCUACCCGACAAUGAAAAUGCGAGGAAACUCGUAAGUAGUCUAAUUGUUCCAGGCGACCUGCCCGAUGAUAAAAAAAUGCGAGGAAACUUGCAAGUGGUCUAAUUGUUCCAAUCUAAUUGUUCCAGGCGACCUGCCCGAUGAUAAAAAAUGCGAGGAAACUCGCAAGUGGUCUAAUUGUUCCAAGCGACCUGCCCGAUGAUAAAAUGCGAAGAAACUCGCAAGUGGUCUAAUUGUUCCAGGCGACCUGCCCGACAAUGAAAAUGCGAGGAAACUCGCAAGUGGUCUAAUUGUUCCAGGCGACCUGCCCGAUAGUGAAAUACUUGAAAGUGAUUUCAAUAUAUUUUUGUGAAAUACAUGAAUGUGAUUUCAGCAAUGGUUUUACGAACCGACCCUUCUGUGAAAUACAUGAAAGUGAUUUCAACAUUUUUGUUUUGUGUGAAAUUCAUGAAAGUAAUUUCAACAUUGGUCCUAUUUUCCACGUGACCACCCCGAUGAUAAAAUGCGAGGAAACUCGCAAGUGGUCUAAUUGUUCCAGGCGACCUGCCCGAUAAUGAAAAUACGAGGAAACUCGCAAGUGGUUAAUUGUUCCAGGCGACCUGCCCGAUGAUAAAAUGCGAGGAAACUUGUAAGUGGUCUAAUAGUUCCAGGCGACCUGCUCGAUGAUGAAAAUGUGACGAAACUCGCAAGUGGUCUAAUAGUUCCAGGCGACCUGCCCGAUGAUAAAAUGCGAGGAAACUCGCAAGUGGUCUAAUUGUUCAAGGUGACCUGCCCGAUAGUAAAAUGCGAGGAAACUCGCAAGUGGUCUAAUUGUUCUAGGCGACCUGCCCGAUGAUAAAAUGCGAGGAAACUCGCAAGUGGUCUAAUUGUUCCAGGCGACCUGCCCAAUAGUGAAAUACUUGAAAGUGAUUUCAAUAUAGUCUUGUGAAACACAUGAAUGUGAUUUCAGCAGUGAGCUUUAGGGUUGAUUGAAAACUUCUAAAGGAAGUCAUACCUGUAUGGUUGAGAUCUGAUUUGUAAAUCGAUCUCCGAGAUGAUGAAAUCUUCUCAAGAAAGUCUUAUGUCUACGGUCGAGAUCUGAUCUUCUGUACAUCGAUCCCAAAAGAUGAUGAAAGCUUCUCAAGGAAGUCCUGUAUGUACGGUUGGGAUUUGAUUUGUAAAUGGAUCCCAAAGAUGAGGAAGGCUUCUCAAGGAAGUCCUGUAUGUACGGUUGGGAUUUGAUUUGUGGAUCCUAAAAAUGAGGAAAGCUUCUCAAGGAAGUCAUGUAUGUAUGGUUGGGAUUCGAUUUGUGGAUCCCAAAAAUGAGGAAAACUUCUCAAGGAAGUCUCGAUUUCAAAGAUGAUGAAAGCUUCUUAAGAAAGUCUUAUAUGUACGGCUGAAAUCUGAUUUGUAAAUCGAUCUCAAAGAUGAUGAAAGCUUCUCAAGAAAGUCUUAUAUGUACGGCUGAGAUUUGAGCUGCCGUUCAAAACGAUGGUAGGAGUAAAUUCCUUAUAAAUCACACAGUAUUUGGCAAAAGACAUCAUCAACUUCUUGCAUUUUCAAUACUCUCAAAGUUCUUAACUUUUGAAGCUUUAACCAUGUCUUCUUCUUCUUCCAAUGCUAACCCAAACCCUGUUCCUGCAGUAGAGCCUGCAGUUUGGCGUACUACCUUUGAAGUGAAUGGUCGUCCAGUUACAAUAGAGGAUACUGUAAUGGACAAUGAAGAUAUUGCUGUAGCCGUGGCUAGAGAUAUGAUCCUUCCUCGUGAUGAAAUAAUGCUGGCAGCCAGGACCGAUAUUGAAGUAGUGAAUCAGUCACUUGCUCUCAGUAUCAGAGCUACUUCGUCUUUGGUGAACGUUGCAGAGCGUCUUCAUGCUAGAAGACUUGAGUUGAAUACUCAGGUUCUUGAUCUCCAUCAUCAGAUUGAGAAUUUAAGGAAUAGACUCCGUGAUGAGAGACGUCACAGAAACAACUUGGAGAGGAGAAACCAAGAGCUAAAUACACGUGUUGACUUUUGGAGGGAUUAUGUUAACACACGACACCUCGAGUUCGAGGAAGAGAUGGAGCGCAUGCAUAAGCAAUUUGAGGAAUUCCGAGGCAUGAUUAACCAUCAAGAUGAAAAUAUCCCUGAUCGUCCUCGCACUGUUUAACAUUUGUACUUGUAAACCCCUUUUUCCAUGAAUAAAAAUCCAUAUUUCUUGUCUUCAUUUAUGAAUUUUGCUUUUGUGGAAUUGCCAUCUUUGAUGUGAUUUAAAAGAACUUCAAUUCAUGUGAGUCUCGUUGGAUCCCAGUGGGGAUAUUGUUUCAUAAAAUAUCUGCAAAACAAUUAUGCAAUGCAUGUGAAGUUAGAUGAUAUGCAAUGCAUCUUACCUGUUUUUGAAACAUAGGUCCCCCCUUUUUGAUGCUUCAUCGUCAUAGGGUGGCUUUGUUUGCAUUCCAAAACCUUCUUUGUUUUUCGAUGCAUUGGCUCAUUCAUGUGCUAGCCAUCCGCUCAGUUGUAAAUGCAGUGCCCAUCUUGGGUUGUCCGUGAUGAUUACUGCUCUCGCUGUUUAUCAAGCUUGACAAUGCCCCCAAGUGUAGUGUUGCUUGAUUUAUCAUUAAGAAGCUUAACAAAUCGUUCAUCUCCUGGAUUCUUUCAAGAAUUGUUCUCUGAUUGAUUGUGUGCAUCGUGCCAACACCUAUCAAGAUUGUCAAUCAGUUAUGAACUCACCUCCAGUUGAAACAUACCCUUCAAGGAUAUGCGGUCAUCCACUUUCAUGGAACUGUCAUGUCAUUCAGACCUGCAUUUCAUACUUUGCAGUACAAAGCUCAUCGUUGUAUGCUCAGCUUCUUUCUCAAUAGGUUCUUCUCAACUCAUUUAACCAGAUUGUGAAAAGAAGUGUCUCAGCCUCUUCAAUGAUGUUGCUUUUAUCACCCAUACUCAUGUGGUGCAAUGCGCAUUUGAGCUUCCAAUCAGAUGGCCCCACGGUCAGUCUAGGUGGGUGCGGUGUAUCCUUCCAACAUUCAUUCAAAAGCAAUCAUGUGAUAACAUCUUUCGAUAGUCAUAGCCAUAUUGGAGACGAUAAACCAAGAUGAAGAUAUGAAGAUGUCCUUCAGGUACAUCUUUGCUCUCAAUUGUUGUCGAGGUUUACUGGAUCAUAAACUGUUCUUGAACAUCAUUGCCCUUAAUUGAUAUGAAUGUGCUCAUUCACUGAUUAUCUUUCUUUGAACCAUAUUAUCCUCAGUUCAUUGAUUCAUCAUUUGAUCAUCUCUACCCCCCAGCUGAUUUAAAAACUGUUUGUUUUCCUUCUCAGAGGUCCAUUGUAUUGCCCCCAGAAGUGUCGAGAAGAAUUGAUGUCAUUUCUGUCAGGAAUUUGCAAACUCCGUCGAUGUUCUUAUUUGAAAAUCUUUCUUAUUUUGGAAUCAAAUCUCACAUUUCAAAGAUCAUGUCAAGCAAAUCUGAUUGUUGAAAUGAAAUCAGAGAGAUGUCAAUUUUGAAAGUAUUUUUGGAAAUCAAGCUUUGUUGGUCAAAGAUCCAACACACGCUAUUCAAUAUAGUCCUUUGAUUGUCUUGUAUUUUGAGAGAAAAGAAAUUGACUCGUUGUAAGAUUAAAAUGGCUUUUUUCAUGGUUUUUUGUAUCGAUUUUAAACUCUAAUUUUGGGUAUAUCUUUUGAUUAUCUGUGAUGAGGUGACCUUUUAUGAAUUUCAAGAAAAAUAAGGUACCCGAGGCAAAACUUGAGGCUUAAUCAAGAAAGAUGGUUUCUUUUUCUUAGCACCAAUUUUAUCAGCAUGCAUAAUAAUCAGUAGCUUGAUUCAUGAAGUCACGACCUGUAUGAAACAACUCUUCAAGUUUUGAGAUCGCCAUUUAUCGGUUCAGAUUGCUUACUUGAUUAAAAAGGACUUUCUAAAGCAUGUAAUGUAGGCUAUGGUUCCUGGCUAUGAAAGAAAGGAAUUUCACAAGCUCAAAAGGUGUUUGAGGGUUUCAUGAACCUAGGAUCACCAUCAAUUACUCAUCAAUCUCUUUUCCUCACGUUGUCUUUGUAGAGACGGUGACAUAUAACCUUGUUAAUCUCUAAGAUUAAAAUUCGUUUAACAUAGGUCAUAACGCAAAUCCAACUUUUCUUUAAUGAAUAGCCAAUCUAAACUUUUGAAGAUCAUAGAGGCUUUACCAUAGACACACCAAAAGACAUAACACUUGAUUUUUCGUGUUAACUUUUGGUAUUUGUUGUGUCUUUAUCAAUCUUUGGCUUUCUUCUUUUAGCCCUUUCUCAAUCAUUGGACUUUUGUUCUAAGCCUUCCCUUUGUCCAUCGACUCUAACAUUGUCUUCGUCUUUUCUAGGAAAAGACUCUCAUUGCCCCUAGUGUGGGGUGUGAUCCUAGUCAAGGUUUUUUAUGAAAGAAAUAUUCUAUCAGCUCAAAAUGGGACUGCAAGGGAUAUAUAUUUCAAGAAUUGUGAAAGGAUGAAACAAAAAUGGCCUUUUCUCAUCUCAAGUAAGGUCGGUUAGAACCGAUAAAUUUUGACCUCAUCCAAUAUAAUGAUUUAGACUUGUAAGAAUCAUAAUUCACGAGUCCAUAACUACUGAAUCCACUACGUUUCAUUAUGCAUACUGCUAAAACUUAGCUAUAUAGUAUGUGGUUCAAUUUCAUGUGUGAGUUCAAAAGUUUCUUGGUCACCUCAUGUCAUUUCAACAAGCUUCGAGUCAUUCAAGCAAAAUAAUUUUAAUCUUCAAGAUUGACUAAUCUUAAACGCAUGUUGGAGCUUGAUCAAAAUAUUUUGUCAAAAUAACCUUUGAAAGAAACAUCUCAUGCUUUCAGAACAACAAAGGGACAAAGAAAAGACAUGUUUUGUUAAAAGAUGAGAUAUGAUCCCAAAAUAAAAUGCAGAAUGACAAAACUCAUAACAAAAAGGAUCGACAGUUUAACACUCUUCUUGGAUCAGCUUUUCUGGUGAUAUCUGUGUUUUGUCAAGCAUUUCAAUCACUUGUCAUUAUGGGGAUGUUGUAGUGACAAUAUGGCCGAUGAUGUCAUUUUCACAAACUCAACUCGAUUCUUGAAAUUCUUGCAACUUUCAAAUGAAUGGCACAAAAUCCCCCAAUGAUAUUCAAAUCUCUUUUCUGGAUUAUACCACCUAGAAAAUGAUGGUUGUAUGGGAUUUGGCGGAGUCAUGGCAAUAAAUCCGGAGUCUAAUAGAUGCUGGUAGACAAACUCGAGUGGUCGAGGUAUGUCAAUCUUGGCAAAAAUAUUUGAGCAGUUGAUACAUAAUUAAAGCUUCCCAUCGUUAGAGUCAUCCUUUGAUUCAUCUCUCAUUAUUGUUCUACAAUCCUUGGCAGAAACUUCAAUAUUUCCCCUCUUCGUAGCUUGUUCAAUUCUUUCGAAAAUCCUCACAACAUCAAUAUCAAUCUUUCCAAUGUUGUUAUGGUUAUUUGUGGAUUGGUAUAAACUUUCCAAUAGCCAGGUAAUCUUGGUAGCGCACAGAAACAUUCAGCACCACCAUUGCCAACGUGUGGAAUCAUGCGUUGUCUCAACUGGAAGAGAAAAUGAUGAAUCUGAAAAUGAUGAAUCUGAAACCCUUUUGUCUCCUCUUCAAUUCCUCACUGGCAGUGCAGCAAACAAACACCUAUAGUGGGAAUUCUGCUUUGUUAAAGUUGCAAUGUUUGCUCUUUUUUUUCUCAGAGCAGCAUCCGAUACUGCAAUGUCUGCUUUGUUAAAGUUGAGAACAAGGGUUGUCAUUAGUUGAUGACUGAAGGCAUUGUUGUCAUUGUUCAUGACUAAAAAGGAGAGGUACAACUUCAAUGGAACGUGGACAAGUAGUGUUCUCAGCAAGAGCCUGUACAGACGUUCCCUUUCCACUUUUGAAGCUCAACAUUUAUUCAAACAGAUUUAUGAGUCGAGCCACUUCACCUUUACUGCUCUCAACUUCCUUUUGAUAAUAAACCUAUGUCUAACCCCUGUCUUUAUUUUCCAUCUUCAUCAGUCCAGUAGACCUCAGGUGGGGGAACUUAUGUUUCAACCGUGUGCAAGCUUGAUAAAUGAAUGAAAUGCGCAAAUGGAUGCAAAAUGCCAUAUGGACUAUGCAUGCUUGUUAUUUGUUUCAAGUUUUCCUUUAGCUUAUGACGAGGAAUAGACCAGAUCAGAUUCUCUUAAGAAAGUUCUCAAUGAGGACUCCAAACCUACAGGAACUUGAACCGAUUUAGGGGAGAAAUUUGAUUUUUAUUGGAUAUUCUUCAGUUGUUUUUCCCUCUACUCUCUUAGCAGAAGUAACCCUACCGGGAUGUUUCCAUGCCUUUUUCACUAACUCUAAUAAUUUCUUCGAGGUCUUGAAAUCUUCAUAAAAUGUUGGCAGUUUGGUAGUCAUUGGAAUAAACUGCUCAUGUAAGAUCCCACAUCGAAAGCGAGCGUCCAACGCCAAGGCCUUAUAAAUGCAUGUUCAUCUUAACUAGUAAGACGCGUUUAAAACCCUGAGGGGGACCUGGGUGGAAGCCCUGGAAAUGGGUAGACCGGGGGGCCUAGAAGGGACAGUAUCUGACAGGGUGAGUGUGCUGCUCUACUCUGAAAGACGCGUUUUGAGGCCAUGCGUGGCUGCCAAGAACAAACCCGUCAGGAGACUUGGGUGGAAGCCCUGGACAUGGGUGAACUAGGAGGCCCAAAGCGGACAAUAUUUUGCUAGUGAGGUAGGAUGUUACAGCUCAAAUCCAAAUUGUUGUAAAAUCAUGUUAGGACAAUAACUAAUACAGCAGCAGGCUCCUAUCACAACGGGACCCAUGGAUACUCACCAUAAUAUGCCAGAUAAGAUUUGAAGUAAGAGUAUCGACUCCUCCAAUGAAAUUGAGAUUUACUUAGAUUUAGAAACAUUGAUUCCCAUGUGGUUCUUGCUACUUCAUGCAAGUGUUUUUCAGCAAAAUUCUCCAGCUUAGAAUAAAGAUGCCAUGGGGUACCAACCAAACCUGAAAUCUUCCCCUCGAUCAUAUGACUCACAGUCCAGACAAACAAUAACUGCAAGCAACAUCUUAAACGACCCCUUCCAGCUUUUCUACAAUAAUUCAAGGAUGAGAAAGUUUCUGCCAAUAUUGCUGUAGCCGGGUUAAUUUUAAGGGUCACCACAUUUUUAAAUACAUUGACAGCCUCAAAAUCGAUCAUUCCCUCUGUAGAUGGGAAAAGAACCAAACCAUAUAUGCCUAAGGCCAAAAUUCUCAAUCGAAUUUCAUUGCUUUUAUCGUGUAAUCUCCUCUUGAAUAUGGCUUCUAGUUCAUUCCAAAACCAACCUUGGCUAUUUCCUCGUUUAGUUGCAUGAGAUUUUGCUAGUUGACAUUCUAUCUGGGUAAUCCAAGCAAAGUUAGAAAGUGCAUGCUCUAUAGGUGUGUAAAAGUAUACCUUUUCUGACUUGGGACAAUUUAGCAGGGAUUCAUACUCCUCAAUAGUAGGAGUCAUAUCCACAGUAUCAAAAGUGAAGCACCGAUAUUCUGGAUCCCAAAACCCUAUCAUGGCCUUAAAACAAGCAUGUUGGACCCUAAUUUUCAGUAAAUGUGAUAGAUCCCCAUAUUGUUUCUGAAAAGUGAUUUGAUCAUGAGAGGAUAACCUUUCCCAACAGUCUAGCAGCUGUCUUGUACCAAGUGGUCUGUCAUCUAAUUUAACAUGCUCUGGCAACUGAGACUCAAAUUCUGAUGGCAAACAAUCCCCUUCAUCAUGUUGGCUCAAUUCUGAUCUGGUAAAAAAUUCCUCAAUAGUAAUGGGUUUUUCCAUCUCACACUUCUUGUAAGGAUCGGUGGAGAUUUAAUGAGCACAUGAAAUGUAUAUGAACAUGUAUGUUCAUGCAUUGACAUUUGUUCGUGUCCUAAUGGGUAUAUCUUACUUGAUAGGAUCUAGCUCAUAAGGUUUGGUUCAGUUUAAUCUAUCCUUAAAGAUAUUUUUUGGUUCUUAGAUUGCCCGAAUUACCCAUGGAGUAAUCGGCCUCUUAACCUUAUACAACAUGAGUAUGGGAAACAAUUUCCACAAUACCCGUUGCAUAGGGUGAGUUACAAUCCAAGCGAAAGUCCAAAUGAGCAUCAGUGGACAUAAGUCACACUUGCCACCUGAAUCUCUCUUUUCUAAUCUUAAACAGGACGAGCUCGGGUCCAGAGCUUUUAUGGGUUCACCGUGAAGUGUGUGAAUACACAAAUAAAUAACAUGCAUGUAUGUGGCAAUAUGGAAAAUUGAAAAGAAUCACAGUAGAUAUUGCAUAAAAUAAAUAAUGCAAAUAAGAUAAAUGCCUAAAAAUAAAUAGCGAUAAGAAAGAACAAAUGAAAAGCAAAUACAAGCAGUUGGCUCAACCCUAAGUCCCCAGUGGAGUCGCCAUUCUGUCGAUACACGACGUCGGGCGACUGCUUCCGCUUUUUUUGUUUAUUUAACAAAAAGGGUUUUUUUUUAAUUGGGGGAAACAAAGAUUUUAUUGGAGUCGCCAUCUAGUAAUUUGAGGGAACUAGAAAUCCCAAAUUAGACACUGGUCCCAGAGAUUCAGGUACGGGGUUAGUUAUGAUUAAGGGAAGGUAGACACCACCCUUAAAACAUCCUUUCAAAGAAAGGUUACCCUUACUUGUGUGUUUUUUGUUUGAUUCAAAUGCGAUUAUAUUUUGGGCUUAUUUGUAAUUAUUUUAAAUGAUUAAUGUCGGUCCCUAAAAAUAGGAGACACGUUAAAAAUGACAUCAGUCCCUAAAAUUUAGGAGACUCGUCUAGAAUAUUAACGUUUAUUCCUAAAAAGGAGAGUUACGUCUGGGUUACCAAAAGAAAUAAUGGAUAUAAUCCAUUAUAUUUUGGGUUUAUUGGUAACUUGUUUUUUUUUAAAAUGGUUAACGUCGGUCCCUAAAAAUAGGAGACGCGUUAAAAAUGACAUCAGUCCCUAAAAAUUAGGAGACUUGUCUAAAAUAUGACGUUUUAACCCUAAAAAGGUGAGAUACGUCUGGGUUACCAAAAAAAAAAUAAUGGACAUAAUCCAUAUUUGGUAUUUGCAUUUUUGACAUCGGUCCUUUUUUUUAAAAAAAAAAGAGAAGUGUUGACUUUGGUUUUUGUAUUUUUUUUACAACAUGCAAGAAAAUUUACAAGCAUUUAUAUAUAAAAAAAUAUCAAAAAUACUAGUUGAAACCCAAAAAAUUACCUGAGUGUCACUGUAUAGGUAAAAUACUGAAAUACCCUCGAAGUUCUCCGAAAAUUACGAAAAUGCCACUGGCUAGAUUUCUGGCCAACAAAUGGUUGAUUCUGGCAGAUCUGAGGGCGAGGAUUCUGACGGUGGUGGUUGUGACGGUCUUUGAUGGCUGAUGAGUGAGAAUCGACGACUUGAAGCUUCGGUGUGAACGCGUGUAUGGUAAACCGGUACCUCUGAACACUGUGCGCCGUUGGAUCUCGGAUGAAAUGAUUGGAUGGCUGUGAUUGGCCCGAUCUGCAGGUUGAUCGGACGGUCCGGAUGAACAGAGGUGGGAUCUGGUGUGGAGCGGUGUACCGUGAGAUUGGUACACCGGGUGACGUGGCGAAACUGGAUCUAAGCUUAGAUUAUUUCAAGGGCUGAGAUGCGUCUGGGUUUUAAUCUAGUGUGGUAAGCCCUAUUGUAUCCUAUUAAAUCAACGGUUCAGAUCUAAACACUAUUAGAUCUAACGGUUAUGAUAUAUUUGGUAUUUUUCAUAUUGUAUUUUUAAAAAAUCAAUAUCCACUCUCAUGAAGAAAUAGUGAAAAACUUAAAUAGUAACCUUGAUAUUCGUUUCUUUUCUUUCUUUUUCUUACCUCUCCCCCUUUGUUCGUUUUUCUCACCGGCUAUUUAUAGCCAAUCAACAGGGGACAUCAAAAUCUCAACAUUAUCUACUUGCAAGAAAAAAAUCGUCGAUACAACUGCCCCACCUGCUGUGACAAAAAAAGUUUGCAUUAUUGAUUUUUUUAUUUUGUUUUAUUAUAUAUAAUAAUAAAUAUUUAUAUGGAUAAAACUAAAACUCAAAUUAGUAUUAGAAAAGCCCGUUUCAACCGCUAAAAAUCAAUUUUAAUGACCGAAAAUAAUAGUUUUGAUCCAAAAUAACCUGAAACUCAUUUUUUACCUCGGUCGACAUGGUUGGACCCGUAUGGACUCGGUGGACUCGGUUUUGACUGAAUAUGACGGUUUUGACCCAAAACGGCCCGACACUUAUUUUUUACCCUGGUCGACAUGGUUUGACCCGUAUUGACUCGGUGGACUCGGUUUUGACCGAAAAUGACGGUUUUGACCCGAAACGGCCUGAAACUCAUUUUUUACCCUGGUCGACAUGGUUUGACCCGUAUUGACUCGGUGGACUCGGUUUUGACCGAAAAUGACGGUUUUGACCCGAAACGGCCUGAAACUCAUUUUUUACCCUGGUCGACAUGGUUUGACCCAUAUUGACUCGGUGGACUCGGUUUUGAUCGAAAGAUGCGGUUGACUCGAGAAAAAUAUAUUUUUGAAUUUUCCUUUUUCUUAAUUUUUUUGGAUUUUUAUAAAUAAUAAUAGAAAUAAAAUAACAUUCAAGAAAAUCUUGGUGAAUCCAAAAUUGGGUUACAACAAUGUCAAUGGAAAAGAGAAGCCAAGAGUUAGUAAGGGCUUAUGCGCAAAGAUGGAGGGAUGAGGCAACACAUGUGCAACCCCCUUUGAUAGAGACGGAGAUGGUGACUUUGUUCCAAACUGAGAUCAGUGGGUUAACUCGGAGUGGCCGGUGCUUCACGCCCGAGGAGUUGAAGAAAGCAAAAGGCAAAGAAGUGGUAGAUCUUGACAAAGCACUAGAAGUUAAUAAGCCAAUAACUGAAGAGGAGUCAAAUGAAUUUUUAAAGUUGAUAAAGCAUAGCGAAUAUUGCAUAGUAGAUCUACUAAAAAAGACUCCAGCAAGGAUUUCCCUUAUGUCCUUGAUACUAAGCUCUAAGCCGCAUCGAAAUGCUUUGCAAAAGGUAUUGAAUGAGGCGUAUGUGCCCCAAGACAUUGAACAGAAAACCAUGGAGCAUCUGGUGGGGAGAAUCCAUGCAACUAAUUACCUGUACUUCACAGCUGAUGAGCUUGAUGCUGAAGGUAUCGGACAUAACAAGCCCUUAUACAUUACUGUUAGGUGCAAGGAUUGCCUCAUAGGAAAGUGCUCGUCGAUAAUGGCUCAGCUCUUAACGUGUUGCCAAAGCACAUGCUGAAGAAAUGCCAAUUGAUGAUUCUCAUAUGAAGUCGAGUACUGUGAUGGCCAGAGCAUAUGAUGGCUCACUUGGGCCAAUAAUUGGGACUGUAGAAGUGGAGCUAUAUGUGGGGCCACAAAUGUUCUUGGUGACCUUUCAAAUUAUGGACAUCCACCCUUCCUAUAGUAUGUUGUUAGGAAGACCUUGGAUUCAUGUGGCUGGGGCGGUAACUUCAUCAUUACACCAAUGCUUGAAGUAUAUCAUGAAUGGGAUGUUGGUAACUGUCAAAGCUGAGGAGACAAUAUCCAUGAUGAAGAAUGUGGCCAUACCUUUCAUUGAGGCAGAGGAUCGCAAGGAUAACAAUAUCCACUCUUUUGAGAUUGUGAACACUGACUUGGUACCUAAGAACACAGUACUAAGAAGGCCAAGGAUCUCAGAAGCAGCAAGGAUGGCAGCUCAAUGCUUCUUGGAACGCGGGAUCCCAUUUCAAUAUAACCCUAUCACUAGGGUACCAGAAAGGGUUAAUCCGAUAAAGAUGAAAGGUGUUGAUCAAAGAUUUGGGCUGGGGUAUAAACCUAAAAAAGUGGAUCAUCGGUGGGCUGCUGGUCGAAGAAGGGAAAGAAGAAUGGCUAGGAUUGAAGGAAGAGAGCUUGAAGAAGAAAAGCUGGAAAUCCCUCCCCUUAGAGUGUCGUUCCCAAAAGCUGCAUAUGUAAUGCAACCCGAUGAAGGAGCAGAAAGCCUUGGUCAAGAACUGUCAAAUAUGAGCAUAAACACCUUGGAGGAGAAUAAGGUGGAAGGAGGUGGCAUGAAGACGGUAGCGGGAAAGAAAGAUGAAGCACUACCACAACUAACUAUCCACACUUUGGAAGAAGUCUCUGCUAAGACCUUUGUACGAAAGCUGGCUGAAGGUGAGAAGUUUCAAAACUAGGUGACUCAAUAAGCCCUAGUAGUAUUUAAAAUGUAAACCAACUUUGUUUGCCUUAACAUGCUUUUGUCAUUGCUUUUGUUUGCUUUAUUUUCCCUGGUUGACAAUCGAGGCUCAUGAUGUCAAUCAGAUUUUGUCGUUGUCAUUGAGCCCACCUUUGUUUUAAAUAAUGAGAUCAUGCGUUUUCCAAAUUUAUCUCUUUAUUCAUGCAUUUACACCAAACACUUUCCGCUUUCAGGAACUCUGAAAGUGGAUCUUCCACAACAUCAUAUACACUUAGCAUCAAGAAUGAAUGGCCAAACUUUAACGAACAUGUGAUCACUAUGGAAGAAGAAGAAUGGGAUGAAAGCAAUAUUAGGGAAUUUACAAAGUUAGUAGAGCAACAUGAACAAACCUGGGAACCAACUACAUAAGAACUAGAAACCGUAAACGUGGGUAGCGAUCAGAUUAAAAAAGAGUUAAAAAUAGGGACCUUAAUCACUCCUAAGGAAAGAGUAGAGGUAAUUGCCCUACUACGAGAAUACGCAGAUGUUUUUGCUUGGUCUUACGAGGAUAUGCCUGGUUUGGAUAGAAAUAUUGUCGUACAUAAGAUACUGCAGGAGGAAGGUUGUAAACUAGUCAAACAGAAGUUGAGGAGAGCCCACCCGGAUAUUUGGAUCAAAGUUAAGGCAGAACUCGAAAAAUAGUGGAAUGCAGGCUUUCUAGAAGUAGUUAAAUAUCCACAAUGGGUAUCCAACAUUGUUGUCGUACCAAAGAAAGAAGGAAAGAUUAGAGUUUGUGUGGACUUCCAAAAUUUGAACAAAGCUAGCCCCAAGGAUGAUUUUCCUCUGCCACAUAUAGAUGUUUUGGUCGACAAUGCUGCACGUAGUUCCACAUAUUCCUUUAUGGAUGGUUUCUCGGGAUACAACCAGAUAAAGAUGGCUUUAGAAGAUAAGGCGAAAAUAACUUUUGUUACACCAUGGGGAACCUAUUGUUACAAGGUUAUGCCAUUUGGUCUGAAGAAUGCAGGAGCCACCUAUCAGAGGGCCAUGGUGACUCUUUUCCAUGAUAUGAUGCACAAGGAAAUUGAGGUGUAUGUAGAUGAUAUGAUUGCCAAGUCCAAGAAGGGAGAAGAUUAUGUAAAGGUUCUGAGGAAGUUAUUUGAGCGUUUGAGGAAGUAUGAACUAAAGCUCAACCCGGCAAAAUGUUCGUUUGGAGUUAAGUCUGGAAAGUUGCUAGGAUUUGUGGUAAGUGACAAAGGUAUAGAGGUGGAUCCUGAUAAAGUGAAGGCCAUCCAAUCCAUGCCAUCCCCAAAGACAGAGAAGGAGGUGAGGGGAUUCUUGGGAAGAUUAAACUAUAUUGCCAGACUUAUAGCUCAACUAACCACAACAUGUGAACCUGUCUUCCGGCUACUGAGGAAAAAGAAUCCUGGGAUUUGGAAUGAGGAGUGUGAGGAAGCAUUCAAUAAAAUCAAGCAAUACUUACAAAGUCCGCCUUUGCUUGUUCCUCCUAUAUCAGGAAGGCCUUUAAUAUUGUAUUUGACAAUAACUGAAACAGCUAUGGGAUGUGUAUUGGGUCAGCAUGAUGAAACCGGAAGGAAAGAAAGGGCUAUUUAUUACCUGAGUAAGAAGUUCACCGAAUGUGAGUCUAGAUACACGGUGAUAUAAAAACUCUGUUGUGCAUUGGUAUGGGCGACAAAAAGAUUACGACAUUACAUGUUGUAUCACACCACUUUGUUGAUUUCAAAAGUGGAUCCACUAAGGUACAUCUGUGACAAGCCCUAUCUCUCAAGCCGAAUUGCAAGGUGGCAGGUUUUGUUGUCAGAAUAUAACAUAGUAUAUAUGACAAGGAAAGCCGUGAAGGGGAGCGCGAUUGUCGACCACCUGGCUGAUAAUGCUGUUGAAGAUUAUGAGCCAUUGGAUUUUGACUUCCCUGAUGAAAAUGUAUUAUCAAUAGUGGGAGAAGAAGAGAAGAAAGAUUGGUGGACCAUGUUUUUUGAUGGGGCAGUGAAUGUUUAUGGUAAUGGGGUCGGCGCGGUGAUAAUCUCUCCUGACCAGAAGCAGUAUCCGGUUUCAGUUAAAUUGUAUUUUGAAUGCACCAAUAAUACAGCUGAAUAUGAGGCUUAUAUCCUGGGUUUAGAAGUUGUGUUAGAGCUGAAGAUCAGAAAGAUAGAUGUAUAUGGUGACUCAAUGUUGAUUAUCUGUCAAGUGAAAGGAGAAUGGCAAACCAAGGAAGAAAAGUUGAGGCCAUACCAGGAAUAUUUAUCAGCACUGUCAGAAGAAUUCGAAGAGAUAAGAUUCACCCAUCUAGGAAGAGAAGGGAACCAUUUUGCGGAUGCUUUGGCCACGUUGGCUGCUAUGGCUACGAUUGAUCUCGGGCAUAAGGUACAUCCUGUACACAUAAACAUCAGAAAUAACCCAGCUUACUGUUGCUCGAUUGAAGGAGAGGUAGAUGGAAAGCCUUGGUAUACGAUAUCAAGAAUUUUGUGCAAAAUCAGGAAUAUCCAGUGGGAGCUUCGAAGAUGGAUAAGAAAACCCUAAGAAGGUUGGCCAUGGAUUUCUACCUCGACGGAGAGAUUCUGUACAAAAGAUCAUUUGACAGAACCUUGCUAAGGUGUUUGAAUGAGACAGAUGCUAAAAAUGCUUUACGGGAGGUACAUGAAGGGGUUUGCUCAACUCAUGCUAACGGGCAUAUGGUAGCAAGGAAAAUACAAAGGGCUGGUUAUUUCUGGAUGACACUAGAGAAAGACUACAUCGACUAUGUCAGGAAAUGUCACAAAUGUCAAGUGCAUAGUGAUAAGGUCAAUGCGCCUCCGACUCCUCUGAUUAAUCUAGCAUCUCCCUGGCCAUUUGCAAUGUGGGGGAUUGAUGUGAUUGGACCUGUUAACCCAAAAGCUAGCAAUGGGCAUAGAUUCAUACUCGUAGCUAUUGACUAAUUCAUGAAAUGGGUAGAAGUUAGUUCAUACGCCCAUGUAACACAGAAAGUGGUGAAAAGGUUUAUAGAAAAAGACUUGAUUUGUCGUUAUGGUCCACCAGAAAAGAUAGUGACCGAUAAUGCACAGAAUUUCAACGGCAAAAUGAUCAUGGAGCUCUGUACCAAAUGGAAAAUCAAGCAUUCAAAUUCCUCACCAUACAGGCCCAAGAUGAAUGGUGCCGUAGAAGCAGCCAACAAAAACAUCAAGAAAAUUAUCCAGAAAAUGGUAGUCACUUACAAGGAUUGGCAUGAGAUGUUGCUGUUCGCUCUCCACGUAUAUCGCACUGCAGUAAGGACCUCAACAGGAACUACUCCAUAUGCUCUGGUAUAUGGAAUGGAGGCGGUGAUGCCUUUGGUAGUAGAAAUCCCUUCGUUGAGGGUGUUGAUGGAUUUAGAAUUAGAAGAGACUGAAUGGGCCAAAGUAAGAUAUGAACAGUUAAACCUGAUCAGUGAAAAGAGGUUGGCUGCAAUCUGUCAUCAUCAACUCUACUAGAAAAGGAUGGCCAAGACAUAUGACAAGAAGGUUAGACCUCGCAUGUUCCAAGAAGGAGAUCUAGUGCUGAAGAAACUAUUGUCUUUACCAGGAGAAGAUCAAAGCAAAUGGGCCCCAAAUUAUGAAGGUCCUUAUGUAGUGAAGAAGGCUUUCUCAGGAGGAGCUCUGAAGUUGUCUAGAAUGGAUGGAGAAGAUCUAGCUAGACCUGUGAAUUCUGACUCUGUAAAGAGAUAUUACGUCUAAUGUGUUCAGUUUUCUCCCAAAAUGAAUAAAGUGAAGUUUGGCUAUGAUUUCUUUGUGUAAAGAACCCUUUUUUUUCAUUUGCAUUGAUCUCACAACACUUAAUUUGUUUAUUUUCAAAAAAAAUCUUGGAAAGAUUUGGCUUUGUGCAUGAUUAUAAGGAAUGUAUCAUAAAAUGCUCAAAGAUGAAGUUUAAGCAUUUCCCGUUAAGAGGUGACCAAACCAAACAAACCCAACGCUGAGAUAAAACCUUGCCCCUAAUAGCAUUUUGAAUUGUAUGGAUAAAUGGUUAGGUAAUCAUCAUUGUAAUCACUCGGAUGUUUUUCUUUCGAGAUAAGAACAAGGUUUAUCAAUCCUAACAAUGUGCGUCUUGAAAUGAGGAAAGGCCAUCUUUGUCAUCCCUUCACUUUCUAAAGAUUUCAUCCUUUGUAGUCCCCAUUUGAGCCGGAUUGAGUUUAUUCUUUAUGAAAACCUGACUAAGACCACACCCCGCACUGGGGGCAAUGAGAAAUCUUUUGUUAGGAAAGAUAAAGAUAAUUGUAGAAAAAAAGGGUAAAGAAUGGAAGCCUAACAUUUAAGAAGAGAAUAAGAAGAAAAGGGAGAAGGAAUUUGAGCAAAUUACAAAAAAAAAAAAAGAAGAAGAAGAAGAAGAAGAAGACUUGGAUCUUUGAAAGUCCGAACCCAAAACUUGGGGGCAUAAAAAAAAAAGAAGGGGGGAAAAGGAAUAAAGAAAGAAGAUGAUGGUUUGAUAAUGCUUUAAGACUGAGAUGAGGAUCCUUAAGCAAGCUUCUCCAAAUGCAACCUAUGAGACAAUUUCACAAAAAACAAAAGAUAGAAGAAGAGUGGUCUUAAGUCUUUAAACCCUCAAACACUAUUGAGCCUUAAAGCAUCCUUUUCUUUCAUAGCCCGUAGAUGUAACCUACAUUACAAGCCUUUAAAAGUCCUUUCUGAUCAAGCGCACAUAACUUGGGUUAAUAAACGAUGGUCUUAUAACUCAUAGGACUUAACAAAUGAGAGAUAAUCCGCUUUUGUCCAUGCAAGAAAAAGGCUAAUAUGAGACAUUUCCCUUUUUCUACACAGCCUUUUCAAAUAAUUACUUAAAACCUGUUGAAAAGAUUAAACAGAAGAGCCUUUGAAAAGAAAAAAAAAACCUAAAGACAAACCGCAAACCGAUAAAACCCUCAUUGGGAAUCGCUUAAAAGAGUUUUCAAUAUGUAUGUUGAAAGUUUCAGUUGUCAUGAACAAAUUCAAGUCUUUUAAAGAUUCUUUUUGAGGAAGGAAUUUUUUGUGCUGGAACGAAAACCAAAAAACCCUUAAUUUGAGAAAGACAAAUUAAAGCAUUGACAAGAGCAUGAUAAAAAGCAAUGGCAAAUCAUGCAUUUUUGGAAAAGGUUCACCUAACGGAAAAGGUCAGGGAUUUCUUCCCUAAAAAGUGAUGGGUAGAAGAAACAUCAUAGGAAAUGGAUCCAGCAUGCCAUUUCGAGCACGUGAACAAGAUCGUAUUAAGAGAGAGUUUCAGAAAAUUGAAGGAAGCGAUGGGACCUAUGUUUCCAAACCAGGUAAGGAUGCAUACAUAAGCAUUGCAUCAAACAUUUUUGUUGAUUUGUUACAGGAAAAAUCCUCAAUAUAGUCCGGCAAGAUUAGAGACAAAGAAAGAAUCUUUGAGUUGAUGAACAACGAAGAAUCAUGCUUUGGACCCUGGAACGGGAGAAAGAUGAGAUAAACCCUAACAUUAGGGAAAUCUCAAAGAAAUAAGAGUCUUCAAUUCAAACCCUAUCAUCUUGAAGAAGAAACAUUUUUUGGUUAAAGAGGAUUGCCAAAAGGGAUCUCAGUUUAACCACCACAUGAAGAUUUUAGCUUUGGUUGAAGGGAGUCGCCAGAUGGGAUUCCAGGUUGACCGAGCUACACACAGGCUUUGGUUCUGGUUAAAGGGGAUCGGCGAAAGGGAUCUUAGUUUACCCUAACCACACAGAGACUUUGGUUCUGGUUAAAGGGGAUCGACGAAAGGAUCUCAGUUUAGCCUAACUGCACAGGAGUUUUGGUUCUGGUUAGAGGGGAUUGGCGAAAGGAAUCUCAGUCUAUCCUAACCAUACAGGUUUUUUGGUUAUGGUUAAAGGGGAUCGGCGAAGGGAUCUCAGUUUAGCCUAACCACACAAAGACUUUGGUUCUGGUUAAAGGGGAUCGGCGAAGGGAUCUCAGUUUAGCCUAACUGCAAAGGAUUUUGGUUUUGGUUAGAGGGGAUUAGCGAAAGGAAUCUCAGUCUAUCCUAACCACAUAGGAGUUUUGGUUCUGGUUAGAGGGGAUUGGCGAAAGGAAUCUCAGUCUAUCCUAACCACACAUGUUUUUUGGUUCUGGUUAAAGGGGAUCAGCGAAGGAUCUCAGUUUAGCCUAACCACACACAGAUUUUGGUUCUGGUUAGAGGGAAUUGGCAAAAGGAAUCUCAGUCUAUCCUAACUACAUAGGAGUUUCGGUUCUGGUUAGAGGGGAUUGGCGAAAGGAAUCUCAGUCUAUCCUAACCGCACACAGGAGUUUUGGUUCUGGUUAGAGGGGAUUGGCGAAAGGAAUCUCAGUCUAUCCUAACCACACAAUUUUUUAGUUCUGGUUAAAGGGGAUCGGCGAAGGGAUCUCAGUUUACCCUAAAUACAAAGGAUUUUGGUUCUGGUUAAAGGGGAUCGACGAAGGGAUCUCAGUUUAUGUUAACCACACACAGAUUUUGGUUCUGGUUAGAGGGGAUUAGCGAAAGGAAUCUCAGUCUAUCCUAACCACACAUGAGUUUUGGUUCUGGUUAGAGGGGAUUGGCGAAAGGAAUCUCAGUCUAUCCUAACCACACAGGAGUUUCGGUUCUGGUUAGAGGGGAUUGGCAAAAGGAAUCUCAGUCUAUCCUAACUGCACACAAGAGUUUUGGUUCUGGUUAGAGGGGAUUGGCGAAAGGAAUCUCAGUCUAUCCUAACCACACACACGAGUUUUGGUUCUAGUUACAGGGUAUUGGCGAAAGGAAUCUCAGUUUAGCCCAACCACACAACAGGACUUGGGGUCCGGUUGAAGUUUUAGGUCAACCAAAUUUUGGGAAGACCAGUUUCGGAAGACCAAUUUUGUUUAUCUUUACAACACUUACUACGCAAAAUCUUUGCUCCGUAAGCAUUGUAAAGAGGGGGCAUCUGUUGUAACCCAUUUUUGGGUCCCCGCACAAAAUACAAAAAAAAUUAUAUCAAAAUAAACAAAAUAUUAUAGAAAAAUAAUAGUAGUGAAAAGAGGAUGUCGGAGCGCCCAGAAAAUGGUCAAAAAUUGGUUGAGGAGGUUUAAAAAUACAAGGAUUGAAGUUUGACAGUAUAUCAUUGACUGGGGCUUAAUUGCAUACAUAUUAAAGUCUGGUGGGCAAUUAGGGACUUGAUUGAAGAAAUCCAAAACCAAGGACCAUAGUGAAAAAAGCGCGCAAAUUGAAGGGCUAAUCUGAAAUUGGACCCAUUUUGGCGCCAAUUUUCGUUUAAAUGAAACGGCGCGUUUUGAUAAAAAACGAUGUUCGUUUCAUGUAUUUCACGAAGAAAAAGAGCAAACGGUGCCGUUUUGAACGGCACCAUAAGCCUUCUUCUUCCCUUAUUGAGAAUAGGGGAAGAAGAAGCAUUUUCCCCCCAUUUUUUUCUCCUCUCUCUCUCUCCCAAAACCCAAAUAACCAACGACGACCCAACUUGUCCCUUCACUGACACCACCACGCCCUCAUGCCGAAAGACCCAUACCCUAUAGAGGUAGGGGCGGCUGUGCAGUAGCCGCCCCCAUGCCACCAUGCCCUGCACCAUGGCACAGGACAGGGCAUGGUGGCCCUCUCUCCCUCUGCCUAUAAAUACAGAGGGAGUGCGGGAGAGAAGAGGGGGGAAAAAAGAUUUUUUGAAAGAGAAAGGGAGGAGAAACCGAGAGAGAGACCGACUGUUUUUUAAGGAGGAAAAGAGAGACGGAAAAAGGGGAAACAACAUUUUUUUUAUUGCUUAUGGGCUGGAACAUCAGCCCAGCCCACGCGGCUGAGCUGAGUCCAGCCCACAGUAUAUGGGCCAGGUCAGGCCCAACCUAGGAUGGGUGGGCCAGAUCCGGCCCAAGUUUUUUUUGGUUAAAAGAAAAUUUCAAAAAAUAUUUUUUAGGAAUUUUAUAAUUUCCCCGCAUAUUUUUCUGUCAUUUUGAUUAAAAGCAAUAUUUUUUAUGUUGCUAAAAAUACAAAAUCCGAUAUUAAAAUACCUGGUUUUCGUCAAAACUUCCAAAAUACAAAAAAAAAACUUGUUUGUUUUGAAAAAAAGAAAAAUGUUUUUGUGCAUACGGCCAAGUAUCUCAAAGCUAAAAAAUCAUAUGGUGUUUUUAUACAUAAAAAAAAAAAACAAUGUUUUUGCAUGCAUUUUGGCUUUAAUAACCAGUUUAUUAGAGUCAAGAGAACAUUGGCCAAAAUUUCAAAAACUACAAAAAUUUUAUUUUGUUUGUCUUUUAAUAUCCGUGGUACGAUAUUACAUGUAAUACAUAUUCCGGAUAUUAAAUGUUUUUCCAACGUUAGAACGGUUAGGUUCUACCCCAUUAAAGAUAAUAACCUCCUUAUUGAGGAGGACUUUUCUUGAGUCUUAGAUAGACAGGACCAACAAGUAGAAAACACAACCAAACCUUAGAUUUUGAUCAGACAAAUAAAACAAUGCAGCUUACCUUAGGUAGGGCGUAUUUGGGGUGCUAAUACCUUCCCUUUACGUAACCAGUCUCCGUACCUGAUCUCUGAGACCAGUUAGGGUUCCUAGUGAUCAUAAUACUAGGUGGCAACUCCCAUUCUAUAUUUUUCACCGCUAAGAGACAAAGAAUUCCUUGUCUCCCCACAUUUACCAGAUAUAUAUCCAUACAUUGAGGGUGGACGAUCGCCGCGACGCCGCACGUGCGACAACAGUUAUAUAUUAAUUCUAAUAAAAAAUAUAUAUGGUUUCUAUGUUUAAAUUUUGGUAUUAAUAACGCAUACAACAAUGAGGCAGUUAAGUUUCUUUGAUAAAAUAAAAUCAUUUAAAAAAUAAAAAUAAGCUAGUAUGUUUGUUACAUAACUAAAAAAAAAAUUGAUUUUUUUUAAAUUAAUUUUUAAAAUCAUUUUAAUAGACUGAUAUUAAAAAUAAAUUUUAAAAAAUAAAAAAUAUAUUAUUUUGAUAUAUUUUUAAGAAAAAAACAUUAUGAAAAGAAAUUGUUAAUAUUGUUAAAAAUAUAUUAAUAUUUUAAGGAAAAAAUAAAAGAAUUUUUUUUUUUCAAAUUAAUUUUUUUCUUUUUUGUAUAUUUUUGUGGUUACCAUAUCAGACAAAGUAGAGGUUGAUUUCAACAUGCUUCCUGCAAGCAUGAUAAACCAAAUUCAUUAUGAGAUAUAUAGCCUCAAGAUUAUCACAUCAUAAAGAAGAGUAGAGGUUCAAAUCCCUAAAUCUAUAAAUAAAUAAAAAAUGAACUAAGCAAUUUUAUCUCGAAACAACAAUGACACUAACUUAAUGCUCAGCCUUGGUACAAAUUAUGUCAGCACUUCCAUGCCUUGUGAUCUUGACAAAAAUAUUUUUGGUCCUUUUAGUUUAGAAAUGAAACUUUUCAGUACAAAACUUUAUUUUACCUAUAUAUAUAGUUCUUGAGUUUGAGAAAAAAAAGAAAGAUUUGUUGAAAAACUACAAAGGAGAGAUAAAAUUAGUCUAUUUAGAUUUGGAUUGAUUUUCUAAUUUUAAAUCAAUUAAAUGUUUAUUUAAAAUCAUGAAUGGAUUUAUUGAAGUCACUUCUUACAUAUAGCACAAUAUUUAUGAAGAUGACACGAGUUAAAAUAAUUGUUUAAACACACACUAUAUAUUGUAAUGUUGUCUGCAUAUAACUGUCAUGUAAGGGCUUCCAAUUCGCCUCUCCGUAUUACAGCACUUUACAAAUUAUUAGAUCAUUUGAUACUACACACAACAUUUGAUAUUUUUAACCAUUCACAUACAUGAAAUAAAACCCAUGGAAACAUGACACAAACGUCGACUGCAACUGCAACAUUAUACUAAUGAGUGUAUUUUCUAAAGUCGAAAGAGUGCUACCCAAUCUAGGUUCAAGUGGGAUGAUGAAUUGAAGAGCAGUUGUUAUUUGACACUGCAAUUAGAUGUCUCAUAUUUGAUUUAUGGAGCUAUGAUAAGGGAAUCGUGCUUGUAUAUUUACAUAGUAACAAGCAUUAUUAAAGAUGGUACACUAGUAAGUUUCCAAAUGCUAUCAGCAAAUAUUAUAACCUCUUAAUUUAUACAAGGAUUGAGCUAAAUUGCUUUAUCAAAUAUUUUAUGUUUUUUUUUUUUUGAAAUAUUGUUAUAGACAUAGAAUCAACAAGUUUAUGUGACAUUCUAUAUUGAUUUUGUUAUAUUUUAAUCACUAAAAGUAUGGGUUUCAGAAAAAUAAAAACCAAACAAAAAAAUUGAAAAAAUUAAAAAUUUUCAAACCAACCCAAUCCAACAAAUUUGAUCAUUUUUCGUCUGGUUUAGUUCGGAUAUUUUUUAGUUGAAACAAUUACUAACCAUUUUCAAAAGAUAAAUAUUGACAAGCCUUUCACCAAAACCAUGUUCAUUUAUGCUGAAUCAGGCCAAAUCAGGUUCAGGUUGCUAACUCAAACUAACGCAAUCCAAAAUUAAAUGCAUAUAGACUCUGGGUUGGUUUAGUUUAUUGAUUAUUAGAAAUGUCAAACUGAAACCGAACCGAAAUAAAUGAAUAUUUCUAACUGAGACGCCCUAAAAUACUGAAAAAAAUGGUUGGUUUUGUUUAGUUUGGUUUGGUUAUAGCAGAUACCCUGACAAUUUACUUUUUCACUCGACCUCAAACAAUAAGCACUAUUAUUAUGUCUUUAAUUGAAUUACUAUAAAGUAUAAAAAUAUAUGUGGAUAAUUGAAAAUUUGCUUAGAGUUGCUAAUAAUUCACAACUGCAACAACCAUCACGACCAGGUAAUGCUUGGGAAUGGGAUCAUGUAAUUGUGGAGAUUUGUCUAGAUUUUCUAGAUAAUAAUUUCAACCACCCUCUCCUUUCCUCAACCACUAUCACUCACCUUUCAACCACCAUCAACUACCCUCUCCUUUUGUCAACCAUCAACACUUCUCAACCAAGCUGCCAAGGCUCUCAUUCCUUCUAUAAAUGAAGACAAAGAGAGAGCAAGAUAAAGUGUAGUGCAGAGACAGUGCAAGUGAGUGCAGAGGAGAGGAAGUGUGGAGAGUGCAAGUGCAACUUUGAGAGUUGUGAGCAGAUUUGAGAGAAACACCAAGUGUAAGAGUGAAACACUGGGAUUUUGGGAUUGUACUAGGGUUGAGUUGAGUGUUUGUAUCAUUCCUCUAAUAAUAUAUGAUUGUGCAUCAAAAGUAUCAUUAAGUCUCCUAUUUUACAUAUAUAUUUAUUAUUUUUAUUUGGGUUUUUUAUAAUAAUUGAUGUGCUUUUUAGUAAUGAAGUUUUUUUUAAUGUUUCGAUAGGAUUUUGGAGCUUAAAUGAAUUAUUUCAGAAAAUUCAACGUCGGAAUUCGGAACAAAGAAUCGAAGAGAAAUUUAGUUGAAGAUUGAAGCAAGUCUUGGUUCAAAUAAGUGCUCCAAAUUUUCCCCAAAAAUCAAUUCUAUUCCAAUUCUAGAAAAGAAUAUCAUAUGAUCUAUUUCAAGCCCAAACAUGCCUUAUGUUGUGUGCAAACUUCAACCAUCAAACACUCAAGGUUUCAAUGUCAAUCUUAGCCCAAAUAAUAGGUACAUUUCUAUCCUUAUUUGAUGCUUAAAUCAGCCCCAAAUCAGCCUCCAAAUCAGCCGAAGCACAAUCCAUGAUCUUACAUGCCCACACAACAAAUAACAUUUGAUUUAUUUUGGGUAAUUCAUUGAUCCAAGAGGGAAAGAACAUGGAUGGAAAGCUGGAGGGGACAUUGUGACAUUAUUUUGGGUCAAAAGAAGAAAGAGACAGCUCAUAAAGGAGGAAGAAAAACGUGCACCAAAGUGUUCUCCAAGCUGGCCUGGUUUGAUUUUCCAGAACACCUUUCGGUGUUUCGCCCAUAACUUUUGACUCAGAUGUCCAAAUGAGCUGUUCUUUAAUGAUGUGAAAAUAUAACAGAAUGGCCUAUAAAUAUGUCUCCAAUAGCCAUUUCCAGGGGAGGCUUCAAAAAGGGUCUAAUUUCUGUCCAAAGUUAGAGUCAAAUUUGUGUCCGAAUUUUUACUGAAAUUGUGUUGUGUGCUUCUUUAUAGAUUUUGGUUCUUUAGCUUGUAAAAAUCAUUAUUUCAGUUUGAUUCAAGUUAUUUCAUGUUUAUUAAAGUGUUAUUAUAUAUAAUCAUGGUUCGCUAAUCUCUUUCUUGGAUCCAAAUCAAGGAUGAUGGUGGUUGAGGUGAGUUUUUUAAGAUAUGAAUGAAUCUUAAUGUCUAUCUUUUCAUUUUCUUUAUAAAUGUUUUAUUAUUGCAAAGAAAUUUUAGAAAUCAUUUAGGUAAUGUUAUAAUCUUGAAUUUUUAUGCACAAACCUUAGUUUUGGUAUAGAGAUUGCUUGAUUCAAUGUCUUACUUAAUAUGAAAAUACUUGUUCAUUCUUAAGCAAUAAUCAAUCUUCAUCUUUUUAAACUUCAUUGUAAUAUCUUCUGAUCUAAUAUCACCAUCGUUGAUAUUAGGUUGAGUUAUCUUAUAUAUGUUUGAAGGAAUCACCAAUACAUCACCAUUAAAAUUGAUUUGGACCAAGACUUACUUUUUCUUGUCAUUUAAAAUCUAUUUACACUUUUUCAUCUUUGAAAACAAAUUCAUCAAUCAUUUUCAACCAAGUUAUUGUUAAUUUAAUUUCUCUUGAGUUUUUUUGUUACCUAGCUUAAUUUCCAGAUCUAGCUCUCUGUGGAUAUGACCUCAAUCUUACUGAGUUAAUUGCUACAUCGCACACUCGUGCACUUGCGAGUUAAAACAAGCCGAACAUAAAAAGCGGUCAAGCAAUUUUUGGCGCCGUUGCCGGGGAGCUAGCAAGCAAAGGUAACAAAUUUAUAUUUGAUUAUUGAAAAAUAAAAAAAAAUACAUAUAAAUAAUAAAUCAAAUGGCUGGUUUUACCGCCUAAAAAAAAAUUGACCUCAACUUUUCGGAUAUUGGACUGUGGACUAAACUAUUAAUUAUUGGAUUUUGGUUGGUUCAACCAUUUUUCUUUUAUUUUCUAUUCUAAUUAGUUUCUAAUAUUUAUUGUUUAUAUUAUAAGGCUGGUUUUACCGCCUCUUGUUUAUUUUAUUUUAUUUUGUUGUUAUUAUUUUUCUUAUAUUUAUUGUCUGAAGUGCUUAGCCGGUAUUACCGCCUCUUGUUCAUUUUAUUUUAUUUUGUUGUUUUGUUGUGAUUAUUUUUCUUAUAUUUAUUGUUUGAAGUACUUGGCCGGUAUUACCGCCUUUUUAUUCAUGCUUGUUAUAAUUAUCUUUUAAUUUUUAUUGUUGUUAUUAUUGCUUAUUAGUUGGAGUGUGAAUUUCUUAAUUUGUUAAAUUUUUAUUUUUGUGCUAUUACUUUAUCUUUUACAUUUCAUUUACUUUUAUUUGCAAUCUUCUUUUUCUUUUUCUUUUUUUUUUCCUUUCCUUUUGUAUUCAUAUAAUUGUUAUAUUAUUAGCUUUUUUUAUCAUGGCUAAUGUUGAAGAUGUAGAGGGUGAAGGGAGUGUUCAAGGUAAUGGACCUCCACAAUUCAAUGAUCAACCUAAUUUUCGAGUACACCUUCGUGUAUUAUCUUUCCUCUUAACCAACAAGCUUUCAAUUUGAAACCGGGCAUGAUUCAACUUCUUCCCACAUUUCACGGUAUGGAUUCUGAAAAUCCAUACAUACAUAUUGUCAUAACCCAAUUUUUGACCAUUUUAUUUUAAUUAUUAUUAUUAUUUUAUUUACUGAAAAGGAUAAAAAAAUAUGAUGAUGAUGAUAAAAAAAAAAUAAUGAUAAAAAAACAAGUAAAAUGAGAUAAAUGAAGAAUGAAUUAAAAUUUGGGUUAAGGGCAACAUGAUUAGAAGUUUUAGGGUUUAAUUAAACUUUGAAAUUAAUCUAAUUAAGCUUGGAAUUAAUUUAAUUAAUCUGAUUAAGGGUUUAAUUGGAGAAUUGAUAAGUUUUGAGACUUAAUUGAGCUUGGAAUUAAUUUAAUUAAUCCAAUCAAGGGUUUAAUUGGAGAAUUGAUAAAUUUUUAGACUUAAUUAAGCUUGAAAUUAAUUUAAUUCAUCCAAUCAAGGGUUUAAUUGGAGAAUUGAUAAGUUUUGAGACUUAAUUAAGCUUGGAAUUAAUUUAAUUAAUCCAAUCAGGGGUUUAAUUGGAGAAUUGAUAAGUUUUAGACUUAAUUGGACUUUGGAUUUAAUUAAAUUAAUGAAAUCAGGGACUUAAUUGAAAAAAUAGCAAAGUUUGGGGUUAAUUAGGGAUACGAUUGCAGCAGAUUAAAGUCCAAGGACUAACUUGUAAAAGGCACCGAAAUGCAGGGGCAAUUACAGUUUAAACCAGGGGCUUAAUUAUAAAAUUCGGCGUCGUUUGAAAGAGCACUAUUCAUCUUCUUCACCCGAAAACAAGAAGAAAACGCAUGCCUUUAUUGCAUUAAAAUCCAUGCAAAACGCAUGCCUUUAUUGCAUUAAAAUCCAUGCAACCGCAUGGCAUUCUCUGGUUAUAAAAACCAGAGAAGGAGAACCGGCAAAGAAAAAAAGGAUGGCAUAACCGAAAAGCCACUAGAGAAACACAGAACCGGGGAAAGAAUAGAAAAAAAAACUUUCGUUCCUCUGUUUCUUCUCAAAGAAACAGAGGAGGCCACGAGCAGCGGAGGAAGAAAGCAACUAGCCCACCAGUCCUCCAUCACGUCUCCGUUUCCCUGCUUACACAGAGGAAGUAACACCGGGAACACAACAAGACGCAAGAACAGAAACUGUACAGAGGGGAGCAAGUUUUCUGCCCCUGUUUCUUCUCUAAGAAACAAAGGCGUUCGUGCCUCACGAUCGUGAGGCACGAACGCGUGAAGAAAGGCCAUUCUCUGGCUUUAUAAGCAAGAGAAGGCCGCAGAGAAGGAAGAAAAACUGAGGAGAAACAUGAAAAAGAGAGGACAGAACCGGUGGACGAGAAGAACAAACACAGACGGCCGCGGACGAGCGGGGAAGACGACUAGCAGGGGAACAAACCGAAACAAAAAAGAAGAAGACGACAGAACAAGGAAAGCUAAAACAGAGGAGUAGACAGAAAGCAGUAACAGAGAGGAGUAACGCUGGUCAGUUGUCAUCCCCGUCUUCCAGUGCAGCAACAGGUAAGUUGCGUUGCCCCUCCCUGCAUUUUAAUUGCAUGUUGCUGUAACAGGCGUGCGUGAGCGGUUCACGCACGCCUGCGGGUAAAAAAAUAGAAAAAUGGCCAGCCGGGUCAAGCCUUUGACCCGGCUAGGCCUGCUGAGUCCAGCCCAGCCCAUGUGGGCUGAGCUGGGCCCAGCCCAAAAAAAUAAAAAAAUAAAAAAAACAGAAAAGUAAAAAAGGGUAGAAAAAAUAAAAAAAAUGUGUAUGCAUGAAUAAAAAUAAUGUAAAUUUACUGGUUUAUUCACUGACGCCAGAGUCAGGAAUAAAAAUACUGGUUUAAAUUUAUAUUAUUUUUAUUCGGUGUAUUUUAUUUUAUUUAGCUAGAAAAAUAAAAAAUAUGUGCAUGCAUAAAAAAUCAAUUUUUUUUAAUUUAUUCACUGGCGCUAGAGUAGGGAAUAAAAAAUAUUGAUCUAAUUUUUCGUAGCUACGAAUUUUUACCAACGCCAGAGUUGGAAUUAUUCGAGCUCGAAUAUUCACUGGCGCCAGAGUCAGGAAUAUUAUAAACAAAUCAUUAUAGCAUAAGCGAAUAAAUGUUUAGCAAUUGAAGACAAAACCAACAAUGCAGUUUGCCUUAGGCAGAACGUUUAAGGGGUGAUAAUAUCUUCCCUUUUACGUAACCAAUCCCGAGCCAUAGAAUCUCUGUUGACCAGUUAGGGUUUCUAGUGACCAUAAUACUAGGUGGCGACUCCUUAAACAAGAUCUUUUCCCCUAAAAGAACAAGAUGCCAGAUAUCUGUUCUUUUUCCAUAAAUCUAGAAUUAUUUUGUGGGCCGCUGCGAUGUCGGGUGCGACACAUAUUAAGGACUUUGAAGAGGUAUGUAAUACUUUUAUUGAUAGAACAUGCACCGAGGAAACCAUUCGGCUUAAAUUGUUCCCAUUCUCUCUAAAGGAUAAAGCCAAGCUUUGGCUAAACUCCUUGCGUCCUAGGUCUAUAGGUACAUGGAGAGAAAUGCAAGCUGAAUUUUUGAAAAAAUACUUCCCCACUCAUAGGACGACAACCUUACAACAUCAAAUGAUGAAUUUUUCUUGUAGUCCAAAUGAGUCAUUUCACCAAGCUUGGGAAAGGUUCAAAGACUUGUUAAAUGCAUACCCCCACCAUGGUUUUGAGAUGUGGAGGUUAGUGAGUUUCUUCUACGACUCUCUUACCGCAGAUUUUAAAAAGCUAGUGUCAACCAUGUGUAAUGGUGAGUUUUAUGACAAAGAACCAAGUGAAGCCUUUAAUUUCUUUGAUCAAUUGGCUGAAAACACAAAGCAAUGGGAGACUUCUCUCCUACUUCAUGUUGAGUCUAGAAACACCAUUUCUCAUUCAAGUGGGAAGUUCCAAUUGAAAGAGAUUGAUGACCUCAAUGCUAGAUUAGCCUCAUUGGCUAGGAAAGUAGAGUCUCUUGAGAUUAAAAAAGUGCAUGUCAUGAGUGAACAACAAGAGGAAAGUUGUGUUGUUUGUGAGAGCAAAGGGCAUAGGACAACUGAGUGUCCUACCAUUCCAGCCUUCAAGGAAGUGCUAUAUAGCCAAACUUCUGAUUCAAGUAAUGUUAGAAAGCCAUUUUCAAACCAAGUAGGCAAUCCCUACUCUGAGACCUAUAAUCCUGGAUGGAGGAACCAUCCAAAUUUUGGAUGGAGAAAUGAGGGCCCUUCAGUACCUCAAACAUUUCAACCUCCACCCCAACCAUUUCAUGCUACCACACAUAACACGUACCAAUCACCUCAUAAGAGAUCCCUAGAGGAUACUCCAACAAUUCAUGCAAACGCAAGGAGGAAUCAAUAACCAAGCUUACAAAUUUCAAGACCAGACUAAUAGGACCUUAGAUGACAUUCAAAGUCAACUAACCAAGUUGACUCAAUCAUUAAGCAUUCAAGAGAAGGGAAAGAUCCCAGCUCAACCAAUGUCAAAUCCUAGAGGUUAGGUACACAUGAGUGAAUCCUCAUUUAGUGAACCUUCAAACCAUGAACAAGUCCAAGCCAUCACUACCCUUAGAAGUGGAAAGAUUAUUGACAAAGCUAUAGGUUUUGGGAUUCCUAGAGGUAUUGUGGAGGAGAAAUCUAGGGAAAGUGAAGAGGGAAUCAAAACACAAGUGACAAAUGAGAGCUUGAGUGACAAAGAAGGUGAGAUAAAUGAGAAAGAAAUGAGUGAGAAAGGAGAUGAUUCAAGAAAAAUUGGAGUCAAAGUGAGUGAUUUAGAAUUUGUUCCUAGAGCACCAUUUCCACAAAGGUUAGGGAAGCCUAAACAUGAUCUUAUGAACUCGGAAAUCUAUGAAUUGUUCAAACAAGUGAAAGUCAACAUUCCACUCAUUGAUGCAAUUAAACAAGUCCCCUCUUAUGCAAAGUUCUUCAAGGACUUAUGCACAGUCAAAAGGAGAUUGAAUGUGAAAGAAAGAGCCUUUCUAACUGAACAUGCUAGUGCCAUCAUCCAGUUUAAGACUCCUCCCAAAUACAAAGAUCCUGGUUGUCCUACUAUUUCAUGCAUUAUUGGAAGUCAUAAAAUAGACCAAGCUUUGUUGGAUUUAGGAGCAAGUGUGAAUUUGAUACCCUACACUGUUUACGAACAGUUAGGUUUAGGAGAAAUCAAGCCUACUCAAAUCACCCUUCAAUUAGUUGAUAGGUCAAUCAAGAUUCCCAGGGGUAUUGUUGAGGAUGUGUUGGUCCAAGUAGACAAAUUCUACUUUCCUGUUGAUUUUGUAGUGUUAGACACCGCACCUAUUCAAGGUUCUAAUGCUCCCAUCCCAGUCAUCUUAGGUAGACCUUUCCUAGCUACAUCCAAUGCUUUAAUUAACUGUAGGAAUGGGGUGAUGAAAUUGUCUUUUGGGAACAUGACUGUGGAGAUGAACAUAUUCAAUGUCUCGAAACAAAUUGGUGAACAUGAGGACAUUAGAGAGGUAGAUUUGAUCCAAACAGUUUGUCAAGAACACUUUGAGAGAGAGUGGUUCAAAGAUCCAUUGGAGAGAACUUUAAUUCAUGAUGAAAGAUUUUGUUCUUUGGAAUGUGUUGAUGAGGAAGUAAGAGAACUCAAGACUUAUCUAGAUCCAAUGCCUAUUAUGUCAAUAGGUCAAUGGACCCCAUCGUUUGAGCCUUCGAUUUCACCCCAAAUGAAAGUUGAGGCAUCUCUUGUCCAACCUUAUAAACUAGAAAGGAAGCCUUUACCGAGUGAUCUUAAGUAUGCAUUUCUAGGGGAAGAUGAAUCAUAUCCUAUUGUGAUUUCAUCAAAACUUAGCAUAGAGCAGGAACAAGAACUUUUGAGAGUGGUGAGAAAACACAAAAAAAGCAAUUGGGUGGACUAUUACUGACUUGAAAGGAAUUAGCCCUCUUUUAUGUACACAUAGAAUCUAUCUUGAAGAAGAGGCUAAAUCUGUGAGGCAAAUGCAAAGACGACUGAACCCAAACAUGAAGGAAGUAGUAAGAGGUGAAGUGCUUAAGCUACUUGAUGCAGGUAUCAUUUACCCCUUGCAAACUCAAAAUGGGUUAGUCCAACCCAAGUUGUCCCUAAAAAAUCUGGAGUCACGGUAGUGAAGAAUGAAAAUAAUGAGCUAGUACCAACUAGAAUCCAAACUGGAUGGCGUCUGUGCAUUGAUUAUCUUAAGUUGAACAUGGUGACCAGGAAGGACCAUUUUCCGCUUCCAUUUUUAGACCAAGUGCUUGAAAGAGUAGCCGGAAGAGCUUUCUAUUGUUUUCUUGAUGGAUACUCAGGUUACAACCAAAUUGAGAUUUCUUUAGAAGACCAAGAAAAAAUCACUUUCACUUGUCCUUUUGGUACCUAUGCUUAUAGAAGAAUGCCUUUUGGCUUGUGUAAUGCACCAACCACUUUUCAAAGGUGUAUGAUGAGUAUCUUUAGUGACAUGGUGGAAAUUUUUUUUGGAAGUUUUCAUGGAUGAUUUUUCAGUUUAUGGGGAUUCUUAUGAGUUGUGUCUAAUGCAUUUAGAAAAAGUUCUUGAAAGAUGUGAAGAGAGCAAUCUUGUACUUAAUUGGGAGAAGUGUCAUUUUAUGGUGACACAUGGCAUUGUCUUAGGUCACAUUGUCUCUUCAAAAGGGAUAGAGGUAGAUAAGUCAAAAGUUGAAGUCAUUCAAAAAUUACCUAGCCCUAGGACUGUGAAAGAUGUGAGAUCGUUUUUAGGACACGCUGGUUUUUACCGAAGAUUCAUUCAUUCUUUUAGUACCAUUCCCAAACCAUUGUGUAACUUGUUGUCACAAGAUGUUCAAUUUGAUUGGACAUCAAAAUGUCAAGAAGCUUUUGAAAAGCUUAAAGGGUUGUUGACCACUACACCAAUCAUGCAAGCUCCUGAUUGGUCUUUACCAUUUGAACUGAUGUGUGAUGCUAGUGAUUUUGCAGUAGGGGCUGUUUUAGGGCAAAGAAAAGAUAAGAAGCCUCAUGUCAUUUAUUAUGCUAGCAAGACUUUGAAUGAUGCUCAAUUGAAUUACACUACAACUGAAAAAGAACUCUUAGACAAGUUUAGGUCUUAUUUGGUUGGAUCUCUUGUUAUUGUUUUCACUGAUCAUGCAGCAUUGAAAUACUUGCUCACAAAACAAGAUGCCAAGCCAUGUUUGAUUCGAUGGAUCCUUAUAUUCCAAGAGUUUAACCUUGAAAUUCGAGAUAAAAAAGGAGUAGAGAAUGUAGUGGCUGAUCAUUUGUCCCGUCUUUCAAGCUAUGAGACCAUAAUUGAUGAAUCUCCAAUAAAUGAAUUCUUUGCUGAUGAAAAUUUAUUUUGUGCAGGUAUUGUUUCCUACAUUGGCUCUCCAUGGUAUGCUGACAUAGCAAAUUACCUAGCCACAAGUCAGAUUCCUUCUCAUUGGUUUAAACUUGACAAACAAAAAUUCUUGCGCAACGUGCGUACCUUUUUUUGGGAUGACCCCUACCUAUUUAAAUACUGCCCUGACCAAAUUGUUAGGCGGUGCAUCCCUGAUCAUGAAAUUCCAAGUGUCAUUAAUUUUUAUCAUGCAUUAGCCUGUGGUGGGCAUUUCUCUUCCAAGAAAACCACUGCCAAGAUCUUGCAGUGUGGUUUUUAUUGGCCCACCAUGUUCAAAGAUGUCCAUGCCUUCUGUGUUGCAUGUGACCGAUGCCAACGACUAGGUAACCUCACUAGGCGUAACAUGAUGCCCCUAAACCCCAUUCUUGUUUUGGAAAUAUUUGAUUGUUGGGGGAUUGAUUUCAUGGGACCUUUCCCAAGUUCAUUUGGUAACCAAUUCAUCCUUGUAGCUGUUGAUUAUGUGUCUAAAUGGGUGGAGGCCAUUGCAUCUCGAACCAAUGACCAUCGAGUUGUGGUCAAAUUCUUGGAAGAAAAUAUUUUCUCUCGUUUUGGCAUGCCCCGGGCUAUGAUUAAUGAUGGGGGAAAACAUUUUUGUAACAAGCCCAUUGGGAUUUUGAUGAGAAAAUAUGGUGUAAUUCACAAGGUCAAUACCCCCUAUCAUCCACAGACUAGUGGCCAAGCUGAGUUGACAAAUUGGGAGAUCAAGAACAUUUUAGAGAAAACAGUCAAUCCAAACCGUAAAGAUUGGUCCCUACGACUAGUUGAUGCUUUGUGGGCAUAUCGCACUGCUUACAAGACCUCUUUAGGAAUGUCUCCUUAUAGGCUAGUUUAUGGAAAGCCUUGUCAUCUCCCUGUUGAGAUUGAGCACCGUGCAUAUUGGGCCAUCCGGCAAUUCAAUGACAAUGAAAACGAGGUUGGAAAAAAUAGAAAGCUUCAAUUGGAUGAAUUAGAUGAGCUGAUAAAUGAUGCAUUUGAAAAUGCAAAAAUUUCAAAACAUAAGAUGAAAACCUUGCAUGAUAAACAUAUUCUUAGAAAAUCCUUUCAUCUUGGUCAAAAGGUUCUCUUGUAUAAUUCACGAUUACAUCUCUUUCCUGGGAAGUUGAGGACAAAAUGGAUUGGUCCAUUUGUGAUUAAAUCCAUCUCUGAGCAUGGUGCAUUUGAGGUAGAAAAUCCUAAGAAUGGAAAUGUUUUCAAAGUAAAUGGUCAUCGAUUGAAACCUUAUCUUGAAAAUUUUGUGGCUGAAGUUGAGACAUUGGAUCUUGAAGAUCCAAUACCAUUGUAGUAUCAGAAGUAAUGAGCUUUUUAUUUUUAUUUUUAUUUUUUUAUUCAUUUUUAUUUUUCUGUUUUUCAUUUUUUUUCUUUCUUCCAUCGCUUAUAUUUUCUUGUUCAUGCAUUAGGGACAAUGCAUUAUUUUAAGUUGGGGGGUGUGAGGUUCUUUAUUUUUCAAAAAAAAAAUCAAUGUUUUCUUUUAGUUGUGAUAUGCAGGUAAAAAAAAUCAAGCAAGAAGUCAGCUCAUGUCCAAUUCAAUCAGACAUUCAUCCUUGAAAACAAAAGGGGAGUAAUAGUUUUCUAAUCUUUAUACUUUUCUUCUCUUUUUUUUUUACAUUGAGGAUAAUGUAAAACUUAAUUUUAGAUAUUUGAUUAUGUUGAAUGCUUGAGAUGACCAUGCAUGUUAAAAAAAAAAACUUGCAUUCGUAUAUGAAUGAGACUUGUUUAGGAUCAACAUUACAUUUUUGGAUUCAUUAUUGUGUUGAACAUUGCAUGCUUUAAUUUGGGAUAGAUAAUAUCUUAUAAAGCAAGAUAUAGCAUACUUUUUUUUAAGAUUAUUGAAGUACAUCUUUCCUUGUAAAAGUUGUGUGAGUUGUGUGAUUAUGCAUGAAAGAUGAGUGUGAUGCUUUACUUGUGAUCAUCCCUUUUGAUCUAGUCCUAAACAAGGUUUAAGUAAAUAGAGUAAUCAUUAUUACACAAAUGUGUACAAAGUUCUAUCUACUCCAAUGUUUUGAGUUGCUCAGUAACUAGGGGUAUUCAUCAUAAAUGUUUAUCUUUACGUCAAACGGCAGCUUGAAAUAUGAGUAUGCAAAGCACUUUAAGUUUGUGACUUUGUGAGUAACCGGGUGCAUUCAUCACAAAUGUUUGUAUUCGCGUCAAAAGGGAAGUGACCACUUAAAGAAAAAAAAUAAAUAAUAUCUUCAAAAAAAAAGAGAAAAAAAAGAAAAGAAAAAAAAUAUAUAUAUAUAUAUAUAUAUAUAUAUAUAUAUAUAUAUAGAUAUUUCUCUAGUUUGCUACCUUGUUUGUAGUAGUGAGAAGGGAAGAUUACAAGUUGAGUUUUCGCGUGAAUCAAUUAUGUUGGUUGCAUGAUAAAUACAAUUCUAGAAAAGAAUAUCAUAUGAUCUAUUUCCAGCCCAAACAUGCCUUAUGUUGUGUGCAAACUUCAACCAUCAAACACUCAAGGUUUCAAUGUCAAUCUUAGCCCAAAUAAUAGGUACAUUUGUAUCCUUAUUUGAUGCUUAAAUUCAGCCCCAAAUCAGCCUCCAAAUCAGCCCAAGCACAAUCCAUGAUCUUACAUGCUCACACAACAAAUAACAUUUGAUUUAUUUUGGGUAAUUCAUUGAUCCAAGAGGGCAAGCACAUGGAUGGAAAGCUGGAGGGGACAUUGUGACAUUAUUUUGGGUCAAAAGAAGAAAGAGACAGCUCAUAAAAGAGGAAGAAAAACGUGCACCAAAGUGUUCUCCAAGCUGGCCUGGUUUGAUUUUCCAGAACACCUUUCGGUGUUUCGCCCAUAACUUUUGACUCAGAUGUCCAAAUGAGAUGUUCUUUAAUGAUGUGGAAAUCAAACAGAAUGGCCUAUAAAUAUGUCUCUAAUAGCUAUCUCCAGGGGAGGCUUCAAAAAAGGGUCGAAUUGCUGUCCAAAGUUAGAGUCAAAUUUGUGUCCGAUUUUUUACUGAAAUUGUGUUGUGUUCUUCUUUAUAGAUUUUGGUUCUUUAGCUUGUAAAAAUCAUUAUUUCAGUUUGAUUCAAGUUAUUUCAUGUUUAUUAAAGUGUUAUUAUAUAUAAUCAUGGUUCGCUAAUCUCCUUCUUGGAUCCAAAUCAAGGAUGAUGGUGGUUGAGGUGAGUUUUUUAAGAUAUGAAUGAAUCUUAAUGUCUAUCUUUUCAUUUUCUUUAUAAAUGUUUUAUUAUUGCAAAGAAAUUUUAGAAAUCAUUUAGGUAAUGUUAUAAUCUUGAAUUUUUAUGCACAAACCUUAGUUUUGGUAUAGAGAUUGCUUGAUUCAAUGUCUUACUUAAUAUGAAAAUACUUGUUCAUUCUUAAGCAAUAAUCAAUCUUCAUCUUUUUAAACUUCAUUGUAAUAUCUUCUGAUCUAAUAUCACUAUCGUUGAUAUUAGGUUGAGUUAUCUUAUAUAUGUUGAAGGAAUCACCAAUACAUCACCAUUAAAAUUAAUUUGGACCAAGACUUACUUUUUCUUGUCAUUUAAAAUCUAUUUACAGUUUUUCAUCUUUGAAAACAAAUCCAUCAAUCAUUUUCAACCAAGUUAUUGUUAAUUUAAUUUCUCUUGAGUUUUUUUGUUACCUAGCUUAAUUUUCAAAUCUAGCUCUCUGUGGAUAUUACCUCGAUCUUACUGAGUUAAUUGCUACAUCGCACACUCGUGCACUUGCGAGUUAAAACAAGUCGAACAUAAAAAGCGGUCAAGCAAUAUACAAUCUGCUGCCUCCGUGGACGUACCCGGUUUUGGGGAACCACGUAAAUCUGCUUGUGUUGUGUUUUAUUUGUGUUUGCUUUCGGUCCAGUAUGCACAACAAAUUGGUAUCAGAGCAUUAGGGAAGCUUAAACACAGAAAAACACAUUUUUCAGCUCUCUGUUCAAAGUUGCAGAAUUUUCAAAUUUCUCAGAUCUUGAUUUUGAUCAGCUGCGGAGAUUCCUCUCGUUGAUACAAGUCCGGAGAUAUAAAGAUCAUCGAAAUCGGAGUUGAAACGAGCCCUGUAGAGCUCGUCGAAGUUUCGCCUGAAAUCUGCUGGAAAAACCAAACAGUGCCGGAAUUCUCGCCUUAGAAGACAGCCACGUCAUCCGACACGUAAGCGAUGAGUCAUCAUCCACAUCAUCAACAGGGGUCCACAUCGCCCUGUCAUCAGCCACAUCAUCUAACAGUGACAGAAUAUUCUCUUGACAUAGUAAGAAUAUUCCGUUAACAGUAAGAGAAUAUUCCCGUGACAAAAUAUUCUUUAUCAGAGACAGAAUAUUCCUUUCCUAAGUCAACUCGGUCAGAUUGGUUUUUUGGCCAACUCAGUGAUUUUUUAGCCUGUUUUUGGCCGAGUCAAGCUGGUUCCUAGCAUUUUCAACCAUUCCGGACGCGACCGUGGUGUCCGUUUUGUGAAACAGUACACAUCGAAGUUACUAUUUUGGCUCUUUUGAGCAUAAAAGUGCAUGUUUUAACAAUUUCAGGAGUCCAUUUGUAAUCCAAAGACGUUCUAAUGGCUGAUAUUCCAGAAGAAAAAUCAGCGGGGAAUGCUAGUAUACCUCCAUAAUACAUCCCGGUAUCAAGUACCAAAUUUGAGGUGGAGAAGUUUGAUGGGAAAGGUAAUUUUGGCAUGUGGAAAUGUGAAGUCAUGGAUAUGCUUGUCCAAAUGAAUUUGGAUUUCACUCUAGAAGAUAAACCGGAGGAUUUGGAUGAUAAAAGCUGGGAAAGGAUAAAUCGGUUGGCUUGUAGUUCCAUCCGACUUUGUCUUGUAAAGGAUCAGAAGUAUGCCUUUCCAGAACAAAACUCUGCAAAGGAAUUAUGGCAAGCACUGGAGGACAAGUUUAUGAAUAAGAGUAUAGAGAAUCGUCUCUACAUGAAGAAAAGGAUCUUCCGUUUUCAGCACAAGAAAGGUACUUCCAUGAAUGAGCAUCUGAAUGAUUUCAAUAAAAUGAUAGCUGAUUUGAAGAAUUUAGAUGUGGAAAUUGAUGAUGAAGAUAAAGCUCUGUUGUUAUUGAAUUCACUGCCUGACACAUAUGAACAUCUCGUCACCACUUUACUGNNNNNNNNNNNNNNNNNNNNNNNNNNNNNNNNNNNNNNNNNNNNNNNNNNNNNNNNNNNNNNNNNNNNNNNNNNNNNNNNNNNNNNNNNNNNNNNNNNNNAGAUUGUUCACAAGGAGUCAACGUCAGAAGCAUUGACAGUUAGAGGCAGAACAAACCCCAGAAGAUUUCGAGGACGAGGGAGAUCUCGCUCAAAAUCCAGAGGAGAAUCAUCAAACAGACGAUAUCUUGCAAAAGAUUAGUGUGCCUUUUGUCACAAAAAGGGCACUGGAAGAAAGAUUGUCCAAUCAAGGGCAGUAAGGAAAAAGAUGAACCAACUGUGAACGUUGCACGAGAUGAGGAUGAACAAGACUCUGCAUUCAUGGUCUCAUCACCAGAAAACCAUUCUGGUGAAUGGAUUCUUGAUUCUGCAUGUUCCUAUCACAUAUGCCCUAACAAGCACUUAAACUUGUCCUCCUCGUGCAUACAUACUUGUGCCUAUUUUUAGAGAAUGGGGUGUGAUCAGUCACGGUUCCUGUUAUUACUUCAGUUUCAGAACUUUUUUUUUCCUUCUCGUGCAUACAUACUUGUGCCUAUUUUUAGAGAAUGAUGGGUCAAGCCUGUUCAGGCCUCAAGUUUAAAUUGGUGUGUCCAAUCUUGUUUAUUUGAGAUGAACUGUUUCAAGCUUCUUGUGAAUUCUGGAAUAGACGGUUAUGCUUUGGUUUUAUUAAUCGUGAUGUUUGUGUUUAAUCAUGUUGUUCGUGUUUUGACAAAAUAUAAAAAAUGUUUUCUUGUGUGUUGCAUAUGUUUAAUACCCUAAUAUGUUUUUAAUGUUUUAUUUAUAUAAAAAAACAAAUAUUUGAAGUUUCAAAAAUAUGUUUUCGCAUGGAUUUCUUAAACACAACACAAAAAUUAUUUUCUUGCAUCUUGGAUUUUACAACAUGUUUGUAAAUUCCAAAGGGUGUUGGCCAAUAUUCCAAAAAUAUAAAAAUCUUAUUUUUGGGAAUUCGUUUUUAUUCACUAUUAAUAUUUGGAUAAAGAAAUCCCAAAAAGGAUAAAUAUCCAAAAUAUUAUUAUGAAUAAUUUGUUAUUCAUUAGUAAUGUUUGGAUAAAGAAAUUCCAAAGGGGUUAAUAUCCAAAAUAUUAUUAUGAAUAAUUUAUUAUUAUUCACCAUAAAUGUUUGGAUAAAGAAACCCCAAAAAGGGGUUAAUAAUCAAAAUAUUAUUGGGAAUAAUUCAUCAUUGUUCACUGAAUAUUUAGAUAAAGAAACCCCAAGUAGUAAAUAUCAAAAAUAUUUUUUUCUAGGAAUAACAAGUCAUUAUCCCUCAAUAAUAUAAGGGCAAAUAAACCUAUAAAAGGUAAAUGUCCAAAAUAUUUUUAAUAGGAAUACAACUUGUUUAGUUUUAACAUAAGGGCAGAUUUAUGCCUGAAAUUUUAUUUAGAACCAUUUAAUCGCACCUCUGAUUAGUACUUAAAAGUGCAUUUUUAUCAAGGUUUUAUAUCAUCAUUUUGCACUUGAAGUAUCAAUAACUCCUUAACUAAAGCAUGUUUUAUAAUAACAUAUCUAAUUAUAUAAGACACCUUUAAUUUAUGGUAAAUGUUCAUCUUAAAUGCAGGCCUAUCACAUAAAUGAAAGAAUUGAUUGAUGAGUUGAAAUACUGAAAUUGAAAGGACAAAGAGAUGGCCAAACUUAGAAAAGAGAUGCUAGUGCAGUCCAAACUGGAACACUGUUCGAUAAUUGGGUCAUAUCUGGAGCUGUAGAUCUUGUAUUUAGGUCCAUUUUAUAUGGAUGGAAAGAUAAGACAUAGGCCUAUAACUUUCAUGUGGAGCCCAAGAUUUAACAAGGCCGUUUUCAAGUCCAAAUUGUAGCAACAAAAAAGAAGUCUGAAUCUGUUCUACAGCCCAGACACUGUUCAGUGUUCAGCCCAUAUCUCAAGUUCUAGAAGUCCAAAUGAUCUCAAAUGUUUACCCUGGAAAGAUGAGACAAUUUCCUAGAACUUUCAUGAUUUAAGUUUGUUCAAAUUAUGACGUCAUAAAUGACGUUUUUGGCAGACAAGAAGAUAAGAAUUGUCACCAAGUCAAGAUGUGGCCACCCACUCAUCAAUUAGUCAGCAAAUCAAUAGUUCUGAAUUUUGGCCUAUAAAAUGAGGCAUUUGCCAUGUAUUUAGGCAUCUUGGUUUUCAGAUCAAGAUCAUGCUCUUGCUCUCUCUUUAUAUUUUGUAAUGCUUAAGUUUUGCUUAUAUUAAUCUCUUGCUUAUGCUUUUCAUUUCCUUUCCUUGUUUAUUUAUGUUUCUCUCUUUCAUUAUGUUUAACUAAGUUAAUUAUGUCAAGGUGAAAAGGGUACACUAAUGGUGUAAGAAUAAGUAUAAUAUAAACUUAACAUGGACCUUAAUGUUGGAUACUAACAUGCUUUAUAUUUGUUAUCUUGUUCACUUUUAACACUUUGCUUGUUAAAUGGUUAAUCUAGAUUUAUGUUGUAUAACACUUGGUACAACAAAUACUUGGCACUUUCAUAGCCCAUACUGUAUGGUAUAACCGACACCUGAGCUAUGAAAGGAACUUGAUUUGUUGUUAACAUAAGUUAUAAUAAUGAAUGCCUGAAAACAUUUACAAGUAUUAGCAUUAUUCGAAUAAGAUAACUAAUGUAAUCAUUUUAACAAUUUAUAAUCCGAUUGGAACCUCCUUUGUGUGUGGUUUCCAGUUGAGUAGAGUUUAUACUAUACUUGUUUGAAAUACCAUUAGUGGAUCCUCUAACCUUGACAUUUGUUGUUAUCAUUGUUUAAUCCUUACGUUAAUCUUCCAUCUCAAAAGUUCUCAUCAAUUUCUUCCUCUUCUUCUUCACUAUUAUUAUUAUCACUGUUAUUAUUAUUGUUGUUGUUGUUGUUGUUGUUGUUGUUGUUGUUGUUACUUUUGUUUUAUUGUUAUCUAUAAUUUAUACAAUUAACCUCCUUGUGGUUCGACCCCGGUCUUGCCGGGUUAUUUAUUACUUCGACACUUCUGCACUUGGGAGAAGACAUCAAUCUUUUGGUCGUGUCAAGUUUUUGGCGCCGUUCCCGAGGAGGUAAAUUCUUGUACAAAUUAUAGUAUUUAUUUUAUUUUACUUUUUUACUUUUCUUGUAUUUAACUUUGUUUCUUUGGUGUUGUUUCUUUUUCUUUUGUUUUCUUCUUCCUUUUAUUCUCUUUUUACACGUGCAUGAGAGUGUGGUCACGUACAUUAAGUGGUAGACUUUGUAGGGUAUCCUCAUCAUUUUCAGAAAAUAUGGCUGAAGAAGAUAACCAAUCGCUUCAUAAUGAGAAUAAUGAGAAUAUUCGGGUUAGAACUCUUAGAGACCACAUGAAUCCCACAAGAACAAGUGCACCCUCAUGCAUAGUUUUUCCUCCUGAUGCAUCUCAUUUUAAUUUUAAGACAGACAUUAUUCAACUUUUACCAUCUUUUCAUGGCUUAGAUUUAGAAAAUCCAUACUUGCAUUUAAGGGAAUUUGAGGAGGUUUGCAACACGUAUAAUGACUCAAAUUGUAGCAUGAACACCAUUAGAUUGAAGCUUUUUCCUUUUUCAUUAAAAGAUAAAGCUAAAACAUGGCUACAAAAUUUGAGACCUGGAUCCAUUCGUGCUUGGGAUGAAAUGCAACAACAAUUUUUUAAGAAGUUUUUUCCAUCCCACAGAACAAACUCUUUCAAAAGACAAAUCAUUACUUUCUCUCAAAAACCAAGAGAAACAUUUUACCAAUGUUGGGAUAGGUAUCGAGAAUUGCUUAAUACUUGCCCCCAUCACGGUUUUGAAACAUGGAGAUUAGUUUCACAUUUUUAUGAAGGGUUAACUCCUAGAGAUAGGCAAAUGGUUGAAUUGAUGUGCAAUGGAACUUUUGAGGAUAAAGACCCUAAUGAAGCAAUGGAGUACUUAGAUUUGCUAGCUGAAAAUGCACAAAAUUGGGACACCACAGGUACUUAUGAGGCACCAAGUAAAACCCAACCUCAUACAUCUAGUGGGGGUAUGUACAACCUUAGGGAAGAUCAUGACCUCCAAGCCAAGUUUGCAUCUUUAGCUAAAAAAGUCGAAGCGCUAGAAUUGAAAAAGAGUGGUCAAUUAAAAUCUGUUCAAGACAUUGCAUGUCAAAUCUGUGAAACCAACGAACAUUCAACCAAUGACUGUCCAACCUUGCCUUCUUUUAAAGAAUGUCUCCAUGAACAAGCCCAUGCAUUAAACAGUUUUCAACGGCCCAACCAUAACCCAUAUUCGCAAACAUAUAACCCUGGUUGGAGAAAUCAUCCAAAUUUCAGUUGGAAGAGUGAGAACAAUAAUGCUCAAACUUCACAGCCACCGUUUCAAGCACAUCAUAAUUUCCAAAAUUCUCAUAGAUAUGCACCUCCUUAUGCUCCACCUCCUAGAAGAAAUCUUGAGGAAACAUUGCAUGCAUUUAUGGAAAAGCAAGAGGCAAUUAACACUCAACUUGCUCAAAGCAUGACAGAUUUUAAAGAUACUCUGGCAAAAUUGACAUCUGCUCUCAGUUUCCAAGAGAAAGGUAAGUUUCCAUCUCAACCACAACAAAAUCCAAAGGGGCAAUACAAUGUGAAUGCAAGUAGUUCGGGAAGCCAACACAUGGAUCACGUAAAAUCAGUCAUCACUCUUCGCAGUGGUAAGGUUAUUAAAAAACCCAUUCUUGAACCUUGUGAGAAUGAUGAUGAGUCAAUCUCUCUGAGGGUAAGGAAGGGGUUGAAUCUGAUCAUUGCAAAGAAAAGACUGAUUCUCCGCCAGCACUUCCAUUUCCUCAUGCCAUGACGAAACAAAGGAAAGUCAAUCACAACUCUGAAAUUUUUGAAACCUUCAAACAGGUAAGGAUCAAUAUACCUUUGCUGGAUGCUAUUAAACAGGUUCCUUCUUAUGCUAAAUUUUUGAAAGAUCUGUGCACUGUGAAGAGAAAACUGAAUGUGAAAAAGAAAGCCUUUUUAGCCGAACAAGUAAGUGCCAUUCUUCAGAACAAUAAUGCAUUGAAAUAUAAAGACCCUGGUUGUCCUACAAUUUCAUGCUUUAUUGGAGAACAUAAAAUUGAAAGAGCUUUACUUGAUCUUGGAGCUAGUGUGAAUUUACUUCCAUAUUCAGUUUUUCAAAGUCUCAAUCUAGGUGAGUUAAACCAACUUCUAUAACUCUUUUACUUGCCGAUAGAUCUGUAAAAGUGCCUAGAGGAAUAGUUGAAGAUGUGUUAGUACAAGUUGAUAAAUUCAUUUAUCCUGUGGAUUUUAUUGUCUUGGACACACAACCUAUUGAAGCAUGUAAUUCAUUUCCUGUUAUUUUAGGGCGUCCAUUUCUUGCAACUUCUAAUGCAUUGAUUAAUUGUAGGAAUGGACUGAUGAAGCUAUCAUUUGGGAACAUGACAUUAGAGAUGAAUAUUUUCAACAUUUGCAAGCAACCUCGAGAUGAUAAUGAUUUACAAGAAGUAGAUUUUAUUGAAGAAUUGGUUUAUGAUCAAUUUGAAUCUACUUUGAGUAAUACUGAGUUUGAUGAAUUUGAAGAUUUGCAAAUGACUUAUUCUCAGGAAGAAAUCACGGAUGAAAAAGGCAUUGAAAAUGUUGAUGCGAAUCUUUUGUCAAGAGUGACAACAGAUUCGAUAUCUGACAUCACACCAACCGAUGAUUACUUUCCUGACAAAUCCUUACUUUCUCUUAGUUCAAUGCCUUGGUUUCCUAAAAAUAUCAAUUUCCUUGCCUCAGGAGAUUUGCCAACUCAUUGGAGUACCGAAGACAAAGGUAAGUUUUUGAACGAAGUGAAGAAAUUUUAUUGGGAUGACCCUAACUUAUUCAAACAUUGUCCUGAUCAAAUAUUUCAAAUAUGCAUUGCGGACAAUGAGGUAAGUAGUGUCAUUAAAUUUUGUCAUUUUGAAGCAUGUGGGAGUCAUUUCUCGUCAAAAAAGGCCAUUGCAAAAAUCUUUCAAACUGGAUUUUAUUGGCCCACCAUGUUCAAGGACACACAUGCAUUCUGCAAAACUUGUGAAAAUUGUCAAAAAGUUGAUACUGGUCAAAAAGUUUUGCUUUAUAAUUCUCAACUCCAUUUAUUUCCUGGAAAGUUAAGAUCAAGAUGGAGCGGUCCAUUUAUUGAGAAACAUGUGUAUCCUUAUGGGGUCUGUGAUAUCGCGAAUCCAAAAAAUAGCAAUGUUUUCAAGGUAAAUGGACAUCGUUUGAAAGUCUACUUUGAUAAUUUUUCAGUUGAAAAUGACUCUAUUGAAUUGAGUGAUCCUGUAUAUAAAGAUUGAUUCGUUUUAUCACAUUGUUUUGUGUUUCAUUUUGCUAGUUUCUCUCACCCCGGUCAAAAGGCGGAUAACGGUACUCCGUGACUUAAGUCGGUUCUUUCAGUUUCUCAUAAUAACUGAUAUUUGUAUAUAUUUGUGCAAUUCUUUGCUCUUUCUCCAUUCUUUGACUCUGUUCUCCAAUUCUCAUUUGAAAAUGGACACCACUCUUGAAAAAUUGAAAAAGUAUUUUCCCGCUCUGCCUCAGAAUGCGAUUACAAAAAUUUACCGUGCUAGGUGUGCAAGAUUGAAGUUGUUGAUGAAUCAUGGAAUUCCUGAAGAUAUUCGCUGGCUGAUUGAAGCAAAGGUCCGAUUAUUAGGUGAGUCCUCCAAUUCUUUCAUUUCACACAUGCCUGGAACAGGUAAAAGCACUUUUGCAAAGAAACGUCGUGCAAAACGACUGAAAGUCUGUCACAAAUGUGCCAGAUGGACUUGCAAUGCAACAUGUCGUUCUUUAGGAAUGGUAUCUAUAAACCGUGAAGAUAAAAUACAAUUCAUUAAGGAUGGCCUGAGUAAGGGGUCUUUAGAUAAUCUUUUGUUGACCCUUGAGACGCAUCCUAGUGGAGAUGUGCAUCGUGCAAUUCAUGAUUUAUAGCCCCAUUUUCAUAAAGAACAUGAUAGACUCAGUCUUGGGAAUCUGACUAAAAAAGACCUUGUUUGCCACUUUUUAAGAAAACUGGAUGGGAAGCCUCUCCCCGACCCAUAGAGGGCGUUUAAGCCGUUCUUGGACAUAAAACCAAGGGAAGAUGUGAGCCACAAUCACAACUACCUGUACAUACACAUUCUUUUUCAAAAUAAAUAAAUAAAAUAUAAAGAGAGAGCAAGAGCAUGAUCUUGAUCUGAAAACCAAGAUGCCUAAAUACAUGGCAAAUGCCUCCUUUUAUAGGCCAAAAUUCGGAACUAUUGAUUUGCGGACUAAUUGAUGAGUGGGUGGCCACAUCUUGACUUGGUGACAAUUCUUAUCUUCUAGUCUGCCAAAAACGUCAUUGAUGACGUCAUAAUUUGAACAAACUUAAAUCAUGAAAGUUCUAGGAAAUUGUCUCAUCUUUCCAGGGUAAACAUUUGAGAUCAUUUGGACUUCUAGAACUUGAGAUAUGGGCUGAACACUGAACAGUGUCUGGGCUGCAGGACAGAUUCGGACUUCUUCUUUGUUGCUACAAUUUGGACUUGAAAACGGCCUUUUUAAAUCUUGGGCUCCACAUGAAAGUUGUAGACCUAUGUCUUAUCUUUCCAUCCAUAUAAAAUGGACCUAAAUACAAGAUCUACAGCUCCAGAUAUGACCCAAUUACCGAACAGUGUUCCAGUUUGGACUGCACCAGCAUCUCUUUUCUAAGUUUGGCCAUCUCUUUGUCCUUUCAAUUUCAGUAUUUCAACUCAUCAAUCAAUUCUUUCAUUUAUGUGAUAGGCCUGCAUUUAAGAUGAACAUUUACCAUAAAUUAAAGGUAUCUUAUAUAAUUAGAUAUGUUAUUAUAAAACAUGCUUUAGUUAAGGAGUUAUUGAUACUUCAAGUGCAAAAUGAUGAUAUAAAACCUUGAUAAAAAUGCACUUUUAAGUACUAAUCAACCUCCUUGGAAGAAGCCUCAAUUAUAAUUAGGGACAUUUCAAAUUUUGAUUCCACAAUUUAUGACCCAUGGAAAAUAUUAAUUGCUAAGGCAAAAAUGGGCUUUUAAAGUACCUUGAAUUUCCUUAGAUUUUGAACUUAGUUUUUUUUCUCUUCCUUGCGAUUUAUGAGUUGCGAACACUUGAAAUAUUAAGGGGAAAAUGAGCUCUUAAGCACAUCGAAUCUCCUUAGAUUUCUAUAUUAGCUGUCUCUAAAUUCAUAAAUUCUGAAUUUAUUUCAAAUCAAACAUAGACUUCGAGAGAUCUACCUCUUUGGCACUCUACAAACAUAUCUAAAGGUAUGAUCCGUAUUGGCCAAGGGUUCUUUCCCUUCGACUUUGAACCCAAGUUCGUCGUCAAAACAGACUUAUCCUAGGAAACUGAUGGGAUUAGAGAACAUCAACACCAUAGCAAUUAUAGGGCAAACCAAACACCAAGCAGCUUAUCUUAGGUAGGGCGUACUAGGGGUGCUAAAACUUUUCCUUUACGCAACCAGUCUCUUGCCUUAGAAUCUUUGAAAGACCAGUUAGGUUUCCUAGUGACCAUAAUACUAGGUGACGACUCCCUUUUUUUACAAAACAAAGACCCCAACAUUAAUCCCUGCUAUCAGGAAGGGUCGCCUCAACAUCGAGCUCUCUUGAGGGUACGACAAUAAUAAUCAUAAUGUUGAUUCUUUUAUCUCCUACUUAAUGCAAGUGUCCAUCGUGUGCUGAAAUUGAUUGUUUACCAUAACAUUUCUUUUAAAGGUAGAGAUUUCUUGGUUGACAAUGGAAAAAAGUAAUCGCAUGGUUAUUUUCCAUAACAUUCCUUUGAGUAAAUAUUCUCUAUUGGAGGUCAAUUUCAUCGAAGCAAUUACCUCAAUGAACACGUCCUAAUUACCAACCUCUAAGUAGUCAUCUCCCUUAUCCUAACUUUUUAUUUCCUUAUAAAAUCUCACGGUUUUUCAUCAUUUUCAGAGGAAAAGUUGACCUUGCAAAUGGUGCUCUAAGGAACCAAGUCAUCCUAGAACUAAUCAUCCACCUAAUCUCGUCAACUCCUUGUUGCACAAACAGCCUGUCUCACUUAAAGGGGAUUUUAAUGAUGAACAAACACAAAUUCCUUGUUGCUCAAAUACAUAUGCUCAUUUAAACACAGGAUGCUUGACCUCAUUAAAGACAAACUGACGACAUCCGUCCGUAACAUAAAUUAUCUUCCUUGCCCCAAAGUCAGCACAGAAAAACCUUGUUCACUAUAAAGGUUCUGAAUGUUUUUCCUAAAUUUCAUGAUAUGGCAUUCAGCAUUCUUAAGCAAACUACAACUGCAGAAGGCUUGUACAUGUAGGGGAGACGUAGGAAGAACUGCAAAAGUUGUCGCAUCUAUUGUUAUGCUGUUCAGAGUUUCUAUCUCAUCAUCCAAUCUGCCUAAAAUAUAAAAGAUCAUGUGCAUGAAUUUGAUCUCAAAGGGGUACCACCUCAUAUGCGUACAGGACAUACAUGACCAGUGAUGGUUGUUCUAUCCACAAAAUUAGCUAACAUACGACUAUUUUAUUCAACUACCAUUUCAGGAUAUGAGUUCUCCUAGCCACACUCAAAAGCCCUAGCCGCUAUAUGAACAAAGCACCUAAAAAAUUAAUCACCUGCCUAAUCUAAUUCACCCACACACACACACACACCCACCUGAUCAUAGACAGGAAACGAGUUAUUUGAAUGCAUAGACAGGAAAUUCAGGUAAACACGCGCGCGCGCACACACACACCUGAUCAUAAAUUUCCUAAAGAAAUUCUGAAUUGUAACAUUGGUAAACAAAGUGUGACAAUAUCAUCACAUUAAAAAUGCAUUUCACUCAAAACAAAUACUAGCUCAAGAAAAAAAAAUGCAAGAAGCCAAGAGAGAAUAAAUUAAGCAGUCCAUAAACAAGAGACAGAGAGGCAUUGUUCCAAUGAGAAAAGUAAUUAAAACCCAACAACUAAAGAAAGAAUCAAACCAGUGAGUAACUAAUCCUUUUAAAGCAUUCCAAGAAUGGCAACCAAAUGUAACAUAAUCAACCUGCAAAAACAAACACAAAAAGAAUUAGAAGAAGAAACCCCAGACCUCCACCACCAAAUCCACCUCCACCAAAUCCACCUCCACCACCAAGCCCGCCACCUCAUUCAUCCUCAAAAGAACCCUUUCUAGAACCGGAUUCUGUAACGCAUUGUCUUCAUUCUGACAGGAGGGGAUAUCAGUCACAAUUUGGAAAUCUAAUAGUUUGAAGGUUUCUGAAAACCGUCCUCAGACCUGUCAGCGUCGCUGGCCAAUUUCUCAUUCUUCCACCGUUGGAUUAACACGAAUUUUGGGUAAGUUGUGUGUCACUAUAGUUCCCACAUCCUGACCAGAGCGAUCGUUCAUAUUUGAAUCCACUAGAUAAAUCUUACCGUUUGAAGAUUUCUGGGCAAAUCACUCUCGGAACAGUCAGAAUCGCCGGCUUAUUUCUUCUUUUUCUACCGUUGGAUCCAUCUGAAUUUUGGAUAUGUGAUGCGUAUGGUCGUAUUACACAUUCGGAACGGUGGAGAUGACAUGAAUCGUUUCCAGAAAAGAGUUAUGCACGCUCAACAGUGGUCCAUCAAUCUCAGGUCAGUUUUGGUCUAACUCCGAUCUAGGGAGAUCCAACCGUUAACUGGAGCUGAUAUUUGGAUAUGUUCUGCAUAAGAUGUGUUUUUACCUUGUCACCGUUGCGAUUUGUUAUUUGUUGAAUUGUUGGUGAGUAAUUGUUGUUUGAAGCUCUGCACAGAAUCUAUCAUGGCUUCCAAUCCGAAACUUCAAACCCUCAAAGCUAACACCACCCACUCAAUCACUAAACAACCCACAAACCAUCACCAAAACAUCCAAAAUACAGCCUCCUCAACGUAGGUUAGGUUUCUAAAAUCCCACGAAUCAACAAACAAUCAAAAAUCCCUUUCCAAUAGUCACCUCCGCCUUGACUCAAGACAACAACCACCCCCUAAACACAUUCACAAUAUUCCUAGCCCAAAAACCCAGAAUAACCAUUCCUUUAACAUUUCAGUGCCACAAAUUUACUUUGAAGGUUUCCCAAUAUGGGCUGAUUACCAUCGCAUAAAGGCUUCUUUUAACAAGUUUGGCUAUGUACUCAAACUUUAUGUAUCCAGGCGUGUCAACAAAUCAGGGAGUCUUUUUGGUUUUGUAACAAUAGCAUCAAAAUUUUCUGAUAAAGUUUUGCUAGAGAGUGUGAAUGAUAUUUGGUUUGAAUAUCACAGACUAAAGGCCAAUUUCACUAGACACUAUAAAAAGAUUCCAAGAGAGAACAAAGCUCCUGACAGAUCAAAACCCAAAACAACUUUAAGAGUGCCUAUUAGUGAAAGAGAUGACAGAAGUUACAAAGAGGUACUCAGUGAAGGAAAAGUGGAACAAAUACUUCUGCCUGUGGCUUCUGGACCAAAGGAUUACUUUGAAAAACUCUUCAUUGAUAUUGAAGAAGAGGAUUAUGCUUGGCUAAAGAGAUGUCUUCUGGGAAAAAUAAAAAAAGGAUCCAAUUACUCUUCUAUACGUUUUGGACUGAUCCAACAUGAUAUAGAUUUUGUUGGACUGCGCUUUCUUGGGGCAUCUCAGGUCCUUGUGAUUUUUUAUAAUAGAGACAUAUUAAUGGAAUCAUGGAGGAAGAAUAAUAAAUGUUGGGAUGUAUUUUUUGAGGAAGUUCGCCCCUGGGUUGAGACUGACACAACUUUGAAUCGGAUGGCCUGGAUAACAAUAACAAAUCUACCCAUUAUAGGGUGGAAUUGCAGAUGCCUCACAAAGAUUUUAGAAAGAUCUGGUCAGAUGAUAGGUUAUGAUAAAACUACUCUCAAGCUUUUUGAACUAUCACAGUUACGGAUCCUCAUUGGUACACAACUGGAUAAGGUGAAUAAGGUGAUUGUUUUGCAACUCAAUAAUCAAACAUAUCAGGUUAAGAUAGAGGAGAUGGACCAGUUACAUUACCCAAUUGCUGGCUCUAUUUCAUACACCAUGGAUGACUUUCUGACAUCCCUAGAGCAAGGGGAUGAUGAUGAUGAGGAAGACUCGGUUGAUGUGGGUGAUGGCGUAGACACAGAUGAGGACAGAGCAGGUGUGGCUCCAUCAGUCACCAGGACUCUUGGGGGCGGCACCAACGGGUGGGAAAAUUCAGAUCUGGCACAGGAUGGAGACAUGCUAUCAACUUCUGACGAUAGCUCUCUUAUCAUAUUUAAUGCUCUUCAUCUGGAUGUGGUGCAAGAUCAACAUGCUGCCUCAUCUUUAGAGAGAUUUCCAGAAAUUAUGGCAUACAAUCUUUCUUUUUCUGACAGCAGCUAUAUAAAAGCAGCCCCAUUCCCAAUGCUCUUACCCUAUAUACGGGACAUGGCACUCCUAUUUUGAGAGAAGAUGCUAGAAACCCUGCAGCUGCCUUGGACCUUGACUCCCUUGUAUUGGCCCAGAUUGAAAGCCCAGUUUAUGGCAGUGGAUCUCAAAGCCCAUCUGACGUUCUCUCUAUUUCAUUUGGAUCAAACAAUGAUUUAGCCCUUCAAUCAACAUACAAUCAUCAAGCCAUAGUAAUUCUGGAACCGCAACACAUGAAUCACCCAGUUAUUUUACACUCUAAUGCAAACACAAAAGAGAGUGCAAUUGCCCUAUCUGCAAAAACAAGAAGGAAGUUGCGACGUACAAAGAUGAUUACAGCUGAUGGAAGUUUGAAUGAAACAGUUAAUAUGAGUGAGAUGGAUACUAAGGACUCAACAAUACAGAGGUGUAACAGGAGGAACUUGCUAGCUCAUGACGAAAACAAUAAGCCUUCUGAGGGUGAUGAGGUUUGUUUAAUGCUGGAAAUAGGAGAGGUUUUGCAGAUUGAAAAACCUCACAAUUUAGAUGACUUCACAUCCUAUAUAAAUCAGCAAAGGCGUAAAGAGAAGGCUGAUUGGGAAGCAUCCCAGUGAGUAGAUGUUCCUCUUUGUUCUGUAAGGAUUUUAAAUCUCUUUUCUUAUGCAGAUUCUUUCAUGGAAUUCUUGUGGUUUGGGGUUAGCUAGAAAGAAGAGGACAGUUUCAAAGUUAAUCAGGGAUUUUGAUAUAGAGGUUUGUUUUUUGUUUGAAACUAAGUUACAAAGUUACUCAGACAAAUUGGUUUUUCAAUUAUGGAGCGUCAGUAAUGUUUCUUGGUUUGGUAAUGAGGCUGAAGGUACUAAAGGGGGCAUUCUGGCUAUGUGGGAUAACUCUAAGUUUGCGGUAUCAUCAGUGGAGUAUGGUCAUGGUUGGAUCGGGUUAUUUGGGCAGAAUGUCUUGACAGGCUUCUCAAGGGCGGUGGUAGGUGUUUAUGCCCUUUGCAAUCAAGCUGACAGACUUCUUCUUUGGAAGGACCUUCGUAUUCUGAAGGCUGCUUUUGAGUGUCCUUGGUUUUUAGCAGGUGACUUCAAUGAAACUAUGUUGCGAAGUGACAGAAGCAGUGGCUUCAUUAACAAGGUGGGUUCAACGGCUUUUAGACUUUUUAUUGAUGAUUGCAACCUAAUCGAGUACAACAUGUCAGAGGGUCUGUACACCUGGUUUCGUGGGGGGUCCAUGAGUAAACUAGACCGUAUUUUUUCUAGUCCUUGUUGUCAUUUGCAAUUCCCCCUUUUGUCUCUUCGACGGCUUCCAAGAGGGUUCUCUGAUCAUUGCCCUUUAAUCCUAGGGGUUUCACCUGCAGAAAAAGGUUGGAUUCCUUUCAAAUUCAUGGAUUGUUGGCUCCAUCAUCCAAAUUUUAAAGAUAUCGUAAAGGGUAUAUGGGAUGAAGCUUGCAAUGAAUUUUCAGGUCAGUUCAAGCUCAUUAAGAAGCUCAGCUUUAUGGCAACUUGGCUCAGACAGUGGAAUAGGGUUGGUUUUGGGCAUCAGGAGACUGCUUUGUCAUUGAUCCAAAGCAAUAUUUCAGCUAUAGAAAAGAAAUCAGAGUAUGGGCAAUUAUCUACUGCAUAGCAGAACUCGCUUGAUUCAUUGAUUAAGAAGUAGUGGCAAUGUAACUUGCAUAUAGAAAGCAUGUGGCGUCAAAAGUCUCGCCAAAUUUGGUGUCGCCUGGGCGAUCGCAACACGCGUUUCUUCCAUCUAGUUGCUAACUUCAGGAGGGCUAAAAACCAUCUCCUGAAAGUGGUUCAUAAUGGUUCUGUUGUUGAAGGUUUACCGGUCAUAAAAGAUGCGGCAGUUAACUUCUUCUCCAACUUAUUCAGAAGUUUUGAUAGAUUCCGAAUUGGUUUAGGGCCUGUUGGUUUUAAAACACUAUCGGCUUCUUCUUCAGCUAGCUUGGAGCGAGAUAUCACUUUGGAAGAAUUAAAGCAGAGUGUUUGGGAUUUUGAUGGGAGCAAGAGUCCGGGUCCAGAUGGUUUCAAUUUCAAAUUCUACAGGCUUGCUUGGAAUUUCAUUGCAGAUGAUUUGUUAGACCUGGCCAAGAAUUUCUUCAAAACAGGUAGGCUUCCAAAAGGAGUCAAUCAUGCUUAUGUUCAUCUAAUUCCGAAGAUAGCUUCCCCAAUUGGCUUCAAAGAUUUCAGGCCUCUUAGUUUGAUUCAUGGCAUUUACAAGAUAAUGGCUAAGGUUCUUUCUAGCCGUCUGAAAGCGGUUAUGCAUGACCUUAUCAGUGAGAAUCAAACAGCUUUCUUGGCAGGGAGGCAAAUAAUUGAUGGGUUUGUGGUUGCCAAUGAAGCAGUUCAUUCCUUGAAAAGACACAGAGUGUCGAGCCUUAUCUUUAAGGUGGAUUUUCACAAGGCUUUCGAUAGUGUGCAGUGGGAUUAUUUAGAGCAGGUUAUGAGGCAUAUGGGUUUUGGUGAAAAAUGGAUUAAUUGGAUCAACACUUGCAUCUCCACUGCAAAAUUAUCAGUGCUGAUUAAUGGAUCUCCUUCUAAGGAAUUCUUGAUGGGUCGUGGGAUUCGCCAAGGUGACCCCCUUUCUCCAUUCCUUUUUCUAAUAGCAGCAGAGGGAUUAUCUGUUUUGUUUCAAAGAGCAGCUUCAAAUGAUCUUUUCAAAGGUAUCCCUUUUGGAGACAGCUUUUGCCUUAGUCACCUACAAUAUGCAGACGACACUUUGAUCUUCAUGCCUGCUAAUCUUCAUAUGGUCAAAACGGUUAAAAGGAUCCUGUUAUGGUUCGCUAUUUGUUCAGGUUUGCACAUUAACUUCCAUAAAAGCUCUUUAAUUGGCAUAAAUGUUGGGGAAGAUACUUGUGCUAGUAUGACAUAUUCAGUCUUUUGCAGAUUUGAUUCCUUGCCUUGCUCUUAUCUAGGCAUGCCUUUAGGAUCCAAUCCUAAAAGAUUGUCUACAUGGAAGCCUAUUAUUGAGAAUUUCAGACGGAAGUUGAGCAUGUGGAGAGGUCGUAUGCUUAGUAUGGCAGGACGUAUUUGCCUAAUCAAAAGUGUCUUGAGUUCAUUGCCAGUAUAUUAUAUGUCUUCUUUUCUUAUGCCGAAAGGUGUCUGUAAUAUACUACCAUCUAUUCAACGAAGAUUCUUGGGUCUGAGUGGCGAAGCAAAAGAAAAUCUGCAAGGUACAAUGGCGUAUUGUUGUGAAAGCUAGAAAAGAAGGAGGCCUCGGGUUGGGUUCUUUAAUGUCAAAAAAUAUAUCCAUGCUUUUCAAAUGGAUAUGGAGGCUAAACUUACCAGACCAUGCCUUAUGGAAACAGGUAACAACCCAUUUUUACUCCCCAACUUUCGAGAAUGGAAUCCCAAAAUUGCAUGGUCAUAUUUCCCCAUUUUGGAAAGACAUUUUGUCAAUCUUGGAUCCAAACAGUGUCAUCGGCUUAGUAUUGCGUGAAAACAUUAAAUUCAAGAUUGGAGAUGGAUCCUCCAUCCUUUUCUGGUCUGACGUGUGGAUAGGAUCAAAUGCUUUACGUUGCAUUUUCCCUAAGCUUUACCAAAUUUCUACUUUUCGGAAUGGUUUGGUUAAUGAGAUGGGUCAAUGGGUGAAUGAUCAAUGGCGAUGGAAUUUGGUUUGGCGUAGGAAGCUCUUAUCUUAUAAAGAGCAACAAUAUCAUCAUUUGCUCUCAAUGCUGGAGCCAACGAUAAUUCGGCAAGGAAAAGAUGACAAACUUAUAUGGCCAUGCAAUUCUGAUGGAAGCUUCUCAGUUAAAUCGUGUUGCACCCUGAUUGACAAUACCUCCUCUGCGACUGAUAGAGUCUUUGAAGCCAAUGUUUGGAUUAAAGGGGCCCCUCUGAAAGUUCAGGUGUUUCUCUGGUUGGCAGUACAAGACAAAGUUAGUACAAGAGCUUUUCUCCAUCAACGGACUAUUUUGUCUGCCACACAAGCUUCAUGUGUCUUUUGCAGCUCAAAUUUGGAAACCUCAGAGCAUCUUUUUAUACAUUGUAACUUUUCUAUGAGUGUUUGGAUGAAAGUUUUGGAUUGGUGGGGUAUCCAAUGUUGUUUACCGAGAACACUUGACUUGCUGCUUCUGCAGUGGCCCGAAAUGGUACAAGGCAAAUUCCAAAGAUCAGCUUGGAGAUUAAUUUCAAGUAGUACUAUUUGGGGUAUAUGGUUACUGAGGAACAAAAUUGUUUUUGAGGAGGGAACUAUAAACUUGUUUGAUUGUUUCUCCACCAUCCUUCAUCGGGUUGCUAUUUGGUUGCAUACUCAUGAUUCAAACUUCAAUUAUACAGGCAAUGACCUCUUAAGAUCUUCUGAUGGCAUCAAAUUAUGGUGUAAUAAGAAAUCUUAGGUAGUCUUCUUGUUGUUUGCUGUAGUAGAUCAGUUUUUUUCUUUUUUCUUUUUUUCUUUUUUAUAUCCCUUGUAUUUCUCUUUGGCUAUUCGCUUUAUGGCCUUCUCAAUAUACUCUCGAUGAUUAUAAAAAAAAAGAAGAAGAAACCCCAUUAGUUAAUAAGUUAAAACAGCAGCAGCAGCAAAAAGACUCAAAUUUUAGUUAUUUGGACUUGAGAAAAAGCAUUGAACCCUCUGUGAAAAUGCCAUGAAAGGGGUGCUUAGAAACCUGGAAAAUAAAAACUUUUAAAAGGGUGUUUUUACAAAGCAAGAAAGAAGCUUGGAAGCAAGGAAGCAAGCCAGCCUACCCUCACGAACUCUGUUUGUUAAUUGUUUUUUCUCCUUUAAAGUGAAAACAAAAAAAUAAAAAACAAAAACAAAGAGCACCCAGAAAAUCUAGUCAGAAAUAUUUUAUGUUGCUGUCUUGGAGAGACGCAUUAUAUUACAUAACAAAAUGAUAAAUUCAUUCAUUACAAAAAGAUACCCAACAAAAUAUAAGAAAACUAAUCUACUGUUCAACCCGAUAGGGGGAUGUACCUGAAAAUUGAUUUAAUACAAUAAUUCAAUUAGACAGAUGAAAAAAAGAUAUCCAUAAAAUUCUUUCUACUUUCUUUCUUUCUUCCUUUUUUUUUUUUUUGAAAAUUUAGUCAAAAGAUCAUUAAAUUAACUUGCUCAUCUAGUAUUGUAUAUAUAUAUCAAUUAAAUUUCAGAAUAAUCUAUGAGUUUGUUUUCUUUUUCUUUUUUCUUUUUUAAUAUCAACCAAAAAUAUAAUUAUUUCUAUCGCUCAAUUAACCCGGCAUUACUUUCACUAAUAGAUGAUUAAUUUUCCACCAGUCCAUUCAACAAACACUAUUGUCAUCAAUUCAAAAAUUAGUUUAAUGUUUCAUCCAUUCAUCAGGUAAAAAUCUCAUUAACCAGGGAAAUUAAUUCUUCAUCUUGCCCAUUUGUCAAGGCACUAAUUCCAUUAAAUCAGGAAUUAGUUCAAUGAUUUACCUAUUCACCAGGUUACUAAUCCCAUUAACCAGAGACUUAAUUCCUCAUCAUGCCUAUUCACCAGGACAUUAAUCCCAUUAAUUCAGGAAUUAGUUCAACGAUUUGCCCAUUCACCAGGGCAUCAUAAUUUCUUAUCACGCCCAUUCACCAGGGCAUUAAUUUCUUAUCACGCCCAUUCACUAGGGCAUUAAUCCCAUUAGUUCAAGAAUUAAUUCAUCACAUCGCAUAUCUUAUUUUCUAAAGUAAACAAUAUAAUAAUUUCAUAUUUAUCAACCACAAUUAAUCAAAUAAAAAUACAUAUUGACCAAUAAUAAAUUCGAGUACCGUGUAAUUACCUGAUGACUAAGCUCGAGUUGAAAUUUCCUGCUGUGGUGUCGGCCUGGCAGCCUCUCUUGAAUUGAAAAGUAUAUCACAUCAUUAUUCUACUUUCCAUAUUGAAACACUCAAUAAAUAAAAUCAUUCCAAUUAUCCUUUUAUUUGCCAAAAUAAAAUCAUUUCGUAAGUUUCCUUCCCUAUCUUUCAAUUUCCACAUUGUAACACAAUUCAUUUUAUCAUUCAAAUCAAUAUAUAUANNNNNNNNNNNNNNNNNNNNNNNNNNNNNNNNNNNNNNNNNNNNNNNNNNNNNNNNNNNNNNNNNNNNNNNNNNNNNNNNNNNNNNNNNNNNNNNNNNNNCUUUAAAUUCAUUUAUUUAAUUUUUACCAUAAUUUAAAUCAAAGAAAAACAUAAAACAAUUUCAUGAUCUAUUCACUCUUUAACAUUAAUAUCAUGCUCUUUCUUACACAAUCUCAUCAUCUUAUCAAAACUCUUAAAUUUUUAUUUUUCUUAUUAUUAUUUUUCCAAAAAUCCCUUCUUCAAGAACACCUAAAAUUUUGCUUUAAUUACCAUAAUUUCUUACUUUUUCUACUCAUUUCAAUAAUCUUAACACAAUUUCACAAUCAAUUGUAAUUUUCUCUAAAAUUUAUCAUGAACCCUAAUUCCUCAUUUCACAAAGUUCAAUCAAUUUAAAGCAUAAAUUCUUCAAGAAUCUUAUUUAAAAGUUUGAGUACAUCUUACCAAGCAAUAACCAAAGUUUUAACACUUUUAAAUUGAGAAAUUUUCCUUGCUUGAAUUUGUUUUUUCUCUCCUGGCCGAUUGCUUCCUUCUCUUUGAAAAAACAAGUUUGUUUUUUUUUUUUUUUUGUUUACUUAUAGCACACACUCACUUGCACUCAUAUAUAUAUAUAUAUAUAUAUAUAUAUAUAUAUAUAUAUAUAUUAACUCUCUUUUUUAAAUACCUUCCACGUCCCUCAAUUUGUUUCUUCCCCAUACACACAUAUAAUUACUUAACUUUUUAAAAAUACCUUCUAUAUUCCUCAAUAGUAAAUUUUAUGAUUUUUGGGUAAAAUUUCAUGAAUCCUAACACCUGUUUAUACCAAAUUUUAUCCAGAUUAUUUCAAAUUUCACUCAGUUACUCGUUAGUACUUUCAGUUUCAUGAAAUUCAUUUCCAUCAAAAUUUUAUUCACAUUUUCAUGUUUAUUUAUUUAUAUUUAUUUUUUAUAUAUAUUUUAACACCCGAACAAAACAUUUCAAUUCAGAUUCUCGAAUAUAUCAUCAUUCUUAUAAUUUAAUUUAUCACUUUCCCUCAUUUUUCGUAAUCUUGACUUUUAUUAAUAUUAAUAAUAUUACCCGGGGUUUUACAGUCUCAGUUGACACUGAUUUUCGCCAUAAAAAAUGGUCGAUUUUUGUUUUAAUGAGUUUCAUUUGAUGAAGAGAGUUCCAUUGAAAUGUUUUUUGCUCUUGAAAUUGCCAAAACAUUUAUAGUUUUUGGGCUGUUUUAUUGGUUUAUUACAUCAUAAAAACGAUUUUUAGGUGUUUUGGUGUGAACUUUGUUUAAAUUUGCAUUUUUUGGUCAAAAACCACCAUGCUUAAUUUUCUAGUCACCUCUCCAAUGGCCAAGAACUGAAAAGUCUCGGUAGGUGACAUGUCGCUUUUCUUUAUUUUUUUUUCAAAAACAUUUGGAGGAUUUUCAAAUAAAAAAGGCCCAUACGUACCAACCCUUUUUAAAAUGGGCUUGAUGUGUAGGCCCGACUUACUAGGCCCAAAAGCACUUGAUCUAUUUCUAUUUUUUUUUCUAAUUUUGUUUUCUUAAUUGAUAUUUUUUAUGUAUUUUUAAUGAAUUUUUGAAUUUAUAUUUAAAUUAAUACUUUUCUCUCUAAAUAUUUAGAUUGUUUAUUUAGUUUUUUCUAAAUAAUGGAUAUCUUUUACUUAUCUUUUAUGUAUUUAAUAUCUAGAAAAAAUUAUUUCAAUUCAUCUAUAUGUUUUUUUAUAUAUUUUAUAUAAAUAAACUUUAUUUUCAUGACGUGUUUAUAAAAAUAAGAAUUAUUUGUUCUUGGUAAGAAAAAGUGACCUUUAAGAUAAAAAAGAAGAAGAAGGAGAAAAGUGUGCAUGAAGAUGAAAGUUAAGGUUAAGUAUCAUAUUUAUGUAUCUUUUACUUUUAUGAAAAUGAUUAUCAUUUUAUUUUAUAAUUUGAUUGGCAUUAACAACUCUUUAUUAGUUUAUUAGUUCAUAUUUUUGUAAGAUUGUUUUUUACAUUUCUUAAUUAAGAGAAUCAUAAUACAAUGAAAUGCACUUGAAACAAUGUCCCAUUUUUCUACUACAUUAAAAAUUAACUUAAGAUCCUAUAUGUGGCACGAUGCGUUAACAACUAUUUUUUAUAUUUAUGAACACUUAUGGUCCUUACUUUAUUUUUAUUAUAUGUAAAUAUCAACUUUUUUAUUUACAAUUAUAAUUUUCUCUUGAUUUUUAAAAAUACGUUAACAACAUUUAUAUAUAUUUUUUUUUGCGUUCAAAAAAUUAUCUAACUCGUAGCAAAGUGAAUUAAAUAAAUGCAUCAACACUUUUUUUUUUGUAUUUAUGAUUAGGAUUUGUUUUUGUUAAAAAUGCAAUUGAAAAGCAUACAAAUUUAUUUUUUGCUAAAAACAAUUUUGUGAUCCAUACCGAAGUGCGAGUUAAAUAACUACGUAUAUGGCUAUAGUAAGUCUUUUAGUAUAUGUGGAUGUAGGAAGCAAUGCGUUAUAUUAUUAGUUAGAUAUAACUUACCUAUUCAUUAUUAAAAAAAACAUAAAAUAAAUAAAUAUAUUAAUAGAAACCUAAAAGAGGUCGGCUGAAAUAUAAUAUUUUUGUCCUUUUUUUUAUUUUGUUUCACAUUUCUCAAUUAAGAGAAUCAUGAUACAAUAAAAUGCAUUUGAAACACCAUCCUAUUUUUCUAUUAAAUUAAAAAUUAACUUCCUGAUGCAACCAUAUUAUUCGAUAGUUUCACCCACAUUUAACUAGUGUUUUGCCUAUGUUUUAUAUAUAAAAUGCCUUGAUAUUCUUUGUUUUAUGUUUUGAAGGCACUUUUGGAUGAAAGAUGCAAAAAGGAGUAAAUUGGAGAUAAUUGGCAGAUUUGACCUUCAGUCGAUGUUUUGUGCAGAGCGUGAGCUCUAGAGGUUGAAAUGAAGUGAUUCCAGUGGCAUUAAAAAGCUAACAUCCAUACCUUUCUGGAAAUCUAAGGCAAGAAAAUAAAAUAAGGAAGAGCAUGGAAAUCACAGCCUUCAAAGUCAAAACAGAUUUGCUUUCUUUUUCCCUUAUCUUUUAUUUUUCGCAUUUUACUUUAUUUUUGUCAUUCUUCAAUAUUCCUUUUCUUUUAUUUCAACAUUGAGGACAAUGUUGUGUUUUAAGUGUGGGGGUAUUGGGAGAAUGUUGGUUUUCUAAUUUUGGUUUUCUUUGUUAUUUUUCAAAAUAAAAAAAAAUUAUGUUUGAUCUUUUGAACUCCCAUUGGUUUUUGAGAAUAUGAGUAUUAUGUAUGAGAAUUAGUUGAGAUAGAUGAAGAUAUAAAUAAAAUGAAUGAGUGUGCAUGCAAGUUUUAAGGUUUAAUUGGUUUAGGGAUUGACUUUGAGAAUCUGUCAUGUUGACUUUAUAGUGUUAUACCAAUGCAAGCUUUUGAGCCUUCAACAUUAUAUUCUUUUAUUGUGCCUUCUUUCAAUGAUAUGUAUCUUUAGAACUUGUUUCAUAUCUUGUUGAGAUUACAUUCAUAUUACAUAUAUACAUGAAGAUAAUAAAGGCAUUAGGAAUUUUAACCACUUGAGCCAAAAAGCCAACCUAAAGCAUAUUAUCCUUAGUGAGCCCCUUUUGAGCUUGUUUAUCUUUUCUUUGCUUUAUCCAUGUAUAAGCCUUAACUUUUUAUAUGUUUUCCUUUUCCCCUGGCCAAGGAUUAGUAGAGCAUAUACUUAUGAUAUCUCAUGGAAUUAUGGUUGGAAAUUAUGCGAAAAGAAAGAAGAAGUGAUGCUUGAUGAAAAGAUGGGCAAAGUUGCCGAAGGUCAAAAAAAAAAAAGGAAAAAAAAAGAAAAAAAAGAAAAGAAAAAGAAAAAGAAAAAAGUGUUCCUUUAUGUUCUUAAUAUUUUAUAUUGAAAAAGCUUGAAAUCAAAAGAAGUUAAGCAUUGGUGAUUAAAGAUGGAAAAUUUAUGUGCUUUGAUGGAAUAUCUUGUUUGAAAUAUCAUUUUUCAGAAUGCUCUACUUUCUUUGGUUUGAACCUUUUGUUUUACUCUCUUUUACCUCACCUUAACCUUAGCCCCAUUACAACCAGAAAAUAAGACCUUUUGAUUCAUGCAUUGUUUGUAAUAUGUUAUUAAUGGGGAUGAGAUUGAAGAGCAAGCUUAUGGUAGAACAUAUUCAUUGAUUGAAUUUGAGAGAUUUAAACACAUAAGCCCUAAACACGUGAGUGUUGGAGUAUAUAUCAAUGAGAGGACCUAUCACUUUGGCAUGGCAUAGAUUUCAUUUAAAUCUCGACGAUUAAUUGACUUUUGAAGUUUGCAUGUAAAUAAAUUCAUGAAAAUUUAUACUCUUUAUCCUUCUUAAUUGUGUUCUUGUUUAUAAUGCAUAUAUUCUUGGAUAUUGAUGGGAGAUUAGAAGAUUAGUCAUAGUGAUUUCAUUUAAUUUAACUUCAAUUUGAUUUUACCUAUCCUUUCUCGAGGACGAGCAAGAGCUAAGUGUGGGGGUAUUUGAUGCAACCAUAUUAUUCUAUAGUUUCACCCACAUUUAACUAGUGUUUUGCCUAUGUUUUAUAUAUAAAAUGCCUUGAUAUUCUUUGUUUUAUGUUUUGAAGGCACUUUUGGAUGAAAGAUGCAAAAAGGAGUAAAUUGGAGAUAAUUGGCAGAUUUGACCUUCAGUCGAUGUUUUGUGCAGAGCGUGAGCUCUAGAGGUUGAAAUGAAGUGAUUCCAGUGGCAUUAAAAAGCUAACAUCCAUACCUUUCUGGACAUCUAAGGCAAGAAAAUAAAAUAAGGAAGAGCAUGGAAAUCGCAGCCUUCAAAGUCAAAUCUCGCAAUCUGCCAGUGUUGACCUUCGGCCAUUCCGACUUGAAUAUCUGGAGCUACAGAAGUCCAAUUGAUGCAAACUCAAUUGUUUUGGAUUCAUGUCUCAAAGGUCUAUAAACGCUCCACAUUUCAGCCCAAACCGAUUUCAUAUGAGGGAGAUAUGAUUUUUCAAAGAUGACAACUGAAUUCUGCCAGCAAACAGGUUUCGUGAAGAAACGAGUCCAAAUUACGUUCCGAAGCAUCUAAACCGAUAUCCAAGUUUGUAUUUCAGCAAUUUAGCUCCUCUAAGUCAAAGCUUGAAGAUUUCAUGCAAGGCUAUUUCUCCUUUUUUAGGAAAAUAGUUAUUGAAGUACUUAAAUGUAAACAGUCUACUUAAUGGAGGACUAUUUUGUAAAAUAGAGACCUAGGGUUUCCUAGGAUAUAAAAAGAAUGAGAGAAGAGAAGGGGGGAGGCAGCCAAGAAGAGAAAAACGCCCCCUUCCUCUAAGAAACCCUAAAUUAUGCAUUCUUCCUUCUUUUUGAUUAGUUGUUCAACAAACAUGCAAGGCUAAACACUUUUUCUUGGUUGCAAGAACACGGAAACCUUCGGAUUUCAAGAACUGUGAGAUUUAUUUUACCUUUUCUUUUCAGUUUAUAUGAUGAAUAUGUUUGUUCUCCUAUGCUUAUUUUUCCUAUGAUUGUUUAUUUUAAUUGCUAGAGCGGACUCUAAGUUAUUAUUGUAGACAAUCUAUUGUUAAUUUUGAUAUCAAAACCGGAGUUGUGGUAUAUGAACUUGUGAAGCAACUGAGUUUAAUAAUUGUGGCGGAUCUACGUUAUUAAUCUUAGGGAGAACAUUCAAUCAAAUCAAACAUAGACUGCGGACAGUUAUGUUUUCUUGAUUAAUCAACUUAUCUAGUUCUUAAGGCUGCCAUUGAAUUAAAUUACUAGUGCGGACACUGUGGUUGUUUGAUGGUUAGGGCUAGUUAUACGGCGGAUCCGUUAACUAACCAAUGUUAAGAAGAGAUAAAUAUUCAGAAUAUAAAUUGAUGUUUCGUUUCCAUGAUCAGUUCUGAUUUUUGUAGGUGGAUGUGUGCUUCUGACCAAGGUUUGUUCUCUUGAUAAUUUUCUGAUUUUAUUAAAUUUAGUUUGAUAGUUUUCUGUUUUCUUUUGCUUUAGCCUAGAUAAUGUCCAAACCCCCCCAAAUUGCAUAUCAUCUAGCAUAAAAAUCUGACUUGAAUCUUCCUCGUGGGAUCGACCCCUUGCUUGCUCUAUACUAUCUUGUGUGUUGUGUUUGAAGCUAGGGUAAUUAAUUUGUGCGACCGCGACAUCGCAACACUUCCUACAUGGGGUGCGUUGCGUUAACAAUUGUUUUUGUAUUUAUUAACAUAUAUGAUCCUCAAUUGAUUUUAUUAUAUGUAAACAUCAACUUUUUUUAUUCACAAUUAUAUUUUUUUCUCUCGAUAUCUAAAAAUACAUCAACAACACAUAUACAUCCAUUCUUUUGUGUUGGAAAAUAUUAUCUGACCCAUAGCGAAGCGAGUUAAAUAAACACGUCAAUACCUUUUUUUUGUAUUUAUUAUUAGGGUUUUUUUUUGUUAAAAAUACAUUUGAAAAGCAUUCAUAUUUAUUUAUUUUGCUAAAAAACAUUUCUGAUCUAUAGUAAAGUGCGAGUCAAAUAACUACUAAUAUGGCUAUAGUGAGUGUUUUUUUAGUAUAUGUGGAUGUAGGUAGCAAUGUGUUAUAUUAUUAGUUAGAUAUAACUUACCUAUUCAUUAUAAAAAUAAAUAAAUAAAUAUGCUGAAACAAUAUAGUCCCCGAGAGGAAAUAUUGUGAAUUCACACAAUGUUUACUUUCUCUUUUUUUGUCCUUUUUUUAUUUAGUGAUCUUUGAUGAUGAAUUGAUUAAGAUUUGAGAUGGGUACUGUAUUUUUAUUUACCUUUUUUAUAGUUAUCUUGCUCUCAAUAAAACAUCUUGAUAUUAGAACAAUGCUCAAUUUCACAAAAAAAAAAUUAAUGUUUGUAAGAAAUUGAAAAUGAAAAGAUCAAAAUUGAAACAAAUAAAAAACUAUUUAAAAAAAAAAUGGUGUCAACUUUGCCUUUUGUUUUUUGCUUUUGAUCAUCUACUUUUUUUAUAAAAAAAAAAUUAAUAUUUCAAUGCUGUGUUAAUUGGAAUUUGAAGUUGGUAAUUUGAUAUAAGUUGGUAAUUUUAUAUGAGCAUCUAGAACUAAAUAAAAAGCCGCACCAUUGGUUUGGUGCUCGACUUUACAAAAAAAAAAUCGAUUAUAUUGUUUGAGAAAAAAUAAAAAAUAAAAAAUAAAAAUUAAAACAUGAAAAAAAAAAUAAGGGGCCUUAAAAAAACAAAUUGUGUCAACGCCUCCAUGCCUUGUAAUUUUAAUAAAUCUUCUUUUUGGUAAUGAAACUUUUUGAUACAAAACUUUAUUUUACUUGUAUUUUAAUUCUUGAGGUUGAGAAAGAAAAAAGAAAUUCAUCAAAAAAUUAGAAAGAAAAGAGAAAAUUAGCGAAAGCCAGCAAGGUAUCUGCUCGAAAAAACCAUUCAACAUAAGAUUGCUCUGCUAGGAAAACAUGAUAUCAGUAUCAAACUUUUGAACAAAGAGUUCAGCAUCAAGUCUCAGUCAUCUUGAGAUUUGAAUUGCUCAUACAACAACAUUUUUAAUAAUGCAUUAGAAACAGAACAUCAAACAAAGAGUUCAGCAUCAAGGAGAACGCAUGAAAGUCCACACAUUAAACCAAAAGAAACACAAAUGGCCAAGCAAACAUACGCCCUUACUUCUGGAGGCUUGUACGAUAAUGGGCAAGCAUCAUUGUUUUUUUUACUAUUAACCAUCACCAUCACCAUCACCAUCUUCUUCUUCUUAUACUUCUUUCCACCCUUUAUUUCUGGUCCACUCUCUAUUAAUGCUUGAAUCUUCAGCUACUUCAGAUACCUGUAAACCAAUCCAAGCAUGGCAUGCUCAUUUAACUUGUAAAUCUUAUUAUUGAGAGAAACAAGAAACAAACACACUAAAAGAGAGGCAAGAAAUAAAGUUAAAUCAUCAGCAGCACCUCUGAGCGAGCACUCAUUGAACCAUCUGGUGUAGUAGCAAAUUUUGUGGUCAGCUUUGGACAUUGAUGGACCUUCAACUUCUCCAAACGAGGGAAUAAGAAAUAAUCACACCAUCCGAAACUAAAACAGACAAUACUUGAUAAUUGUUGUAGCGACAACUCCUUUAGAUUAGGAAGCACUAUCUCCUUCUCAACGUUGAUAGGUGAAGCUUGAUCAUCCUGCCCAGGAGACUCUGGAAUUAUUUCCCUUUUACCAUCCUCUUCUCUGAUUAUAUGCUUCAAUUGACCGCAUUUACUUAUGGAAAGCCUUUCUAGCUUUGGCAGACUUUGUGUGAGGGACGGUGUGAAGAUAAAUGGCAGUUUGUCGAGAGAAUCCAAACUCAGAAUAUUAAGACUUUGGAGGCUGACAUGUCCGGUGGGCCCCUUCCAUAUGCAUUUGACCUCAGGUAACCUUCGCAGCUCUAACUUUGUUAAAGAUGACAGCAGCUCCUUCUCCUCACUGCUUCCUUCAUCAGCCUCACCUAAUUCAAAUACCUCUUCCAAUGAUUUGCAGCCGCCAACAAUCACCUCCUUUAGAUUGUUCAAAGCUCGCAGCAAUUUUGCUGGAAACGGAGCGCGAACAUCCCCACAAUCGUCCACUUGUACAAUUUCUAAUCUUUGUACGGAGCCGUUUUGCUGCACAUGGCCGGCCAUCUUAUCAGAGAACAAUAUUAUAUUUUUUCACUCUCAUAAAAACAAUUUAUAUGAUGUAUAAAUAGGAGAAAAAAGAAGAAAAAACAGGAUUACAUACUUUUUAGAGGUUACAUAUUAUUGUUUCAGUUUUUUUCUUAAUUAGAGAUAAGUUAAAUAAUAAUUAGAUUUUUUGCGAAAAAAGGUUACUACAACUCCUAAUAAUUAGUUUCAUGUAAAAAAUAAAAAUAAAAAUAGUAACUAAUAUUUUUACUUUAGUUAAAAAGUUAAUAAAUUUUUAAAGAUAUUUUAACUGAAUUAAAUAUUUGAACACAAAAUAAGCUAAUAAUAAUUAGUUUCAUGAGGCAGUUAAAUCUAACAGAUAAUAUGUUCUUUCAUAUGAUUAAUUUUUAAUAACGCAGACAACAAUGAGGCAGUUAAGUUCUUAUAUUUAUAUAUGUUUAGAUAAAAAUAAAAAUGAGCAUUUAUCAAUUACUUUACUUUUAGAAAUUGGGAGGAAGAGAGAAUAAAUUAUCGCAAUUGACAAUUUAAAUUAAGUGGAGAAAUAUAAAUUACGUACUUGUAGCUGUGCCAACCAAUUACCCACUCCUUCGUGGCCUCCAAUGGUUAAGUCUUGCAAAGGCAAUUGAGCAUCAAAAUUCCUUGGACCUAAAAAGCUGUAAUUUGAUCUGAGCCGAAGAGACACUUGUCUUAGGUGAGGGAACUUGAUGAUGCCAUCUCUGUUACGAGACAAAGAGACUGGGAAGACAUAUUCCAGUUUACCACAGUGAGAUAUGAAGAGAGUUUUUAAUAGUGGGAAGCAAGGAGACUCUGGAAUUAUUUCCCUUUCACCAUCCUCUUCUCUGAUAAUAUGCUUCAAUUUACCGCAUUCAUUUAUGUAAAGCCUUUCUAGCUUUGGCAGACUUCGAGCGAGGGACGGUGUGAAGAUAAAUGUCAGUUUGUUAAGAUUCCAAACAAGUAGACGAGCAAGAUUUUGGAGGCUGACAUGUCCGGUGGGCCCCUUCCAUAUGCAUUUGAGCUCAGGUAACAUUUCCAGCUGUAACUCUGUUAAAGAUGACAGCAGCUCCUUCUCCUCAGUGCUUCCUUCAUCAGCCUCACCCAAUUCAAAUACCUCUUCCAAUGAUUUGCAGUUGUAAAUGUCCACCUCCUUUAGAUUUUUUAAACCUUGCCGCAAUUUUGCUGGAAACAGAGUGAAAACAUCCCCACAACUGCUCACUUGUACAGAUUCUAAUUUAUGUAAAAACAAUUGCUCAAAUGUCUUCGCAUUUAAGGAUGUACCAACCAAAUUUAAUCUUGUCGAGGUUGGGUAUCCAUAAUUGGGCAGAAUCCGAUUCCCAAAUAUUAUAUGAUAUUUGCGCAAACUAACUGGAAAAACAAAAUCUCUGGGAAUGCAUUCAACCUUCGGUAUCCACAAUGAUAAUACGGCUAACUGAGACAACGAAUUUAGUUCUGUUAGGCUUGCAUUCAUUCCUCCUGUGCUGUCACAUCCACCAACAACAUCCCAUCCCUGAAAGCUUUCAUCCCCGAUCAACAGCUCUUCUAACUUCUUCAACCUUCCAAUCAAAUUCACAGGGAUCCUUCUUAGCAUUUCACAACCUGUCACAUCCAACAACCUUAACUCCUUGAGCUCUCCUAUUUCAUCAGGUAAUUCUUCAAUGGAUAAGCACCACGUAAGAACAAGAAUCUUAAGUCUCUGCAGCUUUCUCAACCAAAUGAGGUCCUUGCAUCCACACCUGAUCAACACCAACGAUUGAAGUUUCGUUGAGAGUUCAAGUGAUUGCAAUGACAAACACCCUCCCUUCAGAGACAAAACUUCAAUUUCUUUCAUCCCUUCGAAAAACUUCUCUGGAACAUUCAUACCAUCAU
rnacentral:lncRNA from 1 species